rnacentral:lncRNA from 1 species
CCACUAUGAGCUGGUGAAGAGCAAUUGUCUAGGAUCAUCUGUACCAAGUCUCCGAAUCCCCACUCAGCAGCGAUGUAAAGAGGAGUGUUGCCUUCAGUAUUAGCACCAUAGGUAAAGUCGGGGUCUUCCUGAAUCAAUAACUUCACCACCUCAGGGUGAUGAUUUCUCACUGCCUCGUGCAAGGCUGUGUCUUGUUCGUUAUUUGUCGUCCUCAGCAUCACCUUCCAAUCUGCUGCAGCCCCUCUUUCCGUGUCUUCUUCUCCAAGUUUUUUGGCACCGUGAAUCAGAUUUUUCACCACUGUCAAAUGCCCUUCUCUUACUGCAAGGUGAAGUGGAGUGUCACCUUUCUCAUUGUGAUGUUGCAAGAGUGAUGAAAGAGAAGGCAACUUAAGGAUCUUUUCAACGAAGUCUGCUUGACCGAAUUGGGCUGCAACAUGGAGAACUGUGUUCUUUUUUGGAGUUCGUUGGACACGAAUAUCAUGUCGCUCAAGUACAUGGAUGUCACCAUGUGCUGCUGCCACGUACAAUUUAGGAUCCAUGAAUAUUAUCUGGGUCAGGUUACCAUCAUCUGCUGUAGCCUGGUUGGCGAUCUGGAUUUUCCUAGCAUCUUCAGCUACAACCUGAUUGGACUCUGUACUCAAGUUAAGGCUAGAAGUAGUGGAAUCGGCCAUUAUUGUUGAAUGAGCAGUAUCUUUUCUAUAUUUUGCUCCAAGGAUGGGAAACAAGUUGACCAAUUGUUUAAUGGAGAGGGUGGCUCUUAGCUCAACCUCGGGAGAAGUGGAUACUUUUUAUAGGCCGCAGGCCAGAAUGUUAGGCUAAUGCUGAAGUAUGGAUUACUAAAAAGUUAUAAGAAUACUCCCUUAUUCUCAUAAAUCACUAAAAAGUUGUUGUUUAUUUUUUUAAAAUUUAAAAACAGUUUUUAAAAACAAGUUUCAAAAAAUAUAAUGAAGUAAGCCCAAAACUUCCCACUUUGACAAACUGGAGAGAAGUUUUAUCUUAUCAACUUGUGAAGUCAGACCAAUUGAAAGCUAAAUCUAUUUCCCAUACGUCAACAAAUAAACACAAAAUUAAACGGUCAAAUUUGUACACCUAAGAAAUAAUUAAAAUUAAAAUAAUAAUCCAUUUCUAACUAAAAUAAUAAAUGAAUAAAACAAGCUUGAGUGAUAAUCAAUUUCUUCCACUGGAAACAAAUUAAUAAUUAAAUAUGACAAAGGGGAACAAACAAAACACCACCUACUACAUACUAAACAAGUUACAACUUAAACAAGUUACAACUUGUAGCCAUGAAAGCAAUCCUGGAGCCGACACUAUUAUUUUAGUCCCUUCCAAACUUAUUUAACCCAAACUCCUUUUAUAUAUAUAUAUAUUUGAAAAUUUUAAAGGAAAUAUGAAAAAAAAAUAAAGAGAAAAAAAAAACAAAGUAAAUAAAUUAUUUUUAUGUAUUACUUUAAAUUCAUUUAUUAUAUUUUUCUUCUUUUAUAUAAAGAUUAAAUAAUUUAAAAUUAUAUAUAUUUUAAAGUAAUUUUAAUUAUAUUUAAUUUUCUUUCAUACUUUUUUAUAAUAAAAUCAAAAGAAAUUUAUUUUUUAAUAUUUUUUUUUAAUGGGACUUUUGGGUUACGUGAAAUUUAUUAUAUCAUCUAUAACCACCUCACAAUCUCCUCACAUUUCAAUGGUGAGACUCUUUCAAGGUUGCUUUCACUUUUUCAACUUGUAACUUAUAAAUUAAUGAGUUGGUGGUAUUAGUGGGAAUAAUUUAAAUUUUUUUUUUGCUUCUAGCUAGGGUUGACAAAUUUAAGUGUUAUAUUUUUUAGAACAGACCAAGAGUCUCCAUCUCUUGUUUUGAACUUCAUGUCAAUGGGAAUAGUCCAUUAUCUUUAUUAAAUGAAAACAUGGCACGCCAUGCACCUCCAAAUGCACAAGCUGACAAGAGAUGUGAAAAGUUGUCGAUUUUUUAAUUUGUCAAAAAGCUGUAAUUUACAAAAUUUAUUUUAUUUUCUAUUAUGAAAACAUGGCACGCCAUGCACCUCCAAAUGCACAAGUUGACAAGAGAUGUGAAAAGUUGUCGAUUUUUUAAUUUGUCAAAAAGCUGUAAUUUACAAAAUGUAUAGAAUAUUUAAUUUAUAAAAUAUGAUUUCGAUAUAUUCUAAAAAAAAAAUUAUAAAAUGAUUGACCUUUGGGUCAUUUAAAAUUUGUGCGCCUAUUCAUGGAAGGAUUGUUUAAUUUAUUUAAAUGUAAAUCUUAUCAUUAGUGUGGAGACAUGUACAACACCCUUUAAUUAUAUAAAAAGAACAUAAUUAAAUAAAAUAUAAGAUGAUGAUUUUAACACAGGUGUGGUUAUUUAAUAAAAGCUAAUACUUAAUACAUAAUUAUUAUACAUGACUUUAAGUUAACUUAUGUCUAAACUAUCAACUUAAAACUUAUUAUCAAAUUAUUAUUUUUAGUGUUAAGAUUGUUUAUAAAUCUCUCUUAAAAAAAUUAUAUUAUUAAAUUAACAAUUUACCUUCACCAAUACUAAAAAAAUGGGGUUAAGAAAAGAGAAAUAUAAAAAUAAAGAGACAUAACUUCUAUUCAGUAAUGUAUUAGGAAGCACUUCCAACCUUUCUAAUACUUUAAAAUUUUUAUCUAUUAAGUAUUAGAAAAACUAAAAACGCUUCUUACAAUCACUAUAAAAUGUACUUACAAAUAAUUAAAAUAAAAUAUUUUGGAGGAUUUAGAAAAAAUUAUUUAUUUUAACUUAUUAGUAUAAACUACUUUUAACUUUAUACUACAUAUAAAUUUACAAGUGGAUUAGAAUGGAGGGAAGAAUUUGUAUUGUUUAGUUAUUUAUGUUAUAACUUGACUAUUAUUUGCUUAUUUAUUUAUUUAGUGUUAUUUUGAUAAUGCUUAGAACUUAAAUUUUCAAAUUUACAAGCCUAGAGACAUAUGAUGAAUAUAUUAAUUAAUUAAUUUCUUUAAUUGUAUCAACAGUAAUAAACAUAUUAAAAUAGUGAAAUAAGUUUUUCUAUCCUCUCCAUUUAUAUAUAACUUUUAAGAACUCAUCUUAAAACUACAAAACGCUUAUUUAUAUCCAUUUGAUAUAAAUCUUCUUCAACCUUUCCAUUAUUCACACCUAAGUUUUUUUAAAAAAAUUGAUUUUUAUAAGAAAAAGACAAGGCUAUUUUCGUCAAAAUGGAUCGCUAAAAAAAUAUGAAGAAUUAAAUUUAUAAAUUGGGGAUUAUUUCAUUCUUUAAUCAAAUGAUCUUGUUUCAAUUUUUUUUUCUAUUGUAAACGGCUCUAUUUGUAAUAUUUGUAUUAAAAAAUAAUUUCAUAUAUUCUAAAAAAAUGUGAAAUGAUUGACUAUUAGGUCAUUUAAAAUUUAUGUGUCUAUUCAUCAAAGUAUUUAAUGUAAUAUUACUUAAUUUAUUUUGAUUUAAGUAUUACCAUUACUUUUGAAUGUUCAAAAAUAUACAACACUACUCAAUUGAGACAAGGAUUUAUGAUAAUAUUAUUUUAUGUGAAAUAUAUAUAUAUAUAUAUAUAUAUAUAUAUAUAUAUAUAUAUAUAUUAUUUUUUAUAUUAGUUAAUAUAAAAUAUAAAUUUAUUCCUCAAUAAGGAUAAAUAUUUCAUUAACUUAUUAUGGACCUGCAUUUUUCUCGUACUGAGUAGAAACUCGUUUUAUUGUGAAAAUUUGACUUUUUGAAACAGUUUAGUCAUCAUUUUUUUUAAAAGGGAAAAGAAAAUAAUUAAAAAAAAACUUAAAGUGGCUUUUUUAUUGGAUUAUGGACUUUUUGUUUGAUUAUUGAGAUACAUUUAAUUCACUUGAUAAAAUACCCCAACGGUAGGGAAAUUUUUUUUUUUUUUUUCUCAUUUUCAUUUCCUUCUCUAAUAUGCUACUCUGAUCAUCACUGUUUGAUUAUUGAGACUGAGAUCAUUGCAUGGCUCAACAAGAAGGAUCAGUUGUCUGCUGCAUUUGUUAAAAGAUGGAACUCUGGAAUCUGGUAGUGGAAAUAGAAGCCAUUACUUGUUUGUUUGUCCAGACGGAUUUGUACGUUUAAAUCUUGAGAACAUAUGUCCAUGAGCUUUAAAAAUCAAGGGCCACAUCAAAUCUGUAUCCGAACUUGUAAAUUUUUCAUGUUGCAUGUGGAUGCUAAAAUGAAGUUGUUGGUCCCAACAACACUUCAGGACUAGUUACAUCCACAUGUGAUAUCCCAUUUCAAAUAAAGGAAAUUUUUUGACAUGAUCAUCUAAACGUUUUUUAAAGUUAUGAGAGUCCCCUUAAGUUCAGAGUAGGUAAUAUCUACAUAGUUAGAAAUGAGUCAUUACGAAAGGUAUUAAAGCAUUAUGAUAUCUCAUAGUAUUGUAUAAGGAAAAAAGUCCUUGACAUUAUAUAAGUAUGGACUUUUUUUACCCCCUAAAGUUGAUAAUAUCUACUUGGUUGGAAUGGGUCGUUACAUCAUAAGUUUAAUGUGCCCUUUUUCGAUCUAAUUAUAGUAUAGAAAUGUACUUUUUUGGAAUUUAUCAAAAAGGCAUCACAAAUCAAGUAGUAUUACUUAUAUAUUUUUAAAUCUCAUUGUUUGUACCAUAAUAUUAUAUAUUUGUAUCCUUGUAUCUUAAUCUUAUUCGUUUGCACCCUUAUCCAACAACCUACAUCUCACAAAACAUGUUCAGUGGUCCAAGCCUUUUGUUUGCUAAUAAUGUUAAUCUUGUUAAAUAUAGCCAUAAUUAUUAGAUGAUCAAAAGAGCACCACCUAUCAAGGAUAAAAAUAUAGAAAACUAAUAGAAUAUAGGUAAUUGUAUUCUAUAGAUGCAUAAGAAAUUUCGUAUGAAAAUUUUGAAAAAAAAAAAAAAGAUUGGUGAAACAAAAAUUUGUCAAAACUUAUGAAAAUAUUAAAAAAAACUCCAUCAGAUAAUAAAAUAAAUAAUAAUACAUAUAUUAAUUUUUUUAUUUAAUAAAAGAGUUUAUGCAGAUAAAAUUUGUGGCAAUUGGGCAAUAAUAUAAUGUGCUUUGAUAAAAAAAUAUGAAUUUUGAAAUAUAACAUACUUUCAUAAGAAAUAUGAAUUUUGAAAUAUAACAUACUUUCAUAAGAAAUAUGAAUUUUGAAAAAAUAUGUUGAAAUAAAAAUUUUGUUUAUUAUAUUGUAAUAUUUAAAACAUAUUAUAUUUCAAUGUUUAUAAGUUAUAACAUAUUACAUUUAUAAAGAAAUUCAAUUUUACCCAAAAUAUCUAUAUUAAAAAAAAGUUAAAUUGUAAUUUAUUAUUAUAAAAAAUAAUUUAUUUUCUAAAAAAUAUUAUAAAAAAUAGGGUAGUUUUUUAGAACAUUAUUAAUUGUUUUUAGUUAUUUUUACUUGUCUUUUGGAGCCAUUUUUAAAUUAAUUAUACAAAUAUAAAGAAUAACUGAAAAUAAAAUAUUAUAGAUGAAAGUAAUUUCAAGAAAUAUUUGAAAACAUAGAAAACAAGUAAGUUAUAAAAAGCAUAAGACAACUGUUUAUGAAAUUUAUUUUCAGAAAUUGUUUGAUGAAAAUCAUUUUAAAAAAGUACCCAAAGAAAUCCUAAGAAUUUAUUUAGUAAUUGUUUUUUAAAACAGUUUAUAUUCUCUUAAACAAAUAAAAAAAAUUAGAAAAUAAAAAAUAGUUUUCUGUUUUUUAAAAUAGAAAAAUAUAAUGUUUUCAUAAAACAUCUUUUAGUUGUUUUCACUUAUUUAUUUAUUUUUUUUAGAAUUGUUUCAAAAAAUAAUUAUACAAAUGUAAAAAAAAUGAUUAAAAAUAAAUCACAAUAUGUAAGUUAUUUUUGAAACAUAUUAAAAACAUAAAAAUUAGGUUAAAAACAUUCUAAUUCCCAAACAUAUUUUUGUUUUAUAAAUGAUCUUACAAUAGCUUUUAAAAACUGUUUUUAAAAGUUAUUUUAAAAAAAUAGUUACUAAAUAGAGUUUAGGCCUUCCUUGUGUCCUUAGAAUAAAUUUGGUGUUAAAACGGUGUAUAUUGUUUAGGCCGCUAGGCACUUGCUUUAAAUAUUUCACUCAAUCAUAAUCAAUUGUGCACAUAUCGAAAAUGUGUUAAGAGGGUGUUUGUUUUUUUAGUUUUUUUGUUGAAAACAAUUUGCUUUCAAACUUUAAAUCGUUUGUUUUUCUACUUUUUUAUAACUUAUAAUAAAUUUUUUGUUGAAUAUAAAAAACCAAAAUACUUUGGUUUUUUUUUAAAUAGAAAAAGCAAUAUGUUGAUUUUCUUUUUUUUACGUUUUAAUGCUUAAUAGAAAUAAAAUAUUAAAAAAACAAACAACUUAAUAUUAAAUACUAUUAAGUAUUAAAGUUCUAUUUAGAGUUAAGUUAAAAAAACAAAUAUCAAAUUAGUCUAAGUAUCACACAAUUAUAUAUAAUUAUAAUUUAUUGAAAUAUCUAGGCUAUGUUUGGCUCCAUCGUUGGUACUUAACUUUCAAGUAAUAAUAAAUAAACCCAAGGUCGAGUACGAAUUUAAGCAUACAUGGAACCAAAAACAAAAGGAAGAAGACUAAAAUGAUGAAAGUGGUAAUACCAUCAAACAAUUCAGACGAAUAAGCACAACUUCCAAUCCCCCGACAAAUGCAAACACCAUUAAAAUCAUCGCAGCCAUGGUUAGUGUCACACCCUCGAAAAUCACCUUAAAUUUUUCACCUGGUUCGCGGUGCUAAGGACCCUUCCUUAGCCAACCUUCCUUCCCAGCCUUCUCAAAACGCACACAAACAAUAGCAAACCAAAGGAAAUAGGGACACAACGAGGUUACAGGAAAUCCUUCCCAACUUGUAUUAAUCUCAACUACAAGAUACAAAAUUGCUUCCCUGAGUCAGAGAGCAAUGCUUACAUCCCAAGCAUUUAGAGACUACUUCCUUCUUCUCCCUCUUUGCCAUCUCAAGGCUGCAGGAGUCCUAUUUAAAAGACUUGCCCUAUAGUUUUUCCCAUGGUGGUUAUGCAACCGCCUAGAACCGCUCUGAACUGCUAGCACAACCACCCACCACCCAGAUGGUGGCCUGCUGAGAAACCACCCACUUGCAUCAGCAUCAGCAUCAGCAAUGACUUAGCUCACUGCUAGUCCAUGCAGCUGACUGACUUGAUCACUAGCUGUCCUAGCUAGUGCUUUGACUAGCUGCCAUCUCCUCGAGCCUGCCUCAUCAAGUUGCCGGAGAGCCCUCCCCUAACAAGCUGCCUCCUUCCCUACAAGGUGCCUCUUGUGACCGGGUGCCCACCAACGCGUCUCUGAUCAAGGCUCUUGGAACCAAGCAGCAUGCACCACUAGCUAACCAGACUGCAUCAGUGUGCCUCCCCCACACUGAUGUGUGAGCCCAAGCCAUGUCAAGGUGCCCAUGGCCUGGGCCUGUUGCUUCCACUCGUCAGGUUCAGCUUCAAUGAGCCAUGGCAUUGCGCCCAUGGCUGUUCCCUCUUGGUGCACAGGGCAUUGCGCCCCUGUGCUGUGCAUAGGCGUCAUGGUGUGAACCAACUGCUUGUCUGAUGGCCCAUCUAGCCAUGGCAAUUCACCCAUGGUCUUCUUGGUUGGCUCGCUUGCACAAGGUUUAGGCGCCCUCGUGCCGGCGCGGGGAGGGGGUAGGCCGCACCAUGCCCCGUGCUGUUGUAGCCACGGGGUGCAUGCUACACAUGUCGUGGAGCCCAUGUGUGCAUGCUCAAGUGCCAUUCGUGUCCUAGGCACGCCCAAGGCCGUGCCAGGGUGCCUUUUUGGUGCGGUCAAGGCUUGUCCUUGGUGCUCAUCCCCCUUGAGUCACCUAUCCCCCCCCCCCCUCCCCCUUAAAGAGCAAUACGAGCCGUUUUCAAAGUUUCUGGAGGAGACAUCAAUAUGUCCGAGGAGACAUAAUGGAAUAUUUAAAUAAAUACAAAAUAAUUUAAAUUCCCAAAAUAUCCCUCUGCACCACUCCAUGGCCCAAGUGCCUUCAUGAUGCGCACACAGUGCGUGUCUGGCUCGCUCGCGGUGCGCGCGCGGUGCACGUCUGGCUCGCUCGCGGUGCUCGCGCGAUGCACGUCUGGCUCGCUCGCGGUGCGCGCACGGUGCAUGCUUGACUCUUCCGCGAUCCCCACACUUAGCUCCUGGGGUUUGAACCACCAAACCUCCAGGCUUUCCUUGCUUUCAGCCUAGGCUCUCAUGGGUGCAAGGCCUACCCAUGAGGCCUAUUUCUCUGGGUCUGAAUCAAGUGUCUAAGGGGCUGACAAACCCACCCUCGCCUGCUGAAGUCAACGCCAUCGUCGACUUAGACUGCCAGUAUGCUUGGACCUCCUUCUCAAAUUGCCAUAAAGUAACAUAUCUUUCCCAUGAAGCUUCAGUUUCUGAAAUCCCCUUCCACUGAACCAAGAAAUCAGUUCGCCGGUUCUUUCUGCUAUGUCCCAUGGUCCUGUGAUCCAAGAUCUUCUCUAUCUCUCGAUCAAAUUGUUUCAUGAUCAAGGGAGGGGCUCACUUUGUCUGCACCCUCUCUGCAUCUAGAACCUCAUGGUAAGGUUUCAGAAAACUUACAUGGAAGGUCGGGUGAAGCUUGAGCCUCUCAGGUAGCUUCAACAUAUAAGCUGUAGACCCUCUAUUUUGUCCUACUAGCACAUGUUCUAUUAUGUGUCCAUUUGAUACUUUACGAUAAUUCUCUGAUGACCCAUUAGGCAGCAUCUUAGGCCCACUUUUGCACUUGGCCCAUUAGGUACACUCCUAGGUCACUUAGCACAUUUUUUUUCAAUCACUUAGACACCUCCUUAAUUUAAUUUCAACCUAAUUCACCUUGACACUUUCCACUUAGGUUACCUGGGUCACUUAGAUGUUUUCUUUAGGCUUAAUUCUUUAAGACUAAUUUGUUGAUUGAUUUUUUUUAAGAUUAGGCGAGUAUUUGGCUUGAUUUUUUAUUUUUUAUAUUUUUUGGAUUGCUUGAGAUGAAUUUUCAAUUAUUUUGAUUGUGUCAAUUUGAUAUCUUGUCUAUUUUUAUUUCUAUUUUCAUUUUAUAUUUUUAUCUGUGUUAUAGUUUAAUGUUUAGAUUAUUGUUACGUGCAUUGGGCACUUAUUUAUUUUUCUUGCUUUAUUCACUUAUCCAUCUACUUAUUUAUUCUCAAAAAAAAAAAAAAAAUUGCAGGUGAUUGGGGAUCUUAUAUUAUUAUUAUUAUUAUUACUAGUAUUAUUAGUAUUAUUAUUAUUGUUAGUAUCAUUAUCAUUAUUAUUAUUAUUAGUAUUCAUUUAUUGUAUGUUCUCUUUAUCAUUAUGUUAUUCAUCUUAUUUUAGCUUCAUUUUUUUUUAUAUUUAUUUAUCUUUAUCUUUAUUUUUAUUUUCUUAUUUUAUUAACUAAAAAAUAGGAAAUAAUAAUAAUAAUAAUAAUAAUAAUAAUAAUAAUAAUAAUAAUAAUAAUAAUAAUAAGCAAAUGGAAAGGUAUGGGAGUUGGGCAGCCACAUAAAAAAAAAUAUAAAAAAAAAUGGUGGAGUAGGGUUUGAAAAGAAAAGGAAGGGUCAACAGACUGCAUGGAAUGAAGAGGAGCUUGGAAAAAAGGUUAGGGGGAGUUUCGAAGAGGGGGUACGGGAAAAUGCAGAGAAGGGAAGUCUUGAAGAGGAAGAAAAGGAUCGGCUGCAAAAGGAGGUUUUCGAGGAGUCUGCAUGAAAAGGAGGCAGGGGCCAUUUUCUAGAGAGAAGGGAGAGUUUCUCAAGAGAGGAUAAAAAGGGGGACUUAAGAGUUUGAGGAGGAAGAAGGAAGUGGGAGAGGUUUGGAGAAAAACAGAGAGAACAGAAAAAGAAAAAAAAAAGAAAGAAAAAGGGGGAAGCGGGCUGCUGUGGGAGGGGGAGAUUUUUCGGAUCACCGGAUUGAGGAAGGUGUAGCCGCAUCAUUCUGGGGCGUCCGAAAGUCGUAGCCACACCUGCAAGUGAACACAUACGCAGGCCGCACCAUCUACAACAUAAUCCAGGGGAAAUUCACGUCUUUAAGAGACGAACCAUCGGCCGGUUGCACCGUUCUCCAAGAAAAGGAGAAGAAUCCUCUCCAUCUUGCAUUUUCAGUAUUGGAAGGAGCACCAUCAUCAUUUCUGAAAGGGGAACGCACGCACCAGACUUUUGAGAGCAUCACACACCCAAUUUCUCUUGCUGAUUCUAAAGAGUGCAUGGUAUCCACCACACCAGGUGGAAUUGAUUUUAAAAAAUCAUACUGUCGCUAACAAAAGUAGCCCACGCGUCUUUGACCAAGGUAAAUUGAUUUUUCCUAUUUUCAUUUGGAUUCAUGACUAUUCAACUCAAUUUAUUUCAGAAUUUUAUUUAUCUAGUUAUUUAUUUCCAAUACCAAUAUAUUCAUGUUUUUAAAUUGUUAAAUUUGGUUUUGUAUUAUUCCCAUUAUGUAUUUUAAGUUCUUUUUAUUUUUUAUUUUCUAGUUUAAUUAAUCUUAUGUGAAUAUAUGUAUGUUGGCAAGCCAUUAAAUUUGUUUCUAUUAAUUUUUGUUUAAUUUAAGAUUUUUGAGGUUUUUUAUUUUAUUUUAUUUUAUUAUUAUUAUUAUUAUUAAUUUAGAUUACCCGGUGUGUGCACUUCAUAAAAUUAUUUGUUAUUAACUUUGAAUAUCCAUAUUAAUUCAUUUUUGUUCCUUAAACUAUUAGUUUUUUUAGUCUUGAUUGAUCCAUAACUAUCACAACAUGCAUCAUAGAAUUGACUUUUAAAAAUAAAUAAAAUAAAAAAAAUCGUACUGUCACUUUUGUUGGAGAGUAGCCCACGCGUCUUUGAGAAAAGUAAAUUAAUUCUUCCUGUUUGAAUUUUGAUUCAUGACUAUUCAAUGCCAUUCAUAAUUAUUUCAGAAUUUUAUAUAUAUUUAGGUACUCAUUCCCAAUGUUAAUGUAUUCAUGUUUUUAAUUUUUUAAAGUUAGUUUUGUGUUAUUCACAUUCGGCCUAUGCAUUUUAAAAUUUUAUUUUAUUGUAAAUUCAUAUUUAGCUUAGAUGUUAAUUUUUAAUUUUUCUUAACUAACUAAAUUAAUUAUUAGUGAUUUAUCAUUCUUGCUUGAAAAUUAUGAUUUAUGUUUAAUGUAGUUACAAUUUAUUUUCUUAGUUCGACAAAUUAGAUUUUUUUAUUUAUUUACUUAUUAUUAUUAUUAUUAUUAUUUCCAAGUAUUGGUUUGGGCAAUUUUGUUGAUAAUGGAAAAGUUAGAAUUUUUUAGAGUUUGGAUAAUUUGUGAUAAUGGUUAAAAAUUUAGAAUUUUGAUUGGCACUAUUUUGGUUCUCAAUUAGGAAAUUCAUAAUUUCUUUUAGUUUAAUUUUAAUUUAUCUUUUAGUUUAGAUGUUAUUAAAAUUCAGUUUAUUAGUUCAAUUGAUUCCAUGUCACAUCUUUUCAUAUCUAAAGGUUGUUAAAUUUAAUUCAUGAUUCAUUCUUUUAGUUUAUUAAUUUUAGAAUUUAAGUUGGUUAAUUUAUUCCAUUUCACGUUGAUAUAUUCAUGUUUGAAAAUAAAUAAAGAAAAAGAAUUAUUUUAGUUUUGAUUGAUCCUACUUUAGUUGAUAUUCUUUAGAGUUUUAAUUAAUUCGAUUGGUUUCAUAUUGUUUAGUUAAUGUUAAGAUUUUUUAAUUCCAUUUUUCUAUUAAUUCUAUGCUUUCAAAUUGUAGGCUAUUAGUUUAAUCUAUCCCCAUGUUGUCAUUUUGUGCUUAAAAAAUAGUUCAUUUUAGUUUUUGAUUAAUUUUAUUUAUGUGUUUGUUUUUUUAUUAUUCAUUUGUUUAGUUAGUCGAUUAAAUUUAUGACUCCAAAUCGUCAAUAUUAGUUGAUACGUAUCGUUUGUACUAUUUUAAAGGUCACAUAAUAUUUAGUGCUUGAUUAAGUUUAUCUUAAGAUUAAAUGUUGUUAAAGUUUCAGUGCUUGUAAGAUCUAAGGUUUCGGUUUAUCACUUUGGUCAUUCUUUGUCAAAUUCAAUUUUCGGAGGCUAUUGGAAAAUAGUGAAGAUUGGCCCCCAUUCCCACCAACUACGUACCAUCUGUUUAUUUCUUAUUUUUAUUUUUAUUCUCAUACAUAAAAAAAAAAUAUAAUUUUCAAAACUUUGAUCUUCAUGUUUCGAUUUUCAAAAAUUCCAAUUUUCCAAAAAUUUCUAUUUUCGAAAUAAUUUUCCAAAAUUUCAUUUUUUUAGUUUAAUUUUCUGAAAUUCCAUUCUCGAAGUCCCAAUUUUCCAAAUUUACAAUUUUUAAAAUUUAAUUUUCCGAAAUUUAAUUUUUCAAAAAUAAUCCUUCCAAAUUUUCAAUUUUUUAAUUUAAAUUUUCAAAAUUCCAUUCUCAAAAUCCCCAUUUUCCAAAAUUCCAAAUUUAUUUAUUUAUUUUUAUUAUUAUUUAAUUUUAUUUUAAAUUAUUUUUAUUUAUUUAUUUAUUUUGAAAUACCAUUCUCAAAGAGACUUCCAAAAUUUUCAAACUCACUUUUUUUUUUAAAAUAAAAUUCCACACUUCCGAAAUUUCAAAUUUAAUUUUCAAAAUUCCUCUUUUCAAUUUUUUUUUUUUUUUUAUAAAAGUGAAUAAGCUUUCAUAAUUCCAAAAUGAUGGAAUUUAUGAGAAUUAAUUCAUAGCAAAAAUUAAUUGGGCUUUGGUGGGGGCCCGACAUUCAUAACAUUCUUUUCGAAAAUAAUUCAAGUAAGUUGUGCUCUCCAUUUUGUUGGAUUUUGAUUUGGUUUUGUAUGAGAUUUUUUUUACACUUGUCAUUGUACACUAAUCUUAUUUUCAUGACAGCGCUUUAUUACCUACUACUAAGGUACACUCUCACUCCCACUUCGUUUAUCAUUUCGUCAUCAUGACUUAUUUUUGAAUUAUGAUCAUUUUGGUAUCCAUUGAUCUUCUAGUUAAUUGUCAUGUAUGGUUCACUUUAUUUAGUAGAGACCCAUUUUUUUAGGGGCUUUGAGGGGUGCUACGGUCUUUACCGUACCUUCCCAAUAAGUAACCUGAUCCCCGAACCCAGACUCAGGUUUUUCGCAGAUAGCUUUUCCAAAAAAAUCAGGAGUCCAUUUAGGGGUUUUAUUCUUACUUGUUUUCCCCUUUAAAAAUAAAUAAAAGUAAGUGGCGACUCCAAGUCUUUUCUAAAAAUCAUAUUUUUCACCCAAAUAAACGAAAAGCGAGUCUCGCCGAUCGAGUGGGAACGCAUCAUUAAAAAUGCAGGUCCACAUAAGCCACCUGCCCAACCCGCUUUAUCACCUCAAAGGGUCCAUCAUACUUGGGAAUAAGUCCCCUCUGCCUUGUCUUGUUGCUAAUCUUCUUCCAUAUUUGAGGAGUCAAUUUCAGGAGGACCCUGUCCCCAACCUGAAAUUCUAAGGGUCUUCUAUCCUGGUCUGCAUACUUCUUCAUGCGUCUGGCUGCCUUCUCCAGACUGUCCCGAGCUUCAUCAAGCAUCUCUUGCCGGGACUGCGCCAUCUUAUAAGCUGCAGGGCUAUUACCUCCUGCCUUCUGCUUUGCCACCUCCAGAGGCAUCCGAGCCUGUACCCCAAUGGCUAACUCAAAGGGACUCAUCCCUGUUGCUGAGCUUCUCUGCAAGUUGUAACAUAACUGUGCAGUGUCCAUUAAGUCCACCCAAUUCUUCUGUGUUGCCGUCACAUAGUGCCUGAGGUAUUCCUCCAACAAGGCAUUGAUCCUCUCUGUCUGCCCAUCAGUCUGAGGAUGGUUGGCUGUGGAGAAUUUCAACUCUGAGCCUAAGAGUUUGAACAGCUCAACCCAAAACUUGCCGGUGAAUCUUGCAUCCCGAUCACUGACUAUGUCCCGCGACAACCCAAAGUGCUUGACANNNNNNNNNNNNNNNNNNNNNNNNNNNNNNNNNNNNNNNNNNNNNNNNNNNNNNNNNNNNNNNNNNNNNNNNNNNNNNNNNNNNNNNNNNNNNNNNNNNNGGCCAGUAAUAGGAUCUGGCUAAUAGGGCCAGAGUCCUUUCUUCUCCAGGAUGGCCUGCCCAUUUCGCAUCGUGAGUUUCCCGCAAUAGCUCAUUUCUUAGGCCGCCUGUAGGGACAUACCAUCUUCCUCCUUUUGCCACAAGGAGGUCACCUUCUAGCCAAUACCUCCUAAUCACACCCUCCUUCACUUGCUGCUUCAGCCUGCCAUAUGCAGCAUCCUGCUUCACAGCUUGCUUGAUUUUCUCAUUGAAGUCAGAGAUGACUUCUGAGAGGGCUGUGAUGUAGGCAAUCACUUCUCUCCUACUCAAGGCAUCAGCUAUAGUGUUGUGUCUUCCUGGUCGAUGCAACCACUCAAAUCUGAAGUCAGCCAGGAACUCCUGCCACCGUGCUUGUCUGGGGCUCAGCUUCUUCUAGGUUUUGAAGAAAGUAUUGGCCACAUUGUCAGUGAUCACUGUAAAGAUACUCCCCAACAAGUAGUGUCUCCACUGCUGCAGGCAGUGAACCACAGCAGUCAUCUCCUUCUUGUGAGUGGAGUACCUCUGCUCAGCAUUGUUCAGCUUCCUGCUCUCAAACGCCACAGGGUGCCCUUCCUGCACCAAGACUCCACCCAAAGCUCUAUCAGAGGCAUCAGUUUGGACUUCAAAAGGUAAGUCCAAAUCUGGCAACCGCAGCACAUGCUCAGUGGAGAUGGCUUCCUUCAGGCUUUCAAAAGCCAUCUGACACUGCAUGCUCCAAUCCCACUGAUUGUCCUUCUUCAAUAGGUCAGUAAGGGGAGACACCAUCUUUGAAUACCCCUUAAUGAACCUUCUGUAGUAGUUGGCCAAGCCAAGGAAGGAUCGCAGCUCAGUCACUUUGGUAGGGACUGACCACUCCAUAAUAGCCUGCACCUUGCCUUUGUCCAUCCUGAUCAGGCCUGCACUGAUCUUAUGUCCUAGAAACGUGAUCUCCUCCUGAGCAAAUUCACAUUUCUCUGGCUUCACAUAAAGCCUAUUCUCCCUCAAUCUCUGGAAAACCAAUCUCAAGUGUUUCUCAUGUUCUGUUAGUGUCUUGCUAUAAACAACAAUGUCAUUUAGAUAUACUACCACAAACGCAUCCAAAUAGUCAAACAGAACAUCAUUCAUUAAAUUGUAGAAAGUAGCAGGGGCAUUGGUCAAUCCAAAAAGCAUUACUAGAAACUCGUAUGAGCCAUACCGAGUUACACAAGUCGUUUUCCCCUUAUCUCCUGCUGCAAUCCACACUUGCCAAUAACCCGAUCUCAGGUCCAACUUGGUGAAGUAAGAAGCUUUUGACAAUCUGUCAAAUAGCUCAGCAGCCAAGGGGAUCGGGUACUUGUUUUUUAUGGUCACCUUGUUGAGUGCUCUGUAGUCCACACACAUGCGGAGAGAGCCAUCAUGUUUCUUUUGGAAGAGCAUUGGUGCACCAUAUGGGGCCCUUGAGGGUUGGAUCAAGCCUGCAUCCAGCAACUCCUUCAGCUGCUUACGUAAUUCCAGCAGCUCUGCAAGGGGCAUUCUAUAAGGGGCUUGUGUCGGAGCCUUAGUUCCAGGCAUCAACUCUAUCUUGUGGUCAAUAGGUCGCCGUGGUGGCAGUUCCUUAGGGAGUUUUGCAGGCAUGACAUCCUUGAACUCCUUAAGGAUACUGACCACUGAAUCAGGGACUUCCAUAGACUGUCCCUCAUUGAUCUCGAUCAAGGCUGCAACAUAGGUCUCCUGGCCCCUCUUCAAUCCUUUCUUCAAUUGGAUAGCAGACAGCAUCUCGGGUUGGCCCUUGCCACCAUCCUUUGCCCUCAAAGCUUGCACGAAGCAAGGUUGCUUCUCUUCCAACACCAUCAACCCACCAAGGUGUGGGAUCAAGGCAACCUUAGCCCUCAAUAGGAAGUCCACCCCAAGGAUCAAGUCAAAAUCAUCCAAAGGUACACAGAGUAAGCUACACAUACCUUUCCAGUCACCAAUUUGCAUGAGGACAUUCUUUGCUACCCCUUGGAUUUUCUGAGCUUUGCUGUUUACUGCCUUGAUCCUGCUAGUGUCCUCUUCCAGUUUCAAUCCCAAUCUGGCCGCCUCUUUGGUGGCCACGAAAUUAUGAGUGGCACAACUAUCCACCAAGGCCUUCACCUGCACACCAUUCACUGUUGCAUGAAUAUGCAUUAGAGAUUUCUGGACUGGAGUCUCACCAUGAAUCACGUUCAGAAGUUGCAGGGGGUUGACUCUGGGAGGAGUCUCUGGGUCAGAGUCUCCCUUGUCAUCUACAGUCACCAGGGCUGAGAGCUUCUCUCUUUUGGGGCAGUCCUUGGCUCGAUGUGGGCCAUUGCAGAUGAAGCAUCCUGUCAUCCGAGUGGUCUGUUGCACAACCUUUGUGGUUUUCUCCACUGGUUUUCUCCCUACAGCAGGUUUUUUGUUCUGCUUCUUCCACCCAUACUUCUUAGUCUUGCCCUCAAUCUUAGCCUUCUUGCCCCCUUCUGACCUGGGUCUUUGCGUGGUGGAGAUGGUGCCACCCAUCUUGUAGUCCACCAAGCAAUCUGCUGCAGCCAUGGCAGCAGGGAGAUCACGAACCCCUUGCCUCCUGAGUUCCGUCUGAGCCCAUCCUUGCAAUUCGGACAUGAAGUUGAACAGCUUGUCCUCCUCGGACAUGUUCUUAAUGUCCAGCAUCAAGGAACUAAACUCCUUGAUAUAUUCCCUCACAGAUCCGGUGUGCCUGAGCCUUUUUAGUGCCUCCCUGGCCACCCAAGCCGUGUUGGUGGGGAGGAACUGGUCCUUCAAUUCCUUUUUCAGAGUCUCCCAAGUGGUGAUUUGGGGCCUUCCGACUCUACAUCAUCCUCCAUCCUGGUUCGCCACCAUAGUUUGGCAUCACCAGUCAGAUACAUACUGGUGAUGGAAACCUUCUCGCCAUCAGGAACAUGAGCAGCCUUAAAGAACUGCGCGAUGUCCCAUAAGAAGUUCUCCAGUUCCUUCGCAUUUCUGUUGCCAUUGAAGCCUUUGGGCUCUGGGACUCGAACUUUGGAAGGGGCUUCAGGGCCUGAGGCAAAUCCCUGCAACACCGCCUUCUUAAGGACGGUGAUAUCUUCUCCAUAGGACUGCAGGGUCUCCUUGAAGUCAUCAAUUCGGGAUUGCAUCUCGGUUUUGAACUCAGCCAAUUUCUCCUCAAAGAAAUUGUCAUGGGACUCCAACAGACUCCUCUGCACUUGGACUUCUCCCAUGGUGUGCUCUGCCCACGAAGCCACAGUGCCAUCCUCACUUGGCCAUUCUCCCAGCGCCUCUUCUAUUUGAGUCAUCCUCUCCCGCAAGGCCUCCAUUGCACUGCCACCAGCCAUCUCUGGUGCUUACUCUGAUACCAACUGUCACACCCUCGAAAAUCACCUUAAAUUUUUCACUUGGUGCGCGGUACUAAGGACCCUUUCUUAGCCAACCUUCCUUCCCAGCCUUCUCAAAACACACACAAACAAUAGCAAACCAAAGGAAAUAGGGACACAACGAGGUUACAGGAAAUACUUCCCAACUUGUAUUAAUCUCAACUACAAGAUACAAAAUUGCUUCCCUGAGUCAGAGAGCAAUGCUUACGUCCCAAGCAUUCAGAGACUACUUCCCUCUUCUCCCUCUCUGCCAUCUCAAGGCUGCAGGAGUCCUAUUUAAAAGACUUGCCCUGCAGUUUUUCCCAUGGUGGUUAUGCAACCGCCCAGAACCGCUCUGAACUGCUAGCACAACCACCCACCACCCAGAUGGUGGCCUGUUGAGAAACCACCCACUUGCAUCAGCAUCAGCAUCAGCAAUGACUCAGCCCACUGCCAGUCCAUGCAGCUGACUGACUUGAUCACUAUUUGUCCUAGCUAGUGCUUUGACUAGCUGCCAUCUCCUCGAGCCUGCCUCAUCAAGUUGUCGGAGAGCCCUCCCCUAACAAGUUGCCUCCUUCCCCGCAAUGUGCCUCUUGUGACUGGGUGCCGACCAACGCAUCUCUGAUCAAGGCUCUUGGAACCAAGCAGCAUGCACCACUAGUUGACCAGGCUGCAUCAGUGUGCCUCCCCCACAUUGAUGUGUGAGCCCAAGCCAUGUCAAGGUGCCCAUGGCCUGGGCCUGUUGCUCCCACUCGUCAGGUUCAGCUUCAACGAGCCAUGGCAUUGCGCCCCUGUGCUGUGCAUAGGCGUCAUGGUGUGAACCAGUUGCUUGUCUGAUGCCCCAUCUGGCCAUGGCAUUGCGCCCAUGGUCUUCUUGGCUGGCUCGCUUGCACAAGGUUUAGGCGCCCUCGUGCCGGCGCGGGGAGGGGGUAGGCCGCACCAUGCCCCGUGUUGUUGCAGCCAUGGGGUGCAUGCCACACAUGUCGUGGAGCCCAUGUGUGCAUGCUCAAGUGCCAUCCGUGUCCUAGGCACGCCCAAGGCCAUGCCAAGGUGCCUUCUUAGUGCGGUCAAGGCUUGCCCUUGGUGCUCAUCCCCCUUGAGUCACCUACCCCCCCCCCCCUUAAAGAGCAAUACGGGAUGUUUUCAAAGUUUUUGGAGGAGAUAUCAAUAUGUCUGAGGAGAUAUAAUGGAAUAUUUAAAUAAAUACAAAUAAUUUAAAUUCCCAAAAUAUCCCUCUACACCACUCUGAUUACUACUCAAAAAGGGCUAUUUCAUAGCUUGUAAUUAACUCUUUUAAAUACUUUUGAGUAGUAAUUAUUGCCCUUUAACCCAAUUAACAUAUUAAGGACCUUUGCAAUCACUUCUAAUCACUUUGUGUAAGUUUUGGUGUUUUUGUUAGUAAUUUGAUCACCAAAGCAAUCCAAGAUGGAGGAGAGUUAUUUGGAAUCCAUGGUAAAGCAAUGGAAAGCUCAGGAACAUGAAGAAUCAGAGCUUUGAAGCCUUAAAGUCCUUUACCAUAACCAAUCCGGAAUGCAAGGAGGAGAAGUAAAGAGAGAAUCUACCUUGAAGCAUUCUUGAUGACAGUCAUUUCAGCCACUUUUGGAGUACUUCCUAAAGUCCAAUUUAUGCAUGCUUUAUGUCGUUUCGAAGAUCGGGAAGUCAACAAUCCAAUGCUUCAAACGGUUCGCAAAUCAGAGUUGAAAUGAAGAAGUUAGAGCCAAUGGAAGCAGAUCACUCCAAGCUGAAGGCCAAUUUCGCAGGGCUGCGAAAUCAGCCUUUGGCUGCGAAAUCAGCCUUCGGCUGCGAAAUGAUUUCGCAGCCAUCUUGUUCGUCUGCGAAAUUUCGCAGCCAUUUUGUGCGCCUGCGAAAUUCUCCUGAGUGCUUCCAGUUAUUUGCGACCAUCGUUUUUUGUUAUUUUGCCUCAGAUAUUUGUUGUCUAAAUGCCAAUUCUCUCCUUGUAAUCCACCAAUUAGAUGAUUCCUUAGCUGUUGAGCAAGGAUGCAAGGGUAAACAACCUGAUAUGUAUUGUUUUGUAAUUUUCACUUUAAAACGUCGGGGAACUUUCCCCAGGGGACGAACUUAUGUAAUUAUUACACUUAGUGAAAUACGAAGUAUCUUUUGCCUUCUUUUUCUCUCUACUAUUUUCUAUUUUCUUAGUAGCCAAACAUCCUUGGAGGAUGAAAUCCCCAAGGAUGAGAGGCUAAAACCUUUUAGUUUCUUGAAGUAAUGGAUGCCAUGUGAAGCUCCCGUGUCAGGAUGGAGAUUUCCAAGCCAUGAAUGUAAGUAGUUGAGCAUCAUAAAUGUUUUCAUUCAAAGUAAAGCUUUUAAUCCCUCUGACUUGCUUUGAAUGGCCAAUACUUGAUAACCUUUUGGUCUCAGUGGAUUCUUAUUGUUAGAUCCACUGACGUUCAUUAGUUAUCUCCUACGAGCCAUUGUAUUGCAAGUCGAGGAGAUGACCUAUAUCAUUAAAAGAGCAUUUAUGAGGUUUAGCUACCCUUUUUGUAAGUUUUGAAGGACUAAAACUCAGUUGUUAAACACAUACCGGUUCGGGAAGUAAGCAUCACCUGAGUUGCUUCCCCAACUCGAGGUGAAAAGUUCCCAAAUCUCCAUUUUUACACCGUGAGUUAAGCAUGGCUAUNNNNNNNNNNNNNNNNNNNNNNNNNNNNNNNNNNNNNNNNNNNNNNNNNNNNNNNNNNNNNNNNNNNNNNNNNNNNNNNNNNNNNNNNNNNNNNNNNNNNGGAAGUAAGCAUCACCUUAGUUGCUUCCCCAACUCGAGGUGAAAAGUCCCAAAAUCUCCAUUUUUACACAGUGAGUUAAGCAUGGCUAUCCAAAGCUUUGAGAAACUUCUUUUUCCAUCUUUUAACCUAUUUUCAUGUUAGUUUAGUUUACAACACCUUCAUCUUUUUAUGUUUUCAUCUUAACCUAAUUUUUAUUAAGAAAAGUUCACUCCAUCCUCCGAACUUCACCAGUUAAAGUAAAAACCCUUCCCAGUGUUCGAUCCUAGAGCCACUAUGCUAUAGUAGCUUUGCUACUUUAGUGUAAGGACCUUAGGUAUAAAUUUUGUUGAUACCCUUACAUGCCAAGCUACCAAGAGUCGGGUUAUCAAAUGGCGCCGUUGCCGGGGAAGGUGCUACUUCACUGUGAAUAAAUCAGCCGGAGGUAACUUGUGAGACUUCUCAUGAGUAAGGUGAAUUCUAUCUCAUUUUUCAUUUACUAACUUUUUAUUUUAGUUUUAGAACAUUUUUAACUUAGUUUAGAUAAGUUUCUUUUAGCUUUUAACUUUCAUUUUUAGUUUAUUUUUCAUACUCUGUUUUUCCUCCCGCGUGCUCUGUUUUUUCUUCUUUUUCUUUGUUUUGUUUGUUUACUUUGUUCCAGCUGAAUCCGUGCAUGCCCUAUUGGAUUAGAGACCAAGAGGGAAGGUUAGUGCGGAUAGAGACUCCACGAGCUAUUGAAUUGGAGAUUAUUUUAGAAGCCAUGGAGAAUCAGCCAGAGGAUCAACAUUCACAACACGGGCAGGGGAAUGAUCCGAACUUGUAUAGGUCCAUGAGGGACAGGAUGCACCCUCCGAGGAUGAGUGCACCAUCUUGCAUCAUUCCUCCUACAGAGCAAUUGAUUAUCAGGCCACACAUCGUGCCUCUGCUUCCUACUUUCCAUGGGAUGGAAAGUGAAAAUCCAUAUGCACACAUAAAGGAAUUCGAAGAUGUGUGCAAUACUUUUCAAGAAGGAGGAACAGCUAUUGAGCUUAUGAGGUUGAAGCUCUUUCCAUUCACAUUAAAAGACAAAGCCAAGAUAUGGCUCAAUUCCUUGAGGCCGAGAAGCAUAAGAACAUGGACAGAACUUCAAGCUGAUUUUUUGAAGAAGUUUUUCCCUACUCACAGAACAAAUGGAUUGAAGAGACAAAUCUCCAACUUCUCAGCACGUGAGAAUGAAAAAUUUUAUGAAUGCUGGGAGAGGUACAUGGAAGCCAUCAAUGCAUGUCCUCACCACGGCUUUGAUACAUGGCUUUUGGUGGGCUAUUUUUAUGAUGGCAUGUCAUCUUCAAUGAAGCAGAUAUUGGAGACAAUGUGUGGGGGCGAUUUCAUGAGCAAGAACCCUGAGGAGGCUAUGGAUUUCCUAAGUUAUGUCUCAGAGGUUUCCCGUGGAUGGGAUGAGCCCACUAACAGGGAAAUAGGGAAGAGACCAGUUCAGCAAAUGUCAAAAGGGGGGAUGUACAAUCUGAGUGAAGACAUGGAGAUGAAAGCCAAGGUAGCUGCCAUGGCUAGAAAAAUAGAGGAAAUGGAGUUGAGAAAAGUUCACGAAGUCCAAGCUAUUUCAGAACCUCAACAACCAGCCAAUCCUUGCUCCAUAUGUCAGUCGUUUGAACAUAUGGUGGAAGAAUGUCCCACCAUUCCGGCAGUAAGAGAAAUGUUUGNNNNNNNNNNNNNNNNNNNNNNNNNNNNNNNNNNNNNNNNNNNNNNNNNNNNNNNNNNNNNNNNNNNNNNNNNNNNNNNNNNNNNNNNNNNNNNNNNNNNNNNNNNNNNNNNNNNNNNNNNNNNNNNNNNNNNNNNNNNNNNNNNNNNNNNNNNNNNNNNNNNNNNNNNNNNNNNNNNNNNNNNNNNNNNNNNNNNNNNNNNNNNNNNNNNNNNNNNNNNNNNNNNNNNNNNNNNNNNNNNNNNNNNNNNNNNNNNNNNNNNNNNNNNNNNNNNNNNNNNNNNNNNNNNNNNNNNNNNNNNNNNNNNNNNNNNNNNNNNNNNNNNNNNNNNNNNNNNNNNNNNNNNNNNNNNNNNNNNNNNNNNNNNNNNNNNNNNNNNNNNNNNNNNNNNNNNNNNNNNNNNNNNNNNNNNNNNNNNNNNNNNNNNNNNNNNNNNNNNNNNNNNNNNNNNNNNNNNNNNNNNNNNNNNNNNNNNNNNNNNNNNNNNNNNNNNNNNNNNNGAUUGAGUUCAAGGCAUGGUGGGCCAUUAAAAAGCUCAACAUGGAUUUAACUAAGGCUGGGCUAAAGAGGAGUUUGGAUUUGAAUGAGCUUGAGGAAUUGAGAAAUGAUGCCUAUCUCAACUCAAAAAUAGCUAAGGAAAAACUAAAGAGAUGGCAUGAUCAGUUGGUGACCAAGAAAGAAUUUUUCAAGGGACAAAGAGUCUUGCUAUAUGACUCUAAGCUUCACCUAUUUCCGGGAAAACUCAAAUCAAGGUGGGUAGGGCCUUUUGUCAUCCACCAAGUACACUCACAUGGAGUAAUUGAGUUACUCAACUCAAAUAGUGCAAAGACCUUCAAAGUCAAUGGCCAUCGUCUUAAGCCAUUCAUUGAGCCAUUCAAGCAAGACAAGGAGGAAAUCAACCUCCUUGAGCCACAGAAAGCCUAAUCAGAAAAGGGUUAGAUGGGCUUGGUUUCACUAAAGUCCAUAUUUUUGCUUAAGUUUAUUAAUUUGAAAGCUUUAUUAAUUCUUUUGAUUUUAAUUUUGGUUUAAAGUUUUGUUAAUUAUAUGUAACUUCAUCUUUUUGAAUGAUCUUUUGUAGGAGGAAUUGAAAAGAAAAUGAAGGAAGGUCCCAGGGAGCAAAAAGGAGCUCAAAACCAAGAAAUUUCAAUGGUUUGCGAAAUUUCGCAGCCCAAAAUAGCCCCCUGCGAAAAUGGCCAUCGGCUGCGAAAAUGGUUUCGCAGCCCUUUGGUGUCUCUGCGAAAUCGAGGUUUGGCUGCGAAAAUGGCCCUCCGCUGCGAAAUAAAUUUCGCAGCCCAACACCCUCCUCUGCGAAAAUUUUCGCAGCUGCGAAACCACCUCUUGGCACUCGUGUGCCAUUUCGCAGCACAGUAACUCCAUUUCGCAGCUGCGAAAUGGCUGCGAAAUCCCCAACGAGUUAAAUUUUCAAUUUUCGCAGCGAUAGCCUCAUUUCGCAGGGUGUUUCGCAGCUGCGAAACACCCCUUUGGCACUCGUGUGCCAUUUCGCAACACAGUAACCCAAUUUCGCAGCUGCGAAAUGGGCUGCGAAAUGGGCUGCGAAAAGGGCCCUCCUCUGCGAAAAUGCCCUUUCUCUGCGAAAUCCGCCCUCGGCUGCGAAAAUUUAAGUGACCCUUGGUAUCCCAUUUUUAACGGUAAUAAAUUCCAAAUUUUCUAAUAUAACCGGGCAUUUGGAACUUUAAAUAGUACCAGAGAAAGACCCAAAAAACAAACAACCCUUCCAUUCUCUUCCCUCUCUGCCUGAACAUAUGUCCCGCGCACCUCCGCUCAACCUUCCGCCCGGCUUCGUCAUGGGCAAUAAACCCCGAGGAUCUAAUGUCUUUCCUCCCCCGUCANNNNNNNNNNNNNNNNNNNNNNNNNNNNNNNNNNNNNNNNNNNNNNNNNNNNNNNNNNNNNNNNNNNNNNNNNNNNNNNNNNNNNNNNNNNNNNNNNNNNAGGUAUCAUAUGGAACAAUUGCUUACUCCAAGGGAUUUCUUUUUAUCCCCGUGUGGCAAUGGAUUUUUACCAAUCCAUGACCACACACCAUGUCCGCGAUCCUACUGUCAUCCACUUCACCAUAGACGGACGUCAUGGUAUUCUGGGAGCUAGGCACAUAGCAGAGGCAUUGCGCAUUCCCUACGAGCCAGCUAGGCCAGAGGAUUAUCGAGUCUGGACUAAUCCUUCCCCGAGCGACAUAGUUCGUAUUCUAUCCAGAGGGGCAUCCACAGGCCAGUAUCUACAGAGGAAGGAGCUCCCUCCUAACAUGUUUUUCAUAGAUGCUCUCCUCCGCCACAAUAUCUUUCCACUACAGCACUGGGUGCAGAGGCGAGGAGCUUUGCUGGAGGCAUUAUAUCGGAUAUCUGAGGGAUUCUUCUUUGGCCCUCAUCAUCUCAUUAUGGCCGCCCUUUUGUAUUUUGAAGAGAAGGUCCAUCAGAAGAAGCUGCUCAGAGCUGAUGCCAUUCCUCUACUGUUUCCCAGGUUGUUAUGUCAGAUUUUGGAACACUUGGGCUACCCAACUGAGCCUCAAUUUGAGCGCAAACGGAUUUGUCGAGAGAUAUUCACUCUUGACAAAUGGACGAAUAUGACAGCCUAUAGUGCAGAGCCAGGAGCCCCAGCUGAAGUAGAGCAUCCAGGGAUUCCACAUGCAGAGCAGCCACAGGAGCCACAACCCAUAGAGACACCAGCUGACACGAGAGCACCUGCCCCUGUAGUGCCCUCUGCAGAGCCCAUACCUGAGGUUGCACCCUCUGUUUCUCCUGCCACACCACAGCCCUCCCCUGUUUUUUCAGCCACAUCACAGCCCUCCUCUUCAGCAGAGCCGAGGACUACCAUAUCCAUUUCCGAGUACAGAGCUCUAUGUCACACUUUGCAGACAUUGACCACUUCACAGAGCACUCUUACUCAGGAGAUGGCAGCUCUUCGUGCUCAUCAGGAGCAAAUUAUUGCUACUCAGACUCAGCAUACUGCCAUUCUGAGGCAGAUUCAGAGCCAUCUGGGUAUUCCAUCAGCUCCUCAGCACCAGAUGCCUGCCCCCUUAGAGCCCACAGAGCCGACUCCAGGAGACACACAGACAUCCACCUGAGUCAUUAUCUUCACAUCAUCAGCACCCAUCUACUUGAUCAUUUCCAUAGUUUACUUUAUGUAUUUUCUUUAUGCACUUUCUUAUUAUAGUAGCACUUACAAUCCCAUGCUUUUGUUAUGAUAUAUAUUGGGAUUGGUUGUAUUACUUGUUAUCAUCUUUAAUGUACUUGCAUGAAGUAAUACAACUCUAUCAUUUUUUGCAUACUCUUGGUAUUAUUUUAUUUUUAUUCCUCUACUCAUAUCUAUUUUCUUUUUGAAACAUGUGGUUUCUCCUUAUCUACUCAAAUUACAUCCACUCAGGAGGCACCACUUCCUCCCUGUAAUUUCAAUCGCUCAUACCACAUUGAGGACAAUGCUCAGCUUGGUUGGGGGGAGACAGUUGAGGAAGGAAGUUUUUUUUAUUAUUAUUAGUGUUAAUACUAAAUUUUUUGGUAAUUUAGGUUACUUUUGUUUAAUUUUAAAAAAAUUUCUCUAUGGUUGUUAAAGAUAAUUUCUCAAAAAUAAAAUAGGAUAAGUCGAGUUUUAACUUAAUUAUUUAAGUCUUUGAGUUUGUUUUAUGCUUUCAAAGUUGAUAAUCUAUUAAAACUCUCUUUGUUUUCGAACUUAUUUCUUCCAUUUCAAGCUUUACACACACAGUGCACAUUAGAUCCCGGGUAUAUGAUGUAAAACUUUCUCACUUUCUAAGCUUAGGAAAAUUUUGACUUGGUUCAUUACUUAACCUCUUUUUUAAUAGUGUUGGGACACCUCAAAAAGACCAAUGAGUCUUAGAAAAAGAAAAAGAGAAAAAGAAAAAGACCAAUGAGUCUUAGAAAAAGAAAAAGAGAAAAAGAAAAAGAAAAAGAGAAUAAGCUUCUAUUCUUUCCUUGAAACCUAAGCAUGAUCCGAAGGGGUGGCGAAAGCCUUUAAAACCCGAUGCCCUAAACCUUGAUUGGUUGGGAGUCAUCGAUCCUCUGCUUGCUACAUAGGUGAAUUGGUUAAAGUUUAGUGAGUAAAAAGAAUUGUGAAUAAGAAGGUGCGUUCCUAACCUAUUAAGAGUUGGUUAAUUUUGCCUUUGUUCGAGAAAAGCUUAGGUUGGAGGGUGAGGAUAGUUGUAUAUACUAUAUCCGGAGCCUAAUCUCGUUAACACUUAGCUCAUUAUGGAAGAGUUUGAUUUGGAACCUUGAGAGUAGAGAUCUUUUGAUACUUAAUUGCAUAAUCUCCACUCUUUGUACUUUUUGUUUAAGUUUUAGCUUUGACAGCUCCUAUUGCAUUUUGAAUCUUCAUAUCUUUAGUUCACCAUGUGAGAUGUGUUUUGAUAUCGGUCAUGCCACUCAAUUAUUUUUUGGAAUGAUUUGCAUGACCUCUUUUAUGUUUACUACUUUGUUUGCUUAGUUUUUCUCUCCUUAAUUGCUAAGGGACUAGCAAUAUGUCGGUUGGGGGGAGUGAUUACUACUCAAAAAGGGCUAUUUCAUAGCUUGUAAUUAACUCUUUUAAAUACUUUUGAGUAGUAAUUAUUGCCCUUUAACCCAAUUAACAUAUUAAGGACCUUUGCAAUCACUUCUAAUCACUUUGUGUAAGUUUUGGUGUUUUUGUUAGUAAUUUGAUCACCAAAGCAAUCCAAGAUGGAGGAGAGUUAUUUGGAAUCCAUGGUAAAGCAAUGGAAAGCUCAGGAACAUGAAGAAUCAGAGCUUUGAAGCCUUAAAGUCCUUUACCAUAACCAAUCCGGAAUGCAAGGAGGAGAAGUAAAGAGAGAAUCUACCUUGAAGCAUUCUUGAUGACAGUCAUUUCAGCCACUUUUGGAGUACUUCCUAAAGUCCAAUUUAUGCAUGCUUUAUGUCGUUUCGAAGAUCGGGAAGUCAACAAUCCAAUGCUUCAAACGGUUCGCAAAUCAGAGUUGAAAUGAAGAAGUUAGAGCCAAUGGAAGCAGAUCACUCCAAGCUGAAGGCCAAUUUCGCAGGGCUGCGAAAUCAGCCUUUGGCUGCGAAAUCAGCCUUCGGCUGCGAAAUGAUUUCGCAGCCAUCUUGUUCGUCUGCGAAAUUUCGCAGCCAUUUUGUGCGCCUGCGAAAUUCUCCUGAGUGCUUCCAGUUAUUUGCGACCAUCGUUUUUUGUUAUUUUGCCUCAGAUAUUUGUUGUCUAAAUGCCAAUUCUCUCCUUGUAAUCCACCAAUUAGAUGAUUCCUUAGCUGUUGAGCAAGGAUGCAAGGGUAAACAACCUGAUAUGUAUUGUUUUGUAAUUUUCACUUUAAAACGUCGGGGAACUUUCCCCAGGGGACGAACUUAUGUAAUUAUUACACUUAGUGAAAUACGAAGUAUCUUUUGCCUUCUUUUUCUCUCUACUAUUUUCUAUUUUCUUAGUAGCCAAACAUCCUUGGAGGAUGAAAUCCCCAAGGAUGAGAGGCUAAAACCUUUUAGUUUCUUGAAGUAAUGGAUGCCAUGUGAAGCUCCCGUGUCAGGAUGGAGAUUUCCAAGCCAUGAAUGUAAGUAGUUGAGCAUCAUAAAUGUUUUCAUUCAAAGUAAAGCUUUUAAUCCCUCUGACUUGCUUUGAAUGGCCAAUACUUGAUAACCUUUUGGUCUCAGUGGAUUCUUAUUGUUAGAUCCACUGACGUUCAUUAGUUAUCUCCUACGAGCCAUUGUAUUGCAAGUCGAGGAGAUGACCUAUAUCAUUAAAAGAGCAUUUAUGAGGUUCAGCUACCCUUUUUGUAAGUUUUGAAGGACUAAAACUCAGUUGUUAAACACAUACCGGUUCGGGAAGUAAGCAUCACCUGAGUUGCUUCCCCAACUCGAGGUGAAAAGUUCCAAAAUCUCCAUUUUUACACCGUGAGUUAAGCAUGGCUAUCCAAAGCUUUGAGAAACUUAUUUUUCUAUCUUUUAACCUAUUUGCAUGUUAGUUUAGUUUACAACACUUUCAUCUUUUUAUGUUUUCAUCUUAACCUAAUUUUUAUUAAGAAAAGUUCACUCCAUCCUCCGAACUUCACCAGUUAAAGUAAAAACCCUUCCCAGUGUUCGAUCCUAGAGCCACUAUGCUAUAGUAGCUUUGCUACUUUAGUGUAAGGACCUUAGGUAUAAAUUUUGUUGAUACCCUUACAUGCCAAGCUACCAAGAGUCGGGUUAUCACACUCCAUGGCCCAAGUGCCUUCAUGAUGCGCGCACGGUGCGUGGCUGGCUCUCCCAUGGUGCGCGUGCGGUGCGCGUUUGACUCGUCCGUCGUGCGCGCGCGGUGUGCGUCUGGCUCGCCCGCGGUGCACGUCUGGCUCGCCCGUGGUGCGCGCGCGGUGCGCGUCUGGCUCGCCCGUGGUGUGCGCGCGGUGCGCGUCUGGCUCGCUCGCGGUAUGCGCGCGGUGCACGCUUGACUCGUCCGCGAUCCCCACACUUAGCUCUUGGGGUUUGAACCACCAAACCUCCAGGCCUUCCUUGCUUUCAGCCUAGGCUCUCAUGGGUGCAAGGCCUACCCAUGAGGCCUAUUUCUCCGGGUUUGAAUCAAGUGUCUAAGGGGCUGACAGUUAGCAUAUAACUGUAAAAUAAGAAUGCCACGAGGGUGUUCUUGUGAUUCUUAGGGACUACGGCAAGGAAAUAAAUACCAAUAGCACACAGAAAAUACCAUGGCUAUGCUAUCUUCCAUUACAAAACUUUCAAAAUUUUCCCUUACUGCAAAUGCCAUGUAUCGAUCCUUGCCAUUGGUGCCAUUGGUAGGGAGCGAUAAGACUGCCAUGCCCUAGUCGUUGCUCUUGUUAUGAAUGUAACCACCAGGCAGUGUGAAACCUGCCGCGAAGGUUACGAUUGCUAUGAGUGUUGCCACUAUCAUAUGGCUUUUCAAUGUUUUCUUCAUUUCAGAUAUUUCUUUUCUUUCUUUGCUUUCGCUUCUAUUUCUGCUAUCGCUAUCUUCCUUGAUCUUUAGCGAACUCGAGGUUUUGAUACUAACUCUCUGAUCCAGUCUUUGAAAUUGUAAAAAAUUUUAAAAAAGCAUGGAUAGAUAUUCAAUUUAGAGGGAUGAAAUAAUCAUCCUCACUUUUUGUAAAAGAAGGAAAACAAUAUUUUUUAAGAUAAAAAGUCUGUCAUUUCUUUCGUUUUUUUUCCCCUCACUAUCAUCUAUGAUGCAAAAAAAGACAAAAAAAAGAAAGAAAAAAAGGUAGUAAAAUAAAUUGGGGAUCAAAGGAGUAACAGAUACAUAGGAAAUUGAAAUUUUUGACUACCUUACCAAUCUUACUAAGGUGUCCAUGUUAAGAUAUUGACUCACAUAUUUAAUAAUGGUUCAUGACUAAGCUAUUUGCCUUUACCGUAUUUGUUUUGUAUUGGUUUUCUAAAUUAUGGGCCACCUUAUGUGUAGAGUCCAAUGCCAUCACGGGUCUUAGAUGAUGGGCCUAAGACUCGAGACCUAAUAGUCCAAAGGAUAUGGUCCUUAAAGCAUAAAGGGUACAUAAAUAUAAGGAAAAGUGUCUGUUCUUAUAUCACAUCUUUUUUAAUAGAAUUGAACUCAUUCUAUCUCUAUCCCAUUGCAAGAGAAUACAGAGAAAUGUGGUGCCCUCUACAACCUUAGAAGAUCCGUACCUCUUCAACAAAAUGCAUAAUGGACUCGGGUAUGUUCCAAAGUGGAAGAAGGCAUGUUUUAAAUGAAUUGAUAUAUAUAUACAUAUAUCCUGUAUUUGUGUUUGGGUGAUCAUAGAGAAUUUAAAAGAUUCAGACAAUUGGUAUCAGAGCGUUUUUGCGGUUCCCAUUUUCACCAAAACAUUUUUUUUAAACACAAACAAAUGAUCCAAGGGAAACAACAGAAAAUCUGGGCCAGUAAAAUAAUUAAAAAAUGGGUAUUGAACCCGACGUGAUUUGGAGUUAGACACGCUACUAGUGACGGGGGCGACGCUUACGACGCCGAUGAGGGGCACCGUUUUGGCGCCUAUCUGGUGGUCAGAAAAGGCACCGUUUGGCGUCGUUUCAGGCAUUCAAGUUGGCGUCCUCUGUUUAGGGCGCCAUUACAGGCGUUCAAAAGACGUCAUUCAGGCGUUCAAAAGGACUCAAUUCAGGUGCCAUUUGACGCCGUUGAGAAGCACACGGUGUCGUUGGAACGACGACAUUUUUUGGGCACUAUAGGAGUUGUUCUAGGCGCCGUUAGGAAGCCAUUUAGGGGACCAUUCAGGAUUUCAAAAGGGACGUUGUUUUGGCGUCAUUCUAGGCCCCGUUCCAAACGUCGUUCAGGUGUCCUUUCCAGAUGCGGUUCAAGUGACGUUCAAGCACCAUCUCACGUUGGUGAAAAACACCAUUUUUAGGCGUUAUUGCAGGCUCCUUGCAACGUCGCUCUUGGCGUCGUUGACAAAUAGAGAAGAUGACCUCCGUCUUGGGGUCGUUUAGCAGUGUUGUACCGCUGCCGGCGACGUUGGAUGAUUGCAUCGACGUCGUUUUGGCUUCGUGGAUGACGCGGCUACAAUGAAUAAAGAAUAAAAAAAAAAAAAAAAUUUGGGCCAAAGCCCAAUUGUCCAUGACCAUUCCCUUUACAAAAAAUAUUGGGCCAAAAAUACCCUCGAAUCAUACCGCGCACCCCCCUAAUCUAUCGUCCACCCACAAAAAAAAUACAAGUCUGAAUGGCAAAUGCCGUCACUUCACUACACUCCAUUCCACUCCGUUUUGCUCCGGUAUUUGCCCAUUUUUCUCCCAUCAAUUGGUAUCAAGGCCUAUAUAUAUAUACAUGGGUUUAUGCAUAAAUAAAUAAAUAAAUAAAUAAUUUUAAUUAAAUUAAUUUUUUGCUAUAUUUGUGUUUAAUAUUUUAAAAUAAAUGAAUUAUGUAUAUUUGUUGCCAAAGUGACCUAUAUUAUAUAAUUUAUUUAUUUUAUAAUAUGUUAACAUAUUAUUAUUAUUAUUAUUAUAUAAAAUAAUCGGCCCAAAGAAAGAUUAUUAAUUUUAAUGUAAUAAUAAAUAAAGUAGCCAUAAAUAUCUGACAUAUUAAGUAUAUCUUGUAUGCUAUAUGUCAGUCCAAAGACAGACAUAUUGCUUCGGUUUUAUUGUCAAUAUUUAUAAAUUAAUUUUGAAAAUGAUACCAAUUACAAGUGGAUAUUUUUGUCCAAAGACUAAAUAUUAAUGUUUGUGCUAGGUAUCUUGUAUGAUGUUUAUGUGACUGAUUGUGAGCUUUAUUAUUAUGAAUUGAACAUUUUCUAUAUCUGCAAAUGUUAAUAACAUUCUUGUGCUUAAUGGCACAAACUUCAAGAAAUGGAAGGAGCACAUUAUAAUUGUGCUCGGGUGCAUGGAUUUAGACUAUGCAUUAAGAGAGGAUUGCCCUUUAGACCUUACUAGUGUUAGCACUGCUGAGCAAAGGUUUACUAUAGAAAAAUGGGAGCGAUCCAAUCGCAUGAGUCUAAUAAUAAUGAAGCACUCAAUUCUAGAAUCUAUAAGGGGUGCAAUGCCCAAGGAAACCCGAGCUAAGACAUUCUUGGACCAGAUAGCAAACCAAUUCACUGCAAACGAAAAGGUUGAGACAAACACUAUUCUUAGUAAGCUUGUCUCCAUGCGAUACGAAGGAAAAGAGAAUAUAAGGGAGUACAUAAUGGAAAUGUCUAAUCUUGUGACUAGACGCAAGGCACUAAAAUUAGAAUUGUCGGAAGACCUACUCGUGCACUUGUUCUUGGUCUUGGUCUUGGUUUUGAUCUCACUACCUACACAAUUCAGUCCAUUCAAAAUCAGUUACAACACACAAAAGGAAAAAUGGACUUUGAAUGAGCUUAUUGCUCAAUGUGUACAAGAGGAGAAGAAAUUGAAACAAGAAAAGAUAGAAAGUGCUCACUUGGCUUCCACAUCUCAGGGAUUUGGUAUCAGCAAGAAAAGAAAGAUGGAUAAUAAAGGAAAACAAACUGCAUUUUCUGGAACAUUAAAGAAAAAGGUGCAGAAGAAACAAGAUAAGGAGAUCACUUGUUUCUUUUGAUAGAAGGCUAGUCAUAUGAAGAAGACAUGUACCAAAUACGCUACUUGGCAUGAAAAGAAAGGUACACUUCUCAACUUUGUUUGUUCAUAAAUUAAUUUAGCUAUAGUGCCUAUUGACACUUUGAUACGGGUGCAACUACUCACAUAAGUGUCACGAUGUAGGGUUGCCUAAGGAGCCGAAUGCCAACUAAUGGUGAAAGAUACAUCUAUAUGGGAAAUGGCAGCAAGGUUGUAGUCAAGGCUAUUGGUAUUUUUAGAUUAUAUUUAGACUCUGGAUGUACUUUGGAUUUAGAAGAGACUUUUGUAGUACCGUCAUUUAAAUGGAAUUUAAUUUAUGUUUUAUGUCUGGACAAAUUUGGAUAUUAUUGUUUAUUUAGAAAUGGAAUGAUUAGUCUUUAUCUAAAUUCAAAUGUUAUUGGUAUAGGUAGUCUAAUAGACAAAUUAUACAAAUUGAAUAUAAAGGCCUUUAAUGGAAAUGAAACCUUGCAUUCAAGUACUUAUGGCAUUAAGCGAAAAUUAACAAAUGAGAAUUCAUCAAUGUUAUGGCACAGGCAUUUAGGUCAUAUUUCAAAUCAACGUAUUCAAAGGCUUGUGUCAGAAGGAAUUCUUGAUCCACUUGAUUUUUCAAACUUUCAAGUCUAUAUACAGUGUAUUAAGGGUAAACAAACAAAUAUGAGGAAAAUGAUGCCAAUAGGUGUGGUAACAUCUUGGAAUUGAUACAUACGGACAUUUGUGGUCCAUUUCCUACUCCUUCUUGGAAUGGACAACAAUAUUUUAUCCCUUUCAUUGACGAUUACUCACGCUAUGGCUAUCUUUAUUUGAUUCAUGAGAAGUCUAAGUCAUUGGAUAUGUUCAAGAAUUUUAAAGCUGAAGUUGAGAACCAACUAAGCAAGAAAAUAAAGGUCGUCAGAUCUGAUCGUGGAGGUGAAUAUUAUGGUAGAUAUGACGGAUCCGGUGAACAACGUCUAGGGCCAUUCGCCAAAUAUUUGAUGGAGUGUGGUAUCGUUCCUCAAUACAUCAUGCAGGGGACUCCAAGCCAAAAUGGUGUAGCAGAGAGGUGAAACCGUACUCUUAAAGAUAUGGUAAGAAGUAUGAUCAGUCAUUCCACCUUACCAGAAUCACUUUGAGGUGAAGCUAUCAAAACUGCAGUUUACAUUUUGAAUAGAGUCCCAAGCAAGGUAGUAGCCAAAACCCCAUAUGAGUUAGCAAGAAACCUAGUAUUAGGUACUUGCAUGUCUAGGGUUGUCCACCUAAAGCUAGGCCUUACAAGCCAAAUGAAAAGAAAUUGGACUCCAGAACAGUGAGCUACUACUUUGUAGGGUAUUCUAAAAGGUCGAGAGGUUUCAAGUUUUAUGACCCUUCAACUAGAUCCUUUUUUGAAAUGGGCAAUGCUAAAUUUAUUGAGGAUGUUGAGUUAAGUGGGAGAGAACCAUUAAGAAAGGUGGUCUUUGAAGAGGAAUCUGUUAAUAUUCCUAUUAUUACGAUUGGACAUGGUUAUAUUAUGUUUGAUAACACUAUUCAGAAUGUACAGUCAGUAACAGAAAUUGAAGACACACCCGAGAUUCCUCCUACUCAAGUUAUGGAACCAGUUCAAGUUCAUGAAGAGGUAACUCAACAACCUCAAGAACCUCAAGUACAAGUGUCACUGAGGAGAUCUACUAGAGAAAUGAGAAGUACAAUUUCAAAUGAUUAUGUUGUAUAUCUCCAAGAACAUGAGUUUGACAUGGGUCUGGAAGACGAUCCAAUUUCAGUUAGUCAAGUCAAACAAAGUUUUGACUCUGAAAAGUGGAUAGAAGCCAUGAAGGAUGAGAUGAAAUCAAUGAAAGACAAUGGUGUUUGGGACCUAAUAGAGUUGCCUAAAGGUGUAAAACCAAUUGGUUGUAAAUGGAUUUUUCGGGAUUCAAAAGGUAACAUUAUUAGGCAUAAGGCAUGCCUAGUCGCAAAAGGUUUCACUCAAAAGGAAGGCAUUGAUUAUAAGGAGACCUUUUCACCGGUUUCGUCAAAUGACUCUUUUAGAAUCAUCAUGGCACUUGUAGCUCAUUAUGAUUUAGAGCUGCAUCAAAUGGACGUUAAAUCUGUGUUUCUUAAUGGUAACAUUGAUGAGACAAUAGACAUGGUGCAACCAUAAAACUUUGAGUCUAAUGAUUCAAAGCAACUUGUAUGCAAAUUAAAAAGGUCCAUAUAUGGUUUAAAGCAAGCAUCCCGAAAAUGGUAUCAAAAGUUUGAUUAGGUGAUCAAUUACUUCAUUUGGUUUUAAGGAGAACAUCGUUGAUCAAUGCAUAUAUCUCAAGUUCAGUGGGAGCAAAUUCAUUAUCUUGGUGCUAUAUGUAGAUGAUAUUCUACUUGCAAGUAGUGAUGUGGAACUUUUGCAUGAAACCAAGCGAUUUCUAUCUAGUAAAUUUGACAUGAAGGAUCUUGGUAAUGCAUCUUUUGUGCUGGGUAUACAGAUCUAUAGGGAUCGUUCAAAAGGUAUACUUGGGCUAUCACAAAAGGCCUACAUCGAUAAGGUGUUGAGUAGAUUUAGCAUGAGCAAUUGUGCACCAGGAGACACGCCUAUGGCAAAAGGCGAUAAAUUUAGUUUGCACCAAUGUCCGAAAAAUGAACUUGAGAAGAAGGAUAUGGAAAAGUUUCCUUAUGCCUCGGCAGUAGGAAGUCUCAUGUAUACACAAGUUUGUAUGUGUUCGGAUAUUGUGUACAUUGUUGGAAUGUUAGGCAGAUAUUUGAGUAACCCAAGUAUGGAUCACUGGAAAAAGGCAAAAGGAGUUAUGCAGUAUUUACAAAGAACUAAAAAUUAUAUGCUCACAUAUCGUAGGUCCAGUCAUUUAGAGAUCGUGGGAUAUUUAGACUCCGAUUUCAUGGGAUGUCUUGACAGCAGGAGAUCCACUUCAAGUUACAUCUUCAUGUUAGCUGGAGGAGCAGUUUCAUGGAAAAGUGUUAAACAAACACUUAUUGCUUCUUCCACCAUGGAGACAGAGUUCAUAACAUGUUACGAGGCAUCAAACCAUGGGAUAUGGCUGCGGAAUUUUAUCACUCAGUUACGAAUUGUUGAUGGGAUUGAGAAACUAUUGAGAAUCAACUGUGAUAAUAAGGCCGUAGAACUAUACUCUAAGAAUAACCGAAGUUCAUCAAAGUCCAAACACGUUGACAGUAAGUUCUUGGUUGUGAAAUAAAGAGUUCUGAGUCUUCAAGUAUCGAUUGAACACAUAGGCACAAACUCCAUGAUUGCGGAUCCGCUCACUAAGGGUUUGCCACCCAAAGUAUAUCAUGAGCAUGUCACACGCAUGGGUGUUGUACACAUUGAUGACGUGCUAGUAUAGUGGGAGUUUGUAUUUAGAUUUUGUGUUUGUUUUCUUAAUGUGAUAUUAUGUUUGUGCUAUCUGUAUAGACCUUGAUUUUAAAGACUAUUGUAUUUGAAUGCUUUGAAUUGAAAUGAUGACUUUCAGAAGCAGUUUAGCAUCAAGUGUUUGAUUCGUCCCUAGCAGCGGCAGUGGCAACGACACCAUUUGAUUCGGGGUCGGUCCCCGGCAACGGCGCCAUUUGAUUCGUGCCCAAUUGGUGUCUCAGCUGAUUCGUGUCCAGCUGGUGCUCCUUGAUUGAGGGAGUAAUCAACAAAAUUUAUAACCUAUUACACCAUAUACUAGGGUAGCAAAGACAAAGCUACUAUAGCAUAGUGGCUCUAGGAUCGUUCACUAGGAUGGGUUUUCACUUUGCAAAUGAUAUUAAUUCAAAGUUGAAUUGGUGCCUUUUCAUUUCAAGGUUAGCUUUAAAAGAAAACAUAAAGAUGUUUGAAUGAAAAAGGAUUGGUUUUAAGCUAACCAAAAAUAGUAAUUGAUUUUACUUACAAAGAAAAAUGUUUCUUGGAGUUUAGAUCACUAGGCUCAGGUUCCUCAUACAAAAAAGAGAGUUCCGGUCACUUGUUUCUUUUCCUCGCAUGUGGACCCGCAUUUUUCACGUGCGUCCCCACCCGAUCGGCGAGACUCGCUUUUUAUUUGUGAAAAUUUGAUUUUUGAAAAAAAGUUGGAGUCGCCACCUAUUUUAUUUUUAUUUUGAAGGGAAAAUAAAACAAGAAAGAAAAACCCUAAAAAGUGACUCCAUAGUUUUGGAAAAAACAUGUCUUUGAGAAACCCGAGUCUAAGUCCGGGGAUCAGGUUACUUAUUGGGAAGGUACCUUUAAAAGGUAGCACCCCUCUAAGCCCUAUAAAGGUCUCUACUAACUAAAUUGGGGGCAAUGUGGCAAUUAAUUGAUUAAUUGGGAUACCUAAGUAGGCUAGGUGAUUUCAAAUAUUGCAUGCCUAAAGAGAAAGCAAACCAUAAGAGAGAGUCGAAGUGCGUACCUGAAUGGCUUCUCAAGCGCUAUCAUGAAACAUAAGAGAUUAGUUUGGAAAUAUGACACAACAUUUGUUUUAUCUAAGCAAAUCAAGCAUAUAUCUAAGCACCCAAGGAUUAAAUCAAAGCAUGGAUAUAGCUCAUGAUAGCGUACAUAUUCAUAGAAUUUUAGGGUUGUGGGGUAGAAAUGGCGUACCUGAUUAGCAAGCAUCCACAUCUCUAUGGGAAGCAAGGAUAUCUCAAUAAUAGAUAUAAAACGAAUUCAUGAAUAUCAUCAAGAAGAAAAAAAAAAAAAUCAACCUAUCAAGCAAACAAUAUUGAUGAGAAUAUCAUGAAUGUCGGGCCCCCACCAAAGCCCUAAUUAAUUUUGCAUGAGUUGAUUCAAUGAAUUCCAUUGUUUGGAAUCAUGAAGUGUAUUCAUGCUUGUUGAAAAUCGAGAAAAUCAUGAAAAUAGUUAAAAAUCAGAUAAAACAAUGAAAGUGCAUGCCCAAAGGAAAAUGGCAGCAAAUAGCAUGUUAAAAUUGGGAUUUUAUACCUAGAUGCUCCUAAGAUGGAUUUUUCAAAGCUGGGAAUGUUUAGUUGAACAAUGGUUUCAAAAUUCAAUUUAAAACAGUAAAUUCCCAAUCAAAGAAGUAAAUAGAGAAGGUGUGUGUAGUAAGGUUGCCAUGAUGGAGUGGAGUUUGGAGGUGUGAUUGGGACUACAGUGCUGGCGUUGAACCCCAGAAGGCAUUCUGCCCUCUUUUGGCACGUCCUGAAGCUCCCUGUUAUUCAAAGUUUUGGUGACUUCCAGUGAGGGAUGAAGAAUUCCAGCAAACUUGGGUUGCUCUUGAGAAAUACGAACCCUGGCGUAACCAACUUUCCCUAUCCAUGUCUUCCUUUGAGUGGUUUAAUGCAGCUUGAGUGACAUAGUUGACAUAUGGGUCCAGUAUCAUCUGAUCUAAUUGGGGAUGAUCUAUGAAUUCUUUAAAUGAUACAAGCAAACUGCUCUUCCCCAGCAUAUUUCAGGUACUUCUCAAUGACAUUGCUGCUGUACUUCCACAUGGAGAUGUGCCUACAUUGACCCUCUAAUUGGUUGAGCAGUUCUGUUCUUACCCCUGAGCCCUCAAGUUCAAAUACGUAUUGCACAACAUAAUUCCCAUAUGGAUCUUGGGACAGGAUAAGAGCAUUGGCAAUAAUUGUAGAUAGCAAGCGGCGUCUAUGCUCACCAUCAGAAAGGCCAAGGCAUUUUUAUAAUACAAGCAGCCAUAACAAUCUGCUGCAGGUUCAACACAGUGAGCACUCUUAGCUUCAAGAAAGAACUCAAUAUAUCCGGGCAUCAAGUACUGCGAACAGCAUUCUUGUAAUCCCCAUCUGAGCACAAAUUCCCAUUUCCAAUGACAUUAAAGUUAACAGCAGUAGCCUUCAUUUUCACAAAGUUUGUUUCAACUUGAACAUUCAUUCUCUUUUUAUUAUAUAAAAAAGAAAAUUAUAUUCCAAAAAUUCUUCGCGGACUCCUUUUCUAAAGCCUGAAUGUGCAAUAGGAUCGCUAUACACAAAUCUCAAAUUACCAUACUCCCCAUUCUCUGAUUGAUCACCUUUCCUUUUGUAGUAAUCUCAUCAAGAAUUGAUAAGCUAUGAUUCAUGGUAUUUUAGCCCGACUUUUAGUUCAAGAGACACAACUCUUUGAUGGUCGAAUUUCUCUUUAAUCCCAGGCAAUUCACGAACAUAAAUUAUGGGAAUAUCACCAGGCUGAACCAUAGCACCAGCUUUGCUGUCUUGUCAGACCAAAUAUGGUCAAACUAGUUCCUAAAAAUGUCUCUUCUCUCUUUUAUGCCUUUAAUUUCCGAAUAGACAGUUUCCAGAGGAAGCUUUCCCUGAUCGAGCAGUUGGAAUGAGCCGCGCUUAUAACAUAUCGACUGCAGAGAAUUGUGAUGUCUGGAGUUGGAAUCUGCCAUUAGGAGUGCAUGAGAAAAGGUCGUCCCGUGGACUUCGAGACUGCUGUAUGAUUCAACUGACUCUCUGAACAGAACAAUAAUUACAAUGGGACUUUGGAGUCUUCUUCCAUCUUCCAAAUGGCAUAAAGAACACCGUAUACGGUUUUGUGGGAUUUCUGUGGGGCCUUCUUAGCUUCAUCAUCAUUUGAGUCUGAUGCCUGAAUCGUGACCUUAUACCUGAUUGCUGACAAUACUCUUUGGCACCGUACCUAAUAUAAAAGCUGAGAAUGCCUUAACAUAAGGUUAUUUGAAUUCAGUUGUUAAUAUCCACUGCAACUCUUUGAGGAUUAAGGCUUCAGAAUCACUUGUGCAUGGUUUUUUUUUUUAUCAAAUGACACUUGCAAAGACUCACUGCCCGGCCUUACUACAGAAUCUAAUUGCUGUACUGAAAUUAUUCAGGUUAAGAUUUAUGGCUUCUCCAUUGUCAAUGCACCUGCUAUCUAGGAAAACAGCAAGGUGCUCCAUUGCAAGAACACAACUGACUCCAAGUGCAAGCAUGACAGGUUUCGGAGCACAUCGCAUGCGCAUAAGUUCAACAUCUUGCAUUCUUUUCCAGGCAGCUAAAUUAGAAGCAAUUGGCUCAUCUAAUUGGUUACCAUAUAGAGAAGGCUCUUCCAACCGGAGUAUUUGGGACUUAUUUAUCCACGGAAACCGCAUCAAUUUCCUUCUGUCUGCUGUUUUAUCAGCUAAUAGAUCCCAACCCAUGACAGCUACCAAUGGCUGAAACCAUGGAAAUAGUGUAAGAACAUUGCUAGCUUGUUGAAGCAUGCUCUCGUUUUAUGAUGGACAGGGUUGUAUCCAUAACACAUUCUAGUAUAUGCAAUUCAGAAACAUGAACAUAAUGGUACAUAUCUCUCAUGCACGAAUUAGUUGCCAUGCUCGAUGACGAGAUCUUGUCAUUUGAAUUUGUAUGAAGCUUUAAUUCUGUAAAGGAUUUUUUAAAACACUCCAGAGGGGGUGGCAUCUGGUUGUUAUCCUUAGCUUUGUACAUUUCAAUCCUUUCAGAAAUUCAUCUUGAAUGACUUGAAUCAUUUGAAUAAGAUAUGUACAGUUUGAUGAAAGAGCUCCUUCGUAAAUCUGCAGUAGCUUUUCUUGCAUCAAAUGCCAAGAGUUUCCCAACUGAUGAUUACUGAAUUGUCACUUGCACCGACUGAACCACUGACCCUGUGUGCCCCUGUAUACAGCCUCUUUGCUUAAAGUUCUACAUCCUCCUCUUCCGAUAAAAUGAACUACUGCACUGUAUCACUGAACCUCUAAUUAUACUCUUAGAACACUAGUAACACUGAUGUUAGAUCCACUCAAAAAUUCCAAGCACACCCAUGAGAUGUUGAAUGUGCAACUAACUGGGCACAUAAGACACGCACAGUUGAUGGGAACUACUCUGAGAUUGAUGAAUUCAGUAAAUCCACAUAAUCGGCUUCUUGUAUGUCAAACUUACUUGAGAGACCAUAUGUUGAAUCUGAAUGCAACUUCUGUUCUACAGGCCACUUAGAUAAAUAUAUAGAAUACCCUUCAGAAGUAUGUCACUCUUCUUAUUGUUAUAGGCAGCAUAAGCACCAGACUCAAUGCAAGGAAUCUGAUCAGAAUCAAGAUGAAUGAAAUUGAAACCCGGAUCAAAGAGAACUUGGGCGAAUCUGAGAGAGGUGUAAAUAGGUAAACAGGAAGGGCGGGUUGGUUAGAGGCCAAAGCACGACUUCCUUGUGACAAGAGUGAAUUUCUAGUUAUUCCAAUUCAUCCAUUGAUGGAGAUGAUUGAGCUCUUGCUGUCUGGAGUUGUUGAGUCAUAGCACUAACACAGUCAAAGCUGAAGGGAUGACACGACUCCCUUAGGAUUGUUGAGGAAGGACGUAAGAUUGUUGGCUGAAUGAGAAACAAUAGAGCAGAAAACGCCAGCCAUAUCUAUCAGCAAAGCUUACACCAAGUUGCAGGCUUCUAUUGCAUUGAUCUUUUGGAAUAAGAAUUCCAUUUAGCAAUUUCAAUGAGUUCAUCAACCUGCAGAUAAGCUCCAGCUCGACUUGUUAUUGCCCUCUUAAUGAUUUCCAUAGGAUCUUUUAUUUGCCUACAUUGCAUUGGCAAAAGAGUGACUCCUAGUUCUGGAAGUUUAAUAGUGAAAACAUCAAUUACAACAGCCUCUGCUUUGACAUUUCUACCACCUGGAAAGAGCUUCAGACAUUCCUUAGCCUUCCAGAUUUCAGAACAAGUGAGACUUGAAGCUGAGAAAAAAAAUACUCUCUUGCAGCUUGAAUGACUAGAUUUUCUGCCUUUUCUGAUGCCAAAGAAACUGGACCAGUACCCUUUAGAUAAUUCCUUGCGAGAGAAAACUUCCCAGCUUUCAGCAGUCCCUUACAGAAUUCAGUCAACAUAUACUCUAGAUCCAGGAAAGGAAAUACUUUUUCUUGCAAGUACUGCAUAUCAUGCCACAUGUUCGCCCAAUCAUUAUCUGACCAGCGGGACUGUCAACGAACAAAUUUUGAAAGUAUGAGACGAAGAAUCUGUUUUACACCCUUUUCAUCUGAAUGUGCCUCUACAAAGAAAUUUUAUGGCUUCGGAACCUGGUAAUGUGCCAAUAGCCGCCCAGCUUCAAUAUGUCCUUCAGCCAGCUUUAGUCUUUGCUCAAGGCCCUUCUACAUGUGGAGGCCUUGAUAAAAUGGCACUCAUUAUACUCUCUGAUUCAGAAAAGCUGCUAUCUCUGUUAGUUCUGAAUUCAUUAGAUGAUAGUGAGUUCUUGGAUAUAAAUGACAAAGUCGGUCCGUUGUAUUCCAUAGGCAAAAUCUUAGGAUCUUCAUGAAGGAUAUUCCUAUCGCAAAUUUCAUUUUGCUUCCGAGAAUGAGGGCUUGACUGAUUUAAAAUCUUAAGCACAUUGCAUGGAAACGAUUCAGAUGGUAGAUGACAGAUGUUUUCUGAACUAUUCAGUCUCUGAUCGUUCAAAGGCUGGCAAAUCCUCUUUCUUUUGAAAACACACAGUACUGGUGGGAGAAGUGGUAGUUUCUUUCCUAUAAAAUUGCUAUCCCAAUAAGUGAAGUUCAUGCUCUGUUUCAUCCUAGCCAAAAGAUAAACCGCUUCUAAAGCUUCAGGAACAUCUCGAUUAAUAAUUCUAUUGCACAUCACAAAAUUCUGUAAUGCACAAAUUACCACCGUUUUGUGCAGAUUUUAAGAAAUGCCCUGAUAAACUGACAAAAAUUCGCAGGCAGAGGACUUUAGUGCGUUCAAGUUAUCACCUACAGUUUGUGGGGUAUUUUAUCAAACAGCUUCUGAACAAAAGUAAAGCUUCCCACCUCAACAUAUGCAUUGACUGUUGCAGUUUGACACACCAAACCUUGCUCACGAAUUGAAGAAAAAAACAUCCAGUAGCAAGCAGCCAAGCCAUCCAAUCCUGCCACAUGUAAACUAAAUCACUUCCUGCUUGAACCCAUAUUUCAGAACAGCACCAUGUACAGACGAACUGAAACUUUCACGCAGAGAAUACGAAGCUAGACACAUUGCUCGUCAUUGAUUCCCCUGUCCAAUCAUCCUCCUCUGUUUUCUUCUCAGAUUUAACCUCUGAUUCUGUGACCCACAGGUGCAAAACUCCUUUUCCAUAUUUGCUAUCAUUCCCAAAUUCGUCGGAAGACUUGGCACCAUUAAGCUUACCUCUCAUAUCAACUCUUCCGCCAUCCUCCAAUGCAACCCAAAUACAAAGGCCAGGAUUCGAACACCGUGCGGAGAAAGGAAUAUUGAACAAGUAAAAUAAAACACAGCAAAACUCGGAGAAGGAAGAGAAUAGGAGAUUUUGGUUAGUAGACAUAAGUAGCCCCCCACUUCAAAUUUUAAUCCAUGGGCUGAUAAUAGUGGGAAUAGAGCAGAAUAGGAUUUAAACAAAAAAAUGACAAAACGUGAUCACAUUCAGGCAUAGAGUCAUAUACUUUCGAAGACAUCAAUGACACCUAAAAUUAGAACGAGGUAAACAAGCAAGCAACCAAUCUCAACAAAACAAACCAUGGCCCUUUCCGUCCACACCAAAUCAACAAUACAAUAGAUAUUCAGAAACGAUCGUGCCGGAAAAUCGAACAUGGGUAAAAAUUCCAAGAGUAAUGAAAAACAUACCUGGAUAGCCUUGGUUGCAAUUGCUCUUUUCCGUUUCCUCUGUUCUUCUCCCCCCCCCCAAAAAUUUUCAGAAUCCUCCAAUACCCUCUUUCAAUGCGUGCUGAAAGUUUUCUUAAAAAAUCUCUUCUUUUGCUAUCUUCCUUCUUCUUCUCUAAAACCAAUCUCCUCCAAUGCGUGCUGCCCCCCCUUCUCUUCUUUUCCUUUUCUCUCUUUAUAUAUCACUCCUCAAGACCUAAAUUUCUUUCUAAAAAAGGAGAAUUCUCCUAUUUCCUUUCUUCUUCUCUUCUCUUCUCUUUUUUUAAAUCUUCCAAUCAAAAGCAAUCUUCCCAAUUUCAAAUUCCCCUCCAAAACCUUCCAAGGAGGGUCCCACCUUCCUUAAACUCCAAUGGUAAGUUUCCUUGCAAAAACAUGAAAUUUUUGAAGUUAAAUAAUUGCAUGAAUAGAUAAAUAAGUAAAUAAAUUAGAAAAUGGUAAAAAUAAUAAAUAAAUAAAUAUAAAUAAAUAAUAAAUAAGUUAAGGAAAAUAAUAUAAAGAGGAGAAUAACUAAUAAAAAGUGAAUGAUAAUCAUAAAACUAAAACUAAAAUAAAAUAAAAUAAAAUAAAAUAAAAAAAUAAAAUAAAAUAAAAAUAAACCAAUAAACAAAAGCCGAGCCCAAAAGCCAUGUAACCAUGCAAGUCAUACAAGUCACGCUAAAAAUGUCCAAAUGGGCCAAGUGUAUCUAAAGGCUAUCCUAAAAAAAACAAGAAAAGCCUAAGUCUAAGUUAGGGUUGCCAAUGAUCACAAUAAGGGAUCAAAUAAUCCCUCAACCAAAAUCUCCGAGGUGACUCAGAAAAAGGUAAGUGGUACGAGUAGUAAUGGGCCACCAAGGAACUACCGUGGAGCACUGGAAGUGGAUUUAAAGACAUGUGCUAAAGGGACAAAAUUGAGGGUCUACAUCGCAUUAGAGAAUUAACAUAUAAUUCAUUCUCCAACCGGUGUUGUACAGAUGCUUCCCAUUAAUGGGUUCAAACACUAAAUCCCUCUCACUGAUGCACCUUGCAAUGGCUCAUACCUCUCACCUAGCACUUGCCAUUCAAGGUGAUCUUUAACCUUGGACUUCCCUUCUCAAGCUCGCAAGAGAUAACUAAUGGAUGUCUCCUUGGAGUCCAAAAGCUUACCAAGUGUUGGCAAUUCCAGAAAAUCCUACCUUCAAGUCACCUCCCAAAGGCUCGCAAGGGGUAAACUAGUGCAUCUCCAUGGACGGAGAUCACUUGCCUUACCAAGUGUUAGCCCAGGUGAUUUAAAGGCGUUUUAAGUUAACUAAAAAGAUAAAAACCAUUAACGGGUUACACUUUCUUUUCAUUAAAAACUAAAACAACAAAACUUUUAAUUUAUGCAUGUGGAAACUUACCCGGCUUUCCUUACUCCAAGAGACAAAAAGCUUAGCCUUUCAUCCUCUUAGGAAAAAUCCUCAGAGUUUGGUUGGCUAGAAAGAAAACUAACGAGAAAACAAGAAUAUAUAUGAAAAACAGAGCAAGUGCUCUGUUCGUUGAUUCUAUAUAUGAAAUAUCUAUAUAUUGAUUGAUCUAUCUAUCUCUCCGAGAGUCUUCUUUUUAGUGUUUACAAGAGAGUUUAUAUAGGAAGGUAAUUUACCCUUCCUUGGAUACUUCCUAGCUAAGGAAUUACAUGAGUGGCUGAAUACAAGGAGAAAAUGGAAAUUUAUACAAAAAUAUCUGAAGAAAAAUAUCCGAAAGAGUCGGUGGCAAAUAUCGGGAAGCUCCAGGAACCAUUUCGCAAGAGAAAAUGGUGUCUGCGAGAUUUCGCAGGCACUCAAGAAGGGCUGCGAAAUCAAUUCGCAACAACAAGUUAUUCUUGCAGGGCUGCGAAGUUGGCUUCCACCUUGAGGUUCUCAGCUUCCAACUUGCGGCAUAUAUCGGGCAACUUCAGGAGGGAAUCCACAACACUGUACAAAAAGGCUGCGAAAUCAUUUCGCAACAAAAGGGUGAUUUCGCAACACUUUGCAAAAUUCUUCCUUCAGCUUGGAGUGAUUGACUUGAAAUGGCUGUAACUCCUUCAUUUCAACUCCAAAUUGCACACCGCUUGAAGCAUUGGAUUCUUGACUUCCUGAGCUUUGAAAUGGUAUAUAGCAUGUACAAAAUGGACUUCGGGAAGUGCUCCAAAAGUGCGCAAGAAGACUACAGCUGCUGUCCUCUGUUUUCUUCACUCUGUUUUUCCUUUCUCCAGUGCUCUUUCCUUGCAUACUUUGAACGACUAAGGCAAAGGACUAUCAGGCUCCAAAGCUUGGUUUCUUCAUGAAUUUGAGCUUCCAUAAGCUUUGCCAUAACUUGUUCAAGUAGCUUCUCCAUCAUUUGGCAUGCUUGAAUUGAUUCAUAAGCUGAUAAAAACAUGUAAACUUGCCACAAAAUGGUUAAAACCAAUUACUAAGGACCUUAAUGAAUUAAUUGGGUUAAAUGAAUAUGAUUACUACUCAAAGGUGCUUAAAACCAUUAUAAUUAGGUCUACAAAAUAGCACUUUUUGGUAGUAAUCAGUGUUGAAAGUGGAAUUUGACUAUUUUUAGUCAUAAAGUAGGACCAAUUGGAAAUAGACAUAUUAAAGAUCACAUUCUAUGUAAUUUCCAUACUACACAUCCAUACUUGAUCCAUGUUGCUAAUUUUGUUAAUGGUGUGAUCAUUGAUGUGUCUAGUUAUAAUUAUGAUUAACGAAGGUCGCUUUAAUCCUAUGUUAACAUAAUUAGUAGAUCGGAUUGUUUAAGAAUAUUUAUAUAGAAUAACAAGAUGAACUCAAUAAAGUACUAUCAUGAACUUUGUUUUGUAAUAUAUGUGGUCCAAGUAGGAGAUUGUUAAGAUAUGGACUCACAUAUUUAACAAUGGUUCAUGACUAAGUUAUUUGCCUUUACCGUAUUUGUUUUAUAUCGGUUUUCUAAAGUAUGGGUCACCUUAUGUGUAGAGCCUAAUGUCAUCACGGGUCUUAGAUGAUGGGCCUAAGACUCACGAGACCCAAUAGUCCAAAGGGUAUGGUCCCUAAGGCAUAAAGGGUAUAUAAAUAUAAGGAAAAGUGUUUGUUCUUAUUGUCUGAGAGAAUACAGAGAAAGGUGGUGCCCUCUAUAGCCUUAGAAGAUCCAUACCACUUCAACAAAGUGCAUAAUGGACUCAGGUAUGUUCCAAAGUGGAAAAAGGCAUGUUUUAAAUGAAUUGAUAUAUAUAUAUAUAUAUAUAUAUAUAUAUAUAUAUAUACACAUAUAUCCCAUAUCUGUGUUUGGGUGAUCAUGGAGAAUUUAAAAGAUUCAGACAGUCCAAUAUCCACGUUAACUUCGUCUCCGAUAUGAUAGACAUGCGAAACAGAUAGAGGGGUGUCUUUCCUUCAAUAUUCUUCUCAUUCAAGAGUCCUCUCACCCUCAACCAGUGAAUAUUUGACAAACCUAAAGUUGCAAAUAUUCCUUUCUUUGGCAUUAUCAAGUGAAAAACAUUAUUGCCCUCAUCAUCAACUUUCUCGCAACAAUCUGGAAAGCGUGACACCAGCAACUUCACUAUGUCCACAUGGCCUCGGCUCGCUAUAAUAUGAAGAGUUGUCCUGUUUCCAUGGUCUUUGAUGCCUAGGUAGGCAACAUACCUGUCAGAUUUCUCUAGCAAUAUUGUAAAGUAUUUUUUGUAGUUAUAUGUGUAUGUGUGUGAGAAACAAAAUAUAUAUAUAUAUACAAAAAGAACAACAUGCAAGAAAAUUAUUUAUAGAACUAGAAAUGAAUAAAAAUAAAAAAUAAAAUAAACAAAUAGAGAGGAGGAAACAUAUUCAAUACAUUGCAGGUUUACAAGUCAUCCAUCACCUCUUCACAAAACCCUAAGGAUUCUCCACUUUAUGAAAAGCCUUCAACUUGCUUCCUCAUUGCUCCACAUGUUGAUCAUCCAACCUUAUUUUUGAUCCUCCAAUGGUUAUCUCUUAAUCAACCUAUGCAAAAUAAAAACCCCAAAGAGAACAAGGAACAAACCUUAAAGCAUAUAAAAACAAGCUCAAUCCAAUAAAAAGCAACCCAAGUGAAAUAAAGCCUAAUAACAAAUAUACAAGCAAGCCUAAAAUAACAAUUGAAUACUAAGGCCCAAAAGGCCCAAAUGAACACAAGCGUAAAUUUUAAAAUGAUCUAACAGACAAAACCCAACAUUCAUAUCAAUAAAAAAAUAAAAAGGCUUUGAUCAACACCCAAAUGCAAACUAUCCUAAACCUAAAGUCCACAAAUAAAUCCAAGUAAUCAAAAUUUAACAUUUUUAAAGAUCUAAAGGAAUAGUUUUACCAGUGGUUGAACCCUGAAUGAAGAUGUUGAUAACUUAGUGUGAGAAGGGACCAUACAAGAGGUGGUAUGUGGUGGGUGAUAUGGUGUGCAGUGGGCAAUGGUGAAAAGAGGGAUGAGUAGGAAAGAUAGAGAGAGGGAGAGUAAGAAGGAGAAAAAGAUGGAGAAGGGGUUGGCUAGAGAUGCCACCAUGGUUGAUAGUAUUGUUAUGGACGGUGGCAGUCAAUAGUUAUGCUAGUAUGGGGGUGACAAUGAUGGUGACUGAGUGUGGCGAAGAGAGAGGAAUGAUAGAUUUGGGUGAGAGAAAGGGAGAGAAUAAGAGAAAAAGAGAGAAAAAAAGAGAAAAAGAGAAAGAGAGAGAAAAAAAGAGAAAAAGAGAAAGAGAGAGAGAGAAAGAAAGAAAGAAAAAAAAAAGUGAAAUGAGGGGUUGCCCUCGGAGGGGAUUGCUAUUGGGAGGGUACAUGCACCCGACAGUUAGUGAUGGCAAGGUCAUUAGCGACAUGAUUGUUGGUGUGGAUGAGGUGGUGAUGGGUAAGAGAACGAGAAGGAAAAGAAAAGAAUGAAACAAAAGAAUGAAGAAUGGGUAUGUGCUCUUGAAAUGAAUGGUCUAGGUUUUAUCUCAUGCAUGGGUAUGGACAUGGACUUGAAACCAUGUGGUUAAAAUUCCAGUAGGAAAGACCCAAAAAAUGUAGAAAAUGAAUGAGUCUAAACCAGAAGUUAGAAAUGGCAUUAGGACAAUUUUUUGGGUUUACAAAUAUGCUCAUUUUCAAAAAAAUUCACUAUAAAGAAUAUAAGUAUUGGAGUGAAAUAAAAAUGAAAACAAUGAAGAAUGAAGUGGACUCUGUCGAAAAAUAAGAAAGACUACCAAAAUUAUCCUAGUGUCAUGAGGGCUUACUUUAAUCAUGAAAUGCACACAAAGGAGGCUAAGGGAAAGAUGAAAUAUCUACAUGAGACUCAAAGAUGGCUCUACCAAAGGAGAAACCGAAACAGUAUCUAUAAGAAAUUCUAGGGGCCUUUGCUAUAGAUGAAUGUAAGGGUGAAUAAGGGAGGAAUGAGAGAAAUGAAACUAAUGAUAAAAGGAAUGAUUCACCUAAAAUAUAGAAAGAUGAGAUGCAACUCGAGGACUGAAGACUAAAACCAAGGGAAUUAGAGAUAAACUGAGAUGGAACCUAGUACGAUGCCACAAUGAUGGGAAUCCGAGAAACUACAAAAAGUAGAUAAGAUGGUGCUUAACAACCAAAACUUGACUGCUAUAAGCAUAAUUUCAUUGACUUAGGAUUUAUUUGGAUGAAAGGGUAAGCCUGUCUAACUCUCAAUUAAUUUCCAAACAUAACUAGGAAUUGGUGCACAUGCAAGUAUACAAAGUAAAAUGUGAAAAAUUGAUAAUUUGGCAAUGGAAGCAGUUUCAUUUUAUUAUUUCUUUUUAGAAAUUUAUACAAAAAUUAAUAUAUAUUAUGAAUUAUAAAUAAUAAUAAUAAUAAUAAAUAUCCUAAAUUUAAGGAAAAUAAAUAUUAUUUCUUGAAUUAAGAAAAUAAAAUGUUAUUAAUAUUUGAUUGCUUUUAAUUUCUGGAAAUAUUGACUAAAGUAGAUUCUUACGAUUAUUAUGUGCAUUGCUUUUAUUAUUGUCUUUUCAUGUUUUGUCAUUCCUUGUCCUAUCAUUCCAUGUCUUAUCAUUUUGUGUCUUCUUUUAUUCUUUUUCUUUAUAAAAUGUGGCACAUUGAAGCUACAACUUUAAAUUAUGAGUUGGAGUAUAUAAAGGUAAAAUUAUUAAUAUUGUAUCUUAUGUUUUCUCUGAUUAAUUUUUAGACUGGUAUAUAAAGCACAUUUUCUAAGGUGGGCCUAUAAGCUCACCAAGUUGGGUGUAGGAGCAAUGGUGGUAGCAUUCUUGAUUGGCUUGUACACCAUAUUGUCGCAUCUAUCAAGGAUUGCUAUUUUUAGGUUGAUCAUCGAUCUACAUUUGUUGUUCAGUUUUCAUGUUAACUUUUGGUACACGUAAUGAAAUUAAUAUUUUUAGUUACUUUUGAUUUUUAAAAAAUAAUAAUAUUUUUAGUUUCAAUGUAAAUAUAUAUAUAUAUAUAUAUAUAUAUAUAUAUAUAUAUAUAUAUAUAUAUAUAUAUAUAUAUAAGUAAUUGAUUUUUUUUAUUUUUUUAUUCAAAGUUUCUAUUCUCUUAUAUCUAAAUAUGGAUUAAAUAAAAGAUUGUGUAAUAGUCAAUAAGAUUGACAAAUGUCAAUAAUUUUCUUUUAAUAAUCUCUUUUUAUGUAAUUCAAUCAUUUCAAUCCAUUGAAUUGGUAUUAGAACCAGGAUAUCACAUAUGCCUCAUAGAAUUCAAGGGCUACAAUGGAAGGCUACACCAAUACCCUUAUGCUACAACGAUGCAUAAACAUUGAUAAUACCAAAGAUACACAUUGUCUUCCAUGUUACAUCCUAAUUUGGCCUAUUCUUGGUUUCCUUUAGGUUUGAUAUAUCUUUGAUUGCUUUUUUAAAAAUCUUCCUACCUAAACACACUUAAAAUAAAUCAUUAAUUACAAACUUAUUUUGUUAUUAUCAAAACCGAGAUUAAACAAACCUUGGUUUUACACAUUAGAAAUGUUGUCUUAUCCUAUUAAAUUAGUUUCUAUAUUAAUUCAUCAUCCCAAUGAAUUAACAUUAUAUGCUAGAUAUAUUCAUAUUAGUGAUAAUUUUUAUAACGAAACUCAUAAACCUUAUAAAAAAAAAUGUCUUUUAAGGUUAAUUCGUAGUAAAGGAAAUGUUAAAGAGUAUACAACAACCAUCCAUAAGUGUUUGUUUUGAGAAAACAAAAUAAAAAUGAAAUCAUGUUAGUUGUAGUAUAUUAUACAUUUAGAGUAUUGAUGUUGUAUGAUCAAUGCAUUUUGUCAUACUUGUAACUUUGCUUCUAUGUUAAUGCAUAAUAUCAGUGCAUUAGCAUUAUAUAUAGAGUAAGUGAAUUACUAUGAUGAAUGUUUUUAUAAUAAAAACUAUAAGCUUUAUCAAUUAAAAGAAAAAAUAUUGUCUUCUAGGACUAGUUGAUUUAUAAUAAAUGACAUUAUAAUAAUAAAAAUAUGAAUAACAAUAAUUAUAAAAUUAAUAAUGUUAAUAAUAAUCAAGACAAUAGAUAUAAUAUUAGUUAUACUAAUAAUAUUUAUUGUGUCAAUACAAGCUUUAAUACAAACAAUAUUAGUUUAAAAACACAAGAUAAAAUAAUCAACAUUACAGACACAGAAGAUUUUAUAAACUUUUUUAAUAAGAUGUAAAACUUUUUUUCUAAUGUUCCUAGUCUUUUGGUUGUUUGAUUUGAUAAAUUUUCAUAUUUUUUAAAUAAUAAUGAAUACCAUUAAUUACAUUAAAAUUUAUAGAUGAUUAUUAAACAUAUUAUUUUUCUCAUUUUCCCACCUAACAAAAGUUUCUAGUUCCACCAUUGGCCAAUAGCAUGUUUGAUAACCCUUUUUUAAAAUAGCUCUUAAAAACUAGGUCGUGAGAACCAUUAUUAAAAUCAAUUUUAUUUUAUUUUUAAAAAUAAAAUUUUAUUCAAAAACUCAAUUCUAAUAAGAUAAACAAGAAGAAAAGGAUGAUGAAAGGGAGCAUAGGAUUAAGGUCACUAUUGUUACCAUAGAAUCCUUAAAAAUAUGACAUAAUAUAACAUAUUUGGAUUUAAUAUUUAUUUAAUAAAGUUCCAAUUUCUCAUUUUUAUGUCUUAUUCCAUACAGUAUACUUAAUUUUAGAGCAUUAUGAUAUAAUAUCUUUUGCAUUAUAUAUGAUUUGAAUGCAUUUGAAAUUGCAUGAAAGAUCUAAAUUAUAGGUUCCUUAUAAGAAAAUAAUUUAUUUAGGCAAUAUAUUGGUUGAUAUUAGUCAUUGAGAUGUGGUUUCUAUAAAUCUAUGAUGAAUGUAUUAAUGUGUAUGGUUACAAAUUGAACAUAACAUAUGACUAAAAAGUGAUAAAAAAUUAUCAAAAGAAUCAUUAAUUUUUUUCCUUUUAUUGCAUAGAAUCAUCAAUAUAUUUUUCUAUUUUUAAAAACAAAAAUUAAGAAAGAUAUUAAAUAUUUUUGAAAGGUACAAAAUGUAAUUAAAAAAUUAUUUAUAUCUUCUACUUUUAAAAAUAAUAAAAGUAGAUACAAGUCACCCCGUUACCUAGUUCUUUUUGUCACACUCUCGGAUGCUCACACACGGAUAUAUAUAUAUAUAUACCAUAAGGCCAUGUUGAACUGGUGAUGAAGUUUUGGCGUUGUGCAUGAUUAUUUGCAUCAAGUCAGCAAAUCCCUUCUCGGCAGGCAUGUGUAGAGGAGUUUUGCCCAUAAUACAAACUGACUCAAGAAUAUUCCUUCAAUUAAUAUAUAACUUCACAACGUCAAGAGUUCUGUCCCUCUUAAUCAUGAGAUGGUUACGACAUUUUAAUUACUCAUCUCAGUGAUAACUAACAAGGGGAUAACAGUUACAGCUGUAUGUAGAUGGGGUCAAACAGAUUCAUUCCGACAUGAACCUAAUUACAAUGGCCAUAGCCAUCACUCUCACUGUCUCACAGACCAAGUCUUGAUCCUCUCGGGUUUGGUUUUUAGAAGCCAAAAGUCCAAUCUCCUUUGCCCUUUGGGCUCUUAUAUAUGAAGAGGGAGAGAUUUGAGGAUGUCUCCAAGGUUUUAGUCCGAGCUGCAAAUGGCAUAUUGAUCGUGAAGUUUUUAGUUGGUAUAGUCACCAUCCAUGGGCCUGUGUUUUUAUUUUUAUUUAUUUAUUUUAUAUCUGAUCUGUUUCUUAAUUUCAAACGUACGUAUUGAUAAAGUUCACCAGAUCCACUAAUGGAACAUCAUGACACACCUUCAUGUAAAUUAAUAAUUUCACUCCCAUAAAGAAAAUUGGAUCUUACCAAUUGCAAAUAGAUCAAUUAGCACAUACUGAGAAAAUUUUUUUAAAAAAAAAAUUACGAUAAUAAUUAUUACAAAGCAUGCUUACAAGAAAAUUAUUUCUAGUGCCAGAUGAAAAGGUAGUCUUACCGCGCUACAAGAUCUGCUAUUUGCCCGAAUGCAAUUCCAAACAUAAGGUCCCACUAUUGCUUUGCAGAUUUAACAGCUUGUCUAAGUACAAAAUAAAAGGGAAGGAGAAAGAAGCUGCAGAUGAUACAAGCAACAAUUGGAAGCCCAGAGGAAAGUGGUAACACAGCGUAUAGGCCUGUCAUGAACGCAACCAUCAUUGCUCCUAUACCAAACACGGUGAGAUAAAAGCCCGUAAAUAAGUGUUUUUCAAGGAAGCCCUCGUCCUCAUGCAACGACAUAAAAAAAUAAACAAACACAGCAGAUACAGAGAGCGUCACGGCUAUGGUGUCCGUCACAAUAAAUGCUAUGAAAGCUGCUUUCUUUGUUAAAGUUGCCAUGCCAUCACUGUCAUAACCACCAGGUAAGGUGAAUCCCGCUGCAAAGGUUACAGUUGCUACAAGUGCUGCCACUAUCAAAUGGGUUUCACCUAUUCGGUUUAUGUUAGAGAUGAUUUUGUCUUCUCCGACGUCUUUGCUUUUACUACUGCUACCAUUAUCAUCAGCACUACCAUUACCAGUACUACCACUGUCUUUAUUGAUGGCCUCCUGCCAACUAAAGGGUCCAACAUCAACUUUCUCCCCUUCCUUCAAUUGUUUUAGAAGUACCUCCUGAAAUUUGAUCAGAAUAAAAACAAAUAAACCUUUUUCCUAAAAAAAAGAAAAAGAAAAAGAAAAAGAAUGUAGUGCAUGUGUCACUGUUUUGGCUUUUUGCUCUUCUUUUUUAUAAAAGCUUUUCUCAUCUUCCCUCAAAAUGUUUUUCUAUAAGAGUACAAUUUUGACCCACAGGUGCUACGAAUUACCUUCAUCAUGGGAAUUUGGUAGUUAAUUUCUAUUUUAAGCAUGAUUGUCUCUACCGAUAAUAAAAAUAGCAAAAAUAAUGAUGAUGAUGCCCUGAGUUUUUAAUUCUACCAUCGUGAUGGAGUCUUGCCAUACCAUUACUAAUAAAAAGAUUAGGUUAGGAGCCUUACCCUGGAUAUAUUUCCUGACUUAACGUUAGCCCUUGAAAGAAUGUCUAGGGCGGUUAACUUAUCCUUGUUGAGCGCCAUUUUAUCCACUCUAUUGUUCUCUGACAAAAACGGAUCAUAAACUUGGUAAGAAGCAAGCAGGUGGAGGGGUGUGUCUCCUUUAGCGUCUUUCUCAUUUAUAAGUCCUGUCACCCAUAACAAACUAUUGUCCCUGAAGAUAUUACCAGGAGCAUAAUACCGCUCGCUCAUAAUGGCAGAGUGAAGAACAUUAUUUCCCUUAUCAUCCACUUGCUCGCAACAAUCUGGGGAGUGUGACAGCAGCCGCUUUACUAUAUCUUGAUGGUGACGGUUAGCUGCAAUGUGAAGUGCUGUUUUCUUGCUGUCCUUGAUUCCAAGAUAAGUUACAGAUUUAUCUGGUGAUUUGUCUAGUAAUUGCUCCACAAUUGCAGUAUAACCCAAGUAUGCAGCACAGUGAAGGGGAGACCAUCCAUUCUCAUCCACUUCUUUUGUCAGAUCUGGCUUCCAUUCCAAUAACCUGGCUGUCAUUUCUGUAAACAAACGAACCAACAAAAAACAGAGAAAACAAAUUGAAGAAAAUUAAGUUAAUAAUUGAAGUUCCCUCUACUGAAGCAUGACUCCUAGAGGUGAUCAUGUUUUCUAACAAUAGAUUGCAUGACUAUCUAACCACAUGGGAAUCGAGAUUCAAGGGAAGGAUCUGCAUAUGUGAUACCUUGGUCAUUGCGAAUUACAGCAGCAUGUAAAGCCGUUCUACCCAUCAUGCCACUGUGAGCAGGUGAUGUGCAAGUUCCUAUGAUUAAAUUCACCAAAUCUUCAAAACCUCUCUCGGCGGCCAUGUAAAGAAGAGUGUAGCCUGUAAUAUUAGCCCCAUAAAUAAACUCGGGGUCUUCCUCGGUCAAUGACUUCACAACCUCUGAAUGAUGAUACCUCACUGCCUCAUGCAAGGCUGUGUUUUCCUCCUCAUUUGUCAUCCUCAUAAUCGCCUUAUCUCCUCCAACCCCACUCUCAAUCUCUUGGUGAAGUCGUUUCGCAGCAUCAAUGAGUGCUUUCACGACUGUCAAAUGGCCUUCCCUCGCUGCAUGGUGAAGUGGAGUGUCGCCCUUCAGAUUGGGCCUAAGCAGGAGAAAUGAAGAUGAAUUCAGCCCCAGGAUAUAUUGAACACAGUCCAGUUGACCGAAUUGGGCUGCAAUGUGGAGGACGGUAUUCUUAUUUGGGGUUAAUUGGACCACAAAAUGAUCUUCUGACAUUUGUUCCAGGACAUCGAUCCUGCCAUAUGCUGCGGCCUCGUACAAAGCAGCAUCCAUGCAAGUGAUCGGAGUUUGGCUGCCAUCUGCAUCUGCCGCCUGGUUCGAGAUCUGGGUUUGGCUACCGUCUUGAGCUGCAACCUGUUCCAAGUAAAGAGUAUGUGAUUCUGCAGUGUGGAUGGAAGUGGAAAGAUCCAUAGGUGCUUCAGCAAUCAGCACUAUCCUCCUCUACACAACUAUUAAAGACCUUUGUAGAAAUUAUGAGUCCGUUUAAGCAUAUUUGUACUAGUAUGAGCACAAAGAAAUCAAGUAGUCAACCCAAAUAUAUUUUUUAGGUCUCUCUCAAGGUCCUUUUUUAUAGUCACAAGAUGCAAAAUAUUUAAUGGAGAUAUCACAUGGGCUGUUAUACUCAUCAAGAAAUCAAAGUCGUAUUUGAUUACGUUUUUCUUUUCAGACGGUGAGCAGAUCUAGAUGUCAUUUAUUUGCUUCUUCGGAUUUGCUUAGUUUUUUAAGGGAUUAGAAUGAGAAGAACAAAUAGGCUUUGGAAUUUUCUUAUUAUCCUUUAAUAUGCAAUUAUUUAUAAAAUUAAAGAUGUUUAAUUUAUUAAUAUCAUAUUUGAUUUUUUUUUUCAUAAUUUUUAUAAUGAAAUCAAAAUGGAAAAAUCAUUUUUUAUAACAUUUUUUUCUUUCAGCAAAUAUAGCCUAAUGAAAUUUGAAAUCUUAAAAUAAUCACCAUCCUCGAGUAACAAUACUUAGGCUCUAGUCUUUGUUGUCAUUAGUGUAAGUUGUAACUUGUUUAUUCUAUAUUAGGGGGUGGUGGUACAACACCAUUUGGUUUUAUUUUUUUAUCCUCCCUCUCUAUUCAUUUUUUUAAUUGUAAUACCUUAUUUUAUUUUUUGAUCAGUUUAUUUGUUAAGCAUCGAAGUUUUACUAUUAAGUAUUCUUUAAAAGUUUUUAAAACCUAAAAUUAGGAUAAAUAUAAAUGAAUAUGAGAUUUUUUUUUAAAACCUGAGACAAGUACAAGGUGGGUUAAUUUGGGUAAGACUUUUCCCACCCACCUUGCCUCGAUUAUAUGUAAUAUUAAAAAAGUUAUAUUAAUUAAUUUUUUCAUUUAUACUUUUUAACAUAUAUAAAAUAUUUCUUUCCAUAAAAAUAAAAUAUAAAUAUUUAUCAUAUUUAUUUAUUUUUAAUAAAAUUUAAAUUUUUUAAAUUAAAAAAACUUGAAAAUUUUUGAAAAAAAUUAACAAAAUUUAAAUGGGACAGGGUGAGAUGGGUGUGAGAAUUUCCUACACCCGCCAUGCCCUAUUUUAUUAGUUAAUUAAUUUUAUUUUAUUAGUUAAUUAAUUUAUUGGGUAGGAUUUGGAAUAGAUAUAAAUAAACUUGAUGGGAUAAAGUGAUUCUAUCCCAUUUAAUAUUUUUUUUUUUUUUGAGAUAGAAUAGAAAUAGAUAUUCGUAAACAUAAGUAAUGGAAUUGGGAUGGGGUGACUCUGUCCGAAAUUUGCAUGUUGCCAUCCUAGUGGUGAAGAGAAAAUAUUAGCAUAUUUCUCAUGCACUUACAAAAUGGAGACAAGAGCCUUGGGCGAAAGAAUUAACAUGCCAUUUUGAAUUUUUUUUUUUUCUCGAGUACCAAUCCUUUCGUCCACGGGAAUCCUAUUUUUAUACCUCAUUUCUCCAUUUAGAUAUGGAAAUCCCUUUAUUUUCAAAUACAUAAUGAAUUUUUUAAAUCAACCAUAAUAUGGAAUUAAAUUAUGUACCGUGUUAUUAAUUUUAAAAUUUGCUUCUAGAAUGACAAAUUAAUUGUUAUGUAGAUAAUGCCUUCCUUAGGAAGUUUUAUUUUGUUAAAUGUGAUGGUAUGUGGAAAUUUAAAAUUUGUUUCAUUGUGUUUUCUUAUGCUUGUUUUCAAAUUUUGAUUUUAAAUUAAAAAAAAACAAAAAAUAGUUUUUAAAUAUUUUAUAAAAAUAAGGAUGUUUAGGAAAUUAUUUUUAAAAAUAUUUUUCAAAAAGUAAAAUAAAAAACAAAAACUUAUUUGGAUAAGUUGUUUAUAAAAAUAAUUUUCUAUUUUUACUUUAUUAAAGCAUUUUAAAUUCAAUUUAUAUAAUGCUAAUUAAAUUUAAUUUAAGUCUUAUUAAAAAUGAAAAUAAUUUUAUAAUUAGAUAUAAGUUAAAAAAUAAAUAGUUUUUGAUAAAAUGUGAAUAGUAAUACUAUAAUAAAAUCAUAAAUUAUAGUUUUUUAAUAAAAAAAUUAUAUUUUGAUAAAUGUUAGAAAAAUAUGGAUAUUAACAUUUUCUUCAAAGAAUAAUUUUUUUUUUGUUAAAAAUAAAUAAUAAUAUUUUAAAAAUGAUAAUCGUUAAUAAUAUUUUAUUUAAAAUGAAUUAAAAAUAAAUAAAGUUUAGCCUUUUAAAAUGCAAAUGAGUCAAAAUUUUCAUUACAUGCACACAUUUAAAGUGUUAUCCAAUUCCAAGUUCAUUUCUCUAGUUUUAUUGCAUUAUUCCUACAUUUGCUUAUAAUUAAAUUCUUUACUUUUCUUAUUGUUUGUUUGCUAUAAAAAUAUAAUAUGUAUGGGAAGUCACUCCAAAUACGAGAUACAUCCCUUUCAAGGCUUGAAGAGUCAGUGUGAAAAUGAUUUGUUGGUUUUGAGAAUAUUAUAAUUUAAGAAAUGUUAAGAUAUGAUAGUGAUACUUACUAAAGUCCAAAUGGAUCCAUUUGAAUAUUAAUGGUGAGAUAUAGGUUAUCGAACGAGGAUAUAAGUAAAUGAGAGUAAAAUAUAAAGGAUACAAACAAAUGAAAUUAUAAUAUAAACAAUGAGACUCAAAAAUUUGUAUGUGACACACAUACAUAAAAAUAAUGAUGUAAAAGGCUUACAAUCAUGUGAAAAAUUGUUCUUCGUUUAAUUGGUAAUUACAAUUUAAACAUAAUUUUAUGGUCAAAGGGACCACAUGGAUCAUCCAAGAAAAAAUAAUCUCAAUAGCUUGGAAGUGGGAAACCAUUGACCUUCAAAUAUAUUUAAAUUUAUUUAACUGUCUUUAUAAAAUGGCUUCCUUAUUAAAGUCAAUUUUAAUGAAAUAACAUCAUAAGUCUAAUUAAAAUGAUAUAGAAAUUUGAAAUAGUUCUGACUUCUCAAUAACUCUAUUUUUGGUUGCGUAUAGAAAAAGGUCCACUAACACAUAACUUUUACAAAUGUUAGAUUCCCUUCAUUUGUGCUCUAUUUAUUCGUAUGCUUAACUUAAACACAUGCAUAAAUGAAAUUAUAAACACCUACCAUCUACAUAGUAUUGUGAACUAAGCUAGGAUAUGAUUAAAAAUGAGGCCUAUGAAAGUGCUCUAGUUGUAUUAUUUUAAUAUUAGUCUUCUUACAUUAUUGAAAUUGUGUUAAAAUUAGUUUGUCACAAACUAAUUAUUUAUUUUUUAAAUUUAUUUUCUAACUCAAAAAAAAAAAAAAAAGGAACAUAUGUUCUAAAUUGACAAAACACCUAGUUGAAGUGUUGCAGGACAAUCAACAGGAUCUUAUAUCCGUUGAUUUUUCUAUAUUUUGAAUGGAAUAGAAAAAUCUAUAAUAAAUAACUUUGUGAAGGUAUGUGCAAUAUAAAAGUUUGCUCUAUUUUUUCAAAAUUUUCUCAAAAUUAUUUUAUAAAAGAAAAAGAUUUAGGUUGUGUUUGUCUUUUUACUUAAUUCUAAAUAGAAUCUUAAUGCUUAAUAGUGUUAAAUAUUAGGUUGUCUAUUUUUGUAAUAUUUUAUUUUUAUUAAGUAUUAAAAAGUAGAGAAAAAUCAAUAUGUUAUUUUUUUCUAUUUAGAAAAAAUUACAUAUUUUGGUUUUUUCUAUUUAGUAAAAAGUCUAUAAUAAGUCAUGAAAAAGUAGAAAAACAAACAACUUAAAUUCUAAAAACAAAUUGCUUUCAGCAAAAAGCCAAAAAAACAAACACCACCUUAGAUACCUUAUAUUUAUUUUAGAAAAUUAUAUCAUUUUAGAACAAUUCCUCUAAUAAUUAUUUUCAUAGAAAAAUUUGCAAAACAUAUUUCAAGUUAAAAAAGCUAGUAUUUGUACAAGCAUCACAGUCAACAAGCAUCAAUAUUAGUGUAUAUUUGUUAGAAUUUGAUCAUCUAAAUUCUAUUUGAUUCUCCUAAAAACUUGUGGUGCGACAUAUAUGGUGAACAUAUAAUUAUGAGAUUUUUUUUAGGGGGUUUGUUCUCAUUAUUGAGUGACAAUAUUCAAUUAAAUAAUGAAAGGACCAACUAUAAAAGCAUCCUUAAUUUGUUUUUUUGUAAUAGUGGAAGAACAUUAAAAUGUUGUUUUAUAAUCAUUUCCAAAGAAGUUUCAAAUAUCCAAACAUAUUUUCAAACUCUUUUUUUUUUUUUUUGAAAAUGAAAACAUAAAAAUAGAUUUUAAUCUAUCUUCAUUUAAAUUUUUACCUCUUUGAGAUUUAUACAAUAACAAUAAAAAUCCACUAAACGUUUUUGUUUUAUUAUGAAAAGCAUACUAAUAAAAUCAAGGAAAUAAUUAAGAUUAAUCACGCCAAGUUUAGGGUAAUGCACCGAAAGUCUCCACUCAAAAGUUUAUUUUCUGACAUUAUUCCUAUAUUUACUUACAAAAUUAUUUACUUUUCUUAUUUAUUUAUUUAUUAGCUAGAAAAAUAGACUAUGUGGAAAGUCAAGGCUUGAAGGGUCAUUUUGAAAAUCAUUUGCUGGUUUUUAGAAUUUUAUAAUAUUGAACCCCAGAGGAACUCAUUAGAAUAGAAGUUUCUCCAAAUAUAAUAUAUUCCCUUCAAAGUUCAUCCCAUUACGAUGUGUGCAAUGUUUAAUACAGUGAGCAUGUGAAUUGGCCUUGGAAGAUGUUUUGGGAUGUUACUUGUUCCCGGCUCAAACUUUGACAUCAUGAAAACUAUUAUAUUUACUGGUUUAGUUACACACGUAAUAAUUGCUAAUCAUAUGAGAAAUUAUUCUUUAUUUAAUUGGUAACUACAAUUUAGACAUUGUUUUAUGUAUGGUCAAAGGGGCACAUGGAUCAUGGAAGAAAAAAUAAUACCAAUAGAUUGGAAGUGGGAAAGCAUUGACUUUCAAAUAUGUUUAAAUUUGUUUAACUGUCUUUAUAAAAUGAGUCCUUAUUAAAUUCAAUUUUAAUAAAAUAACAUCAUAAGUUUGAUUAAAAUGAGGCUCAAGAAAGCGCUCUAGUUUAUUAUUUCAAUGUAAACCUUCUUAUAUUAUUUUAAUUAUGUUAAAAUUCUUUUAUACAAAAUUUAUUAUAUAUUUUUUAAAAUUAUUUUUCUAGUGCAAAAAAAAAUGGAACAUAUGUUCAUAGAGAUGCUUGUUACAAAAGAUUAUACAUAGAUAGCAUUUCAUUUCAUUUCAUUUUUUAUUUUCUUUACUGUUUUUAAAAUUUUUAAAAGGUGAAAUAAAAUAUUGUAUUAUAUUUAUAAUUAAUUAACUAAAAUUAACUUGUUUCUAGUAUAAAAAUAUAUACACAUAUAAUUAACCUAUUCUAAUAAAUAAACAAAAUACUCAUACCCAACUUCUAAAAGAAUAUUUAAUCGACAUUAAUAUUAUUUUUUAUAUAUAUUUAUAGUAUUUGUAUUCCAUUUACACUGUAGGUCUUACCAAGUCUUUAACAUGAUUUUAUUUCGUUCAAAGUUUUGAACUUUUCAGCAUAGUAUUUUCAAUCUUGAAAAGUAUUUUCAUAUUUUUUAAGAAAAUUAAAAAUAGGGAAUUGUCACACUUUUUCCAUUUUUUGAGUUUAACUUCCUAGAAAAUGAACAUGGAAAAAAUGUGUUCAGAUAUGAUUUUCUCCUAUUUUUAUAAAUAAAAAUAAAAAAACUCUAAUAUAUAAUUUUGUAAAGGUAUGUCUAAUAUAAAAGUUUCUACUCUAUUUUUCUAUUUCAUUUUUAAAAAUUAUCAUAUCUUUAGAAUAACUUCUCAAAUUAUAAAAAAAAUAUAUAUAUAUAAACAUCUAAACAUAUUUUCGGUCUUAGUUUUUAUUUUCUAAAAAAAUGAAAAUACAAAACAUAAUAUUAGUUUAAGUAACUUGGAGGGGAAGGGCACUCCAAAUAUAAUAUACAAUGUUUAAUAGGUUGAGCAUGGCCUUGGAAGAGAUUUUGGGUUCCUAGUUGUUCCCUCCUUAAACUUUGACAAUCAUAAAAAUUCAUUACCUAAAAUUAAGUCUUAUGAUUAAAAUAUUUUAAUUAUUUCUUUGAAUGCAAUGUUAGAAUCAAAACUUUUAAUAUUGUCAUUGGUUGAAGACAAAAAUGUUAGUUUGUAUUGAUCGAUCAUUAACAUUCUGUCACAUAAUAUUAUACUAUGAUGAUGUCACUAGCACGUUUAAAAAUAUAAAAUAAAAUUAAAAAACUAAAAAAAUUGAAAAUAUAAAUAUAAUUGUUGCAUAUGGUUUUUUUUUCUUUUUUAUUUACUUGUUAGUUGGUUAAGUAAUGGUUGCUAAUGCAUGUACACUUACGCAGGAGUAAUGGUGCAAAAGACUAAUCAUGCGACAAAUUGUUCUUUGUUUAAUUUAAUUGUAAUUGUAAUUACAAUUUAAACAUUACUUUAUGCUCAAACAGGCCACAUGGGUCACAUGGAUCAUCCAAAAAAAUUAAUCUUGAAAGUGGAGACCUUUGACCUUCAAAUGUAUUUAAAUUUAUUUAACUAUCUUUAUAAAAUGAUAUCUCUAUCAAAUCAAUUUUAAUGAAAUAACAUUGUAAGUCUAAUUAAAAUAACAUAGAGCUUUGGAAUGGGUCUCUUUUCCCUUCAUUUAUUCCAUUGCUGCAUGAACGGGUCUAUUGUGAAAAAAAAAAUCUAACUAAAUUAGGAAAUAAUUAAAAUGAGUCUAGAGAAAGUCAUCUAAUUGGUCUUAGAGUGCGUUUAGUAAUAAUUUUAAGAAAUGUUUCUAAUCUUUGUAACACUUGAAAUUUUUCAUUUUUUAAGUAUUAAAAAUGCUAGAAACACUUUUUAUAGUCACUGUCAAAUGCGCUCUUAUUACAUAAUUAUAAUUAUAUUAUGUUAAAAUUAUUUUAUCAUAAAUUUAUCUAUUUUUUAUUUUUAUUUUCUAAUGCAAAAGGACGCAAUUAUGUUAACAUUAUUUUAUUAAAUAUUUAUCUAAUUUUUUAUUUGUUUUCUAAUGCAAAAAGAAGAAUAAGAAGAAGAAAAAUCGAACUCAUGUAAAUGCUUUGACAUUUAAAAUUCAAACUCACAGUGUAUGAAAUUGAUAAAAAGAAAUUUCCAUGAAUUCCAAAUAGAAAGCCACUGACUUGUUAAAGUAGCCUUAAAUUUGUUUGUCACUCAAUCAAAUUUCUUGAUGAAAUAUUUUUUAUUUUAAUUAUUUUGAUUUUCUUCAAGAUGACUUGAAGAAACCGUGUGAAAACCAUGAAUUUGUUUGAGAAUAUUGUACUGUGGAUCCGAGAAAAUCACCGGGCAUCACUCCAAAUAUGAUACAUGUCUCUUCCAAGGUUCCUUCUACGUACUGUGAUAGANNNNNNNNNNNNNNNNNNNNNNNNNNNNNNNNNNNNNNNNNNNNNNNNNNNNNNNNNNNNNNNNNNNNNNNNNNNNNNNNNNNNNNNNNNNNNNNNNNNNGAAUCUUGCUAUUUGUUGAAAGAUUGUUUGAUUUUACUUUAAUUUUCUUUUCUAAUAGUGGGGGAGCUGACUAUGUGUGAAUUGAUCAUCUUGGAAGAUCUUCCGGGAUCUUAUUUCUUCAUGUUCAAACUAAUUAUCUGAAGUUUAGUUUUAUGAUUAAAAUUUUUUAAUUAUUUAUUUGAUUGCAAUUUGUGAUUGUGUUCUUCCAAAAGUCUAAUGACCAUGUUCAUGCCUUCUCUGAAUUCAAACAAGAGGGUGAGAACCAAAAAAAAAUAUACAUUUUGUAUCCUAUGAAAACUUAUUAUAAUGUUGUUGUGUUGGACAUAAAUAAUCUGAAUUUGUGUUCAGUCAUUCACAUUCAUUCAGAAAUUCUACGCUGUGGCGUGAAAGCAUAUCUAAAAGUAAAAGAACAAAACAUAUAAAAGUAAUAAUAAUGAAAAUAAUUGUUAACCAAAAUCACGCACACGAAGGAGAAAAUUAAGGAAAACACAGAUUUUAACAUGAUUCAACAAUCAUUGUGGUUCCUCCAUCCAUACAAUGCACCAAGAUUUAGCAAUCCACUGAAUACUUAACGAUCCACUGAUCAAAAGGAAAAAGAGUAGAAUGUGAUAGCUUUUCACACUUGUGAUAGGCAGCAAUAAACAGCCGUGCAAGCUGACAUUGCAUGCAACAGCUGCUCCUACUUCAGUUGCUUCUCCACAUGACACAAGUUCCGAUUUUACACUUCCAGCAUCCAGUCAGGUUUAUGAUCUUCCACCUUGCAUCCAAGUUCCAUUUGCCGAAUUUGAUUCCAUCACUACCAGUUCAUGACAACCUCUCCCUAUCAAUUCCCGCCCGAUGGUCACUAGAGCCAAAAAUGGUAUCAUCAAGAAAAAGAUCUUUAAUUUCUUGCUUCCAUGGUUGCUGAACCUUCAACAUUUACACAAGUUGUCAAGGAUCCAAAUUGUGUCCCAACUUCCAUACCAAGCUUUCUGUCGUCUCGGGUGAUAGGUAGCAACAAACGGCCACUAGUGCAAGAAGCAACAAACAGCCACUGGUGCAAGAAGCUAACUGACGUUGCAGGCAACAGCUCAAGCAGUUGCAAACCUGUUGCAAGAGAGCUUCAGUUUAUUAGAUGGUUCGGUAAUUCAGGAGAUUCCAAUUCUGUUAGGAUACUUAAAUAUAAAUAUGUGAAACUCAGAGCUUGUUUUAUAUUUUAGUUUUCGUUUUCCAUAAAAUCAGUUUCUGAAUUUACAUGUUAUCAGAGCGCUUCCUGGUGCUGCCUCUGAAUUUUUCUUUCCUUUUCUUUUCCAUUCUCUCUCUUUCUAGUAUGACUCAUUCCUAGUGCUGCUAGAAAAUCUCAUAUUUCUUUGUGAUUCAGACUUUAAUCAUGACGACCACAGCUCAGUCAUCUGGGUUACAGACUGAUACACCACCUUCAUCUACUAUUACACAGUCUCAUGCAGAUGCUCAACCAUACUCUUCCAAUAAAGCUUGACAGGAACAAUUAUAUACUUGACGUACACAGAUGGAGAAUGUGAUUUUCGCCAAUGGCUUUGAAGAUCACAUAGGAGGGCUGAAGGUGUGUCCUCCAAGAUCUACCAGUUCCGAUGAUACAAAUCCAGACUUCAUUGUGUGGAGAAGGUUUGAUUGUAUGAUACUAAACUGGAUUUAUUCAUCACUCACUCCCGAAAUAAUUGGCCAUUAAACCUCUCAUACAGCAUGGUCGGCAAUGGAGAAAAUAUUCUCAGCUUCGUCAAAGGCCCGGGUUAUGCAGUUGCGAUUGGAAUUUCAGACAACAAGAAAGGGAUAUCUUUCAAUGCUGGAGCAUAUUCUCAAAUUAAAAAAUUAAUUUAGUCGAUAACCUAGCUGCCAUUGAAGAACACGAAAAUGAUAGAGAUCAAAUAUUGCAGCUCCUUGGAGGUCUUUGAGCAGACUAUAAUUCUAUAGUUGCUUCACUUACCACUCGUGAAGAUGAAGUUUCUCUUCACACUGUCCACAGCAUUUUGUUAACUCAUGAACGGCUGAAUCUACAAAAUUCAGUAACAGAAGAUGGUGUUGUCUCUGCCAACAUUGCAAUGCAACAUCCAUGACAUAGAAAUCAUAACAAGAAGCAUCACAAUCGGAAUGCCUCUGCCCACAACAGAUAUAACUCACGAAGAGUCCCCAACAGUGCCCAAAGUACAGGCCCGCACAACAAUAGUGCUAACCGACCAUAGUGCCAAUUAUGUGGAAAAUUUGGGCACAGUCAUUAGCUGUUAUCACCGACAUUAACUUUCAAGGAUAUAAUCCUCCAUCAAAUUUGACUUCAAUUAACAAAACUCUUCAGAACAACCCCAAGCAAGCUAUGUUAGACUUUCCUUCCACCAUGAAUAAUGAAGCAUGGUUUUUUUAUGCCGGGCAACAGAUCACCUGUCUUAAGAUAUUGCUGCACUCUCAGAUGUUCAGCCAUACAAGGGGAGUGAUAAAGUGACUAUUAGGAGUGGUAAGCAACUACCAAUUCUCCAUACUGGUACAAAGUUCUUCCACUCUUCUCCCAAAACAUUUUAAUUACGAAGAGUCUUUCAUGUUCCUAAUCUUGCAACCAAUUUGAUCAGUGUCAAAAUUCUGCCAUGAUAACUAUACUUUCUUCUUUUAGUUUCAUCCUCGUUUCUUUCUUCUCAAAGAUCAGACCACAAAGAAAGUCUUACUCCAAGGUUAGCCUGAACAAGUAUUAUACAGAUUCCCUACGGCUAUGUUUGGUUCCCGGAAAAUGCUAAGGAAAGGAAAAAAAAUCAUGUGGAAAAUUAUUUUCUUUAGUUUUGGUGAAAUGGAAAAUAUGAUGGAAAAAAAAUAUAAAGGAAAAUAUUAAAGAAAAUAUCAUAAUAUUUUCCCUACUAUUUUCCUUAAAAAAUAAUGAGGAAAAUAAGAGAAAAAAGAGAAAGAAAAAGGUGGAGAAAAUUUUAUCGGGCUGCUAUCAUCUUCAUCGGAACCAGCGCAGGACACUAGAGUUGGUCUCACGAUGCAGGAAGCGAUCGAUGACAGUGUCCGUAGAGGGGUGGCCGAAGACGAAGGCCCUCUGCCCGGAGAGAAGACGAUGACAGCGGCCUCAACACUGCACAAAAAGCAGAGCUCGCCGGCCUUCUUGAAGAGUCCUGUUCGAUGCUUGGAGAAGGUGACCUCCAAGGACCUUUUCUUCUCGAUUUUUUUGAUUUCUAUCUUCUAUCUUCUCAUGCUUUGUUUGUUCGACGCUUGGAGAAGGUGACCGUCCUGACCUCCAAGGACCUUUUCUUCUCGAUUUUUUUUUAUUUCUAUCUUCUGUCUUCUCAUGCUCUGUUUGUUCGACGCUUGGAGAAGGUGACCUCCAAGGACCUUUUCUUCUCGAUUUUUUUUAUUUCUAUCUUCUGUCUUCUCAUGCUCUGUUUGUUCGACGCUUGGAGAAGGUGACCUCCAAGGACCCUUUCUUCUCGAUUUUUUUUAUUUCUAUCUUCUGUCUUCCCAUGCUCUGUUUUUUCACCAUAUUUGUAUUUGUCGAAGACAUGCUCUGUUUUUUCACCUUGUGUUUGCCAUAAUUGAAGUCGACUUCAAUGAAUGUUUCUUGAUGGCUUGAUUGCUUUUUAUAUUGAUAAAAAGCAAUAUUCAAAAAGAUUUUCUAAAUCUUAAUUUAGAAAUACAAUGUUUCCAUAUACCCUAAAAAUAAAAAGCUACUAUAUAAAAUAUAAAAUUCAAAAUUCAAAAAGAUUCCCUAAAUCUAAAUUUAAAAAUUAAAUAGGUAAAAAUAAAAAGUUACUAUUUUUUAUUUUUACAAAUAAAAAAUAUUUUAUAUUGUAUCUUUUUAUUUUUACAAAUUUAAUUUUUAAAUUUAGAUUUAGAAAAUCCUUUUUAAUUUUGAAUUUUAUAUUUUAUAUAGUAGCUUUUUAUUUUUACAUUAUAUGAACAUAUUUUAUUUCUAAAUUUUGAUUUCAAAAAUCCUUUUGAAUUUUUUUAAGAGCUUUUUAUUAGCUGUAAAUGUUCCCUUGAAAAUAAAAAAUAGUUAUUACUCGCAUAUUUUAUUUGUAUUGCAUGAGGAAAAUUUUAUACAUAAAUCUUAUAAUUAAUAAUAAAAAAAAUAAUAGCAGAGACUUUUUAUUAGCAACGUUUCAUCGAAAAAUUCACUAUUUUCAACAGUAUUUUUAUUGGAUUAAUUUAUUUUAUUAUUCAAUAAAUUGAUAACCAUUUAAAACAAAUUGUUGAUUUUGUUUUCCUUCUAUUUUUCCAUGACUUUUUUUUCAUGAUUAACCAAACAAAAGAAAAUGAAUUCUUUUUUUUUUUCCCUUGAAUUUUCCAUGGAUAACCAAACAAGUGAAAAAAUAUAUAUUCAUUUCCUUAGCUUUUUCUUUCCUUCUAUUUUUCCUCCCAAUUUUCUUUCUCUUGUAUUUUCCGGAACCAAACAUAGCCUACAAGAAUUAGCCAUACACGUGCAGUUCUCUCUUGUUCCAGUCAUGUCAACACACCACUAAGUACCCAUUUUCCAGCCAUGUCAAGACAAUAAUCGAACCUUCACAUCUUAGCAGUGAACUAUGGCAUGCUCGCCUUGGUCAUCUAGCUGAUAGUAUUCUUAAACAUGCUCUCAAGUUUUGUAAUGUCUCAUUUCAAUAUUCCAAACAAAAUGUAUGUUAUGCUUGUCAAUAUGCAAAAAGUCGUAGACUACCUUUCUCUUCGUCUACAUCCAGAGCAACUCAUCAUCUUGCUUUAGUCCAUACCGACUUAUGGGGCCCUGCUCCAAUAACAUCCAGUAGCGAUGCAAGAUGCUUUCUUUUAUUCAUUAAUGACUUCUCUAGGUUCUCCUGGAUUUAUCCUCUACAUACUAAGGCUCAAGCAUUGGCCACUUUUGUUAAAUUUAAAAUUUUAGUGGAGAAUUAAUUCAAUGCUUACAAUCAGAUAAUGGAGGAGAAUUCAAAGCCUAUCAUUUCGUAAUAGCAUUGCAAGAAAUAUUUUUCUAUUGAAGAAAAAACUUAUCUCCGGUUCUUUACACUAAAGCUAUGUUUGGUCCCCAGAAAAUGUGAGAGAAAGAAAAUUGGGAGGAAAAAUGAAAGAAAAGAAAAAGUUAAGGAAAGGAAUGUAAUUUUUUUCACUUGUUUGGUUAUCCAUGGAAAAUUUAAGGGGAAAAAAAAAAGAAUUCAUUUUCUUUUAUUUGGUUAACCACAAAAAAAAAAAAAAAAAAGUCAAGGAAAAAUGGAAGAAAAAUAAAAUCAACAAUUUGUCUUAGAUAGUUAUCAAUUUGUUGAAUAAUAAAAUAAAUUAAUCCAAUAAAAAGACUGUUGAAAAGUGUGAAUUUUUCGACAUAAAACAUUGCUCAUAUGUUGCUUACGUAGGGAAAGGAAGAAGACAGAAUAGAAGGGAAGGAGAGUAGAAGAAAAAGAUUUGCAGAGAAGAUAGAAUAUUUGAGGAAUAAUUUUCAUGCCCCCAUCAUGUCAGGGUCCUUUCAUUCUUAUAGGCAUAUUUGUAACAAACUCAUAACAGAAUACAUCAUUGCCAGUGAUUCCCAUAACAGAAUUCAUCAUUGCUACUCAUUGUGUGGUCCCUAUUUGGUGGCCAUAACGAAAUCCUUAAACCGUUUUGGUGCGUUUCUGAUUCUAGUCACAUGUUUGUUGUUGGUUGCUACUGGAUUUUGCUGGGCUUCACUCGCUUCCGAUGCUGAUUUGUCCAGUGGGCCUGCAUCAUUACCCUUGUCUUCGAAACUGACCUUGUCCUCAAGGUUGAAAUCAGGGAAAUCUUGCUGGAAUUCGUGAGUGUUUUCCCAGGUGGCAUCAGAGGGGUCUUGUCCUUCCCACUGAAUUAAGAGUUGAGGACAAAGUUUGCCCAACUGCGAAAUCUGCCGGAAUCCCAAAACAUGAGCAGGUUGGAGAAUGGGGUUAGAGUCUUUGAAUCGGGCGGGUAGUGGAAUUUGUGGCUGCUCCAGCGAGUCUCCUCGACAUUUUUUUUAAAUUGGAGACAUGGAAGACGUUAUGGAUUCGGGCAUCCUCAGGAAGGGCUAGCUUGUAAGCCACUGCGCCGAUCUUGGUGAUGAUGCGAAACGGACCAAAGAACCGUUUGGAGAGCUUUUGAGACUGGCGAUGGGCUACUGUAGUUUGUCUGUAGGGCUUCAGCUUGAGAAAAACCCAGUCAUCAACCUGGAAUGUAAUGUCAGUUCUAUGGGUAUUGGUUUGGUUGCGCAUCCUGGUUUGUGCACGCAGCAGACUGUCUUUGAGAGUUGACAGGAUUUGAGUCCUGUCUUUCAGGAGGGCAUCAACAGCAUCUAUAGAGGCCGAAUCUCCCAAGUAGUCUAACAGUGAUGGAGGGGGACGGCCAUACACAGCUUCAAAUGGUGUCAUUUUGAUUGUUGAAUGGUAUGCUGUGUUGUAGUGCCAUUCCGCCCAUGACAAGUAAUGUAACCAUUGCUUGGGAUGGUCAGCCACAAAACACCUUAAGUAAUCCUCAAGGCAGCGGUUUAAGACUUCCGUCUGUCCGUCAGUUUGGGGAUGGUAUGCGCUACUUGUUGCAAGAGUCGUGCCCUGUAAUUUGAAGAGCUCUUGCCAAAACGAACUCAUGAAGACAGGAUAUCGGUCCGAGAUGAUGGUGGUGGGAAAACCAUGUAACCGGACAAUCUCUUUAAUGAAGAGGGCAGCCACCAUGGGGGCGUUGAAUGCACCCGGUAAAACUGCAAAGUGAGCUUGCUUGGAUAGCCUAUCAACCACCACCAUGAUUACGGAUUUUCCCGAUGCGGGCGGCAAGUGAGUAACAAAAUCCAUUGAGAUAGAAUCCCAUAUUUUACCCGGGAUUGGAAGUGGCUGAAGUAAUCCCUGUGGUGCUUUGUUGAAUGGUUUGAUAGCUUGACAGACUUGACACCUUGCCACAAAAUCUCGAACCAAUUGCCGCAUUUUUGGCCAAUAGAACAUGCUAGCAAUCCUUGACAGGGUCCGUUGCAUGCCUGCAUGUCCUCCCACAGGAGUGUUGUGAAAUUCUGUCAGGAUUAAGCGUUGUAAAGCUGAAUCCGGAGGAACAACAACUUUGCCGUUGAACCAAAGCAACCCUUCACGGACAGCAUAACCAGUAGAAUCAUCUUGCUGUGCUGAUUGCAUUAGGUGAGCCGACGGAGGGUGUUGUUGGUAGAAUUCUUUAAGAGCAUCCCAGAUUGCCAUCACCGGUUUGGAUACGAUUUGAAGCGCCAUGUAGGUGUGUUCAACAAGGCGAGACAGAGCGUCAGCUGGUUGGUUCUCUCUUCCAGGCCUGUAACAAAUAUCAAAAUCAAAACCAAGCAAUUUUGUUAGCCAUUUUUGUUGCUCAGGGGUCUGGAUUGUCUGAUUAUGCAAUGCGCGAAGGCUUUGAUGAUCAGUCUCCACUAUGAAUCUGCGGCCAAGGAGGUAUUGUCGCCAUUUUUGGAUUGCUUCUGUGAUGGCAAACAUUUCUCUGCAAUAGGCGGAUUCCCUUCUGAGCUUCGAAGGUAAUUCCUUACUGAAGUAAGCAAUAGGGUGACCCUUUUGAACCAAAACCGCUCCUAUGCCCGAGCCGGAUGCAUCUGUCUGCAAGACAAAAGGGUUAGAAAAAUCAGGCAUUGCGAGGACUGGUGUGGUGGCUAGCGCAUGCUUCAGAGCUUCAAAAGCGCCAGUGGCUUCCUUGGUCCAGACAAAGGCAUUCUUGCACAACAGCUUGGUGAGAGGGGCGGUAGUGGAGGCAUAGCGAUAAACGAAACGCCGAUAAUAUCCGCAUAAGCCGAGGAAACCUCUCAGUUCUUUGAUCGUUGCUGGCAGCGGCCAUUUUUGUAUAGCCGAAACCUUGUCUGGUUCAACCGCUACACCCUGGUCAGAGAUCCUAUGGCCCAGAUAGCUUAACUCCACACAGCCAAACUCACAUUUAGACAAUUUAGCAAAUAAGGAAUGGGAAGCAAGGACCGAGAAUACCAUUUCCAAGUGUUUCUGGUGGUCUUCCCAUGAUUUGCUGUAGACCAAAAUGUCAUAAAAAAAGACCAAAACAAACUUUCUCAGUUUGUCACGAAAAACAGAAUUCAUUAAAGCUUGGAAGGUGGAUGGCGCAUUUGAUAGGCCGAAUGGCAUUACAAUAAACUCGUAAUGGCCUUCAUGUGUGCGAAACGCCGUCUUUUCAAUAUCUGGUGGAUGAAUUCGGACCUGAUGAUAUCCUGCUCUGAGAUCCAGCUUUGAGAAGACUGAAGCUCCAUACAGCUCGUCGAGCAGUUCGUCGACUGUAGGGAUUGGAAAACGGUCUUUAACCGUGACAGCAUUCAGGGCGCGAUAAUCUACACAGAAGCGCCAUGUUCCGUCCUUCUUUUUGACCAGUAAAACUGGAGAAGAAAAAGGGCUGGUGCUUGGGCGGAUAAUCCCAUCCCGAAGCAUCUCUCCGACCAGUUUUUCGAUUUCCUCAUUUUGAAAAUGUGGGUACCUGUAAGGUCUGACAUUGACUGGGGUUGUGUUGGGUAGUAGGGGUAUGCGGUGGUCUAGUUGGCGUUGGGGGGGAAGGCUGGAUGGUGGUGCAAAAUUCUGACGAAAUUGAUUGAGGAGGGACUGAAGCUGUUGGCGGAAGUGUGGUGGAGCUUGAACCCCGAUUUUUGGUUCUGUGGAGGUGGGGACGUGGUCAACUGAUAAUAGGUAAAAGUGGGCUAUACUGUCGGUUUGGAGGGAUCUGGAUAGUGGGUUUAGUGUCAUUUGGGCAAUGGACGGCUGUGUUAGCCCAUGGAGCUUUGUUUUAACCCCUUUGUAGUCAAAUUCCAUCCAUAGUUUCUUAUAGUCAAAAAGAAUUGGCCCAAGUUCAGAAAGCCAUUGAACCCCAAGGACAAGAUCUGCACCAUAUAUUGGUAGUAGUAAUAGAUCCACAGCAAAAUAGGCUUCUCCUAAAACCAGUGGUACUCGUGAGCAAGCCCCUGCACAGCCCAAAGAAUCGCCAUUGCCGAUCGUUACUUUCAGGUGUGGUGAUGUUUGAACCGUAAGGCCCAAAUGUUUUGUUAACCUGGAUUGAAUGAAGUUAUUUGUGGAGCCUCCGUCGAUGAGAACGACAACUGACUGUCCAUUAAUGGAACCAGCCAAUUUCAGUGUCGAAGGGAUGAGUUGCCUUGUAAAGGCAUGGAACGAGAUUUGUGGGUGGUCUAUCAUCAGCUCAGGCUGUUCUCCUUGGAUUGUUACCUCCGUGGCCGCCAAUUGUACUUCAUUGGGCACUCCAUCAUUUUCUGUCAUCAGGCACAAAAACUGCGGAGGGCGGCAACGAUGGCCCGGUACAAACUUGUCAUCGCAGUUAAAACACAAACCCUGUGCUCAGCGAGUUGCCAUUUCAGCUGGCGUGAGGCGUUUGAGAGGUAGAGGAGUGGCUGGUUUGGUCGGUGCUGAUGGUGUGGGGAGGGCGGUGCUUUUCUUAAAGAACGGUUUGGCCGUAUUACACUUAUCUUCCAAGAGUUUGGCUAAUCCCAUAGCUUCAUGCAAGGUGUAAGGUUUGAGUAUGGAUAACUCGCGUUGAAUAUCGUCACGGAGUCCAGAUAUGAAACAGUUAAGCAUGUUAGCGUGGCUUAACCCUGUCACGCGAGUUGAAACAUUCUCAAAAUCCGCCAGAUAUGCUUCCACAGUGGAGGUUUGUUUGAGUUUGUAUAAUUGUGCCUCAUGGUUGAUGAACUUGGAGGGUCCAAACCGCAGGUCCAGUUGGUGAGUGAAAACUUCCCAAGAGGAAAGUUGUGAGGUAGAGUGCAUCCAUUGGAACCAUUGCAGAGCAAUACCAGUCAUGUAAAAAGCUGCGAUGGUCAUUUUCUAAUCCGGGGGUGUACGGUGAUAGGUAAAGAAACGUUCCAUCGGGAACACCCAGCCUUGAACAUUAUCACCGCUAAAAAGAGGGAUCUCCAAUUUUGGGAGCCGAGGAGGUGGAAAAACAGAAGGGUCACCUGGUGGGGGAAAGGUAUUGGAUGAUGAACCAGUGGCAAAGGGGCUGGAAAGUUUUGAUGAAGGUUGUGGUAAUGGGAGUAGAGGUGGUGGAGGGGCGGUUGUGGUAGGUAAAGUGAGGGUGGAUAGCUUGGCCACAACAUACUGUAGAAUGGUGGAAUGAGAAGAGAUGGCUGUGGUGAGGGUGGAAAGUUUGUCAGCGGUGUAUUUUUGGAGGUCAGCGAUGGUGGUAGUGUGUUCUUGGUAUUUGUCGUGGAGUUUGCUAAUUUGCUCAGCAUGGUCUUUGGCACGAGUGACAGCACCCUCAGCCAUGGAAUUCAAUGAAAGCACCAAAAAUGUUGCUUACGUAGGGAAAGGAAGAAGACAGAAUAGAAGGGAAGGAGAGUAGAAGAAAAAGAUUUGCAGAGAAGAUAGAAUAUUUGAGGAAUAAUUUUCAUGCCCCCAUCAUGUCAGGGUCCUUUCAUUCUUAUAGGCAUAUUUGUAACAAACUCAUAACAGAAUACAUCAUUGCCAGUGAUUCCCAUAACAGAAUUCGUCAUUGCUACUCAUUGUGUGGUCCCUAUUUGGUGGCCAUAACGAAAUCCUUAAACCGUUUUGGUGCGUUUCUGAUUCUAGUCACAUGUUUGUUGUUGGUUGCUACUGGAUUUUGCUGGGCUUCACCCGCUUCCGAUGCUGAUUUGUCCAGUGGGCCUGCAUCAUCAUAAAAAGUCUCUAUUAUUAUUUUUUUAUUAAUAAUUAUAAGAUUUAUGUAUAAAAUUUUCCUCAUCCAAUACAAAUAAAAUAUACGAGUAAUAACUAUUUUUUAUUUUCAAGGGAACAUUUAUAGCUAAUAAAAAGCUCUUAAAAAAAAAAUCAGAAGGAUUUUUGGAAUCAAAAUUUAGAAAUAAAAUAUGUUCAUAUAAUAUAAAAAUAAAAAACUACUAUAUAAAAUAUAAAAUUCAAAAUUAAAAAGGAUUUUCUAAAUCUAAAUUUAAAAAUUAAAUUUGUAAAAAUAAAAAGAUACAAUAUAAAAUAUUUUUUAUUUGUAAAAAUAAAAAAUAGUAACUUUUUAUUUUUACAUAUUUCGAUCUUACAUUCGGCCAAAACUCACUAAGGAGCUCCUUCAAAAUCUCCAAAUUUCCCCCUCUCGUAGUAGCAUGAACAGCUCUAUUUAUCAUCUCCCAUUUAAAAACAGAAAGGAUUUCCCCAAUUUGCUCUUCCAUCUCUCCACCUUUGUCGAUGGAGAACCUUGGGGAGACUACAAAAUAAAAAACAAGACUAAAAACCUCACAAUUCUUUCUCCUGGCAGCAGCAUAAAGUAUAUCAGUGACACCAUAUUCUCCUUCUCCAAAAACAAGAAGAGGGUCUCUUUCAAGCAGUUCCUGAACAAAACCCAAGUCUCCAGCUGAGGCAGUAGUAUAUAGAAACCAUCCACCAUAGCUAGACCUGAACACAAGCUUGUGCUUCAUUUGCAAUCUAGAACAUGCAACCUUAGGGAAGUUGUAAUUUUUGGAAGCAUUAUUGAAAAGGUCUCCAUUCCUGCUCUACAUUCAAGGUAUGUGCUUGUGUGUAUAUAUUUGAUUGGUUUGUUCUUCUAAUGAUAGGUGUAAACUAUAGUUUGUUAGUUGAAGCAGUUUGGUAUAUGGGUGACAGAGGUAGUAUCCUAAAAAAAGGAGGAUAGAUUCAAGCUCUCCCGAAUGAAAUUGGAAUAUGUUGUGCACAAAAAAUUUUCAAAGUGUUUUUUUUAAAAAACUUUGUAAAACUUUUUUAACAGCAUAAAAGUUUUUUUUUUUUUAAGUUUUCAUUCUAUUUUUUAUGCGUUCAGAGUUACAACUCAAUUCAAAAUUUUCUCCAAUUUCUCGAGCAACUAUUGCAUAAGUUGUCUUGGUGAAGACUCCUCCUAUCUUUUGCCCUUUAUGCAUUUGCUCCAUUAAUUGAUCAACCAAAAAGUUGUCCAUUUCAUCAAUCCAAGUCAAGUUUUUUUUUUUCACUUACACUUUUGUGUACUUCAAAACCUUCACUAUGUUCCAUCUAAAAUAAUAAUACAUAUAUAAAUGUUUAAAAUGAAAAGUCAAAAGGAGGAUAUAUAAUAAUAACUUCAUUGUAACUCAUUCAAAAUGUGAUUUUAACUAGAGGAGUUAUAGUUCUAAAUACAAUCAUCGUACUUAAUAUGAAACACAAAAAACUAUACAAGAAAAGAACCAUAAAAUAAAAGGACUCAUCAACGGUUUCUAUUGUAAUCUUUCCACAUGUCCAUGGCUAUUUUCUCUCUUAAGAUUUCUCCUUCCUUGCAUUUUUCAACUAAACUCAAGACCAUUGAUUCAAACUCUACUUCUUCGCUAAAAAGCUCUCUAUCGACCUCUGCUACUAAUUUUUCAUCUAGAUCAACACCCAUGAGAUAGUUAUGGAGGAUACAACAUGCUAGUAUAAUAUCAGAUUGUGUGUCAACAGGGUAAUGUGGCUCCGUCCCACUAGCUAUUAUUGGAAACCUUUUCUUCAAAACACCAAAUGCCCUUUUAAUUGCAUUUCUCAAGGACGAGUGUCGAAGGUUGAAAACCUCUCGAGUAUUUCUGGUUGAUGAACACUAUACUCUUUUAAAUGGUAACGAGUGCUUCUAUAUGGGGUAAGAAAUCAAGUUUUUAGCUAAAAACCUACAUCAACCAAAUAAUAUUUACCUAAGAAGCAUAAACAAAGGAUCUUUAUUAUUAGUAAUAGUCACAUGAGCUAAUAAAUUAUGUUAUUAUCUAAUCACCAAUAAUCACCUUGUGGAACAAUCAAUUUAUCAAAAUCUCUCAUUAAUGCAUUAUCUAGGAUUCUCAAGCCUGACACAGAUCCUUCCCAACCAGGUAUAACAUAUGUGAACUUCAAGUCAAAGGAACAUGCUGCUAAAACAUUUUGUGUUGGAUAGUACUUUCGCCUUCGAUACCUUUGUACAACAUCAUUUGACACUUUUACACGAAAAUGUAACCCAUCAGUCGCCCCUAUGCAAUCCUAUAAAAAAAAAAUUAUUAGUUUAUUUUGAAAUAUAAAUAAUAUUCUAAUGAUGUUUGUUAGAUAAGUAAGUUUACCUUAAAGUAGGGCCAAAAAUUAGUAUUGUCCUUGAUUUCUUGAGGGCACUUUAAUCCAUCAGGCUACUUUAAGAAGACAUCAUCUAAAGAUAUUAUAGCUCUAAGAACUUGAUGAAAGUGACGACUAACAGUUUCACUAGAACGCUUAAAAUAAAAUUUCGUAGUUCUAUUCCUUAAAUUAUGACCAACAAUGUGAAGGAAUUUGGCAACUUGUUCUUCUACAUUACUAUGUGCAUUAUUUCUAAGACGACCUGUUCCCCGAAGAAUGUUUACUAGUCUUGCGAAUGCAUCCUUUCCCAUACGUAGUUGAUUAUAACAAUCUUCAUUAUCCAUUAGUGUAAGUCUUUCCAUCAAAGCAUGUCGUUCAUAAUCUCCUUCAUUAGAGAUUGAUCUCUCCAAAUAGUUUGAGCGAUGAUAAACUAAAACAAGAAUUGCCGCAUAUGCAACAUACAUAGCUACACAAGUUGCAGCCCAUCUUCUAAGUCUUUGCCACUCUUCAUUAUAAGUCUACAUGAUAGCAAAGUAAGAGGAAUGAUUUAGUAAAGUCAUUAGGAAAAGUAAGAGGAACUGAAGUAUUAUGAUUUCCAGCUAUGAAAAUUUUGAGGAAAAUAUUGCAUGAAAAUUAAGGAUAAGGAAAAUAUUGCAAGUCAUGGAGGGUUUUGCAGUUACUGGGUGUUCCUGCCUGGCUUUCCUGGCCUAGCAGGUGAGAUACCAGUACCAUAUGCUUUUGCUCAACUAUCUGGAGACAUUUUGCACACAACGGGUCAGCUCUAGGUAUCGCCUAGGUAAAGGGAUGCUUCUGCCCACUAGUUCUUUUCUUGAUGUUAAUUGCAACAUGGCUUUGCUAUAUAAUGUUGGAACAAGGAGACAAAACUGCUUGGUUCUAUCAAUCAAGACACUGAAUUAAUUGGACCUCUUUGCUUGAUGUUGAACACUUUUUAAAAAUUGUACUUUAUGGGCUGGGCUUAGAGUGAAUACGUGUGAAUUAGUGUGUCGCGUUGUGAGCUACAUUUAAUCCAUCAAGAAUAUGGACCCUAUGCUGUAUCACAAACAAACAAAAUUGAAAUAAAUGCUUGGAGAAAAUGCAUGAAAGGAAAAUAACUCAGAGUUAAAACUAAUUAUUCUUCAGUAAAGGAUUGUGUAAAAGACUUCAGAUUAAUCCAGCAAUUACAAUGGGGAAAAAGAUAGUUUGGGGCGUGGGCCUCAUUGGAAGUUCUUUGCAUAAGAUAAAAAAAAGGAGAGGGCAGACAUGCUAUAUAUUAAUUGGCAUUAAACCCUAGCUACUAACAUAAAGUAUGAGCCAUGACCUAUGAAGAUAAGCAGGAGUAAAUGACACUAAAGAUGACAAGCUUGGAAUUUUAAAUAAUUUGGAAUUCUGGAAUCAUUCAAGCUUAAUUUAUGAAAGAAUUAAUUGGUAGAAGGUUGAGGCUGAUUUUCUGAGCUAUCUUACCGCCAAAUUGAAAAGGUAGUACUGCUGCUCCCAUCAAAACUUCUCAUGGCAUACCAUCUUAACAAAGACUCAAGUGCACUGCACCUCUUCUGACAUCUUUAUUUAUCCACGUAAAUCAUGUUGGACAAACAUGAAUUCAGUAGGAAUCCAGAUCUCUCUUAGCAUACUGCCAAAUCUGGGACUGGAGAGUCCAUGAGGAUUCCGGACUUGGUUAUUUAAGAUUGAUUUCAUAGGAUGCAAACAAACACUAAUAUAGUUUUCGAGUUAUUUGCAUUAUUAGUAAAGUAUGCUAAAUGCUUCAUAGUUUAUGUUUUCUGCAGUUUUUAAGGAAGCCUGCAUCAGUGUAUAUAACAAGAUCACCUAAACCAGUGGCCAACCAAAAGAACAAAACUGGCCACAGUAUUUAAAAUCAUGUCUCAACCAUGUCUCAUUAGGAGUUAGCAUGGAGGACAAACCAGGUUUAAAAUCUUGCACUGGAAAAAAACUUGGGUGCAAUUACAGAAAUUCCAGAAUCACCCUAGAAUGAAAUGGGCAGAGCAGAGCAGGUUUCCCAGUUUAAUAUGUUCUAUUGCCACCUCUAUUUUAGACAAAGUCCCCAUAUCAAAAGACAGAGAAUCCAAAACCCUUAAAUUGUUGGCCUAUUGUUGCCAGUCUAUUUUCUCACUUCUCAAAGCCAAGAAAGAUACACAAUCAUCAAAUAUCUAAAAAAAUUUAUCCAUCACCAUAAAGUGGGCGGCAUUAGACCAAACUUAUCCAACUAAAAAAGACAAUUAAACUUUUCUUAUAUUAGAACUGAAAGACUCUUGCAACUUUGUGCCCUAUACUCCCUCAGAAGCUAUAUAAUAUUGCUGAAAAUUUGCCAUAGUGCUUAUAUAAAUAGUACACGCACUCCUCCACAUCCCAUAGAAAAACUAAGAGCCGAAAUUCAUCAUCAACACAUUUUCCCUCCAUAAAAUCAUUUUCAAAGCACAGAUCUCUAGUAAUCAGAUCUCAAAAACCCUAAUGCUCCAGUAAACAAACACAAUCAAACAUUUGUAACAGCACAGAUAGAUUCAAACAGAGAACGUGGUUCACACUGAAACAGAAACCAAAGUACAUUAGGACUGCAUCUAUAGUUUCCCCCUUUUUUUUCCAGAUGGACACAGAUUUUUCAUUUUGGGAAGAAAAAAGGCUUGCUGGUUGUGUUCUAUUUGAUAACCUGAUUGAGAUCCAUGCCACCCCUUGGCCUGCUAAGGUUCUUGUAACCGAAUCAAGGUAAUUCUCAAUUCCUUGUAUUUAUUAGAUGAAUAAUACUUGUUUAUAUAUACAGUUGAGAGUCCUAAAUUAGGAAGGUAUUAUCCCUAAGGAAACAACCAAAUUAUGGUAUGUACAAAUAUAUACAGCUAACACUCCCCCUCAAGCUGGAGCAUAGAUGUUGAUCAUGCCCAGCUUGUUACAAAAGUACUCAACUCGAGUUCCAUUUAGAGCUUUUGUAAAAAUAUCCCCAAGUUGCUCUCCAGUCUUCACAUAGCUAGUAGAGACUAGAUUUUCCUCAAUCUUUUCACGAAUGAAGUGACAAUCGACCUCAAUGUGUUUGGUUCUUUCAUGAUAGACUGGGUUCGCAGCAAUAUGAAGAGCGGCUUGAUUGUCACACCAAAGCUUUGCUGGCAUUGUGCACUUCAUUCCCACUUCACAUAAGAGUUGAUGUAUCCAUAUGAUUUCACAAGUAGCCUGUGCCAUGGCCCUGUACUCAGAUUCUGCACUCGAACGGGAUACAACACUCUGCUUCUUACUUUUCCAAGCCACUAGAUUCCCGCCAAAGAACACACAAUAACCUGUAGUGGAUCUUCUAUCAAACUUAGAACCUGCCCAAUCUGCAUCAGAAAAACACUCGAUGCGAGUGUGUCCCUGACUACUAUAUAGUAUACCUAGACCAGGAGCCUUCUUUAGAUAGCACAAAAUCUGCUCUAAAGCCGCCCAAUGCUUUAUUGUAGGCGCAGAUGUGAACUGACUAACAACACUUACUGCAUAUGCAAUAUCUGGUCGCGUCACGGUGAGAUAAUUCAGCUUCCCAACCACUCUCCGAUACCUUUCAGGGUUGUAGAAGGGAUCUCCAUCAUCUGGCAUAAGUUGUACAUUAGGAACCAUUGGGGUAGUACAUGGCUUUGCUUCUAUCUUACCGGUCUCUUUCAGCAAAUCAAGCACAUACUUCCUUUGUGAUAAGAACAUCCCUUUCUUGCUCCUUGAUACUUCUAUUCCCAGGAAAUACUUCAGUUCACCCAAGUCCUUUGUAUGAAACUUGGAAUGCAUGAAUGUCUUAAGAUCAGAGAUUCCUGCAUGAUCAUUUCUUGUAAUAACUAUAUCAUCGACAUAGACCACAAGAAGUAUGAUACCAGCAGCUGAUUUCUUGUAGAAAACGGAGUGAUCUUUCUCGCUCUUGUUCAUGCCAAAUGCUUGAAUCUCCUUACUGAAUUUUCCAAACCAAGCACGGGGACUCUGCUUCAAUCCAUAGAGAGCUUUUUUUAGACGACAAACCUUCCCAUACUCCCCCUGAGCAACAAACCCAGGAGGUUGCUCCAGAUAGACCUCUUCCUCUAGAUCACCAUGAAGAAAGGUAUUCUUGAUGUCUAACUGAUGUAUCAUCCACUGUUGGGAAGCAGCAAUAGAAAUAAAUAGUCGAACUGAAUUGAGUUUGGCAACUGGAGAGAAAGUAUCAGAAUAGUCUACUCCAUAUGUCUGAGGAUAUCCUCUAGCUACAAGCCUGGCUUUCAAUCGUGCCACAGAGCCAUCAGGAUGAACUUUUACCGCAAAGACCCACUUGCAGCCAACAACUUUCUUUCCUUGAGGCAAAUCGACAAGUUGCCAUGUAUGAUUAUCCUCCAAUGCACAGAUUUCUUCAAGCAUUGCAUUCUUCCAACCAGGAUGAUUCAGGGCCUCUGUAACAGUUUUAGGUACUGAAAUAGAAUCUAUAGAGGCUACAAGGACACUGGAGGAAGAUGACAGGUGAUCAUAAGACACAAAGUUAGCAAUGGAAUAGAUAGAUUUGCAGUGUCGUUUACCUUUCCGAAGGCUAAUAGGAAGGUCGAGAUCACUGGAAGGAUCAGAUGACGAAGGAGCUGGUGCAGGACAUGUAUCGGUUGUCACUGGGCGCCGAGAGUACACCUGAACAAUUGGUGGUUUGGCUGGAGCAGGAGGAAUAUUAACAACAGGACCCGAAUGAGCAAGAGAUGCAUCAAAAUCGACCACACUUGAUUGCCCAACAGUUGGUCUUGAAUUAACCACUUGAUACACAAGCCAUUCUUCAUCCUCCUCACUUGCAGAACUUGUGGGUGAAGAGAAAAAUGAUGUGUCUUUUGAAAACACAACAUCCGUUGAUACUAGAUACUUAUUGAGAUCAGGCGAGAAACAUCUAUAGCCCUUUUGCAGUCUUGAGUACCCCAAGAAAGCACACUGUAACGCCUUAGGAUCAAGUUUAGUAACAAAAGGCCUUGUAUCUCUAACAUAGCAUGUACAUCCAAAAAUUCUUGGGGCCAGUGGAAAAAGUGAUUUCUGUGGAUGUAUUGCUUUGUACGGAAUAUCACCUUUAAGCACAACAGUGGGCAUACGGUUGAUCAGAAAGCAAGCUGUGGAAACUGCAUCAGCCCAAAAUUGUUUCGGAACCUUCAUCUGGAACAUGAGGGCACGAGCUGUCUCAAGUAAAUGCCUGUUCUUUCUUUCGGCAACCCCAUUCUAAGAAGGAGUAUCAACACAAGAUGUUUGAUGAAGAAUCCCAUUGUGACUCAUGUAAUUCUGAAAUGAGUUAGACACAUAUUCUUUUCCAUUAUCGCUUCUUAAUAUUUUCACAGACACAUCAUAUUGGGUUUUAAUCUCAGCAGAGAAGGCACAAAAAUGAGAAAAUACUUCUGAACGAUUCUUCAUAAAAUAAAUCCAAGUCAUUCGAGAAAAAUCAUCCACAAAGGUAACAAAAUAUCGAAACCCAGUUUGAGAAGUAACAGGACACGAACCCCAAACAUCAGAAUGUACUAGCUCAAACAAAGACUCAGCCCGUUUAUUAAGCCGUGGGCCUAAAGAACUACGAUGAUGCUUCGCAAAAUGACACGACUCACAAUCUAAUGAAGGUAAAGUAUCAAACUGAGGACAUAAUUUCUUCAACACCGGUAGAGAAGGAUGUCCUAACCGACAAUGAGCUUCAACAGGAGAGGCAGUACUGACACACGCAACUGGUCGAGGUACCCACUCGUCAAGAAUAUAGAGCCCAUCAGAUACAUGUCCUUUACCAAAUGUCCGUUUCGUCAUAAGAUCCUGAAACACACAAUGAUCAGGGAAAAAUGAGACACUACAAUUCAAAUUUUUGGUAAGUUUACUGACAGAGAUUAGGUUAAAGGCCAAAUUUGGUAAGUUUAACACAGAAGAUAACGUAAUAGAAGAUGUUGGUUUCACAGUCCCAGACCCUUUAAUCUCAUAGGUAGAACCAUCAGCAACAGUAACAGGAGGAGCAGAAUGUGUUCUGAAGGUAGAGAAGGUUUUAUGAUUACCUGUCAUAUGAUCUGUGGCACCUGAAUCAAUUAUCCAUUUGUUUGAGGAGGAGACAAGACAUGUUUUACCUGACUCUGCCAGAGCACUAACAGGAGUAGAUGCUUUCAGUGCGUCUUGAUACUGUGAAUAUUUAGAAAACUCUUCUGCUGUCAUUGUGACGAUCUUGUUUAAGGAGUCUGAAAAUGUAGCAGUAUCAGAUGUAGCAACAUUGGCAGUUUGAAUUCUCCGAUUUCGAUUUUGCAAUUUCCUGCAGUUCUUCUUGGUAUGGCCAGCCUCAUGGCAGUAAAAACACACAAUUGUACUUGAAUCAUUGCCACGAUUUUCAAAUGCCCUGUUUCCGCCCCUGUUAGUCACCCUUCUUGCAUUUUCUGCAUUUUCUCCUUUUGCAACAAGAACAUUGGUGUGCUGAGAAGAUGAGACAUUCUCAGUUCGUAGAACUCUACUGAAAACUUCCUGAAGGGAACCAAUGUCAGAACCAGAAAGAAUCUGAGAUUUUGUAGUCUCAAACUCAGAUGGGAGACCGGAUAAGAAACUCAUAACAGCCAUCUGUUCCCGUUGAGCCUGUUGUACUCUAACAUCCGGACUGAAAGGCAUAAGUGCAUUCAAUUCCUCAUAUACCUUCUUGAAGUCCAUAAAAUAUGCAGUGAGGGAUUUAGCUCCCUUCUCAGGACAAUGAAAGGCAUUCCAUACAUCAUACAUCCGAGAUACAUUUCCUUUUCCAGAGUACAGAAAAUCAAGAUAAUCCAUUAGCUCUUUAACAAAUUCACAAUGACUCAGCAGACCAACGAUAUCACUAUUAAUAGAGUUUUUCAUCUGCAGAAAUAACCGUGCAUCAUCUUGCAUCCAAAGUUUUCUAGUGUGAUCAUUAGGAGGUUCCUCAGUCAAGUGGUCAUCCUUAGCAACACUUCUCAAAUAAAUUUUGAUAGUCUUGCUCCAUUCAAUAUAAUUAGACCCAUUUAAUUUGUGUUCAGUUAUUUUUGACACAAUAGGCACUAUAUCAGCAACAGAAUUCUUACUCUCUUCCAUGACAAUAAAAUUUAAUCUUCAAAGCAAUCAGCCAGACCAGAAAUUGCAAUUUUACCACUGCAAGAAGAAAGAGACAAAUACCUCUCUUACAAGGUGUCAAAAGAGUCAAAGGGUCAAAAGCGUGCGUCAAACCCUUGACUCCCUCUCUUUCUCACCCUGAAAGUCGUGUGUCGGGCCCGAUAGGCUGCAGCAGGAGUCCCUCAGCCACAAACGAUCGGCACUGAAGCUAAGACGGGAAGGUCGGGGCUUUCAAUGAUCUCGGACGACGGCGACUGUUUGUUUUCUGGCGUGGAUUUGAGCGCGAACACGGUGCUGCUGAUGAGGAAAGGCGCCGUGCUGAGUUUUCGGUGGGGGGGGCUUAGGGUUCCGGCCGAGGUGAAGACCGCGUUGACGGAGAACGGGGCGAAGAGAAAGCGUGAGAGGGUGGCGGGAUCUGUGAAGAAGGCGACAGCGAUUCCGCAGUCGUCGAUGAAUCUUUGCGAUCCCUCGACAGUUGAUCGAACACCGGAUGAGAAACGUCGGAAAGUCAGAUCGAGAGAUGGGAAAUGUCGGGACUUCAAAUAGGUGAAGAAACGCUUCGGAAAGUCAGAUCGAGAGAUGGGAAACGUCUGGACGUCAAAUAGGUGAAGAAACGGCCGCCUCAAGCACUCCCACGCUCCGGAAACAAGAAUGCGCUCCUCCCUGGGUCGGUGGUGACGCAAUCCAGACAAAAAAAAAAACGUAACAGGUUACUGUUCCAGAUUGUUAGGAACAAAACCCAAAACCCAGAAAAUUCCCUUGAACCAAACGUGGCUCUGAUACCAUGUAACCGAAUCAAGGUAAUUCUCAAUUCCUUGUAUUUAUUAGAUGAAUAAUACUUGUUUAUAUAUACAGUUGAGAGUCCUAAAUUAGGAAGGUAUUAUCCCUAAGGAAACAACCAAAUUAUGGUAUGUACAAAUAUAUACAGCUAACAGUUCUAAAUGAUAUUCUUGCACAAAUUACUCAACAUGGCCCUUAAAUUUCAUUUUGGGAAGCAUCCCUUAGGUUGCAAUUAAUUAUCGAAACUGAGGCAUACUAAUUAGUAAUUAUUCAAGUCACAGCUCCAUAGCUGAUAAGAGCGCAUUUGAGCCUGAAUCAAUAAUAAGAAUCCAUGAAACUAUCUCCCUAGCACCCAUGAACUUCUUCAAUUCAAUAUAUAGCCAUCACUAUUACAAUCCAAAUCUGUCCUUAUUUUCUUUCUGGUUCCUUUUUAGCUGUCAACUUGUCAUGCCCCAAGCAGAACACUUCCUUGAGCUCUAGUAAAUUUUCCCAUCACCAGUAGUAUCAAUGAGCUUAAACUCUUGCUUGAUCAGCCAGUUAGACCUUCCAUGGCAGCAAACGAUGAGCAAUUACAACUCCAAAUUAAACUAGUAAGUAUUACCCUGGGCUCUCUUCUCUUUUCCAUCCUUUUAACAUCUCUCUGAAGGCUUUGAAAGAUGAAGACAACUUCCACCCACUUGUCUGAACAGGCUUAGCCGUGAGGGCCCCUUUGGGUCCAAAACGGACAAUACCUACAUGGUUGGGAGCGGUCGUUACAAUGACUUUUAAUCGUUUUCUUUAUUUCAGAUAUUUCUUCACUUUCUUCGCUGCUAUCGCUGUCUUCCUUGAUCUCUAACAAACCCGAGGGUCUGAUACUAACUCUCUGAUUCGGUCUCUGAAACUGUAAAACAUUUAAAGAAAGCAUGAAUAGAUAUUCAAUUCAGAGGUUUGUAAAGAAGGAAAACAAUAUUUUUUUUAAGAUAAAAAGUCCGUCAUUUUUUUUUCUUUUUUUCUCACUAUCAUCUAUGAUGCAAAAAAAAAAAAAAAAAAAUAAUAAAAAAGGUAGUAAAAUAAAUUGGGGUUCAAAGGAGGAACAGAUACAUAGGAAAUUGAAAUUUUUGGCGGCCUUACCAAUCUUACUAAGGUGUCCAAUAUCCACGUUAACAUCAUCUCCGGAGAUAUGAUAGACAUGCGAAACAGAUGGAGGGGUGGUGUCUUUCCUUCAACACUCUUCUCAUUCAUGAGUCCUCUCACCCUUAACCAGCGAAUAUUUGACAAACCCGAAGUUGCAAAUAUUCCCUUCUUUGGCACUAUCAAGUGAAGAACAUUAUUGCCCUUAUCAUCAACUUUCUCGCAACAAUCUGGAAAGCGCAACACCAGCAGCUUCACUAUGUCCACAUGGCCUCGGCUCGCUGCAAUAUGAAGAGUUGUCCUGUUUCCAUGGUCUUUGACGCCUAGGGUAGACAACAUCCCUGUCAAAUUGCUCUAGCAAUUGCCUUACUAUUGUUGGAUGACAACCCACAUAUGCAGCAAAGUGAAGGGGAGACCACCGGUUUUCAUCCAAUUCAUUAGUUAAAGCACGCUUCCAUUCCAGUGUUUUCUUUGUCAUUACUGAUAAAAUCAACAGAAGAGAGAAAUUUUUUUUAAAGAAAAUUAAGAAAAUAAAUGAAGUCUCCUCUUGUAAUGUGAUUCCAGUAGUAAAUAAAAAUGGUGCAUCCUCCACUACGUACCUUGUUCAUUAAGAAUUACCGCAGCAUGCAAAGCCAUUCGACCCUUGAAGCCACUAUGAGCUGGUGAAGAGCAAAUCUCUUGGAUCAUCUGCACCAAGUCUCUGAAUCCCCAAUCAGCAGCCAUGUAAAGAGGAGUGUUGCCUUCAUUAUUAGCACCAUAGAUAAACUCGGGGUCUUCCUGAAUCAAUAACUUCACCACCUUAGGGUGAUGAUAUCUCACUGCCUCGUGCAAGGCUGUGUCGUUGUCCUCAUUUGUCAUCCUCAGCAUGGCCACACAAACUGUUGAAUCCCCUCUUUCCGUGUCUCCAUGAAGUUGUUUUGCAGCUUCAAUCAGAUUUUCCACCACUGUCAAACUGUUGAACCCUGCAGUAUUUAGUUGGUAUAGUCACCACCCAUGGCCUGCGUUUUUGUUUUUAUUUAUUUGUUCAUUUUUUUUAUAUCUUUAAUUUGUUUCUUAAUUAAUUCAAAAAUUUUAAUGUAAAUUAAUGGAACAUCAUGACACACUUUCAUGUAAAUUAAUAAUUUCACUCCCAUAAAGAAAAUGAGAUCUUACCCAUUGCAAAUAGAUCAAUUAGCACAUCUUGAGAAAAAGUUAAAAAGACAAAUUAUAAUAAUAAUAAAUUACAAAGCAUGCAUGCUUACAAGAAAAUUAUUUCGAGUUCCAAAAGAAAAGGAAAAUCACUUUGAGAGGUAGUCUAAGAGCCUGUUUUGUAGUGAUUUUAGGAAGUGAUUUUAAUAUUUAUAAUAUUUAAAAAAAUUUAUCAUUCAAAUAUUAAAGUGCGUUUAAUAGUGAUUCUAAAAAGUAUUUUUGGUAUUUAUAACACUUAAAAAUUUUUAUUUUUUAAGUAUUAAAAAUAUUAUAAACACUUAUCAAAAUCACUAUCAAACCCAUUCUUAAAAUGUUAAAAACAUCUUCUAAUCAAAUGCACUCUUAAAAAUGUUAAAAACAUCUUCUACCCAAACUUACUUUAAGUUGAGGAGAUGCGAUGAAUACGAAAAACAAGUACGCAAACAUAAAAACAACGGGGAGAAUUGUGUUUUCACCCCAGCUGGGGUGGAUAAUUAAGUUAAAGUCCUCCAAUCACUCAUAAUUGAUUAUAAGGAUAUGAGAUGAUAAUGGACACAAAUACCCUUUGACUCAUUUUUGUCUUUAUUCUACCACUCUUUACUUACCACUAUUAACACAUUCUAUUUACUUUAACCAUUUUUUGAUUUUUUUAUUGGUUUUUUUAAACUUUUUUUUAUAAAUAAUUAAAAAAGUCAAUAUUAUUUUAUAUUUUUAAAUUAUAAAUAAACAAAAAUUAUAUUGAUGAUUUAAAAACUAUUUUGAAAAAUACUUUCUAAGAAAUGUUAAUUUAAAUAAAUAAAAAUUAUCUUUUAUAUUUUAGAAGUAAAUAAUUUAAUGAUUAAAACACUAUUUAAAAUAAAUAUAUUCACUAUUUUAUUUUAUUUUAUACUAAAAAGUAUUUUAAAAUUUUAUUUUUCCUAUUAUAAAAUAAAAAGUUCAAUUUUUUUUUUUUAAAUUUCUUUCUUGUUUUAAUAACUUUUUGAACAUGACUUUUAGUAAUAAGUUAUAUGAAAUGUUGUAAAUUUGUUUAAUAAUGAUUUUUUUAAUGAUUUGAAUUAAUUGAAAUUUAUCAAAAAAAAAAAAAAAGUAAAAGAGAGAAAUAGGAUGGAUGAAGAGUUUUUAUUUUAAAUAUACAAUUAAAAUGUUUUCGUAUGACUUAAUUUAGAAGUGAAUUAUAACUAUAUAUAGUAUAUAUUGAAUUUUUUUAAAUAAAAUGGUUAAAAGGUAUAUUUACUCAUUUUAGAUAAAAUAAAAAAGUUAAAAAUUAUAUAGAUUGUGUUUGAGUUUGGUUUAAAAAUAUUUUUCUAGUUUUUUAUUUUUUAUUUAUUAUUAUUUUUAAAAAUAAAUUUUAUUUUCUAUAUGGUCUCUUUUAGAAAAUACGUUUAAUUAAAAAAUGAAAACUAUUUUUUAAAAUGAAAAUUGAAAACCUUGUUUAAUACUAUUUUUUCAUAUGAAAAUAAUAACAAGACUCAAAAGAGUUUAACCCUAAGUCAUACGCUUUAUUUAACUUUCACAUUGAAAUUUUAAUACUUUCUAUCGUAAUGAUGUUUGGAGAAAAGAAUUUGACCCUAAGUCAUCCACCAUUUUCUCAACCAAACCAUUGAAAAUAUGAUUAACACACCUACGUGAACACAUAACUUAGAGAGAUAUGAAAUUUGUAUCACUGUACAAGGGUAUUACACUAACUGUACAAUGAAAAUGUACUAAGUGUACAAGGGUGUAUAAGGCUACAUUUUGUGAAAGAUUUCAAUUGAUUAUGAACCACUCCAUUUUACUUUCCUUGUUGUCAAUAUAUUGUACACUCAUGUCAUACACUUUAUUUAACUCUCACAUAAAAUUUCAAUACUUUCCUUAGUUAUGAUGUUUAGGGAAAAAAAAUUGACUCGGAGUCAUCCAAUAUUUUCUCAACCAAACAAUUAGAAACAUGGUUAACACACCUACGUAGAUACAUAAUUUAGGAGGGAUAUGAAAUUUGUACCACUAUACAAGGGUGUUACAUUAAUUGUACAAGGGUAUUACACUAAUUGUACAAGGGAAAUAUACUAAGUGUACAAAGAUGUACAAGACUAGCAUUUGUGAAAAAUUUCAAUCGAUUAUAAAUUACUCAUUUAUUUUCCUUGUCACCCAAGAAUUGUAUACCCAUGUCAUACACUUUAUUUAAUUCUCAUAUGAAAAUUCUAAUGUUUUCCCCAAUAAUGAUGUCGGGGGAAAAAAAUUUAACCAUAAGUCAUUUACAAUUUUCUCAAUCAAAUGAUUAAAAAUAUGGUUAAUACACCUACAUGAACACAUAAUAAUAUUACAUUAAUUGUAUAGGGGGAAUGUGCCAAGUGUACAAGGGUGUACAAGACUCUUAAUAAGUUUUAUAUGAUUUUUAAUCAACUUGAGUUUGACAUUAGAACAAUUAUCGAUAGUUUUUUUUUUUAUUUUUUUAUUUAUUUUUUUAUUACCAAACUAUGCCAUUAAGACCAAUGAGAAAUAAUUUACAACAUAUUUAUUAUUUUGUAAGUAAGAAACAAAAAAAUAUAUAUAUAUUUGCUAAGGUAUUUAAAAAAUAUUUAUUAUAUAUUUUAUAAGUUUGAAAAAAAAAAUUAAUGAUAUCUAAUUUUCAAGUUAGAACAAAUAAAAAAUACUAAUAUUUUAUGAGAUGUUUAAAAAUUGUUUAAUAUAUAUAAGAAAUAAUGUAAGUUUGAAAUAAAUAAUAAUAUUUAUUAUAUAUUAUGUAAGUUUGAAAAAAAGAAUAAUAUUUCAUAAGGUAUUUAAAAAUUAUUUACUUCAAAAUUACAUUUGACAAUAAUAAUUUUUAACUAUUUAUCUUUCAUGUUUAAUUUGUUGGAGAAAAAUAAUUGGUAAAUCAUUUAACUUGAUCCCACUAAUAAAUAAGUGAGAGAAGGAUGGAAAAGUUAAAAAAAAAAAAAAAAAAAAAAAAAGAAAGAUAGAAGUGGUUGGUAGCUUUUUCAUUUGAUAGUUAAGUGUACUUUAGGAAUUUUUUAAAGGUAAUAUCCUUCCUCUCAAUUUCUAUUCUUUCCUUGGGUUUUGAACUUAAUUAUGGGUGAUAGGAGGACUUUAGCUUAAUUAUCCACCCUAGCUGGGGUGGAAACACAAUUCUCCCAAAACAACGAGCCAAAGCGCAGAGGAAGAUGGUAACACGGCGGCUAGGCCUGUCACGAAUGCAAUCACCAUCGGUACCACACAAACUGUUGUAUCCCCUCUCUCCGUGUCUCCAUGAAGUUGUUUUGCAGCUUCAAUCAGAUUUUCCACCACUAUCAAAUGCCCUUCUCUGGCCGCAAGGUGAAGUACUGGAGUGUCACCUUUCUCAUUGGGCUGUUGCAAUAGUGAUGAAGCAGAAACCAACUCAAGGAUCCGGUCAACGCAGCCCGCUUGACCGAAUUGGGCAGCAACAUGGAGAACUGUGUUCUUUUUGGGGGUUAGUUGGACAUGAAUAUCAACGCAUUGCUGAAGUACAUGGAUGGCACCGUCUGCUGCAGCCACGUACAAUCUAGGAUCCAUGAAUGUGCUGUGGGUCCGGCUACCAUCUUCAGCUGCAGCCUGGUUGGUUAUCUGGACUUCCCCAACAUCUUCAGCUACAACCCGAAUGGACUCUGUACUCAAGUUAAGGUUGGAAUUGGUGGAAUCGGCCAUUGUUGUGUGACAAGUAUCCAUUCUAUAUUUUGCUCGGAAGAGGAAGCCGACCCAAUAUUAUUUCAGAAUUCAGAGUUGCUUCCACUGUGACAGAUGGGAAAGAAGUUAACCAAUUGUUCAAUGGAGUGGCUGGCUCUUAGCUCGACCAUUGGAGCAGUUGGUACUUUUUAUAGGAGGCAGGCCAAAAUGCUAGGAGGUGCUAAUUUUUAAUUUGAACAAAAACUUGCAUAAACAGUACAAAAAAUAUUUGGUCACAUAUUCACUUUUCAGCAAUCUAUUGCAUGAUCAAAGAAUUUCAUUGGAUUAAACAAAAAAAAUGUAAACAUUAUUCCAAUUCUGUCUUUUAUUUUUAUAAAUAUUAAAUAUUUUGGUAGCUAUAAUUUUGUUCUUAAAAACUAUAAAUAGAAAUUUAUUUUUUCUAAUUAUAUAAAAAAGAAGAAACAACAUAUUAUUUUUGUAAUUAUUAUAUGAAAAAGUAGGGAAAAUAUCUUUUGGUAGGAGUGGUUAUUUGGUGGAUUAUAUCCAUGUCAUAUCAAAACUUAAACAUUCUAUUAUGUUGAUGAGCCCAAAACCGAUAUGAAAAUAAUCAUAUAAUGAACAUAAACUAAAUUUUACUUUUUGAUUGAUCUAAUUAUGUGUGGGUAUAAUGUUAAAUGCCUAUUAUUAAUUAAAGGGUAGUUCCAACUACCUACUAUUCUCUAUUUUGACAUAGUACAAUGGAUUCAAUGCCAUUUUGUAUGAAUAUUAAUCUAUGCAAUUAAAGUGAAGGAGUAAAAGAUAAUUUUACCAUUUUUUUCUUAGCAUAAAGGAAAGUUCUUUGUCCAAAUACGACUUGGAUUUUCUCUUUCUUUCUGACAUAGAUAAGAGCAGUCUGUAAAAGUUACAAAAUUAGACUAAUUUGUUCUUAGUUUAGGGAUAAUAUCUGAACCCACACUACAUAUUUUCUGCAACAAUAGUGGCUCGCAUCAAGGCCUGGCAGAGUAUGAAAUUUGUAGAUGGGCUAGGCAGGGGACUCAAUGUGAUUGGGUCGUAUUUAGGGCAGGGCAGGCCUGAUCCAAGUGUGAAUGGUACAAAAUGGAUUUUGAAAGCCCAAGGCUGAGCCCAGCCCCCAAAUGUGUAGGCUUGGUAGAUCGACCUGGUUAAGCAAAAGCAAGAUGAGUUUGGAAUCCGACGGGGAAAAGGGCAGCAAUGGUAGGGCCCACUUCCCUUUGAAACCUUGUUCAGUCGUCCGUCCCCACCCCUUUGAUUGCGUAGGACAAACCCCCACCAUAACACCAUGUGGGUUGCCCCCUCUUUCGACAUCAUUCCAUGAAAACAAUGCCGUUCUAUGAACGGAGCAGAGGAUCGCUUGCACAUGGCACUGGUGACGGAGUCGGUGGAAAACCGGCGCGGACCAAAGUCGGGAGGCAUAUUUUUCAUUUCUUUUUUUCUUUUUAAUAAUGAGGAGAAUCUGGUAAUUAUGAAUAAUUGGACAGGUGGAGCCUCGGAAUGAAGCAUGUCAGAGACCUCUAUUUCCACGAGGAUACAUAGGGAUAUAGAUGUGGCCAAACAGAUUCAUUCUAGCAUGAAGCUUACAAUGGCAAUAGCCAUCACCCUCAUAGGCCAAGCCGUGAUCCUCUCUGGUUUGGUUUUGGAAGCCAAAAGUCCAAUCUCUUUUACCCUUUGGGCCUCAUAUAUAUAUAUAUAUAUAUAUAUGGAGAGGGAGAGAUUGAGGCUGUCUCGAAGCUUGUAGUACACGUUGCAAAUGACAUAUUGAUCCUUCAGUUUUUAGUUGGUAUAGUCACCAGCCAUGGCCUGCGUUUUUAUUUUUAUUUAUUUGUUCUUUUUUUUAUAUCUUUAAUUUGUUUCUUAAUUAAUUCAAACGUUUUAAUAAAGUUCAUUUUUUUUAUAUCUUUCAUGUAAAUUAAUAAUUUCACUCCCAUAAAGAAAAUGAGAUCUUACCCAUUGCAAAUAGAUCAAUUAGCACAUCCUGAUAAAAAGACAAAUUAUAAUAAUAAUAAAUUACAAAGCAUGCGGUACAAGAUCUGCCCCUUGCCCAAUUGCAAUUGCAAACAUAAGGUCAUUUGAUGGUAAUUUUGAGAUCUAUUUUUAUUUUCCUAAUACUUUAAAAAUACUUUCUAAAAUCAUUUUCAAACGUAAGGUAAAGACAACGAUAAUGAAAAACAAGUACCCAGAGGUACAAACAAUGAGCCCAAGCGCUGAGGAAGAUGGUAACACAGCGGAUAGGCCCGUCACGAAUGCAACCACCAUUAGUACCAUACUAGACAUAGUGAGACAAGUGCCCAGGACUAAUUGUUUUGCAAGGAUGUCCUUGUCCUUAUGCAACGACAUAACAAAAUAAACGAACACAGCAGAUACAGAGAGCAUCACGGCUAAUGUGUCCGUCACAAUAAAUGAUUUAAAAGCUACUUGCUUUCUUAAUUUUGCCAUGCCAUCACUGUCAUUGUAACCACCGGGCAAGGUGAAACCCGCUGCACAGGAUACAGUUGCUACAAGUGUUGCCACUAUCAAAUGGGUUUCACCUAGUCUCUCUGUGAAAGCCAUGCUUUCGUCUUCUCUAACGUCUUUGUUUUUACUGCUACUACCAUUGUCUUUAUUGACGGCCUCUUGCCAACUGAAGGGUCCGACAACAACUUUCUCCCAUUCCUUCAUUUGUUUUUUCAGUUUCCCCUGAAAUUUGAUUAAAAAACAGAGAAAAUUGUUGUCACUAUUUUGGCCUUCGGCACUUCCUUUUAACAUUUCCCACCUUCCCUCACAACAAAGGAAAAUGGAUGAUUAAACAUUGAUAAACUAAUCAAAAUAUUAAGUUAGGAGCCUUACCCCGAACAUUUGUCCCGACUUAAUGUUAGCCCUUGAAAGAAUGUCUAGGGCAGUUAACUUAUCGUCGUUGAGUGCCAUUUUAUCCACUGCAUUGUCCAUUGAGAAAACUGGAUUAUAACAUUGGCAAGAAGAAAGCAGGUGGAGGGGUGUGUCUCCUUUAGCAUCCUUCUCAUUUACAAGUCCUCUCACUCUUAACUUAUUGUCAUUCGGGAACAAAUCAUCAAUAGCAAAAGGCCGUUUGCUCAUUGCCGCAAAGUGAAGAAAAUUAUUUCCCUGAUCAUCAACCUGCUCGCAACAAUCUGGAGAGUGUGAGAGCAGAAGCUUUACCGUCUCUCUAUGGUGGCGGUUAGCUGCAAAGUGAAGUGCUGUUUUCUUGGUAUCUUUGAUUGCAAGGUAAGUUAUAGACUUAUCUGAUGAUUUGUCUAGUAAUUGCUCCGCAAUUUUAGUAUAACCCAAGUAUGCAGCACAGUGAAGGGGAGACCACCCAUUUUCAUCAACUUCUUUUGUUAGAUCUGGCUUCCAUUCCAAUAACUUCGCUAUCAUGUCUGAUAAACAAAUGAACCAACAAAAAAACAGCAGAGAAAAAAAUUUAAGAAAUUCCCUCUAGUAAAGCAUGACCCUUAGAGGUGAUCAUGAUCUCUAACAAUAUAAUGCAUGAGUAACUAACCAUGUAGGAAUCAAGAUUCAAGGAAAGGAUCUGCAUGUGUGUUACCUUGGUCCUCAUGAAUUACAGCAGCAUGCAAAGCCGUUCUACCCAUUAUGCCACUGUGAGAUGGUGAAGCGCGAGUUUUGUCUAUAAUUAUACACACCAAGUCUCCAUAUCCUCUCUCGGCAGCCAGGUAAAGAGGAGUGUAGCCUGUAAUAUUUGCACCGUAGAUAAACUCAGGGUCUUCCUCAAUCAAUGACACCACAAUCUCUGAAUGAUGAUACCGCACUGCCUCAUGCAAGGCUGUGUCUUUCUCCUUAUUGGUCAUCCUCAACAUCGCCUUGUCUGUUCCAACCCCACUUUCGAUCUCUUGGUGAAGUGUUUUUGCGGCGUCAAGGAGAGCUUUCACAAUCGCCCCAUGGCCUUCUCUCGCAGCAAGGUGAAGUGGAGUGUCGCCUUUCCGAUUGGGCUGCUGCAGUAGAGGUGAACAUGAAUGAAAGUGAAGGAUCCACUCAACGGAUGCCAGCUGACCGAACUGGGCUGCAAUGUGGAGGACAGUGUUCCUUUUUGGGGUUUGUUGGAGUUGAAGAUGAGCUUCUGAGUACUUUCUCUCGAGGAUUCUGAUAUCACUUUCAUACAAAGCCUCGUACAAAUCAGCAUUCAUGUGGGUGAUCUCAGUUUGGCCAUCAGCUGCAAUCUGGUUCGACAUCUUAGUUUGGCUUGAAAAGGUUUCCAAGUUAAGGUUCUGCGAUUCUGUAAUUUAGUUGGAGCUGGACUGAUUCACUAUUGGCGUUGGAGGAGCAAAGUAAUAAUCAACUCUUCAGAUUCUAAAUAUUUAUAUAAUUAGGAGUGAAUCACUACAAUUUUACUAAACCCAAAUUUAUUUUUAACUUUUUCUUAUUUUUCCUUUUUCCUUGCACUCCAUCCUAUUUAGCGAUUAUUUAAGCUGCUUUUACCACCAACAACAAUUCUGGUGGUUUAAAACAAUUUCAACCAUAUUAUCAGCCAUUUUAUGAGGUCAUCUUCCAAAAUAACACAAAAUAACAAUUCUGGUGGCAAUUUGUGCUCAUGGGUUGUGUUUGUAUUAUAUUAAAACUUACUCAACAUAAAUAAUAAUAGUGUUAAAAACAUAAAUCAAAAUAUUAUUUAUUUAUUAAAUAGAUAACACAUCAUGUAACCCAUUAAUUUCUUUAGUAAUUAAGUCUUUCUAUUUAAUAAUUAAAUUGAGUUAAGUAUUGUAUAUAUUUAUAUAAUUAAUUUUUCAAUCAAAUAUAUUUAUAACUUAAUUCAUCUGUUUAUUUAAAAACAAAUUAAUUUAAAAUAAGUUGAAGAUUAGUUAAAUAGUUUAAAGUUAUAAUUAAGUUAAUUAGUGAAAUUAUUAAAUCAAUCCAUUUGAAUCAAAUUUGUAUUAUACAUAUUGAUAUAAAAUCUAGAUAUCUAUAAAAUGUGUAAUACAGGCUAACAUAAAUUUGAUCCAAACUCAAUUAUACUCAAAUUUGUAAAAAGCAUGUUAAGUUUGAGUCGUGUUCACGUAUUGUAUCAAACUUUGUCAUUCCUACAAAAUACAAUGUUAAAGCCCAAACAAUUAAUAAUCACACAUGCUAAAGAGAGGAAAAUCUAAGGGUUAACCAUUUUCAUGAUUGCAAGAUAUUUUUUCUUGGGAAAAAAUGUGCUUCCAUACUCAUAUUUAAGAAUAUCACAAGAUGAAAAUCCAUUAAAAGUAAUUCAAGUUUUAGGCAAUCUAAAGUCAAAAUAGCAUUUAGGGUAGUCAAAGGCAUUACUAACAUUACUAAAAAUAGUAUCUAUUUGCUAAAAAAUAUGUAAAAUCUGAAUUAUUUUUAGAUAAAUGUAUUCAAUUUGAAAAUUUUAAAUUGGGGUUGUUAUUUGAUUUUUUUUCAAAUGUAUGUUUGAAAACACAAUUUAAUUUCCCUGUUUUUCUUUAUAAAGCAUAGUACCAAGGAUGACUGUUAGGCGCCACGAGAAGUUCAUGUUUUUUUUGUCUAUAGUCUAUUUAGUGAAUUUUUUCUUGUUUCUUUUUCUUUUUGUGGGGACGGAGUGUAGUAUUUUUCUAUUAUUAAAUUUUCUCUCUUUUUCUUUCCCUUUUGGUGGGGGAUGAAAUAUAAUAUUUUUCUCUCUUUUAAUUAUUCCUUUUCCUUCCCUUUUGGUGGGGGAUGAGAUAUAAUAUUUGUUCAUUAUUAAAUUUUUUUUCUUUUUCUUUUAUUGGGACAAGUGGAAUAUUUGGUUGUUAGAAUUUUCUCUUUUAAUUAUUCUUUUUCAUUCUCUUUUGGUGGGGGACGAAGCUUAAUAUUUGUACAUUAUUAAAUUAUUAUUAUUAUUUUUUUAAGGACAAAUGGAAUAUUUGUUUGUUAGAAUUUUCUCUUUUAAUUAUUCUUUUUCUUUCACUUUUGGUGGGGAUGAAGAAUAAUAUUUUUUGAAUUUUUUCUUUUUCUUUUUUUUUCUUAGGGACGAAGUGAAAUAUUUGUUUAUUAUUAAAGUUUCUCUUUUAAUUUUUCUUUUUCUUUCACCUCUUUCAAUUUUUCUUUUUCUUUUUCUUUUUGUAGGGGAUGAAGCGUAAUAUUUGUCUAUUACUAAAUUUACUCUUUUUCUUUCUCUUUUUUUGUGAACGAAAUGGAAUAUUUGUCGGUUUUUGAAUUUUCUCUGUUAAUUAUUAUUUUUUGUUUUCUUUUUGUGGGGGCUGAAAAAGAUCAAGAUAUGGAGGAUUUUGGAGGAGAGGGAGUGAAACUCCAUCAGCAGUGAGAAUGGAGGAUCGGAUUAUAGGGAUACGUGAAGGUUCUUGGUCUUAUCUUGCUGGUACCAUUGGUAGAGUUCCUGAGAAAGUGAUAGGAACAGCAACACCAAAAGAACCCCCAGACCAUCAAAUAUCCGCCUGGUGUUUUUCCAUUGGAGAUGAACUGAUUAUACAUUGGGAAUUAUCAUCAUCAAAUGCAGCACCACCGGCACCAGCAAAUGAAGUCUCUUUGCACCCCGGGCCCACUUCUGCACCCAUGCAUGGCCACCUUUGGCAUGCAAUCCCAACGGCCACAUGUCAUCCUCCCAUUUCUUCAUCUUUUGCUUUCAAAAUUUGAUUUUCAAAACUCUAGUUUUUAAAUAAUUUUAAAAAAUUCAACUUUCAAAUAAUCUUAAUCAAGUACCCUUUUAUAUUUAUUUUAUUUUAUUAUUAUUUUUAUUUAUUUAUUUAUUUCCUUAGAAAUUUCAAGUCAUUCCAAAAACCCAAUUUUAAUAAACUUUUUGCUGUCAUAUUUCUCUUCCGGUAUACAUUUUCAUAUUUUCUUCAAAUUUCAAUUUUUUUUAUUGAUUUUCCUCAAUUUUUAAUAAAGCAUGAAUAAAUUCUAUAAUUUCAAGCAAUAGAAUUUAUGGAGUUAAUUCAUGCUAAAAUAAAUCGGGUUGGUGGGGCCUGACAUCUGUAAUUGAUUGCUUGAUUGACUUUGCCCUACUCUGACAUGCAUGAGAUUAUUUAGUAUUUGUGCACUAACCUUGUAUCCUAUGAUAGCACUCAACUUGCGACUAAGAUACGCCUUGUACCCGAUCAUAUUUAUUUAUUUAUCCAUUAUCAUGCAUGACUUGUUUUAUUAUUUGAUUAUUAUUUGGUAUCCACGAUUUCCUGAUCAAUUGUCAUGUUACCCUAACUGAUUAGUAGAGACUCUUUUUUAGGGGUUUAGAGUGGUGUACGCCUUUAUCACCGUACCUUCUCGAUAUAUAACCUAACUCCAGAUCCAAACUUGGUUUUUCGCAAACUUGUAUGUCCUUUAGGAGUCACAUUUGAAUUUUUUUUUUUUUUCUUAUUUUGUUCUUCCCUUUAAAAAUAAAACAAAAAUAAGAGGUCACUCCAAUUUUUAUUUAAAAAAAAAAAAUCAAAUUUCUAAUAAAAAUUGAGUCUCGCCAGUUGAGUGGGAACGCAUGCGAGAAAGAUGGGGUCCACACAAUUAUUAAAAAAUUAUCCAAAAAAAGUUUGAUCCCUUUGUUAUUAUUAAGUUUGUUUUUUUUUUUUCAUAUUUUUUAUAAUAAAAAACUAAAAUUAUCAAACAUAUUUUUAAGAAUUUAAAAACAUAAUUGAAAACUUAUUUAUUAUUUCUACCCUUAAAAACUCUAAAAACAAAAAUAUAGCUAACAGCCAUCUAACCUAUCAUGUUCUUCUCCUUUUCUUUUCUUUUCUUUUUUCCUUUUUUUUUUCUCCAAUUUCCAUGUAGAAUGGACAAAUAAUUUUCAGAAGGAAAAUAUAGAAUAUGAUACUGUGGUAUAAAAAGCAACCUAUUUUUAGGUUUAGUAUUAAUCAAGUGAGAAAAAAAAAAAGAAGAAAUUUAAAAUUUCUUAUUUCAUUUAAUAUUACAACAAAAAAAAAGUGGCAUUUGUGUGUGUUAAAGCACUACCAAUCUUGUCAUUACACUAUAAUUAUUUUUUAUUUUCUUUCAACUUACAUCUAUAUUUAAAGAUAUUUUAUGUAACUUAUGUUUACAUUUAAGGAUAUCUCAUAUAUAAUAUUAGCGUAAGGAAAAGUUGUCUAGCUUGAUCCUGAUCCUUAUCUUAUUGGGAUCCCAAAAUUUGAUUUGAUCUCCAAUUACAAUUAUAGAACAAUAACACCAUGGUAGCUGCUGUAUUCCUUUGCUACACAGAAUAGAAGCUUCUCUACAACACUACCCAUUUUCUCUAGCUAAAUUCAUUUUAUUAAACAUUUUUAUAAAUAAAAUAACAUUUCUGACAUUCCAUAAUUUCUACGUUCUUGAGCCAAAUUUAGGAAUGAAUCAUUCUUGGACAACCUCGAUCCCGUGGGGUUUGGUUUUGGAAGCCAAAAGUCCUAUCUCUGUUGCCCUUUAGGGCUCUUGUAUAUUUAGUGUCUCAAAAUUUUGUCACUUUGAUAAACUACAGUAAUUUUUAUCUUAUCAACUUAUGAACUCGGACCAAUAGAGAGCUAGAGCCACUUUGCAUAUAUCAAUAAAUAAAAAAAGUUAAAUAGUCAAAUUUGUACAUCUAGUUAUUAAUUAAAAUUAAAAUAAUAAUCAUUUUUUGACUAAAAUAAUAAGAGAAUAAAACAAGUGUGAGUAAGUCAUUAAAAAAAUUAUAAUCAAUUUCUUCAACUCAAAGCAAAUUAAUAAAUAAACCCAACAACAGGGGACAAACAAAUUGGUGGUGUUCCCAAAGCCUCCAUAUUUCAAUGGUGGGAGAGUUUUUCUAGCUUUGACUUCACUUUUCAAACUUGUAACUUCUUUAUUGAUGAUAUGGAGGUACUGGUGGGAGUAAUUAAAAUUAUUUAUUUAUUUUUUUAGGGGUAAUUAUGUUUUGGAUCUAGUUGAGUCCAAAAAUUAAGUUUUAGUCCAUAUAAAUUCACCAUUUAAAUCGAAGAUCUAGAUAAAGUGUGAAAAUUGAGAAGAAUGAUAUAAAUUUUUUAUCUUUCCAAAAAUGAUCUUUAUUGACUAUGAAAAAAAAGAGAGUAAAAAAACAUUAAUUUAAAUUUUAUUCCUUUUGCAAACCUCAAUAAAAUUUAAUUUAAUUUAGUGAUUUGAAAAAAAAAAACCAUUUUCCAAAAAAAUAAAAAUAAAUUAUUAUUAUUAUUAUUUAAAAACCAAACAUCUUGGAAAAUAUAUAUUUUUCAAAUUGUGUAUAUAAAAAAUAACUAAAAAUAUGUCAAAUUUAUUUUUUUUAAAUUAUAUAUUUUUAGAAUAUAUAUAUAUAUAUAUUAAAUUAGUUUUCUAAAAAUAAUAAAUUUUCAAAAUAAUUAUUAAAAAAAAUUUAAGAUCAAAAAUUUGUCACACAUUAUGAUAGAAAAUAUUCAAAAUAGUUUUGAAGGGUAUAUUGGUCUCUUUAUAUUUUAUAUCAUUCCCCUCAAUUAUACAAUUUUUAUAGGCUAAAUUUUAAUUUUUGGGUCCAGAUCCAAAACACAAUUGUGCUGCUUUUAGCUAGGGUGGACCAAUUUAACUACUAUAUAUUUUUUAGAAAAGAGCAAGCAUCUCUUGUUUUUAACCUAUAUGUCAACGGUAUGGUCCAUUAUCUAUGUUCAAUGAAAACAUGGUAGUGGACGUGACCACCUUGCCAUGGUGGUGGUUGAAGCAGUAGAGCUGGUGGAAGCUUAAAGAAGAAGAAACCAGCUGGGGAAAAUGAGGGCAGAGAGAGGCCGUUGGCGGAAAAGAAAAAAGGAGGUUUGGAUGAGAGGUUUUCAAGGACAACUAUGUAGUAGUCUGGGGGGUGGUACCAACAUAUUUUGAGAGCAAGGAAGAAAAGAGUUGCAAAAAAGGAAAAACAAAGUUGCAAAAACAAGGGAGGAGGGUGAUUGAUUGGUUUUUUGGAGGAGAAAGGAUAGCUGGAAGCCGAUAUUCCACAAGUCCGGAGAGGAGUCUUCCAAAGAUAAUCCCAAAAGAAACAGCCCUCCAAGCCCUCAACACCAUCAUCCAGCUCCACUUCAAGAAGACCUUGGAGAAGAAAAGAGCUAUCGACCUCCAAAAGAAGGAGCAUUGGAAGCUCUUUCAGCUCUUCUUCAUCUUCCUCUCUCUCGUCUUCCUCGAUCAGACCUAGUCCCUACACUUCUAGUGUCGCCACUACUGGGUCCCAAUCACUCUCCUCUCCUUAGCCCACCUCAUCUUCUAUGUCUUUGUCGUUCAUACCCUUCCUCCGCUGCAUCAAUGGCUUCAAGUACCAGCGCCGUUGUUGUUGAGGCCUCGCGUCCCUGGUGAUCCACGUAGUUGCCAAAUGGAUGGGCGCACGAUCUCAACCAAUAUAGAUUCUUGAUUCAGUCGUUCUACCUGCAAAAGGCGUCCGGACGGGGUGUCCGGACGCACCCUCCGAUGGUUUUGUCAGCCAUGGUUAGAGAUAGAGAUAAAUCAGUUGGCCUUUUACUAGGUAUAUCCAGCUUACCUUCCCCUUUGUGUGAAGGUUUGUAUAUAUAGUUUCAGAAGCUUUGUUCCCCUCUUUAAUGGUGGGGAGAUAUUCUGUGUUGUCAUGAUGACAUUAGGUGGUGGCAGGGCCAUCAUCACCCUACAGGCGGCUGAUAGAGAUCGUGGUAGGUGAUGCGGCUGUCAGAGAUCGUGGUAGGUGAUGCGGCUGUCAGAGAUCGUGGUAGGUGAUCGUGGGAAGUGACUUGUUGUCACUUCAUCUUGUCAUUUCACUCUGCAGGUGGCGGAACGUGGGCCAUGGCAGGCUGUUGUGAUAACGUGCAAGACUUGCUUACUUCAGUCAAUGAUCUGGGCAAACGUAUCCGGAUGGCCUAUGUUAGUCGUCCGGAUGUUAUGUUUAUGAGUGUCGUGUGCCUCUCCUUGAGGUAGUCCGGAUAGGAGAAGCGCGCCACGUGCAUUCUUAGGGAAAUCCGGAUGAGGAUGAUCCGGAUGAUAAUGCGUGCCACGUGUCGCCAUGAGGUGUGUGGCAUGUGUUUUCAGGAGGAGGGGUCCCUACAAUGCCCCCCUUUUUAACUUGCCUAUUUUGCCUGAGCAAAAAAUGGGCGGGUUAAAAAUAAUUGGUUUUCGAAAUUGUGGCUACUUUUUGCGCUUAUUGGGCCACGUGUCGAGCGGGGAUGAAGAGAGAGAGAAGUAUUUAUGAUGAGCCGUCGUCUCUGUGUAUUCCCAGGCAACAUGUCGUUUCAAUGAUAGCGUAGCUGAUCGUUUGGUAUACCGAGGGGCUGUCCCCCUAUAAAUAGCAUACUAUGCCUUCUGUUGCAUUUUUCCUACUGCGUUUUUUCCUGAGAGUGUUUCUUCUUCUACCUUCUGUGUUUCUCUCUUGUUUUCUGAGUGAAGCCCUAGAGUUUCCUACCGGUGAUUUUUGCGUCUUGUCGGUGACUGUAUUGCGGAUUUCGACCCUAUUAUUCCAGAUCUACACUUGGUACGUGCAUUGUUUUUGUUUUUGUUUUUGUUUUUUUUUUUUUUUUGCGUUUUUUUGUUGGUUUGUUUCUGGUUUCUAGGGUUUUGUUGAGGGUGUUUUGACUGUUGGUACCUCUUUCAUGCAGUUUCCAUUUCAGUUUCAGGCUAGAAAAUGUCUGCAAACAAGAAAGUUGUUUCGUCUGGCCCGAUCGGUGAUGCUCCUGAGAAAUCUGUAGAUAAAAUGAGUGUAAAGGAGUUUCGGGAACGUUUCUGCAUCCCAAAUGGCGUGCUUGUGGAAUUUCUGGACGAGGAGGAGGUCGUAUCUACUGAGAAAGCUGAAGGUCGUGCCAUCACCUUCUCAAAGGAGCAAUUCAAUGCCGGGCUUCGGUUCCUUCUCCCAGUGCUGUUCAAAGAAUUCCUUCAUUUUACCCAGAUCCCACCAGCCUUCAUUCACCCCAAUACAGUCCGGGUGCUGAUGGGAUGCAACAUUCUAAACAUGCCGUUCAACCUUGAUCUCUCGCUGCUGGAGGUUCUUUUUGUUUACUCCCUGAAGAAGGGAAAAAAUGAUAUCUUUAGUAUGGCUGCCUAUCUGCCCUCGCUUCAAUUGGUGACUGAGCUGCCGGAUUCGACGAAAGGAGGGAUGAAGGGGUAUGUGGUGGUCCGGGGUGCUUGGGCGGGGCUAUUGGAGCAUCCGGAGAGGCCUUUUUCUCCAAACUACUCAUUGGUGCUUUCGGGUGAGUCAACUUUACGGGUUUUGUCCGGCACUUAUCUUGUUGUCCUUCUUGCUGGUUUUAUCAGAUGGCAUAAUUAUCUUUGAUUUGUUGAUAAUGCAGGUUCGGACAAAGAGGGGCCACGUAGUUGAGUGGGUAGAGAAAGCGUCGUUUGUUCGAUUGAACAAGUUGUUCGAGAUUACUGUCGCCGAGAGGCAGUAUGUGACGCUGCUUACCGCGCGGAACCUGAUGGCUGUUGUCCGGGAGUCUUGUGAGUAUAUCAUCAAUAUUCUCCCCAGGAAGCUGCCAAAGAAGGUAGUGCCUGGGGAGCAUUAUAUUCUGAAAGACCUCCCUUUCUACAAGGAGGUGCAACAGGCGAACGCUGAGAAAUGCCGAGCGCUCCUUGUCGAUCGGGAGAGAAGGAAGAAGGAGGGGACCUUGUGGAAGGCUCCGGCGAAAAAACGGUCUGCGUCCUCUCCUCCUGCUAGAGCUCCAACAAAGAAGAAAAAGAAGACUUCAAAUAAGGGGAAGGAAGUGAAACUCCCCACUCCUCCAAAGGAGUUCGUGAUCCCUCCUAUUACUUAUGAGAAGGAGGUAACAAUAAAGGAGCCGGAGAAUCCCCUUCCGCCCUCUAUUUCGAGUGGCCCCGGACAUGUCGAGGGUUUAAACCAUUCGGGGCCCUCUUUGUCAGCUGCCGCCCGCUUGGCUAUUUUGGCCGAAGAAGCUGCGUCAAUAAAUACACCCGGCUCUCCCCAUCCGGAUGUGGAUGCAGGCGAGGCCGUUUGUGCAGAUGCGUCACCUCUUAUGGCGACCCCAAUGGAGGAAAUGAGGGCAGAAAGCCAGAGUCUGCCUUUAGUCGGGCCAAGCCUUCCUGCCCUUCUACCAGUGAAGGGGUCAGCUUCAAGGAGGUCGAGUUCGGCGCGAAACCUAAAGUCCGGCCUCAUCGGGCGGCUUCAAGAUCGAUUCCAGGAAACCAUCGAAGUCAGCUGCUCGUCCGUCCAGGAUGACCAUCCGGAGGGGAGCGAGACGGAGAUGGCAACUGAGACCCCAGCCGUCCCGAUGGUGGUCCCGGAUGAGGGUACGGCCGGAGAGACCCAUCCGGUUGUAAAUGAGGGGGCCCCGGAUCCGGAGGAGGAGUUAUUCUCUAACGCCUCAUCAGGGGGGGAUCUUGUUGAUGAUGCGGCUUGCAUCUCUGCUAGCCCUUUUAGCUAUGCGGAGUUGGAAAAGAAGCUGAAACAGAUUCCACCCGGCUCGACCACUGCCAUGCCUUCAGCAAAGAUGUUCGAAGUGGUGGAAACGGUAUAGUGUAUUUCUUGAUUGUCUUUUGCCAUAUUGAUGUGUUUAUGGUAUGGUGUGUAACUCUGUUUUUCUUGUUUGUGUGUUUGCCUGUAGCUGGUGAGUGGUCUUCGCGGCAUGGUCCAGCAACAUGACCUAUUCACUGACCUGCUGCGGACCGCUGAUUACAUGAAGGCUUUUGCCUCUCAGCGUAAAAACAGUGAAAAUUAGCUGCGCUUGAGAUUGGAAGAAGCCGAAGCCAGUUUAUCCACUGCAUGGGGAGACAACGAGGCUUUCCGGGCGGAUCUAGCUGAGGCAAGGAGCCGGGAGGAGUCGAUGGAUGCCCGCUUGCAUGAGGCGGAGGAUGAGGUGGCUCUCCUGAGGGAGGAGGUGAGGCAACUCCGGACGGAGGUAUCCAUUGAGAAGAAACAAAAGGAAGAUUUGUAGCUGCGUUUAUCAGCGCAAAAAGAAGAGCUAGAGGGUAAGUUUGCUGCAGAGAGGGAGGAGCUUGAAGCGGACUAUCAGAGGCAAGUUGAUGAUAUGUUCUUCUUCGGCUAUCGCUGCUGUAUGAAGAAACAUGGCAUUAAGCGAGAUGUCCCUUCAAUUCCUCCGGGUGAAGAGAAGAAGCUCCUUGACAAGCCUGCUCCCUGAUAGCUUUUCUUUUUGUAAUCUUUUGCUGCUAUCUUCUUUCUGUAUUUUUGUAGUCUGGAGGACCCUUUGUACGCAACUUCAUAAAUAUCAAUAAAACAUACAUUUUGACAUUUUGUACUUGUCUUUUUAUUGAUAAUACUGUUUUAAAUUCGACACAUUCCAUGGUCUGAGUAAUGGAGUUCUGUCUAGCUUUUGUAGGUGAUAAGCUCCACUUUCACUUGACUUAGACACUAUAUAGGGUCCUUCCCAGUUGGCUUGAAAUUUCCCUGCUCCUGUUUCGGCAAUAUUUUCAAAAACUUUUCUAAGGACCAGCGUACCAUUUUUGAAGCUUCUGGGCCUUACUUUGCGAUUGUAAUGAGCGGAUGCCCUUUGCUGAUAGUCUGCCAUCCGGAUGGCUGCGCUUUCCCUUACUUCAUCUGCCCAGUCCAAGUUUCUUCCUAACUCCGCGUUUGCAUCAUCCUGCUUUGCUGCCUCAGUCCGGAUAGUGGGUAACCCUAUCUCGGUAGGAAUGACGGCGUCCAUUCCAUAUGCGAGGGCGAAUGGAGUGUUUCCUAUUGGCCGCCCGAGUAUGGUUCGAUAGGCCCACAGGACGCCGGGUAACUCUUCCACCCACUUUCCUUUGGCUUGCUCAAGCCUUUUCUUUAAGGCAGUGAUUAGCGUUUUGUUUGUGGCUUCUGCUUGCCUGUUACUUUGAGGAUAACGUGGUGUGGAGUAUGAAUUUCGGAUGUUUAGUUCUGAACAGAAAUUCCGGAAUGCGAUGCUAUCAAAUUGUGGACCGUUGUCGGCUAUAAUGUUUUGAGGGAUUCCAAAGCGGCAGAUGAUGUUUUUCCAUACGAAUUUGGUGACAUCUUUGUCUUUGAUGCUUGCAUAUGCUUCAGCUUCCACCCACUUACUGAAGUAAUCCGUGGUGACAAGUAGGAAUUUUUUCUGGGCAGGUGCGGCCGGGAGGGGUCCCACUAUGUCCAUGCCCCAUUGUGCGAAAGGCCAUGGGCCUGAGAUUGGCUUCAAUGUUUCUGAUGGCAUAUGUGGGAUGGGAGCAUGCCUUUGACAUUUAUCACAUUUUUUGACAUAGGUCGUUGCAUCUUUCUUCAUUGUAGGCCAGUAAUAUCCUUGCGAAUGGGCCCUAUGCACUAGAGAUCGUCCUCCAGAAUGAUUUCCACAUACUCCCUCGUGCAACUUAGCUAAAACGUACAGGGCCUCUGAGUGGUUUAGACACCUAAGGUAGGGACCUGUGAAGGAUCGCUUGUACAGGUGCCCCCCAAUCAGGGUAAAACGGGCGGCUUGUACCCGGAUCUUGUGUGCCUUUUUGGCGUCCUCGGUCAGAGUGCCUGUCCGGAGGUAUUUUACAAUGUCGCUCGUCCAUUCUUGGCCGUCCGGUUGGCUUGCCUCAAUGGCGUUGCAAGUGGUGGUUUUCGCCACAGAAGAGUUGGCUUGCACAUGUAUAGGCAAAAAUAUGGUUUCUUUGAUUGGAAGGGAGGCAGCUAUGCUUGCCAAGGCGUCGGCGCGUCCAUUUUCGGUUUGUCUGAUUUUUUCGAUCGUCCAUUCGGAGAAUUGUUGUAAAGUGUUUCGUACCUUAGCCAGGUAUUGCGCCAUGCGCUCAUCCUUAGCUUCAUAUUCCUUCUAGACGUGUCUAACCACAAGUUAAGAAUCGCUAUAGACACGGAUUUUGGAGACGGAUAGAGCCAGGGCGAGGUCCAAUCCGGAUAGAAUGGCCUCAUAUUCUGCUUCAUUGUUAGAUGCAGGGAAUCCCAGCCGGAUGGCUUGCUCCAGGUGUUCCCCUGUUGGGGAUUGUAGCAGAAGCCCGACUCCGGACCCUGAUGAUCGUGAGACUCCAUCAACUUGCAAAGUCCACCAUUCGUUUUUACUUUGUUCCUGGCGUUGGCUAGGCCUUCGGGAGUAUUCCAGCACAAAGUUAGCCAUUACUUGGCCUUUCAUGGACAAUCUGGGUUGGAACUCGAUUCCAAAUUCGCUUAAUUCGAUAGCCCAUUGAAGCAUUCUCCAGGUUAAGUCUGGUUUGUGCAGAAUGUUGCGAAGGGGUUGGUCGGUCAGCACGACCACCGGAUGGGCUUGGAAAUAGGGGCGGAGCUUUUGGGCAGCGCUUCGAAGGGUUAAGGCUGUUAGCUCCAUUUUUUAAUACCUGGUUUCUAUGUCCGCCAAUGCUCUGCUGACGUAGUAGAUAGGCUUCUGCUCCUUAGGUGAGGGGCAACGAAAUAGAACAACGUUGAUUGCCCACUCCGAUACGGCCAGAUACAUGUAUAAUUUUUCUUUUGGGAUGGGGUUGUUCAGGAUGGGCAGCUGCAUAAGACAAUGUUUAAUCUUUUCAAAAGCGGUUUGACAGUUGUCCGUCCAUCCGUUUGUUCCAACUUUUCGUAUUGCCAAGAAGAAGGGUUGCAAUUCAUCAAUGAAGCGGGCUAUAAAACGCCCUAGUGCGACGAGCUUGCCUGUGAGUCGUUGUAACUCCUUCUUGGUCCUAGGUGGUGGUGUUUCUAUGACUGCCUUGACUUGAUCCGGACUGACCUCUAUGCCUCUUUGGCUGACCAUAAACCCCAAGAAUUUGCCAGCGCUUAUGCCAAAGGCGCAUUUAGAAUGAUUCAGCUUCAUGCCAUAUUUCCUCAAGAGGUGAAAAACUUCUUGUAAGUGAAGGACAUGCUCGUCUCGGGUUUUGCUUUUAACCACUAUAUCGUCAAUAUAUACCUCUACCGUGUGGCCUAUCAAAGGUUUGAAGAUCUUUGUCAUCAGUCUUUGAUAAGUGGCGCCAGCGUUUUUGAGCACGAAUGGCAUGACUCUGUAGCAAUAAAGGUCAUGUGGCGUUAUGAAUGCUGUUUUUUCCUCGUCAACCGAGGACAUGGGGAUCUGAUGAUAUCCGGAGAAGGCAUUCAAGAAAGAGAGCAUCCCUUGCCCAGCAGUAGAAUCCACGAUUUGAUCUAUUCGUGGCAAAGGGAAACUGUCUUUUAGACAUGCUUUAUUGAGAUUGGUGUAAUCGACGCAUACCAGCCAUUUUCCUUCUUUUUUGGGUACCACCACUACGUUUGCCAACCAGUCCGGAUAAUCUACUUCUUUGAUGAAUCCGGCUUCUAGCAAUUUGUCAAUCUUAAUCCGGAUGAUUUUUUGUCUGUCCGAGUGGAAACGUCUAACCUUCUACCGGAUGGGUCUGGUUGUUGGCAAGACGUUAAGUUUAUGGGAGGUAAUUGAGGGAUCAAUUCCCCUCAUAUCAUAAUGUGUCCAUGCGAAGAUGUCAUAGUUUUGUCUGAGGGCGUUCUACAUGUUCUGGGUCUCUUCUGGCGUCAUGAGGGAACUGAUGUUCGUGAGGUGAGUACUUUCCUCUGAAAUUUGGAUUGCUUGUAAGGGAUCUGCUGUCGGGGGAUCUUUGUCCACCGGAUCCAAUAAUUGCUAUUGGUCACGUGGAUUGCUGGGCUCAGGGAGGGAUGCAUCCUCCUGGCUGGUCCCUGCUUCUCGUGCUAUCUGGUAGUAUUGGCGAGCAGCUAACUGGCUGCCAUAUAAGUCAAUUUGCCCAUCGUUGGUGAGGAAACUCACCAUUUGAUGAUAUGUAGAGGGGAUGGCUUUCAUGUAGUGUAGCCAUGUGCGCCCCAAGAUGAUAUUGAAGGGUGAUAACUCUUGUACCACCGAGAAUUGUACGUUGAAAGUAACUGGGCCAGUUUGGACCGAUAGUACAAUGUCUCCCAAAGACGUAGUUGAUGACCCGUUGAAUCCGGAUAGGAUUCGUUCAGGGUUUUCGAGGACUGUGAGACUGUGUCCCAUGUAGUUAACGACCGAUGCUUAUACAAGACCGACCGAGCUGCCUGGGUCAACCAAGAUGCGUCUCACAUCGAAGUCUCCUAUCUCUAGGGACAAGAUGAGGGCCUCGCGAUGUGGCUGCAGUGUCCGGGUGGGGUCUACUGGUGGGAAAAUGAUUGUCCCAUCUAUGGGGCGAGGGCCCCCUCCAGUUAAUCCAGGCCGGAUGGAGUUGAUACGUUCGCGUACUGACGCGGCCCGCAACAAUUUCUGUCUCUUUCGUUUGGAGUCAUAUUCUUCGUCAGAUGGGCCUCCGUUAAUGUAGUUUAUAACGGCCUUGGUGGCGGCUGGGGCUCUGGGGGCUCCAGAGUUGUGAUUUUGGGAAGCGUCUCUUCCUCCAGCAUCUGAGCGGAGGUAUUGCUUUAAAUGUCCCGCCUUAAUGAGCUUUUCGACCAAAUAAUGGAGGCACCUGCAUGUCUCUGUUGUGUGAUCGUGUUCCUUGUGGAAGGCACACCUCUUGCUAUGAUAUCUUUUGGAUGGGUCCGUUCCUUGGGGUCUGGGCCACCUGAAAUCAGAUAAGCCUUGGAUCAUAGGGAGAAGUUUUUCAUAUGAUAUGGAAAAAGGCGUGAGAGGCGGCCUAUCCGGGCGACUCGGCCCUUCCUGCCUUCGAUCGGACGACCUUGGCCAGUCCGGAGGUUUAGCAUUUCUUUCCGUGCCACCUCUAGAUGCCUGUCCGGCAACCAAGACUUGCUGGGUGGCUGCCCGUACGUCAUCUUCGAGCAUCGAAUAUUUGUUGGCACGUCUGAACAAGUCGUCCAUCUAUGAGGUUUUUUGGCUAGCGAUUCGAAAAAUGGGGUGCCUGGACAGAUGCUUCGCUUGAAGAUCUGCAGGACAGCAUCCAUGUUGCAAGCCUCUACCUGAAGUACGGCUUGACCAAAUCGCUUCACGAACUCCCUUAAGGAUUCGUUAUCCUGCAUUUUUAUGUUUUGCAGAGUGCUAAUGUUCUGUUUGUGUCGGGCGGAGCACAAGUAUUGUCCCACGAAAGCUUCGGACAGGUCCCUGAAAUUGCCAACAGAGUCGGGAGGUAGACGAUGAAACCAUGAAAGGGCCUGUCCUUGUAAGCUGGCGGGGAAUACUUUGCAUAGCAGCGCAUCGUUGCCAAUAUCGAGUGUCAUGAGCUGUCGAUAAUGCAUGAUAUGAUCGAAGGGGUCGUUGGACCCAUCGUAUGUGGAGAAUUUUGGUACGAGGAAUCCCCUUGGGGGCUCGUAAUGAAUGAUAUGAGAGCAGAAGGGCGUGGAGAGCAUGUCGUCCAGCCUUUUGCUGAUAGAGCCCAUGGGUGACUCGUUUGGGAGGUUUCUCCCAGCUUGUUGUACCGCUAGGUGCGAGUGAACGUUCCGCACCAUGGUGGUGACCAUAGGGUCAUGGUGCGGGAGCACGUUCUGCACCAUGGGGGUGACCACAGGGUCAGGGCGUGCUGCCUAGGUUGUGGCUGCUGGUGGCCUUGGUCUCACAGGCUCUUGUGGGCCUAGUCUUGCGCGCAUUGAAUUUGACAACUGAGACUUUCUAUUACGUUGUCUUUUUGCUGAAAAAUGAGUAGAAUCCGAGCUUUCUUCACGGGGAGCUCGAGGCAUAGCCGUAUGUGGCUCAUGGGGCCUCACGUUGCAUGCUUCUGGGAUAGCUCCUGCUGUUCCAGGAUAUAUUGAUUCUAGUUCUGGCCUUGAGUUUGCUACUUGGCCUCUCGAAUGCUGACGACGAGGAGGCCCUGAUGUUGAAGCCUGGAUGCGUAAUAUCGCGUUUUCUUCUCUUAAUCUUUCUGUCUCCUGGAGGAGAGCUUUCAGUUGUCGUUCGCUUGCCAACUGUCUUCUUUCGAUGGCUUGAUGCCAUUCAGAAUUAUCUUCCUCUCCCUUACCAGAUGAACGACUUUGGGAAGGUGUGGCCAUAUUUGGUAGUGACUGAAUCAGUGAAAAAUUUCCCACAGACGGCGCCAAUGUUGAGGCCUCGCGUCCCUGGUGGUCCACGUAGUUGCCAAAUGGAUGGGCGCACAAUCUCAACCAAUAUAGAUUCUUGAUUCAGUCGUUCUACCUGCAAAAGGCGUCCGGACGGGGUGUCCGGACGCACCCUCCGAUGGUUUUGUCAGCCAUGGUUAGAGAUAGAGAUAAAUCAGUUGGCCUUUUACUAGGUAUAACCAGCUUACCUUCCCCUUUGUGUGAAGGUUUGUAUAUAUAGUUUCAGAAGCUUUGUUCCCCUCUUUAAUGGUGGGGAGAUAUUUUGUGUUGUCAUGAUGACACUAGGUGGUGGCAGGGCCAUCAUCACCCUACAGGCGGCUGACAGAGAUCGUGGUAGGUGAUCGUGGGAAGUGACUUGUUGUCAUUUCAUCUUGUCAUUUCACUCUGCAGGUGGCAGAACGUGGGCCAUGGCAGGCUGUUGUGAUAACUUGCAAGACUUGCUUACUUCAGUCAAUGAUCUGGGCAAACGUAUCCGGAUGGCCUAUGUUAGUCGUCCGGAUGCAUUUGUGGAAGUCGUCCGGAUGUUAUGUUUAUGAGUGUCGUGUGCCUCUCCUUGAGGUAGUCCGGAUAGGAGAAGCGCGCCACGUGCAUUCUUAGGGAAAUUCGGAUGAGGAUGAUCCGGAUGAUAAUGCGUGCCACGUGUCGCCAUGAGGUGUGUGGCAUGUGUUUUCAGGAGGAGGGGUCCCUACAGUUGCCACAAGCUCACUCUUAGCCUCUCCACUAAGCACCUCUGGUAGAUCAAGAUGAGGGCCAGUAGUGGAGGAUGAGGAGAUUGAAAAGCUUCUGGAGCCCUUCUCAAAAGAGCAACCGUUGGCUUUGUUUCAGGAGGCAAUGGAAAAGUACCCGGACUUCGUUAAUAGCAUCUAGAGACUCGCCAACGUCGACCCGGCUCACCGAAAAAUCUUCGUCCACGGCAUGGGAUGGGAUACACCUUUAUUCUGUUCAAGCACCGAAACGACGCUCACAAGGCACUGAAGCAGCCAUAAAAGAAGAUUGGAAAUCGAAUGACCUCAUGCUAGCUAGCCUCUACCGGCCUCGUUCGAACGCCGCCACCGGUGGUAUCUCCGGUGCCUGAGUAUACUCAAAGAAAGUUUUUUUUUUUUUUUGUGAGCAAUGUUUCUGCAGAGAUCGAUUCUCAGAAGCUACUAGAGUUCUUUGCAAAGUUUGUGGAAUUUUUUUAGGGUCACACAUUGCAUUGCUAGAAGGCAAUUGAUGGGCCAAGCCAAAAAAGCCUUUCCACCAUCACCACCAACAAAACCUACACCACUUUUCAUCCUUUUUUAUUCUUUAUAUUUUGAUAUCAAAGUUUCAAUUUUCAAAACUCAAAUUCUCAACUAAUUCUCCAAAAUUUCUAUUUUCAAAUAAUUUUCCAAAAUUCCAAUUUUCAAAUUUAAUUAUCGAAACUCCGUUUUCAAAUAAUUUUCAAAUUUAAUUUUUAAAAAUUUCAUUCUCAAAUAAUUCUUCAAAAUUCCAAUUUUCAAAACUUCAAUUUUCAAAUAAUUUUCCAAAAUUCUCAUUUUCAAAUUUAAUUUUCAAAAGUUCCAUUUUCAAAUACUUUUCCAAAUUUCCAAUUUUCAAAUUUAAUUUUCAAAACUCUCAUUUUCAAAUAAUUUUUCAAAAUUCCAAAUUUCAAAAUUCCCAUUUUCAAAAUUUUUUUUUAUUUAAAUUCCAAUUUUUAAAUUUAAUUUUUAAGAUUUCAAUUUUCAAAUAAUUUUCAAAACUCUAGUUUUCGUUCAAAUAAUAUUAAUUCCACUUCAAUUUUCAAAUAUUUUUAAUUUUACAACUUUUCAUCCUUUAUUAGGGUUUAGGUAAAAAAAAUCUUGUUUUGAAUAAACUUGCUACAUUUCACUUCAGGUAAGUACUUUUACAAAUUUUCUUUGAUUUUCAAAUAAUAUUUUCUUUCUCUUUAUUUUAAAUAAGCAUGAAUAUGAUUUUAAAUAAGCACGAACGUAGGUUUGGUUUUUCGAAGAUCAUAUUUUCCAAAUAAGAAGUCACAUUUACAGUUUUCUUUCUUAUUUUGUUUUCCCUUAAAAAAAAUAAAACAAAAAUAAGUGGUGACUCCAAGUCUUUUCUAAAAAUCAUAAAUUUUUACAAAUAAAUAAAAAAUGAGUUUUGCUAUCGAGUGGGAAUGCAUCGUGCAAAAUACAAGGUCCACAUAAUACUAAGUUACUUUACUAAGAUAUUGAAUGCACUUUAAAUAUUCCAUUAAGUCAUCUUUAUCAAUGUUGUUGAUUAUGAACUUAUAUUUUUUUUAAUUAUUAUUAUGAAAUGCUAAAUUAAUUAUUACAUUUUAAAAUCUAUAAAAUUAAGUAUGAACGUGUAUAUUUUAAAAUCUAUAGAAUUAAUUAUUAUAUAUUUUUCUUAUUUUAUGUAUUUAAGAUAAAAAUAUUCAAAAUUAAUAAUUUAAAUUGUCGUGCACCACCUUCUCUAAAACCCUAGGGGUAUGUGCCCUUUUAUAGGCUUUCAAGCUUGGUCUUCAUCGACCCUCUCACAUGGUGGACAUCUAAGCUCUAGGCAAAAAGUAAGCAAAUGGAGGUAGUAAAGUUGACCCUUGUCCAAAAUCAAAACAAGGCCAAAAUGAGAAUGAUGAGAGCCAAAAAAAUAAUAAAUAAAUAAAUAAACCCAAACCAAUAUAAAUAAGCCCAAAACAAACAAAGCCUAAACCCGAAAAAUAAAAUAAACUAGGCCCAAAAUCCAAUAUACAAAGCCCAAACUCAAAACAAAUAUGAUAGCCCAAGGCUACAAAUACAUCUCAGAGCAAUAACCGAAGUUCAAAAUAAUAUCCAAGAACCCCAAUACCCAUAAACAUGAAUCAAUAAAUAAAUCCAAAUCAAAGCCUAUUGUGGACUAGCAUUUUUCAUUCAAUGCAUCCUUAGUAAAAAAUGACGAGACUUACUAUUUGACUUACUAUUUAGCGAAAAACUGAUUUUUAUUAUAAAAAAAAUAUAAUUGUCACUUAUUUUUGUUUAUUUAUUGAAGGGAAAACAAAAUAAAAAAUAAAACCCUAAAAAUAACUUUUUAUUUUGAAAAGUCAAGUUACCUAUUGGGAAGUUAACAUAAGGUAACACCUCUUUAAACACUAAGACAGAUCUCUACUAAUCAAAUUGAAAUUACUAUGACAAUUAGUCAAUUAAUUAAUCAUGAAUACCAAGAAGCUAAGCGUAUAUCAAAAGCAAAGUAUAGCAAAAGGCUUCUCGAACAAGGCAUGCAUAUCAAAGAAUCAAAUAAAUGAGAAGGAAAUGAAACUAUCUCAAACAAUGAACCAAGUGUUUUCAAGUAACAAUUGGGUUAGCUCACAAAUAAUAAUAAGGAACCAUAAGCUAGGCCUCAUAAUGAAUGUAACAUAUGCAUAUCUCAACUCAUGAAGUAAAAAAAUGAUAUGGUGUGAACAAGAGGAAACAGGAUACAAUAAAACAUGUGGGUUGCCCCCUCGUUCGACAUCAUUCCAUGAAAACAAUGUCGUUCUAUGAACGGAGCAGAGGAUCGCUUGCACAUGGCACUAGUGACGAAGGAGUCGGUGGAAAACCGGCGCGGACCAAAGUCGGGAGGCAUAUUUUUCAUUUCUUUUUUUCUUUUUAAUAAUGAGGAGAAUCUGGUAAUUAUGAAUAAUUGGACAGGUGGAGCCUCGGAAUGAAGCAUGUCAGAGACCUCUAUUUCCACGAGGAUACACAGGGAUAUAGUUUUGAAGAAAAGAGCCAUCACCCUUAUCUUGGUCAUCGCAAAUUGUAUAUAGAUGUGGCCAAACAGAUUCAUUCUAGCGUAAACCUUACAAUGGCAAUAGCCAUCACCCUCAUAGGCCAAGCCUUGAUCUCUCUCGUUUGGUUUUGGAAGCCAAAAGUCCAAUCUCUUUUAUCCUUUGGGCCUCUUAUAUAUGGAGAGAGAGAGAUUGAGGCUGUGUCGAAGCUUGUAGUACAAGUUGCAAAUGACAUAUUGAUCCUGCAGUUUUUAGUUAGUAUAGUCACCACCCAUGGCUUGCGUUUUUAUUUUUAUUUAUGAGAGAGCAGAAGCUUUACUGUCUCUCUAUGGUGGCGGUUAGCUGCAAAGUGAAGUGCUGUUUUCUUGGUAUCUUUGAUUGCAAGGUAAGUUACAGACUUAUCUGAUGAUUUGUCUAGUAAUUGCUCCGCAAUUUUAGUAUAACCCAAGUAUGCAGCACAGUGAAGGGGAGACCACCCAUUUUCAUCAACUUCUUUUGUUAGAUCUGGCUUCCAUUCCAAUAACUUCGCUAUCAUGUCUGAUAAAGAAAUGAACCAACAAAAAAACAGCAGAGAAAAAAAUUUAAGAAAUUCCCUCUAGUAAAGCAUGACCCUUAGAGGUGAUCAUGAUCUCUAACAAUAUAUUGCAUGAGUAACUAACCAUGUAGGAAUCAAGAUUCAAGGAAAGGAUCUGCAUGUGUAUUAUACCUUGGUCCUCACGAAUUACAGCAGCAUGCAAAGCCGUUCUACCCAUUAUGCCACUGUGAGAUGGUGAAGCGCGAGUUUUGUCUAUAAUUAUACACACCAAGUCUCCAUAUCCUCUCUCGGCAGCCAUGUAAAGAGGAGUGUAGCCUGUAAUAUUUGCACCGUAGAUAAACUCAGGGUCUUCCUCAAUCAAUGACACCACAAUCUCUGAAUGAUGAUACCGCACCGCCUCAUGCAAGGCUGUGUCUUUCUCCUUAUUGGUCAUCCUCAACAUCGCCUUGUCUGUUCCAACCCCACUUUCGAUCUCUUGGUGAAGUGCUUUUGUGGCGUUAAGGAGAGCUUUCACAACCACCCCAUGGCCUUCUCUCGCAGCAAGGUGAAGUGGAGUGUCGCCUUUCAGAUUGGGCUGCUGCAGUAGAGGUGAACAUGAAUGAAAGUGAAGGAUCCACUCUACGCAUGCCAGCUGACUGAACUGGGCUGCAAUGUGGAGGCCAGUGUUCCUUUUUGGGGUUUGUUGGAGUUGAAGAUGAGCUUCUGAGUACUUUCUCUCGAGGAUACUGAUAUCACCUUUAUACAAAGCCUCGUACAAAUCAGCAUCCAUGUGGGUGAUCUCAGUUUGGCCAUCAGCUGCAAUCUGGUUCGACAUCUCAGUUUGUCUUGAAAAGGUUUCCAAGUUAAGGUUCUGCGAUUCUGUAAUUUAGUUGGAGCUGGACUGAUUCACUAUUGGCGUUGGAGGAGCAAAGUAAUAAUCAACUCUUCAGAUUCUAUAUAUAGCGCAUAGAAAAGUUGUUUGUCCAUCGCUACAAUUUUACUAAACCCAAAUUUAUUUUUAACUUUUUCUUCUUUUUCCUUUUUCCUUGCACUCUUGCACUCUUGCACUCCUGCACUCCUGCACUCCGUGUCUGGAUAGAGCCUAGAGAUUAGGCUUAAUUUUACGUGUCUCACCCGAUUCCACUGCAUCAUAUACGAUAGAGAAUAAGCUCACUGUGGCAUAACUCUUUAGCUAGAGAGAGAUUUAAGCUUAUGCUUGGUACUAAAAUUAAGAUUUCAUUUUAGUAUUGGUAAAAAACCUAGAUCUUCGAGUCAAAAGUUUCACAUUGAUCUAAGUUGGUUAGGAUUAUUAGUGGGCAAGAAUUGAUAUCUUGACUUUGAUGAGAAAUGUGAAAAUGAAAUCUAGUAGCUAUUUUGAUCAUAUAUAUAUAUAUAUAUAUAUAUAUAUAUAUAUAUAUAUAUAUAUAUAUAUAUAUGUAUAUAUAUUAAGCUUCUUUUUCGUCAAAAAAAUAAGUUGAAGAUGAGUUAAAUAGUUUAAAGUUAUAAUUAAAUUAAUUAGCGAAAUUAUUAAAUCAAUCCAUUUGAACCUAUGUUGUGUAGGUCGAUAUAAAAUCUAUAUAUUUAUUAAAUGUGUUAUACAGGUUAACAUAAAUUUGAUCCAAACUCAAUUAUACUUUACCCAAACAUGUAAAAAGCAUAUUAAGUUUGAGUUGUGUUGACGUAUUGUAUCAAACUUUGUUAUGCCUACAAAAUACAAUGUUAAGGCCCAAAUGAUUAAUAAUCACACAUGCUAAAGAGAGGAAAACCUAAAGGUUACCUGUUUUCAUGAUUGCAAUAUAUUUUUUUUUUGGAAAAAAGUGUGCUUCCAUACUCAUAUUUAACAAUAUCACAAGAUAAAAAUCCGUUAAAAGUAAUUUAAGUUUUAUGCACUCUAAAGUCAAGAUAACAUUUAGGGUAGUCAAAGUAUUACUAAUAUUAUUAAAAAUAGUACCAAUUUGCAAAAAAUAUGUAAAAUCUGAAUUAUUUUUAGAUAAAUAUAUUCAAUUAGAAAAUUUUAAAUUGGGAUUGUUAUAUGAUUUUUUUCAAAUGUAUGUAUGAAAACAUAAUUUAAUUUCUUAGAUUUUCUCUAUAAAGCUUGGUACCAAGGAGAGUUGUUUUGGCUCAAAAGUCCAUGUUUCUUUGUUCGUUGUCUAUUUAGUGAUUUUUUUUUCAUUUUUCUUUUUCUUUAUGUGGGGACGAAGUGAAGUGUAGUAUUUGUCUGGUACUGAAUUUUCUAUUUAAUUUAAUUAUCCUUUUUUUUGCCCUUUUGGUGGGGGAUGGAGUGUAAUAUUUGUCCAUUGCUUUCCUUUUCAUUUAUUAGAGACAAGUGGAAUAUUUGUUUGUUAGAAUUUUCUCUUUUAAUUAUUCUUUUUAUUUCUCUUUUGGUGGGAUGAAGCAUAAUAUUUGUCCAUUAUUGAUAUUUUUUUCUUUUUCUUUUUCCUUUUUUAGGGAUAGGUGGAAUAUUUGUUUGUUAGAAUUUUCUCUUUUAAUUAUUCUUUUUAUUUUUUUAUUUACUUUUGGUGGGGGAUGAAGCGUAAUAUUUGUUCAUUACUUAAAUUUUUCGUUUUCUUUUUCUUUUUUUUUUCUUUUUUCUUUUUGUAGGAACAAGUGAAAUAUUUGUCCAUUACUAAAUUUUCUCUUUUAAUUUUUAUUUUUCUUUCACCUCUUUCAAUGCUUAUUUUUCUCUCUUUUUGUAGGGGAUGAAACAUAAUAGUUGUCCAUUACUGACUUUACUUUUUUCUUUCUUUUUUCGUGAACAAAAUGGAACAUUUUUCGGUUAUUGAAUUUUCUCUUUUAAUUAUUUUUUUUAUGUUUUCUUUUUGUGGGGGCUAAAGCAGAAUAUUUGUAAUUUUGUGUUUCUCUUUCACUUUUUGUGGGGACGAAGUGAAAAUAUGUGUCCUUUAGUAUUGACAUUUGGAUAAAAAAAUGAGUAGGAAAUAGUUACACAACUUGGCAUCAAACGCUUUUAAGCUAACUUCAACUCAAAUAUAAAUAUUCCUUCCAACAUAAAGAAACUUAAGGAAAAAGAAUGGGAAGAAGUUCCAAAUUUUUUUAACCUAAUUAAGUAGAUUACGAAAAUCGGUCGGUCUUUCAAUGUAGCCUCUAGUGUUUUCUUUUUUUCUUUUCAAGUGAUAUCAUCUCUAGCCAAUUCUUAAAUGUCAUAUUAGCUCUUCCAUUAGGAUUUUCCGUAGGAAUUGAUGAAAAACUCAUCCGAAAAACAGGUAGCAUUAGUAUAAAAUUUUAUGUCAUAGGUUGGAAUAUGUUCAAAUUUUUUGUGUUGAUGAUAUGUUUUCCAUCCAUUUUUUACACAUGAAAAAACUUAAAAAAUUAUUCAAUAUUUAAGGAUAGUGUAGGAUUAAUAUUGUAACGCCCAAGUUUCUUUUUAGGAAAAUAUUAUUAAUAAUAAUAUUAAAUUAAUUAAUUAAUUAAUUUAAUAAAAUGAAAAAUGGGUGAAAAGGUAAUUUUACGAAUAAAUACCCUAGGUAUAAAUUAGAAUUCUGUUCUUCCUGUUAUUUUUUUAAUCGCGUUCCUGUUCGCAAAGAGUUCCUGAGAGCAUAAGAUUGGAGUUGGAUUUCAGGGUUUGAAGAACAUAUCUUUAUAGGUAAGAUUCUAGCCCCUAGAUUAAUAUUUUAUAUUCAUUAGUUAAUUUUAAACACAUUAGAUAUUUUUUGGAAAACCCAAAUCUAGAUUAGGGUUAGUUUAUUAUUAUUAUUUUAAUUCGUUUUAAUAUCAAAAUAAUGAAAAUUUAAGAUUUUGAUUUAUUGUUGGAAUUUGGGAGAUCUUAAGUUUUUUUAGAUGAAAAAAAAAAAAAUUCCUGGGAAGAUUUCGAUUUAUAUUAGGGUUAAUUUAUUUAUUUAUUUUUAAAUAAUAAUAAAUAAAUAUAUUGUUAAUUGUGGCUUAAGGGAUUAGAAAAAUACAAUUUGAUUUAACAAAAAAAAAAAAAAAAAGAGAAAGUGUGUGCACCGGAAAAUAGAAGGUUGGUGAAAAAAAAAAAAACGCGUGUGCACUGGUUGCAUGCGUGUGGGAACUGUGCAUCCUUUUUUUUUUUUUUUUUUUUGUAAGGAUUUCAUGGUUGAAAUUUAGUUGGUGGAUUUUCACAUACUCUAUUAUUAGGCUUUGAUGGAUACUUGGGUAUGUAAUAUUUAAUAGUAGCAGGACUCUGUAUAUUAGACUUUGAUGGGUACUUGAGUACUGAGUACUGUAUUAUUUAAUAAUGGCAUGGCUUUGUGUUAUUAGACUUUGAUGGGUAUUGUAUUAUUUAAUAAAAAAAGAUGUGUACGAAUGGUAUUGAGGUGGUUAAUAUAUAUAUAUAUAUAUAUAUAUAUAUAUAUGUGUGUGUGUGUGUGUGUGUGUGUGUGUGUGUGUGUGUGUGUGUGUGUGUGUGUGUGUGUGUGUGUGUGUGUGUGUGUGUGUGUGUGUGUGUGUGUGUGUGUGUGUGUGUGUGUGUGUGUGUGUGUGUGUGUGUGUGUGUGUGUGUGUGUGUGUGUGUGUGUGUGAAACCAAAGUUUGGUUAAUCUUGAUUUUGAUGAUAACAAAACAAGGUUUAGAACUAAUGACUACAUUUUAAGUGUGAUUAGGUAAGACGACUUCCAAAGUGGUAAUCCAAAGAUAAAUCAAGCCAAAGAGAAAUCAUGAAGAAGAAGACCACCUCAAAGAGAAGAGUUUUUCAAGACCAAAGCUUCUUAAGAUCUCUUUGUAAGGUUGUUGGUGCACUAUGACUUUCAUGCAUUUCAUUCUUUAUUUAUGCACCAAAAUCAUCCAAGAGUAAUAUUGUUUUAAAUAUCUUAAGAAUUGGAUGAUUUCAUGUUUUCAACUAAAACCUUGUGUUAAAUGAUUUUCAAACUUGUGUUAAAAGGUUUUAAGUUGAAAAGGGUUGAGUGUUGAGCCAAAAAAAUGGCUCAACCGGUUCAAUCGGUCAAUCAGUUGUGCUCGUUCGGUCGAGGACCGGUUGAGGGAGGCCAAAAAGUUUCUCUCUCUCCCAGUGGCCUUCUCUUCCCGGUCAAGGUUGAACCUCAACCGGUUGAGGUCUAGUCGAGGUCCGGUCGAGGUCCGGUUGAGGUCCGGUCGAGGUCCGGUUGAGGUCCGGUUGAGGUCCGGUUGAGGCCCAACGGUCACUUUCCCUAACGACUAGUCAACCGGUCGACCCCUAGCUCGAUCGGUCGAACCCCCAACAGCUAGUUUGACUUUUUUCUUCUAUAAAAAGGCUCCAAUCUUCAUUGUUUCAAAAAACUUAACCUUCCCAAAUCAUUCUUGAUUAUAUUUGAGCCUUGGAAAAGUGUUUUUGAGUGCACCAUUGUUUCAUAACUUGCAUAUCUUUAGUGCACCAUUUAAUCUUAGUUUUUCUUAUAUCUUUGAGCCUAAAGUUCUAUUACUAGGAUUUUGAGAGAUCAUUAUUUGUAUAUCUUUGUGAUGAAUUUUCUCAAGUGUGGGGUAUCACUUGAGGGUUGUUCAAGAGUGGGAUAUCUCUUGAGAAGUCUAAAGGGUGCUUGGAGCCAAAAGUCCAAGAGGGUGAAUUGGAACCAUAAUCCAAUUGUAAAGAGAUUGGAAGCUUGGUUGAAGCUUCAAGAUAGUGGAACCCUCACUCAGUUAGGAGGUUGAGGAGAGUGGAUGUAGGCAAGAAAGUGCCGAACCACUAUAAACUCUCGUGUUUGCACUCUCUCUUCCCUAACUCUUUUAAAUUAUAUGCAAUUGUGUUUAUUUUGUUUAUUAUAUACUUGCAUAUAAUUGUCUCUUAUUUUUGCAUAAUUUAAAUUUGAGAAAAAGAGACUAUCACCCUAUUUACUCCCCCCCCCUUCCUCCUCUAAGGUGAUUACCAUAGUUUGGAGUAGCCCUAUUUUUCUAAUAAUAUAUAUAUAUAUUAUAUUAGCAAUGAUGGAGAGUUGUUGUGUAUAAGCUAUGUUUGGUGAAAAAAAAAACUUGAAAGUGAGAAAAUAUAAUUUAUAAAUAAAAGAAAGUAAAGUUUUUGGUAUUAUAAUUAUAUUAAUGAUGGGUGUAAGGUAAUAAAUAGUAUAGAAUUUAAUUAGUGAAAUAAAUUACAAUUUAAUUAAAUUAUGUUGUGUCUCAAGAAAUAAAUUGAAAAUAAAAUUUAAGUUUUAUAUGAAUUAGAAAUUUAUUAAAUUUUCUAAAAUAGGAAUAGAUUAAAUUAUCUUUCAUAAUAAUAAAAAAAAACAUUAAUUUGAAUAUCUAAAAUUUUAGGAUUGUCAAACCUAUAAUUUUAGAUAAAUAAUAAUGGUUAUUUCUCUUAUAUUUUGUUAGGUAAAGAGUUGAUUUUCAGGAUUAUUUUUCUCCAAAGUUUUUGAGGACUUUUUUUGAGGUAAAGGAAAUUAAUGCAGUUAUUAUUUUUUUAGAAACAAAUUUUUAUAUACAUCAUUUGGAAACAUUUUGAGUUAUUAUUCGUUUUAUGUAUGGAUCAAAUAUGUUUUGCAUGAAAAGUAUGUUAAAACCAUAUUUUAUUUACAAUAGAGAAAUGUGGAGAUAUUAUGUUUUGCAAAUUUGAAUAAUUAAAAUAAGUUUUUGACUCUGGUUUGUUUGGCCCUUGUCAACGAGAUAUAAUAGUUGACUUUUGACUUUUUAACCCUUGUCAAUGGGAUAUAAUAGUUGACCUUUACAUUUCUUGGUGGGAAAUGUAAUUGAUUUGGACCCUAGCCUCUAAGGGUUUGGUUAGAGGUUACUAAUACUAGUAGUGUUUGGUUCCGUCCACCUUAAAUGAACAAUUUGAGGCUAGCCACCUAUUUGAAAAGUCUCACAUAACUGGGCACCAUUUGAUGUUUGAUGACCAAAGUAACUAAAUUAUUUGAAUGUUUUGACUGAAUUUGACAUGAAAAUGUUUGAAUCAGAAAUAAAAGUGUACAAAUAAAAGUUUUGAAUGUAUUGACAAAACCGACUCAAAAGUUUAUGAAAAUAAUUAGUUAUAAUAUCUCCUAUUUUGCAAGUGAACUUGAAAUAUUUGAUCUAUGGACUGCAUUAAUGUUCCUUAUUGGGCUUUGAACUCAUUCCCCUUUGUUAAUAAUUUUUUUCAGGUACCCUUAGUUCGGGCGAGGAGUGAUGACUAGGUCAGGGAAUGGUCUUCAUUAGGAUUUUGCUUAGGAUGUUAUUUUUGGACAUUGUUAGCUUAUAAGUUUAUGUUCAUUUGGAUUAUUUGGUUUUUGGAAGCUAUUUAGAUUUGAACUUACAAAUUUUUUUUAUGAUAGUUUGAAGUUGAGAUUUGGAGAUUAUGAAAAUUUGUUAACACUUGAUUUGUUUGAGUUUGCAAUCUAUUUGGAUAAUGGAUUUUGGUUGAUGGAUGCUUAGUUUUAAAGUUACGUUUGAAGAUUUUAGAAUUUUGUUCCAUUACUCUGAAUAGGUAUUUGGUAAUUGGUUACUUCCAAUUACAAUAUGAUUGUUUGGGUCAGGUUACACUUUAAACCUUCAGGUUUGAGGUGUGAAAUGACCGGCAUGCCCUUGGAGUGGGUCUUGGGACGUGACAAAUAUUAUAACAAAAAAAUAAAAAAAAUAAAAUUGGGAACUUAUAAAUUAAGAUAUAAGUAAAAGUAUAAAUUUCACACAAGAGAGUAGGGAAGAAAAUGUCGGGAUAUAUCGAAAGGUUUCAACACGAUAAAUCAUGGUGAUAUAUCAGAGAGGAGAAAUUUCUGUAAAUAUCACCAAAAAAUCGCGGAUAUAUCGGUUGGAGGCGAUAAAUUGCCAAUUUUUUUUUCAUUAAUCUGUUGUCACAAAAAAAAAAAUCGCCGAUAUUUCUGCAAAAAGAAAACGCCCUUCUCUGCCCAAACUGCCUGCCCCUCUGCCCAGGCCUACCCUAUGCCCAGACUCCCUUUCCCCAGCCAAUCUCCUGCUCGAGCUCUAUUCCCCACUUUGCCUAUAUAUGAGACCUCCACGGUUCCACCUGCUCCUCUGCCCAGGCCUAUCAGUCUACCCAAGCUCCCCUUCCCCAGCCAGUCUCCUACCUGGGCUCCAUUCCCCAUUUUGCCCAUAUAUAAGACCUCCAUUCCCCUUUGUUAAUUUUAACCAAACGUGUGUAUAUAUAUAUAUAUUAAAAGUAUGCACAAAAGAAUAUUUUUGAAAACAAAUUAAUUAUAAUUAUUAUAAAAAAUUAUAAAAAUUAUAGAUAUAUUGUAAUUUAUUUUAUAUCAUUUAAUAUAAUUAAAUUAAAUGAAUCAUAAAUUUAAUAUUAAAUAUAUUUCAAAAUUAUAUAUAUUAUGAUUAAAUAUUAUGAUAUUAUUAUAAAAUAAUAUUUGAUGUAAUUUAAUAAUAAAUGUACACUUAUAAAAUUCAUAUUUUUAUCAAUGCAUACGAUAUUAUUAUCAAAUAUGAUAAAUCAUAUUAUACAUAUAUCAAAUUAUUUAAUAAAAUAACUUAAAAAUAUCAUUAUACUUCUAAUUACAUUUUUAUGAAGUUUUUCUUAUAUUUUUAUAAAUUUUGAUCAAUUUUAGGAUUAUCAAUAUUUUUUUCCAAAAUAUUCGUCGAUAUAUUUUUGAUAUAUCCGUAAUUACCGAUAUUUUCAUCCUUCCAGGAGAGUAAAUCAAAUUAAAAAAAAAAGAAAUUAUUGAAUUUAAAUAACACUUUUCUUUCUUUCCUUUUUGUUUCCCAUUGUUUUUAAUGUGCUAAUGGAGCCAUAACAUGUGUGUUGGUCAUAUGUUUCCUUUUGUUUAAACAUUGACCCAAAGCCUUAGUGGAUCUCUACGGUUAUGUUUGGUUAUUUGGAAACUUGAUAGAAAAUGUGAGGGGAAAAAAAUAGGGAAGAAAGAUAAAAGGAAAGAAAAAGUGACAAAAAAAAAAAAGAUGUAAAAACAAUAAAUUAUUUGUAUAUGUUUCUUCAAAAGUUAUUUCACUUAUUUUCCUUUAUUACAUAAAGAUUAAAUAAAUUAAAAAUAUAUCAAUUUUUAACAAAUUUUAAUUAUAUUUGUCAAAUUAUGGGUGUAUAUAUAUUUAAAAAUAUCGCCAUUAAUAUAUAUAUAUAUAUCAAAUAUAAAUUAAUCUAAAAAAUGUUAAUAAAGACAAUGGUAGAAGUAUCUUAAAACCUUACCACCUCUAUCAAGAUGUAUGUGUUAAUACUUAAUAUCCUUCAAACUUUGUCAUUCAAAUUAAAACAAGAGUUGGAAGUAUAUCAUAAUAGAACAAUUGUUUUUCAAGAGAGAUGAAUAGUACCUUUUAACUUAGGUUCACAUUCCUUAGUGGACCCAAUUAAUUAGUAAGUGAAAUUUCAAACAUAAAUCAAUCUCAAAUAUUAAUAUCGAUAAAGACUAGGUAUAUACCAUAUCAAAAUGGUAGAAAUAUCUUAAAACCCCACCACCUUUAUCAAGAUGUAAGUAUUAAUAUCCUCCAAGUUUUGUCAUUCAAAUUAAAACAGGAGAUAAAAAUAUAUCAUAACAGCACAAUUAUUUUUCUGUAGAUGAGUAGUCCCUUUCCACUUAGGUUCACAUUCAAAGAUAUAUAUAACAUGAUUUUAAAACACACAAUUCACUCAAAUCUUAUUAGAUUUUACCAAAUCCACAUCAUUGUCUCUUGUGCAAACACCGGAAAAACCAUCAAACCUAAUAAAAAAUCAUUAAAAAAAAAUCUAAUUGUAAUGUAAUUACAAAAAAAAAUAAUCUUAUUUUUAAAAACAAAAGUGAAACAAGGUUCGGUGAAAGUGGUAGAUGUAUCUAUGUUCAAACUGUACUAGCUAUAUUCUGAGAGUUCAAAAGAGUCAGUGGAGGUACAAUGGGGCAACAUAAUUGUUUUGGUGGAAGUGUUUUGUGGCUCCUUCAAAUCUCAAGUCCGUAUUUUCAAAGUUGUUUGUCCAAAUAGGAUUUUCUUUUUCUUUUUGGCAUGAUAAGGAUAGCUUGUAAAGAUUAGAGAAAUAAAGAUUUAUUUAAUAAAAAAAUAAUUUAUAUAAAUUAAAUUUAAAAUAAAAAGUCAUACUCACAAGUAAACGUAAAAAUUGAAAAAUUAUCCAAAAAAAAAUUGUUUUUUCUUUUUGUCACACUAUCAAAUAUUUUUCUUCUUAUUUUUAUAAAUAAAAAAUAAACCCAGGAUUAGAAAAUAUUUUUUUUCUAAAAAUUUUAGAAAAUAUGGGCAUGUUUGGUUAGUUGUUUCAAAAAAAGUUUUUUGUUUUUGAGAACAAAACAUGUUUGAUAAGAGAAUAGUUUUUGUUCCCAUGUGUUCUCUGUGUUUUCUAAAGUCUGGUUUUCAGAGAACAAAAAGAUGGUGUUUUUCAUCACUGUUCUAAGAAAAAAAAAAAAAUUUUUCUUCAUAUUUUCAAUCACUGUUCUUGGGUGUUCUCAUCUCUUCACUAUGAAGGAAAAUUCUUUACACUACGAGAAAAAAAAUCAGAAAAUGGGAAAAAUAAAAAAAUCGGUCUAACAAAAAUUCAAACAAAAACUUAACAUUAUCGGCAAUUUUUUUAUUUUUUGGUCAUUUCCAUUUCAAUAUUUUUAAGAUAUUUUAGGAUUUAUCCCCAUAUGAUUUUUCGAUGCAUUUCAAAGCCAAAACCUCCAUAUAUUCUAGGAUUUCCCUGAAACUAAACAAAAUAUAAACAAUAAGACAAAAAACCCAGAAUGCAAAAAAUAAAAAAGAAUAGAAAAAUUAAAACAAAAAUUGAAACCCUAACCAGGAAUCUUUACAACAACCACAAUAUGGAUUUUGAUCUCAGUAAGUAAUGUUUUGAUCUUAAAAGAGAGAAAUAAACCGACGGUGAAUAAAAAUUUGGAUAUUGGAAGAGAAAGGGAGAUAGGAAGGAAAGAGAAACAGAGAAUAGGAGGGGAAGAGAAACAGAGGAAAACAGAAGAAUGAGAGAAAUGAGAACAUGGUUUCAGUCCCAAUAAAUAUAAAUAUAAAUAUAAAUAUAUAUAGUAAAAUAAGUAAAAUAGUGAAAAUUAAUAAAUGUUUAUAAAUAAAUUAGUUUGAUUUCCUUUUAAUUUUUUUUAUCUUUUAUAUAAUUAUUAAAUAUAAAAUAAAAUUUAAUUUUAAAUAAAAUUAUAAAUAUUUUUAAACAAAAAUUAUCAUAAAUAUAUCAUUAUUAAUUAAUUUUUUAUAUUAUUAAUUACAUUUAAAAUAGAAAAAAUACAUCAUCUAUUUCUAAGUAUAAUGCAUUACUAUUUGAUAUCAUAAAUUUUAUCUUCAUAAAAUCCAAUAAUUGAUAUUUACCAAUUUAUGACAUUUUGAUCAUAUAAUUUAUCAAUUAUUGAAAUCAAACACAUUUAAAAAUAUUUAUAAAGUAAUCCUUUGUUUGAAAAAAUUAAAAAUGAUGCAUAAAAUUUUCAAAAUGAAACAUUUUUAUUUUUUAUAAAGUGUGAAUGUAAAAAUUAUUUAUUUAUUUAUAAUAUCAAUUAGUUAAAGAAAAUACUCAACUUUAAAAAACAAAACCAAUUAUUAUUAUCUAUUGUUGAAUUUUUUUUAUUUGUAUCCUUUUUUCAUUAAUGGAGAGGAGUUAUGAAAAAAAUUCAAUUAAAAAAAAAACCAACUUUUAAACAUGUUUUUNNNNNNNNNNNNNNNNNNNNNNNNNNNNNNNNNNNNNNNNNNNNNNNNNNNNNNNNNNNNNNNNNNNNNNNNNNNNNNNNNNNNNNNNNNNNNNNNNNNNNNNNNNNNNNNNNNNNNNNNNNNNNNNNNNNNNNNNNNNNNNNNNNNNNNNNNNNNNNNNNNNNNNNNNNNNNNNNNNNNNNNNNNNNNNNNNNNNNNNNNNNNNNNNNNNNNNNNNNNNNNNNNNNNNNNNNNNNNNNNNNNNNNNNNNNNNNNNNNNNNNNNNNNNNNNNNNNNNNNNNNNNNNNNNNNNNNNNNNNNNNNNNNNNNNNNNNNNNNNNNNNNNNNNNNNNNNNNNNNNNNNNAAUUAAUUGUAAAGUUUUAGAGAUUUAUAUAUAAUAGGUAUCAUACAUAACACAUAUAUCAAUGAGGUGUUUCAUUUUGUUUUGAUCUAAAACUUUACACCAUCUUUAGCUGCAGCCUGGUUGGUGAUCUGGAUUUCCCUAGCAUCUUCAGCUCCAACCUGAUUGGACUCUCUACUCAAGUUAAGGCUGGAAGUAGUGGAAUCGGCCAUUGUUGUUUGAUGAGCAGUCUCCUUUCUAUAUUUUGCGCCAAGGAUGGGAAACAAGUUGACCAAUUGUUUAAUGGAAUGGGUGGCUCUUAGUUCAACCUUGGGAGAAGUUGAUACUUCUUAUAGCCUGCAGGCCAAAACGUUGGGCUGAUGACAAUUUCCCAUCUCAUUGGAUGGAUCCAUAUGCAUAAACAGUACAACGAAAUAUUUGGUCACAUAUUCAAUUCUUAACAAUCCCUUGUAUGAUCAAAGUGAAGAGAAUUUAAAUUGCAUAGGAUCACAUGUUAACAUUUAAGCAUACAUUUAAUAGCAAAAAUUCAUCCGGUUACCUUGGUUCAUGCCAUCAGAAGCCAUUUCUUCCCCCUCUGAUAUCCAAUAAGCUGCUUUCCGGGUGCAUGAUGGUCCAAGAAUGAGGGAUCAAUGAGCUCUUCCCUUGCCUCCCAAAAUUCAGUCCAAAGUGAAGUGUGUGUGUGUUUUCCGAGAGUGCUCUCCAAAGAGAAGAAAAGAUGAUAUAUAUAUAUAUAUAUAUAUAUAUAUAUAUAUAUAUAUAUAUAUUACACAUUACAUACUUUAUUUGGACGACUUGACUUAAUGGGCCAGUCAAGUGAAUUAGGAUGAACCCAUAAAAAUUAAGCAAUAAUAUGUGUCCAGUCCCAUUGUGGACCACAAUGCAAAAAAUAAAUUAACACCGAUUUAUGAUAUUAUCAAAUUGAUUAUGUAAAUCCACACAUAAAAAUUCCAACACAAAGAAGUUCAUUGAAUUUUACCCAAAAAAAUAUAAGCAUUAUUCUAAUUAUGUCUUUUAUUUUCAUAAAUAUUAAAUAUAUUUGGUAGCAUCAUUGUUCUUAAAAAUUAUAAAUAGAAAAUUAUUUUUGCUAAUUGUGUUAAAAAUAAUAAAUACAAUAUUAAUUUUUAUAAUUAUUAUAUGUUAUAUUUUUUGUGAUUUCUUAAAUGGAUUUCAAUGACUUUUAAUGUCGACAAGCAAGACAUACAUGCUGUUGGUUUAAUUGUAGAAAAACAAGAUGUGGUGAGUUUCGCGUGUUAAUUUUGUAAAUUGAAAUGGGAAACAGUUCGUUUCUUUCCAUUUAUGUUUUAAUUUUUCUUCAUUCAUGUUUAUGUUCUUAUUCUUUCUUUUUUUUUUUUUCAAUUUUUAAUUUAAAUAUAGGUAUGGAAUCAUAAUUGUCCAUCUCUUAAAAGUAAUCUACAUUAAAAUGUACAUCAAAUAAAUUUAAGUGAUGAUUAAGAAUAAGGGCACGAAACUUAGGAAAGGGCUAAAAUAAAAAUUGUAAUUGUUUUUAAAAAUAAUUUUAAAAAAUAACUUUUUAAAACAGUUUUUGAAAAUUGUUAUCCGAUGUCUUAUAGAAUAAAAAUUUGUUUGAAAACUUGAAAUAUUUUUAAUCUAUUUUUAAUGUUUUUAAAUAUAUUUUAAAAAUAAUUUUUUAUAUUUAAUCAUUUUAUUUAUUUAUAUAAUUAUUUUUUAAAAUAUUCAUAAAAAAAGAAGUGAAAACAAUUAAAAUAUGUUAUUUAAAAACACCAUAUUUUUUGUUUUUAAAAACACCAUAUUUUUUGUUUUUAAAAACAUAAAACAUAGAACAAUUUUCUAGUAGUCAAAUAUAUUUUCCUUUUUUUGUUUUUUUUUUUUUAAACCUAUUCUCGAAAACAAUUAUCAAAGACCAUAUAUUUUUUACUUUCAUUAUCUAAUAACAUUGCAAUUAUUUUAUAAAUUAUGUUGAAAACAAUUAGCCGUAAGGCAUAGUAAAAUUAAGUUAGAAAAAUUAGUAUAUAUCAGCUACGAGAAAAAUGAGUUACACAAAGAACAAAGCAGAGUGUAAGCUUUCUAGUAGCGUGCAUCAUGAGAUUUCAGGCCCAGCAAACUUAACCGCAGAGGCAGAGUGCAAGCUUUCUGGUAGCGUUCAUCAAGAGAUUGCAGGUCUAACAAACUUAACCUUGCUUGAUCUGUCUUUAUAAUGAGAUUGCAGGUCUAGCAGGGCCUCUACCGAAGUUCUUUGACUGGUCCAAUCGCCGACCUUUGACUGGUCCGGUUUGGUCCUCUCCUUCUGGGUGGUUGAACUGACCACAAACAGAGUGAACCAACUGAACCGGGCGGUUCUUCAUGAACCGCACGACUCAAUUCCAGCCCAGCCUUCUCCCUAUUUUCUUUCAUCCAAACAGUCCAACCUUCCCCUCCUCUCUUUCAUAGGGGCCCAAGUAAAAGCCCAAUAAGCCCGGACAGGUUCUCAAUUCCAGCCCAGCCUUUCCCCUAUUUUCUUUGUAGGAUCCACCGCAAGCAUUUGAACCCUAAACCUCAACUGCGCAAGCAUCACAGAGCACCACUUGGCCAUAGGCUCAUAGCACAUUUUUUUAUACUAAGUUUAGCAAAUAAAAAAAUCUAUAUGUGUUUCUAAAAUAAUUUAUAAUAUUAAAUAAAAAUAAUAUAAUAUUUUUUGAAAUUAUAAAAUCAGUUAAAAUUUUCUUUCAUUUUUAAUAUAUUCACAUUUAAAUAUUAUAUAUAUUCCAUUUAAUAAAGUUUAAAAUAUUAAAUUAUAUAUAUUUAUAAUUGAUAACAUAAAAAAUAAAAUUAAAUAUUAUUAGUUUUUAAUUUAUUUAUAUAUAUAUUUUAAAAAUUAUUAUUUUUAAUAUUAAUAAUAUAUAAAUUAUAUAUUUAUAAUGUUACUAGUUCAUGACGAUUCGAUUCAAUCAUUGAAUUGUGAAUUAUAACAUUUUUUUUGUUCAAUGACAAGUUUCGAUGCAAAAAACAUUGUGAGAAACCUUCAGGGACCUGUCAUAACCAGCUAACCGGAACCAUCCCUGUUGAUCUGGGCUUGUUGAUGCCAAACUUAGUUAAGCUUGAUUUUUUAAAAAACUGGCUCAUUGGAUCACUUCUGACUUCCCUCAUUUAUAUUCUGCAUGAAAAUCCUGACCCAUCUAGACAUUAGCAUGAAUUCUUUCUUGGGUCUCACUUCUCUUGAUUUUAGCCUCUUUGUUGCUUCUAAAUGCCAACAACUAACCUGUGUCUCUGACUUUUUAUGAAAUAUAACUUCCCCUUCUAUUUUAUAUCUUUAGAACAACAGAGUCACAGGCAGCUUCUUCACUCUCAAAGCUUGUUGCCUUGGCAUAACUCAAUUUCUCCAAUAACAAUUUCGAAAUAUGCCAUGCUAAAUUUGUGACAUAGUAGACCUUGCCUUUGUCAAUUUCUCUGGCAACAGAUUCACUGGCUAUGCACCAGAGAUUUGCAUGAAGGACCAACAGUGCUCAGCACUCCUACCUUUAUCUCUUCUUGGCACGGCUACACAGCUGUGAGGGCUCUGACGCAAGCGGCCAAGCCUCUGUUUGAGCUGUUGUACCACUUUCAUCUUCCUAGUUCUGCUCAUUUUCCUUCUCAGACGGAGGAUGCUGAGGCAAAAAACUGUAGUUGUUGACGAGGGAAAGGGCAAGCUGGUGGCAGUAGUUGAGUCAUAAUCCACUGAUGAGCUGCUGGGCAAGAAGAUAAAAGGGACAACUAACAUUAACUUUGCAACAUUUGAGCGCUCUUUGCUGCGGAUGGAACCUUUAGAUAUCUUAUCAGUGACUGACAACUUCAGCAAGACUUAUGUUAUUGGUACAGUUUAAUUAUAGAGCCUGACUGCCAGAGGGAUGAACAAUUGCUGUCAGAAGGCUCAACAGAAGGCGUUUGCAUGGUGACUGGGAAUUCUUAUUUGAAAUGGGGAUAGUUGGAAAGGUUAAGCGUGAAAACCUGGUCCCACUCCUUGGAUGCUGCAUCCUUCAGGACAGUUGGGAAUUAUAGGGUGUGUUUGCUACUGUGAAAAUGAAGAUUGCGAAUCAACAUCUUAUUUCUUCUCCUUCAUUCCCAUAUGGAUAAUUUAUAAAUGAUGAUGAGAAUGAAAUCAAAAGUGAUUUCAAUGGAAAUGAAAUCUCACUUAUAAAUGAGAUUUCAAUUCAUUCAAACUAAUAGGUAUUUUGAUUCUUUAGUGCAAGUUCUUCUUAAAAAUAUUUUUCAAAAAUUAAAAAACUAAGACUUUUUUAGAUAAGUUAUUUUAAAAAUAAUUUUUUAUUUUAAUUUUGUAAAAAGCACAAAUUAUAAAUUUAAUUUAUAUAAUGCAAAUUAAAUUUAAUUCAUAUUUUAUUAAAAAUAAAAACAAGUUUUGUUAGAAGCAUUCGUCUACACCUCAAAAGGAAGCUUCAGGUGCAGGAGUCUCAACACUGGACCCAUUGUAAUCGUGUUUUUCAAGCAUUGGACAGCUUUCUUGCAAUCCGACUCCCAAUCCCACCUUGUCUCCUUCUUUAGCAAAUUAGUCAAAAGAAUGACCAUCUCAUAAUAGCCUUUUAUUCAACGCCGUUAGUAAUUAGGUAAACCAAGGAAGGAAUAUGGAUAUUGAGAUUUUAUAAAAGCAAAAUUAAUUUAUUUUGUUAAAAAUAAAGAAAAAUUAUUCAAAAUUAAUCAUUUCUAAUAAUAUUCUAUUUUGAAUGAAUAUAAAAACAAAUAAAAUUUAAUUUUUUUAAGGUGUAAAUGAGCCAAAAUUUUCAUUUUAUGCAUACAUUUAUUAAUCAAUUACAAAUAUAACAUUCUAAAUUAUUUUAUUUAAUCUAUAAUUAAUUAAUUAGUUUUUUGAAUUUCAAAUUAUUAUUAAAAAUUACAAGAUUUGUUAAAGAAUCUAAAACAUUAAUUAUGUCAUUAUAUAUAUCAAGUUUUAAAUUAUUUUUUAAAAUCAUUAAACUUAUUAAUAAAUUAAUACAAAGUCUCACUACAUUUGAAAUUCAUUUUUCUAUAUUACUUUUAAAAUAAAGAAUAAUAACUAAAUAAUGGUAUAAAUCUUUAAAAACAAUUUUGUUUUUAAAUCACAUACCUAAAUAGGUUUUUAUCAUUUAGCAAUUUUUUAAAAAAAAAAAAAUCUCAAGGAUUUUCUUUUAAAUGAAAAUAAAAAAUUAUUUCAAACUAUGUUGAAUGUGAGAAUUUUUUAAAAUAAAUAUAAAAAAAAAUUAUUUUAAACCAUGAGAAAGAAUAUCUUUAAAAAUUUUGUUUAUUUUUUCGUUUGUAUUCCCAUUUUUACUCAGAAUCAAAAUGGAAAUAAAGUAUCAUUUUUAUCUUAUAUUUCUAUAUGCAUCCAAAUAAAAGAAUUAAAAUUAUCAAAUUUAUUUCUAAGAAUGAAAACAAAAUAUUUAUUCACAUAUUUUUUGUUUCCACCGCCCAAGACGCAUGCUCUCAAGUCCAACAUAUGCAGCAUAGAGAUAGAAGAGGCUGCUGAAGAUGCAAUGAAAAGUGAGAAUUGGGAAUCCAAAGGAAUGUGGCAGCACAGCAUACAGCCCCGUCGUGAAUGCUACCACCAUUGCUCCCAUCCCAAACAGGGUGAGAUAAGAGGCAUAAAAAAACAAGUGUAGCCACGUCCUCAUAUUGAGGUCAUAAAACAGUGCAUGUUGCGCUGCCAUACUAAAAAAUAUGAAUACGGCACUUACCGAGAACGUCAGGGCUAUGGUAUCCGACACAACAAAUGCUUUGAAAGAUGCUUUCUUUGUUAAGAUUGCCAUCCCAUCUGUGUCGCUGUAACCACCAGGCAAGGUGAAGCCUGCCGCAAAGGUUACUGUUGCCGUAAGUGUUGCCACUAUCAAAUGGGAUAUACUUGCCUUUUUCACGGAAGAGAUGAUUUUGUCCUCCUCCUUAUCAUCGUCAUCUAUUUUGCCACCAUAUUUGCUGUCAUCCUUUCUGACGACGUGCUGCAAACUGGAAGGUCUAAAAGGCAGUCUUAAAUAUUUCUUAAAUCCUUCAAAUCGGUCAUCUACUUGUGCCUGCUGCGAACUGGAAGAUCUAAAAGGCCGUCUAAGAUAUUCCUUACUUCUCUCAUGUAGGUGAUAUAACUGCGGAGAUUCUAACGCAGAGAUCUGAAAUUUGAUCAGAGUAAAAUUCCUAUUAGAGAAAAACAGAAAAUUAUAUAUAUAUAUAUAAUGCAUGAGAAGAUCAAAUAAAUGGAUAUAUGAUUGACAAAUAGGAUAAAGUAAUAGAAAAUUUAGUUAAAAAGCCUUACCGUGCCACAUGAAAAUUUAUUCCGGGAAGAAAAAAAGUUGUCAGAAAAGUUUAACUUUUCUUUGUUCCGUUCCAUCUUAUCCACCGUUUUGUCCAAUAUGAAAUCUACAUCAUUAACUCCGAAAGAAGCAAGCAGGUGGAGGGGUGUGUCUCCUUGAGCAUCUUUCUCAUUUACAAGUCCUCUCACUCUUAAUCCAUCCUUUAUUAAUAGCUCACUACCAAAAUGAGAAGGGUGCUUCUUCAUCAUGGCAAAGUGAAAAACAUUAUUGCCAUUCUCAUCAACCUGCUCACAACAAUCUGGAGCGUGUGACAGCAGCAACUUUACUAUGUCCAUACAGCCAUUGUAACUUGCAAUGUGAAGGGCUGUUUUGUUGCUGUUUUUUAUUCCAAGGUAGAUUACAGACUUGUCUGGUGAUCUGUCCAGUAAUUGCUUGGUAAUUGCAGCGUCACGCAUGUAUGCAGCACAAUGAAGCGGAGACCAGCCAUUUUCAUCCACUUCGUUGAUUAGCAUUGGCUUCCAUCCUAGUAUCUUCUUUGUCAUUGCUGAUCAAAUAAAUAAAUGAAGAAAGAGAGGUCAAGGAAUAUUAAAGAAAAUUAAUUAUAAAAUGAAUAACCUAAUGCAUUACUAUAGGCCCUUAUAUGCACUACCUUGGUGACGGCAGAGUACAGCAGCAUGCAAAGCUGUUCUACCCUCGAUGCCUUUGUGAUCUGAUGAAGGGCUGGUGUCUAUGAUUAUUUCCACCAAGUCCCCAUAUUCUCUCUCGGCAGCCAUGUAAAGAGGAGUGUAGCCUGUACUGUUAGCACCAUAGAUGAACUGGGGGUCUGCCUCAAUCAAUAACUUCACCACUUUUGAGUGAUGAUACCGCACUGCCUCAUGCAAGGCUGUGUCUUUCUCCUUAUUUUCCAUCCUCAUCAUGGCCUGAUCUGCUCCAACCUCACUUUCCAUCUCUUGAAGUUCUUUUGCAGCAUCAAUUAGAGCUUUCACGACCCCCCAAUGCCCUUCCCUGGCUGAAAGGUGAAGUGGUGAGUCAAGCUUCAGAUUGGGAUGCCGCAGGAGAGAUGAACAUGAAUGAAAGUGAAGGAUCCAGUUUACGCAUUCCAACUGACCGAACUGAGCUGCAAUAUGGAGGACAGUGUUCUGUUUUGGGGUUCGUUGGAGUUGAAGAUGAGCUUCUGAGUACCUUCCCUGGAGGAUACUGAUAUCACCUUCAUACAAAGCCUUGUACAAGGCAGCAUCCAUGUGGGUGAUAUCAGUUUGGCCAUCAGCUGCAAUCUGUUUCGACAUCUCAGUUUGGCUUGAAAAUGUUUCCAAGUUAAGGUUCUGCGAUUCUGUAAUUUGGUGGGAGCUGGACAGAUCCAUUAUUGGUGUUGGAGGAACAAAGUAAUAAUCAACUCUCUACAUUCUAUCUAUCCAUCAUCUAUCUAUAUAUAUUUAUAUUUUGUGAACAAGUCCUUUCAAGCUUUUGUCCAUGAUUGAAAGAUAUUUUAUGUAAGAGCAUAUGUGGAAGGGUUCUUGUCCACGCAUGAAAGAUAUUUUAUUUAGAGCAUGUGGAAGGAAAAGUUGUUUGCACAUAUAUAUAUUUUUCUCUUUCUAUCUUUUCUGACAGUUCCCGUUUUUAAUCAAUUACUUGAUCAGAUUUUUAUGAUGGGAUUGUGAAGUCACUACAAAAUGGAUAGACAACUUUGGGCAACACCAAUAGGAGAUGCUUGUGGAAAAGGAUGAAGAAAAGCGCUUUGAAAAAUGGUUUUCUUACCCUGUUAUACAUUGUACAGCGUUUUCAACCAAUUCUCUAUUUUUCAAUUAUUCAAGCAUUCUACAAAAAAGAACACAAUAUAUAUAUAUAUAUAUAUAUAUAUAUAUAUAUAUCUUAAAUUUCUUCUUAAAAUUGAUAUUAUAUUCAAAAUAAAUUUUAAAAAAAGAAAAUUAUUUUCAGUCCAAAACCUAUUAAAGGUGUUUUGGAAAUUGAAAAAUGUUUUUCUUAAGAACAAAAUAUUGUUCUUAAACAAAUCACUUAUACAUGUCUUGAUCAAAAUAAUUCUCAAAAAAUAGUCUUUCAAAAUAAUUUUUAAAAAAAUUAUCAAUUGAAAAAAAGUUUUCUUAAUUCAUUCUCAUGUAAUGCAAUAAUUUCUAAAGUAUUCUUGAUAAUUUUAAUUAUUUGUUAUAAUACUUAACAAUUUUUUUUUUAAAUAUUGAAAAGACUUUAAAUUCAUUUUGAAAAAUAGCUUAUCUUAUGACAAAUUUUUUAAAAAUCAUUUUCUAUAUUUUCCUUUUUAUUAUUUUAUAAUCAUCAAUAUAUUUGUUCUAUUUUUAGAAACAAAAAUAAAACUAGAAUUAGGGAAGAUAAUAAAUAUUUUUUAAAGUUAAAAAAUGUAAUUAAAAAUUUAUUUAUACAAUCUACUUUUAAAAAUAGUACAAAUAGAUGUAUAAAUACAUAUUUCUUCUCCUUUCUCUUUUUUGGUAUUUUCUUUCUCUUUUUUAUUUAAUUGUUCUAUUCAAUAGAUUUCACUAAUUAUUAAUUAUUUAUUUAUUAAGUAGUAAUUGGUCCACUUCUCUCUCAUAUUUGGAUUAACUAAUUAAUUUGAUUUCCAUUGUAAGGGGACCCAACUAGUGGCAUUUCAAACAUGAAUCAAUGUCAAAUACUAAUGUUGAUAAAGACCAGGUAUCUACCAUAUCAAAGUGGUAGAAGAAUCACAAGGCCCUAUUACCUUUGUCAAGAUAUAUGUGUUGGCCGUACCAUAUUUGUUAAGAUGUAUGUGUUAAUAUCCCUGAAGCUUUAUCAUACAAAUUAAAAUAGUAAGUGGAAAUAUAUCAUAACACGACAAUUGUUUUUCUAUCAACGAUUGUUGUUUUGGAGAUGAGUAGUCCCUUUCAACUUAGAUUCACAAUCAUAGAUAUUUUGUAUAGCUUAUGUUUAUAUUUGAAAAUAUUUUAUUAAGAUAUAUAUAUAUAUAUAUAUAUAUUUAAUGAUUAAACAAAAGUAAAGGUAUCAAUUUGUUUUUCAUUCCUAAUUUAUUCAAUGUUAUUUUAAAACUCGAAAUUCACUCGUAUCUUUUUUUUUUAUUAAAUCAAAAUCAUCAAUAUCUCUAGCGUAACCAUUGGAAAAAUCAUGGAAACCUAUUGAAAAAUCAUUAAAAAAAUCUAUUAAUUGUGAUAAAGACCGGGUAUCCACUAUAUCAAAGUGGUAGAAGUAUCUUAAGGCCCUAUCACCUUUGUCAAGAUAUAUGUGUUGGCCCUACCACCUUUGUCAAGAUGUAUGUGUUAAUAUUCUCAAAACUUUAUCAUACAAAUUAAACAAUAAGUGGAAAUAUAUCAUAACAUAACAAUUGUUUUUUUGACAACAAUUGUUUUCUUUGUUAGAUGAGUAGUCCAUUUCAACAUAGGUUCACAAUCAUAGAUAUUUUUGUAUAACUUAUUUCUAUAUUCAAAGAUAUUUUAUGUCCAAUAUUGGUUAUAACUUUUUGGUAAUAUAUAAUAUAAAUCAAUAUCAAAUAUUAAUGUAUGAAGACUGAGUAUCUACCAUGUCAAAGGUGGAAUAAGUAUCUUAAGGCCCUAUCACCUUUGUCAAGAUGUAUGUAUUGGCCCUACCGCAUUUGUGAAGAUGUAUGUAUUAAUAUCGUUGAAGCUUUAUCAUAUAAACUAAAACAACAAGUGGGGAAAUAUAUCAUAACAUAAUAAUUGUUUUUUUAACAAUAAUUGUUUUUUUUGGAGAUAAGUAGUCCUUUUCAACUUAGGUUCACAAUCAUAGAUAUUUUUUUAUAGCUUAUGUCUAUAUUCAAUAAUAUUUUAUGCACAACAUUGGUUGUAAUUCAAUGUACUUUUCAACUUGAUUUCCAUCCAUUCCUUAGUGAAGAAAUAUUCUUUGAAUAUGUCCUCCUCCAAGGAUAUCACCAAAAAAUGCUCUGAAUUAGUCCAUUUUUCUUCCUCUUUUCUAUUUGAUUGGCCUAUUUGGUGGACAUUACUAAUUAUUAUUUAUUUUUGAAGUGUUAAUUGAUUCAUUUUUCUCUCAUAUUCAGACUAGCUAAUUAACUUUAUUUCCAUCCAUUCCUUAGUGAAGAAAAAUGUUUUGAAUAUGGCUUCCUCCAAGGAUAUCACCAAAAAUAUCUUUGCUAAAGAUCACUUGUGUCAAAAAAAAAAAAUGAAUACAUAUUUCUUCAUUUUUUUUUUUUAUUUAUCUCUCCCUUUUGGUAAAGAUCAUGAAAUCUCGUUACUAAAGCAAGAUCUGACAUCAUUUUAAGCUAUGGAUUUUACCCAAAAACUUAAGCUUAUAAUUCAAUCGGGUGACAAUACAUAUCAAGUCAUGAACUUGGCGUACACACACAUAAAUGCAAAGUGAUCAUUAUCUAUAUAUAUAACAUAUUACAUAACAAGUAAAUUAACCACAUAGAAAUCUUGGUUCAAGGAAUCAUCACACUAUCUUUGUUAUUUCGAAUAACAACGACAUGGAAAGCCGUUCUACUCAUGAUGCCAGUGUGAGUUGGUAAAGUGUGAGACUCAUCUAUGAUCUUUUCCACCAAGUCACCUUGUUGGAUAUGCAGAAGCGUUAAUACCCAAUUUGGUUGGAGUAAUGGGGUUGAUAGAAAGAAACACACAUGAAGAUAAAUUUAGGAAAAUUAAAAAUUUAUUAUCUUCUAUCACUCUCUUUUUGUCAUACAUUACAUAAUCUCCUAUUUAUAACUACUCACACUAAACAAAAUAGAAACUCCUAAUUCUAACAUAUAGAAACCUUCUAGGACUUAACAACUCAAAAAUAUAAACUAGUAAUUAGAACAACUACUCAAAAUAUAAUAUUCUCCUUUAACCUUUUAGAAACUAAAUUUAAUUUUAAUAUUUAGAAAGCUCCUAAUUCAAGUUUACUUUCCAACAUACCCCCUUAAACUUGAUUUGUGACUCUAAAUAACAUCCUCAACUCUAAAAAAUCAUCAAACUUGAGAGACUUGGUUAAAAUAUCCACAAUUUGAUCUUGAGAUUUUGCAAAUUUUAAUUGCAAUUCUUUUUUCGUUUAUCAACUAAAAAUGGGCCAAAUUUAGGGGUCAAGUUACUUAUGUGGAAGGUAUGAGAAUAACCCUUAGACACAUCUAAACAUGUUACUUAACGGUCUCUAAUAAAUAAUAAGAGAGACUUUAACAUUUAAUUAGUUAAUCAAUGUAUACAAAAGAAAUCAAGAAACUUGAUAUCUCACAUAUAAAGAUUAGAAAGUGGUUAAAACUGAUAAUGAAAGAAUCAUUAAAUUUUUUUCUUUUUAUUAUUUAUAAUCAACAAUAUAUUUUUCUAUUUUAUAUUUUUAAAAACAAAAAUAAAACUAGAAUUAAGGAAGAUAUUAAAUAUUUUUUAAAGUUAAAAAAUAUAAUUAAAAAUUUAUUUAUAUAUUCUACUUUUAAAAAUAGUACAAAUCGACGUAUGAAUACAUAUUUCUUCUCAUUUUUCCUUUUUGGUAUUUUCUUCUUCUUUUCUAUUUGCUUGGUUUAUUCAAUGGAUUUCACUAAUUAUUAUUUAUUUUUUUAAGUAGUAAUUGGUCCUCUUUUCUCUCAUAUUUGGAUUAGCUAAUUCACUUGAUUUUCAUCACAAGGACUUAACCCGUGGCAUUUCAAUUAUAAAUCAAUAUCAAAUAUUAAUAUUGAUAAAGACCGGGGAUAUGUCAUAUCAAAGUAGUAGAAGUAUUUUAAGACCCAACCACCUUUGUCAAGAUAUAUAUAUUAAUACCCUUCAAGCUUUUAUCAUACGAAGUAAAACAGUAAGUGAGAGAAUAUCAUAACACAACAAUUGUUCUUCUAUAGUCCCUUUCAACUUAGGUUCACAAUCAUAUAUAUAUAUUUUGUAUAACUUAUGUCAUAUUAAAAGAUAUUUUAUGUACAAUAUUGAUUGUUAUUUUGUCGGUAAUACUGUUUUUUUGGAGAUAUCCAUCUCUUUCAACUUAGAUUCACAGCCUAGAUAUUUUGUAUAGCUUAUGUCAUAUUCAAAGAUAUUUUAUCUACAAUUUUGAUCGUUACAUAUUUUGUUGGUAAUAUAUAUAUAUAUUUCAAAAGUAAAAAGGUAUCAAUUUGUUUUUCAUUCUUAAAUUUAUUUAAUGUAAUUUUAAAACUCAAAAUUUACUCUUUUUUUUUUAAUCAAAUCAAAACAUCAAUGUCUCUUGUGCAAACAUUGGAAAAAUAAUGGAAACCUAUUUAAAAAAAUUCUACUAAUUGUGAUAUAAUUACAAAUAAAAAAUAAAAAAAAAAUCUAUUUUUGAAAAAAAAAGUGAAAAAAGAAUUUUUUUUUACAGAAAUAUUUAAUAUUUAUUUAUUUUUUGAAAUAUAUAUAAAUAAAACAUUAUUUGUAUUUUUACUUUUAAAAAUAAUACAAAACAAAAAUAUAUCUAGAUGAACCUAAGGAUAUCACCACAGUCUAAAUAUAUUCUAGUUUUGUGCGUAACCCCCCACAAAACAUUCCAAGAUGAUAUUAUUUUAUUAGAAAAGUAUCUUGAAGUCAUUACUAACUUUUGCUAUUCACGUAUGUCCAUAUCCAACUCAAGAUUUGUAUUAAAGAACAAGUCUCUCAAAUACUUUGUUGUAGUUGAUUAAUUAUUGGAUGCACCAUAAGAUUAAUAAGACACUUUGAGAUGAUGUAUAUUCUGGUGUGAUUUUAGAGGAGUGUUGUCUUUUAUAUUAGUUCCCUUCCAUAAGCAAACUCUAAGUCUUCCUUGAUAAAAAACCUUACAACAUUAAGGUGAUUUAUUUUUUAGAGGAGUGUGUAGGGACCCCUCCCUCUGAUAGCACGUGGCACACAUCUCCUGAUGACGCGUGACACACAUUCUCAUCCGGAUCAACCUCAUCCGGAUUUUCCUAAGAGUACACGUGGCGCGCUUCUCCUAUCCGGACUACUUUGAGGAGAGGCACACGACACUCACAAACAUAACAUCCAGACAACUUCCACAACGCAUCCGGACGACCGACAUAUGCUAUCCGGAUACGUUUGUCUGGAUCAUUGACUGAAGUAAGCAAGUCUUACACGUUAUCACAACAACCUGCCAUGGCCCACGUUCCGCCACCUACAGAGUGAAAGGACAAGAAUGAAGUGACGGCAAGUCACUUCCCACGAUCACUUCCCAUGAUCACCUACCAUGAUCUCUGUCAGCCACCCGUAGGGUGAUGAUGACCCUGCCACCACCUAGUGUCAUCAUGACAACACAAAAUAUUUCCCUACCAUUAAAGAGGGAAACAAAGCCUCUGAUACUAUAUAUAUGAACCUUCAUACAAAGAGGAAGGUAAGCUCGCUAUACCUAGUAAAAGGUCAACUGAUUUAUCUUUCUCUCUAACCAUGGCUGACAAAACCAUCGGAAGGUACGUCCGGACACCCUGUCUGGACGCCUUUUGCAGGUAGUACAACUGAAUCAAGAAUCUAUAUUAGUUGAGAUCGUGCAUCUAUCCAUUUGGCAACUACGUGGAUCACCAAGGACACGAGGCCUCAACAUUGGCGCCGUCUGUGGAAAAUUUUUCGCUGAUUCAGUCACUAGCAAAGAUGGCCACACCUUCUCAAAGCCGUUCAUCUGGUAAAAGAGAGGAAGAUAACUCUGAAUGGCGCCGAGCCAUCGAAAGAAGACAGUUGGCAAGCGAACGACAACUGAAAGCUCUCCUCCAGGAGACAGAAAGAUUAAGAGAAGAAAACGCGGUAUUACGCAUCCAGGCUUCAACAUCAGGGCCUCCUCAUCGCUAGCAUUCAAGAGGCCAAGUAGCAAACUCAAGGCCAAAACCAGAGUCAAUAUAUCCUGGGACAGUUGGAGCUCUCCUAGAAACAGGCAACGUGAGGCCACAUGAGCCACACACGCCCAUACCUCGAGCUCCUCAUGAGGAAAGCUCGGACUCUACUCAUUUUUCAGCAAAAAGGCAACGCGAUAGAAAAUCCCAGUUGUCAAAUUCAAUGCGCGCGAGACUAGGCCCACAAGAGCCUGGAAAACCAAGGCCACCAGUAGCCACAACCUGGGCAGCACGCCCUGACCCUAUGGUCACCCCCAUGGUGCAGAACGUGCUCCUGCACCGUGACCCUAUGGUCACCCCCAUGGUGCGGAACGUUCACUCGCACCUAGCGGUACGACAAGAUGGGAGAAACCUCCCAAACGAGCCACCCAUUGGCUCCAUCAGCAAAAGGCUGGACGACAUGCUCUCCACGCCUUUCUACUCUCAUAUCAUCCAUUACGAGCCCCCAAGGGGAUUCCUCGUACCAAAAUUUUCCACAUACGAUGGGUCCAAUGACCCCUUUGAUCAUAUCAUGCAUUAUCGACAGCUCAUGACGCUCGAUAUUGGCAACGACGCGCUACGAUGCAAAGUAUUCCCCGCCAGCCUACAAGGGCAGGCCCUCUCAUGGUUUCAUCACCUACCUCCCAACUCUGUUGACAAUUUCAGGGACCUGUCCGAAGCCUUUGUGGGGCAAUACUUGUGCUCCGCUCGACACAAGCAGAAUAUCAGCACUCUGCAAAACAUAAAAAUGCGAGAUAAUGAAUCCUUAAGGGAGUUCGUAAAGCGGUUUGGUCAAGCCGUACUUCAGGUAGAGGCUUGCAGGAUGGAUGCUGUCCUGCAGAUCUUCAAACGAAGCAUCUAUCCAGGCACCCCAUUUUUCGAAUCGCUAGCUAAAAAGCCUCCUACAACGAUGGACGACUUGUUCAGACGUGCAAACAAAUACUCAAUGCUCGAAGAUGAUGUACGAGCAGCCACCCAGCAAGUCUUAGUUGCUGGACAAGCAUCUAGAAGUGGCAUGGAAAGAAGUGCCAAACUUCUGGACCGGCCAAGGCCGUCCGACCGAAGACAGGAGGGGCCAAGUCACCCGGAAAGGCAACCCCUCACGCUUCUUUCCAUAUCAUAUGAAAAACUUCUCCCUAUGAUCCAAGGCUUGUCCGACUUCAGGUGGCCUAGACCCCAAGGAACGGACCCAUCCAAAAGAGAUCAUAGCAAGAGGUGUGUCUUCCACAAGGAACAUGGUCACACAACAGAGACAUGCAGGUGCCUCCAGUAUCUGGUCGAGAGGCUCAUCAAGGUAGGACAUUUAAAGCAAUACCUCCGCUCAGAUACUGGAGGAAGAGACGCUUCCCAAAAUCACAACUCUAGAGCCCCUAGGGCCCCAGCCGCCACCAAGGCCGUUAUAAACUAUAUUAACGGAGGCCCAUCUAACGAGGAGUAUGACUCCAAAUGAAAGAGGCAAAAGUUGUUGCGGGCUGCAUCAGUACGCGAACGUAUCAACUCCAUCCGGCCUGGAUUAACUGGAGGGGGCUCUUGCCCCAUAGAUGGGACAAUCAUUUUCCCACCGGUAGACCCCACCCGGACACUGCAGCCACACCGCGACGCCCUCAUCCUAUCCCUAGAGAUAGGAGACUUCGACGUGAGACGCAUUUUGGUUGACCCAGGCAGCUCGACCAAUCUUGUGCAAGCAUCGAUCGUUACCCACAUGGGGCACAGUCUCACGAGCCUUGAAAACCCUGGGCGAAUCCUAUCCGGAUUCAACGGGUCAUCAACUACGUCCUUGGAAGACAUUGUACUGCCGGUCCAAGCUGGCCCAGUCACUCUCAACGUACAAUUUUCGGUGGUACAAGAUUUAUCACCCUUCAAUAUCAUCUUAGGGCGCAUAUGGCUACACUACAUGAAAGUCAUCCCCUCUACAUAUCACCAAAUGGUAAGUUUCCUUACCAAGGAUGGGCAAAUUGAUCUAUAUGGCAGUCAGUUAGCCGCUCGCCAAUGCUACCAAAUAGCACGAGAAAUAGGGACCAGCCAGGAGGAUGCAUCCCUCCCUGAGUCCGGCAAUGCACAUAAUCAAUAGCUAUUAUUGGGUCCGGUGGACAAAGAUCCCCCGACAGCAGAUCCCUUGCAAACAAUCCAAAUUUCGGAAGAAGGAACUCACCUUACGAAUAUCAGUUCCCUUCUGACACCGGAAGAGACCCAGAACAUGCAAAACUCCCUCAGACAAAACCAUGACAUCUUCGCAUAGGCACAUUCUGAUAUGAAGGGAAUUCAUCCCUCCAUUACUUCUCAUAAGCUUAACGUCUUGCCAACAACCAGACCCAUCCGGCAGAAGGUUAGGCGUUUUCACCCGGACAGACAGAAAAUUAUCCGGAGUGAGAUUGACAAAUUGCUAGAAGUCGGAUUCAUUAGAGAAGUCGAUUACUCGGACUGGUUGGCAAAUGUAGUAGUGGUACCCAAAAAAGAAGGCAAAUGGCGUGUGUGCGUCGACUACACCAACCUCAAUAAUGCAUGCCCAAAAGACAGUUUUCCUUUGCCACGAAUAGAUCAGAUUGUGGAUUCCACUACUGGGCAAGGGAUGCUCUCUUUCCUGCACGCUUUCUCCGGAUAUCACCAAAUUCCUAUGUCCCCGGCUAACGAAGAAAAAACAGCAUUCAUAACGCCACACGGUCUCUAUUGCUACAAGGUCAUGCCAUUCGGACUCAAAAAUGCAGGCGCCACUUAUUAGAGACUGAUGACAAAGAUCUUCAAACCUCUGAUAGGCCACACGGUAGAGAUAUAUAUUGAUGAUAUCGUGGUUAAAAGCAAAACCCAAGAGGAGCAUGUCCUCCACUUGCAAGAAGUUUUUCACCUUUUGAGGAAGUAUGACAUGAAGCUAAAUCCUUUUAAAUGCGCCUUUGGCGUAAGUGCUGGCAAAUUUCUGGGAUUUAUGGUCAGCCAAAGAGGGAUAGAGGUUAGCCCGGAUCAAGUCAAGGCAGUCAUGGAAACACCUCCCCCCAAGAGCAAGAAAGAGUUACAACGCCUCACAGGCAAACUCGUCGCACUAGGGCGUUUUAUAGCCCGCUUCAUUGAUGAAUUGCGACCCUUCUUCUUGGCAAUACGAAAAGCUGGAGCAAACGGAUGGACAGACAGCUGUCAGAACGCUUUUGAAAAUAUCAAACACUGCCUUAUGCAGCCGCCCAUCCUAAGCAGUCCCAUCCCUAAAGAGAAAUUGUACAUGUAUCUGGCUGUAUCAGAGUGGGCAAUUAGUGCUGUUCUAUUCCGCUGCCCCUCACCCAAGGAGUAGAAACCUAUUUACUACGUCAGUAGAGCGUUGGCGGACGUAGAAACCAGGUAUUCAAAAAUGGAGCUAACAGCCUUAGCCCUUCGGAGCGCCGCCCAGAAGCUCCGCCCCUAUUACUCGGUGGUCGUGUUAACUGACCAACCCCUCUGUAACAUUCUCCACAAGCCAGACUUAACCGGAAGAAUGCUUCAAUGGGCCAUCGAAUUGAGCGAAUUUGGAAUCGAGUUCCAACCCAGAUUGUCCAUGAAAGGCCAAGUAAUGGCUGACUUCGUACUGGAAUACUCUCAAAGGCCCAGCCAACGCCAGGAACCAAAUGAAGAAAAAUGGUGGACUUUGCGGGUCGAUGGAGCCUCACGAUCAUUAGGGUCCGGAGUUGGGCUUCUGCUACAGCCCCCAAUAGGGGAACAUCUGGAGCAAGCCAUCCGGUCGGGAUUCCCCGCCUCCAACAAUGAAGCAGAAUACGAAGCCAUCCUAUCCGGAUUGGACCUCGCCCUGGCUCUAUCCGUCUCCAAGCUCCGUGUUUAUAGCGAUUCUCAACUUGUGGUCAGGCACGUCCAGAAGGAAUAUGAAGCUAAAUAUGAGCGCAUGGCGCGAUACCUGGCUAAAGUAAGGGACACCUUGCAACAAUUCACCGAGUGGACAAUCGAAAAAAUCAGACGAAUUGAAAAUGGACGUGCCGACGCCCUAGCAGGCAUAGCUGUCUCCCUCCCCAUCAAAGAACCCAUAUUGUUGCCUAUACAUGUGCAAGCCAACUCUUCCGUCGCGGAAACCUCCAUUUGCAAUACCAUUGAGGCAAGCCAAGCAGAUAGCCAAGAAUGGACGAACGACAUUAUAGGGUACCUCCGGACAGGCGCUCUGCCCGGAGAUCCCAAACAGGCACACAAAAUCCGAGUGCGAGCUGCCCGUUUCACCUUGAUUGGGGGGCACUUGUACAAGCGAUCCUUCACAGGUCCCUAUCUCCGGUGCCUAAACCAUUCAGAAGCCCUAUAUGUGUUAGCAGAAUUGCACGAGGGAGUAUGUGGAAAUCAUUCUGGAGGACGAUCUCUAGCGCACAGGGCCCAUUCUCAAGGAUAUUAUUGGCCCACGAUGAAGAAUGAUGCGGCAGCCUACGUCAAAAAAUGCGACAAAUGUCAACGACAUGCCCCCAUACCACACAUGCCGUCGGAGACGUUGAAACCAAUUUCAGGUCCCUGGCCCUUCGUGCAGUGGGGUAUGGAUAUAAUAGGACCCUUACCAACCGCACCUGCUCAGAAGAAAUUCCUACUUGUUGCCACAGAUUACUUCAGUAAAUGGGUAGAAGCCGAAGCAUACGCUAGCAUCAAAGACAAGGAUGUCACCAAGUUCGUAUGGAAAAACAUCAUCUGCCGCUUUAGAAUCCCUCAAACCAUCAUAGCCGACAACGGUCCAUAGUUUGACAGCAUCGCAUUCCGGAAUUUAUGUUCAGAACUAAGCAUCCGGAAUACAUACUCCACACCGCGUUAUCCUCAAAGUAAUGGACAAGCAGAAGCCACAAACAAGACUCUAAUCACUGCCUUAAAGAAAAGGCUUGAGCAAGCCAAAGGAAAAUGGGUGGAGGAGUUACCCGGCGUCCUGUGGGCUUAUCGAACCACACCCGGACGGUCGAGAGGAAACACUCCCUUCGCCCUCGCAUAUGGUAUGGACGUAGUCAUUCCUACCGAAAUAGGGCUACCCACUAUCCGGACUAAGGCAGCAAAGCAGGAUGAUGCAGAUGCAGAGUUAGGAAGAAACUUGGACUGGGCAGAUGAAGUAAGGGAAAGCGUAUCCAUUCGGAUGACAGACUAUCAACAAAGGGCAUCCGCUCAUUACAAUCGCAAAGUAAGGCCCAGAAGCUUCAAAAAUGGUAUGUUGGUCCUUAGAAAAGUUUUUGAAAAUACUACUGAAACAGGAGCAGGAAAAUUUCAAGCCAACUGGGAAGGCCCCUACAUAGUAUCCAAAGCAAGUGAGAGUGGAGCUUAUCAUCUACAAAAGCUAGACGGAACUCCAUUACUCAGACCAUGGAAUGUGUCUAAUUUAAAGCAGUAUUAUCAAUAAAAGAAAGAGACAAGCACAAAUAUGAAGAAAUAUGUUUCAUUAAUAUUUGUGAAAAUUGUAUACAAAAAGUUCUCCGGACUACAAAAAUACAGAGAGAAGAUUGCAGUAAAAAUUACAAAAAGAAAAGCUCUCAUGGAGUAGGCUUGUCGAGUAGCUUCUUCUCUUCACCCGGAGGAAUUAAAGGGAUGUCCCGCUUGAUGCCAUGUUUCUUCAUACAGCAGCGAUAGCCGAAGAAGAACAUUUCAUCUACUUGCUUCUGGUAGUCCGCUUCAAGCUUCUCCCUCUCUACAGCAAACUCACCCUCCAACUCUUCUUUUUGCGCUGAUAAACGUAGCUGCAAGUCUUCUCUUUGCUUUUUCUCAAUAGAUACCUCCGUCCGGAGUUGCCUCACCUCCCCCCUCAGGUGGGCCAUCUCAUCCUCCGCCUCAUGCAGGCGGGCAUCCAUCGAUUCCUCCCGGCUCUUUGCCUUAGCUAAAUCUGCCCGGAGAGCCUCGUUGUCUCCUCGAAUGGCAGAUAAACUGGCUUCAGCCUCCUCCAGUCUCAAGCGCAACGUAUCUUCACUAUUUCUGCGCUGAGAGGUGAAGACCUUCAUGUAAUCAGCGGUCCGCAGCAAGUCAGUAAACAAGUCAUGUUGUUGGGCCAUGCCGCGAAGACCGCUCACCAGCUGCAGGUGAACACACAAAACAAGAGCAAAGUUACAAACCAUACCACAAGCACAUCAGUAUGACAAAGAAAAUGAAGAAGUAAACUAUACCGUUUCCACCACUUCGAACAUUUUUGCUGAAGGCAUGGCAAUAUCCGAGCCGGGUGGAAUCCGUUUCAGCUUCUCUUCUAACUCCGCGUAGCUGAAAGCGCUAGCAGAGAUGCAAGAUGCAUUAUCAACAGGAUUUCCCCUUGAUGAAGCAUUGGAGAAUGACCCCUCCUCCGGGUCUGGGGCCCUAUCAGUCUCGGCUGGCUGGGUCACUCCGGGUGAAACCCCAUCCGGGACCACCACCGGGGCGGGUGGGUUCUCUGCUGCCAUCUCCGCCUCGCUCUCCUCCGGAUGAUCAUCCUAGACGGACGAGCAACUGACUUCGAUGGUUUCCAAGAACCGAUCUUGAAGCCGCCCGAUGAGGCAGGACUUUAAGUUACGCGCCGAAUGCGACUUCCUUGAAACUGGCCCCUUCACCAGUACAAGGGCAAGAGGGCUUGACCUGCAAGGAGGCAAACCUUGGCUUUCUGCCCCCACUUCUUCCCUUGGGGGUGCCGAAAGAGGCGAUGCGGCCGCACAAUAAGCCCCGGCUGCAUCUGCAUCCGGAUGGGGAGAACCGGGCUGAUUUAUUGAAGUCGCCUCCUCAGCCAGCAGAGCCAGGCAUUCAGCCGCCAACAGUAAAGACCCCGAGUGGUUCAAACCCGCGAGAUGUCCGGGACCACUUGAAAUAGAGGGCAAGGGGGGAACCUCCGGCUCUCUUAUUAUUACCUCAUUCACAUAAGUUGAAGAAGGAAUUACAAACUCCUUUGGAGGAGUGGGGAGUUUCACUUCCUUCACCUUAUUUGAAACCUUCUUCUUCUUCUUUGCUGGAGCACCAGCAGGUGGAGAAGACGCGGGCCGUUUGCCACCCGGAGCCUUCCGCAAGAGCCCUUCUUUCAUUUUUACCUCCCGAUUAGUGAGGCGGGCUUUGCGUGUCCGGGCGUCUGCCUUCUGCACCGCCGCGUAGAAGGGCAGAUCUUGAAGAACGAAGUGCUCCCCAGCCACAACCUCUUCAAGCAUCCGCCUUGGGAGUAUGUUCAGCACGUACGACUGAGGCUCCCGGGUGACCGAACGGAGGUUCUACGCGGAAAGCAGCAUGUCACAACUCCGCUCGGCCGCCGCAAUCUCAAAGAGCCUGUUCAAACGAUCGAACGAGGCCUUCUCCACCCACUCCACCAAUCUCCCCCUUUUAUCCUGGCAUGCACCCAAGAAAGCAAAAGUAUGUCAGCAACCCAACAAUGCUGACCUACAUUCACAAAACAUGGAAAGACAAGAAAUAAUUUAAUCAUACCGGGGACCUUCAACGAUUGGUUGGGAGUGAAUGGCCUGUCCGGAUGCUCCGCCAAACCCGCCCAUACGCCCUUGACCAACACAUGUCCCUUCGCGGCCCCCUUGGUCGAGUCCGGCAGAUUGAUCACCAACUACAUGGACGGAAGGCAAGCAACAAAGCUGAAGAUGUCAGUCUUCAGCUUCUUGAUCGAAUAAAUAAAAAGAACCUCCAGCAUUGAGAGGUCCAAGUUGAACAGCAUGUUCAGGAUGCUGCACCCCAUCAGCACCCGGACCAUGUUAGGAUGAAUAUACGCCGGAGGAAUCUGGGUGAAGUGCAGAAACUCCUUGAACAAAGACGGCAGGGGAAACCGGAACCCAGCGUUGAACUGCUCCUUGCUAAAGAAAAUAGCAUGGUCUUCAUUGUUCUCAGUCGAUACAGCCUCCCCGUCAGUAAGUUCAACAAAUACACCGUUGGGAAUGCAGAACCGUUCGCGGAACUCCUUCGCACUCAAUUUAUCCACAGACUUUUUGGCAUGAGCAUCGCCGCAUGGGCCAGAUGAGGUCGCUUCCUGGUUCGUAGACAUUUUUUCCAGCUUCAUAAAUCUGCAUGGAAGAAGUACCAACAGUCAAAACACAACAAACUGGUCCCACAACCCUAAACGACAAAAACUCUCAGACAAACCCCACAUCGCCAGUAUCCCCAUCCCAAAACCUUGACUCUACCCCAAAGAAAAACCUCCAACCCACAAAAGACGCAGGGGGGCAACAGAAACACUAAGCACACCCAAAAACACAGUCCAUACCCCCCCUCCCUCCACCCACCGGAAAACCCUAGAAACCAAAAAACACCAAUAUCCACACACACAGUCGCAAGCAACUUGCCCAAGCAAACCAGCAACAACCGACAACGACAAAAGCAAACCAAAGGAAAAGACAAGACAAACGAACGUACCAAGUAAAAACAGGGAAAAUAGGGUUGAACAUCGCAAAUGCAGUCAUCGGUACAACGCGAAAAUCAUCGGUAGAAAAUUCUAGGGCUUCACUCAGAAAACGAAGGUACGCAGAAGGUAGAAGAAGAAACACUCUCAGAAAGAAACGCAGUAGGAAAGAUGCAAUAGAAGGCACAGUAUGCUAUUUAUAGGGCGACAACCCCUCAGUAUAUCAAACGCUCAGCUACGCCAUCAUUGAAACGACAUGCUGCCUGGGAAUACACAGAGACGACGGCUCAUCAUAAAUGCUCUUCUCUCUCUUUGCCCCCGCUCGCCACGUGGCCCAAUGAGCGCAAAAAAUAACAUCAGUUUCAAAAAACCAAUUAUUUUUAACCCGCCCAUUUUUUGCUCAGGCAAAAUAGGCAAGUUAAAAAGGGGGCAUUAUAGGGACCCCUCCCUCUGAUAGCACGUGGCACACAUCUCCUGAUGACGCGUGGCACACAUUCUCAUCCGGAUCAACUUCAUCCGGAUUUUCCUAAGAGUACACGUGGCGCGCUUCUCCUAUGUGAACUACUUCGAGGAGAGGCACACGACACUCACAAACAUAACAUCCAGACAACUUCCACAACGCAUCCGAACGACCGACAUAUGCUAUCCGGAUACGUUUGUCCGGAUCAUUGACUGAAGUAAGCAAGUCUUAGACGUUAUCACAACAACCUGCCAUAGCCCACGUUCCGCCACCUACAGAGUGAAAGGACAAGAAUGAAGUGACGGCAAGUCAUUUCCCACGAUCACUUCCCACGAUCACCUACCACGAUCUCUGUUAGCCGCCUGUAGGGUGAUGAUGAUCCCGCCACCACCUAGUGUCAUCAUGACAACACAAAAUAUCUCCCUACCAUUAAAGAGGGAAACAAAGCCUCUGAUACUAUAUAUAUGAACCUUCAUACAAAGAGGAAGGUAAGCUCGCUAUACCUAGUAAAAGGUCAACUGAUUUAUCUCUCUCUCUAACCAUGGCUAACAAAACCAUCGGAGGGUGCGUCCGGACACCCUGUCCGGACGUCUUUUGCAGGUAGUACAACUGAAUCAAGAAUCUAUAUUGGUUGAGAUCGUGCGUCUAUCCAUUUGGCAACUACGUGGAUCACCAAGGACACGAGGCCUCAACAGAGUGUUUUGGUAAAAGUGCAUGGCUCUUUCAAAGUUAUAUCCAUAUUUUCAAAGUUCCCUGUCUAAAUAGGAUUUUCUUUUUCUUUCUAUCAUGGAUAGGAAUAGCUUGUAAAGAUUUAGGAAAAUAAUUUUUUUUUUAAUAAAUUUUAAUAUAUGUUAGAUUUAAAAUAAAAAGUUAUACUCACAAGUCAUCCAUUAUUUUAUGCCUUUUGUCAAAUUUAACAAUAUUGAUGCCUUAAAUGUGAAAGUUGAAAAUUUAUCCAAAAAAAUGUUUUUUUUUUGUUAUACUGUCAAAUACCUUUUUUCCUUGUAUUAAAAAAGAGAAAAUAAACUUAGGAUUACAAAUUAUAUUUUCCAAAAAUUUUAGAAAAUAUGUAUUUCUAAUUGGGCUGUGUUGUAGUAUGUGGCUCAUAUUGAGGGAAAGACAUAUAUGGAGAAAAUGGGCAAAUAUCGGAGUGAAACAACAACAUUUGUCAUUCAAGCUUGUAUUUUUAUUGUUAAGGGCAAACGAUAGGUUGAGGGGUUUUAAUUUCAUUACAUGAAGGUUAGUAUAAAUAUCCUUUUAUGUAACUCUAAUUUGAUAUAUAGUAAAAAUCUUCUUCCUUAUUCCCAUGGACGUAGGGCAAUCCAUCGAACCACGUUAAAUCUAUGUGUUUAUUUUGUUUUUCUCUAAUUUCUUCACCAGGAAUCGUUGCAUGAAGACCAACAUGUUGUUAUGUACAAUAGUGAUGAAGGCGAACACACCUAAAGAAUCCGCUGGACCAAAUACAUCCCACUUGCCCUUUUUUUUUUUUUCCAAUGCUUUAAAUAUCAAUUUGUUGGGCAAUUAAAAAUUUCUUUCAAGUAAUUUUAAAACUUACAAGUCAUCCAUAUUUAUUGUUUUUUAUAACCAAAUCAAGAAACUUGGUAUCUUUCAUGCAAAGAUUACAAAGUGGUCAAAACCCAUUAAAAUUAAAAAAAAAAAAUCAUUAAUUUUUUAAUUUUUAAUAUUAUAUAAUUAUCAAUACAUAUUUUUAUUUUAAAAACAAAAAUAAAAUUAGAUUUAACUAAGAAAGAUAUUAAUAUUUAUAAAAUUAAAAAAUGUAAUUAAAAAUUUAUUUACAUACUUUUAAAAAUAGUAAAAAUAGAAUUAUGAAUACAUCUCUUCUCAUUUUUGGUAAAAAUAACUAGUAUUAAGGAAAUUAUGAAUACAUGUUUCUUCCUCUUUUCCUCUUUUAUUGUUUUCUUCCUCUUUUCUAUUUGAUUUGCCUAUUGGUGAAUGUCACUAAUUAUAAUUCAUUUCUUAAGUUGUAAUUGGUUCAUUUCUUAAAAUUUUCCGCCAAAUUGAUGGAAAACGUCAGGCCAAAAGUAUAUAUACUUUAUCACCAUUCUUUAUAAAAGAAAAAGAAAUUCUUAACCAAAAAAAAAAAAAAAACCAUGGUUUAAUAUUAAUAGUCUAACAAAAAUAUUAGGAGCUAAAUUAGGACAUAAAUAAAAAUAUAAAUCAAAUUGGAAAACAAAAAUUAGCGCCCUUAGGUCAUUUUUUUUUUGUACUUAAUUUAAAAAAAAUAAUAAUUAAAGAACUUUUUUUUUAAAAUUUUUUUUUAUAAUCUUAGAGUGUUUGGUAAGUUAUUUUUUAAAAAUAGUUUUAAAAAUAAAAAAUAAAACUUGUUUAGAUAAGUUGCUUUCAAAAAUAAUUUCUUUAUUUUGAUUUUGUAAAAACACUAUAAAUUUAAUUUAUAUAAUAUCAUAGUGUCAUGCACGACAUGGAGACUCUUGGAUCUUGGUCCACUAGGCGUACAACUGAAUCAUUGCAUUUGAAAAAAUGAAAUGAAUAUAAAACGUCCACUAGGCGUACAACUGAAUCAUUGCAUUUGAAAAAAUGAAAUGAAUAUAAAACGUCCACUAGAGGAAAGUGACUUGGGACCACAGCAUUGUGGAGGCAUUCGCACCCUGUUCCCUUUGCUGUAGUAAUAUAAGACGCAGAGGCGGUGGAUUAUGGUGUUGUGAAAGAUUUGAGAGAGGUGGAGACGGCUGUAGAGCUUAAGCACACCCAUGGAUCCAUCCACAUCCACUUCCACUUCCAACCAUGCUUUAGAAUUACAGAACCUUAACUCAGUUUCUAGUGCGAACCAGGAGGAUGUCACAUACAUGCCUCCUAAAAUUUACAGGGCUGCAGCACAAGGCUCCACCGAUAUUAUCCGCAGGAGAAUGCCCAGAGCUGUCCAUUAUUUAACACCCAAUAAGAACACUAUCCUCCACAUUGCAGCCCAAUUCGGUCAACCGAAGUGCGUUGAAUGGAUCAUUCGACAUUACAGUGGGGAUUCAUCCCCACUGCAGUGGCCCAAUCUGAAAGGGGACUCCCCCCUCCACCUUGCGGCGAGAGAAGGGCAUCUAGAGGUCGUGAAGACUAUUAUUCAUGCUGCGAAAACAGUUUCCGAAAGAGAUAUUGAGAGUGGGAUUGGAGUGGAUAAGGCCAUGCUGAGGAUGGCCAACAAUGAGCAUGACACAGCCUUGCAUGAGGCAGUCCAGUAUCAUCAUCCGGAGGUGGUGAAGUGGUUGAUCGAGGAAGAUCCCGAGUUUACAUAUGGUGCUAACUUUUCUGGUGGGACUCCUCUAUACAUGGCUGCUGAGAGAGGGUUUAGAGACUUGGUGAAAAUAAUCAUAGAGAACACUAAUCGCGAUCGACUGGCUCACACUGGCCCCAUGGGUAGAACAGCUUUGCACGCAGCUGUGAUUUGCCGUGACCCAAGUAGGCAUAUUCUUUUCCUGAAUCUACCAUAUUUCCUAUGUGGUUUAUUCAUUAAUAUUACAGGUAUAACAUAUAUAGUGUUGAAUAACAAGUUUUAACCUAGCUAAACUAUGGGGUUACAAUUUCUUCAUAACUUCUAAUCUUUCUCAAAAAAUAUUUUGAUAAAUUUGUUUGAGUAUAUAUAUAUAUAUAUAUAUAUAUAUAUAUAUAUAUAUAUAUAUAUAUAUGCUUGGUGGUUGAUUGUUUCAGCUGUUUAAAUGUUAUAUUCCAAAUAGUUGAGUUACUUUUUAACCUGACAUGCAUGAUUAAAUAUGAGAAGACUAAAGAAAACUUGUUUCUUAAUUUCUUAUACUCUUCUAAUUUUUUUCUUUCUUUUCAUUUUAUGUAUGUGUUGAUCAGUAAUGGUAAAAGAAAUUCUGAGAUGGAAGUCAGAUCUAAGAAAAGAAGUGGAUGAAAAUGGGUGGUCUCCACUUCACUGCGCUGCAUACUUGGGUUAUGUUCCAAUAGCGAGGCAAUUGCUUCAUAAAUCUGAUAAUUCUGUAGUCUACCUAAGGGUCAAAAACUAUGACAACAAGACAGCUCUUCAUAUUGCAGCCACCCGUGGAAACAAGCUCAUAGCAAAACUGUUGAUGUCACGCUAUCCAGAUUGUUGUGAGCAAGUGGAUGUUAAUGGAAAUAAUGUUGUUCACUUAUUCAUGAUGCAAAGAAGAUGUUUCAGAAGCUUCAUAAAGAUUCCCUGGAUGAAUGUGAGAGCACUUAUAAAUGAGAAGAAUGUUGAAGGACAAACACCUCUCCAUCUGCUCGCCCAUUCCCAGCUGAGAUGUCGUUCUUUCAUAUUGAAAAAGGAAGUGGAUAAGAUGGCACUUAACAACCAAAACUCAACUGCUUUGGACGUAAUUUUACUGGCCGAGGAUUUAUUUGGAAAAAAGGUAAGCAUGUCUGUCUAACUUUAUUAAUUUCCCAAAUAGCAAGGAAAUGGUGAUCUGCUCCAUUAAUUGAAGCCAAGGUACUGUAUACUCUGUUUUCUCUGAUUAAAUUUCAGGAUUUUAUCAUAUCAACACUGAAAAGGGCCAAAGCUAGAGUCGGGCCUUUGUUUUGGCAGAAGGCUAUGAGGAAAGACAAGGACAAGAAAAACGAGGACAAGAAAGACGAGGACAUGAGCCAAAGCAAACGUAGUAAAGGUUUAGACACCUCUUUCUUAAGGGAAGCAGGUCAGAGCCAUUUGAUUGUGGCCGCACUUGUCGCGACUGUAUCGUUCGCAGCAGGUUUUACACUGCCCGGCGGUUAUAAGGAUGGUGACGGCAUGGCCAUUUUAAGCAACAAUCCAGCUUUUAAAGCAUUUGUUGUGUCUGAUUCCCUGGCUCUGGUGCUCUCUGUGACUGCUGUAUUGUUUUCUUUUUAUACUGCAUUGGCUAAAACAAAGAAGCGAGUCAAUUUAUUUGUAAGGCCGGCGUAUUGGCUCACCAAGUUGGGUGUAGGAGCAAUGGUGGUAGCAUUCUUUACCGGCUUAUACACCGUACUGCCGCAUCACUCAGGGAUUGCAAUUUCUACUUUUAUCAUCUGCAUCUGCUGUUCAGUUUUCAGCAUAAUCUCUGGUUCGGUACCCCAAAGGUGGAUCACAAAAUGUACUAAAUUUAGGUCACGUUGAGAAUCUCACAAUCAUAUAUGUGUUUGAUAUAUACAAAGAAUAUUGGAUGAGGAAAUUAUCAGUAAAUCAGAAUCGUGUGUUAACAUUUAUAUAACUAAUUUUAAUUAUAUUUUAUUUUCUUUGAUAUUUUUAAUAGUACUACAACCAAACAUUAAAAAUAAUAACCUUUUUUAACAUUUUUUUCAUAAUGCUUUUGAAGAAUCAAACAUAACCUUAAUGUUAAAAUUGAAUAGAAUAUAAUUAUUUUGUAUCCGUAAAAACUUGCUACUUUGACAAACUAGAGAUAAUUUUUAUGUUAUCAACAAUUGUGAAGUUGGGUCAAUUUAAAGCUAAAUCAAUUUCCCAAACAUCAACAAAUAAAAACAAAAUUAAAUAGUCAAAUAUCUUAUUUUUCUAGAGUUGGAAGUACAUCUAAACACUGCAAUUGUUUUUCUAGAGGUAAGUAGUUCCUUUCAAUUUAAGUCCAAUUUCAAAGAUAUUUUCUAUAGCUCUACAUUUCACAUUCUAUAUAUUUUGUGAGCAAUUCUCUUCAAGCUUUUGCCCAUGAUUUAAAGAUAUUUUAUGUAGAGCAUAUGUGGAAGGGAAAGUUGUUUGCACGUAUAUAUUUUUCCGUGUCUUUCUUGUGAAGUUUUUCUGUCUUUUUAGACAUCUCCCAUUUUUAUUUACUUGAUGAGAUUUUUAUCCAAUCACACUCCCGCCUCAAUAAUUUGGCUAUAUUAAACCCAUUUAACACCAUUUUAUUAUUUAUUUUUCUAAAUUGUAAUGCUUCAUAUUUCUCUCAUAUUUGAACCAACCAAUCAGCUUCGUUUCACGCUCAUUCCUUGAUUCACCCAUUUGAUAAGUGACUUUCAAUCAUAAAUCAAUAUAGAAUAUUAAUAAUAAGAAAGGUCAGUCGAUACCUACCAUAUCAAAGGGUGGAUGUGUGUUAAAUUCCUUCCAGCGUUAUUAUAAGAAGCUGUCUAGAGAUGAGUCGUUGCUUUCAAAUCAUGUCCAUAUUUCUGAGAUAUUUUAUGUAACUUAAGUCCAUAUUCAAAGAUAUUUUAAGUAAAACAUGGGUGUAGAGGAAAGUUACUUACUCAAAUACCAUAUUCUCUUCUAUGGAUAAGAUAAUGUUUGGUUCUAAUUUCAUAUGUAGUAUAAUUUUAAUUCUUAAUUUUAAGAAAAUAAUAAAAAUAAAAAUAAACAGUAAAUAAAAGAUUCAUUCCCAAAUUUGUUUAAAGUGAUUUUAAAUAUCACAACUCAUUCUCAUUAUAUUUAUAAUGCAAUCAAGUAACUUGCUGUCUCACAUGUAAAGAUUAAAAUGUGGUCAAAACUUAUCAAAAGAAUCAUUAAAUAUUUUUCUAUUUAUUGUUAUAUAAUCAUCAUUAUAUUUUUGUGUAUUUUUAAAAACAAAAAUAAAACUAGUUUUAAGAAAAAUAUUAAGUAUUUUUAAAAGCUAAAAUUCAAUUGAAAAUUUAUUUAUAUAUUCUACUUUUGAAAAUAGUGAAAACCAAAGCAUAUUUAAAUGCAUUUUUUUUCCUCUUUUAUAUCUUUUGUGCACAUAUUGACUUUUCACAAGAAAAUGGACAAAGCAGCUAUGGGAAUAAAAAAAUAGAAAAUGUUUAUGGUAUCAAAACCUAGUUAUGUUUUUUAUAAAAGGAAGAAAAAAAUGAAUGAAUUAUAUAUAUAUAUUAAGGAUCAAUGUGAGGUAAAAUCCCAAGGAUAUUACCAAAAAUAUUUUGGUAAAGAUCACCGGAGUCAAGGAAAUAAUGAGCACAUAUUUAUUAUUAUUAUUAUUAUUAUUAUUAUUAUUAUUAUUAUUAUUAUUAUUUUCAUAUUUUGUUUCUAUUUUCUAUUUGAUUGGCUUAUUUGGUGAUGUUACUAAACAUUUUUUUAUGAGGUAGUUGGUUAGUUUUUCUUUCAUAUUUGGACUCACUAAUUAACUUUAUUUUCAUCCAUUCCUUAAUGAAGAAAAAUGCUUUGAAUAUGUCCUUCUCUAUGGACAUCACCAAAAUUUUCUGGUAAAGAGCACUAGUGCGAAGGAAAUUAUGAAUAUAUAUUCGUUGCCACCGACACACCCCCCACUUCCCUUAUUCCUUUCGGUAUUUUCUUCUUCUUUUUAUUUUAUUGGCCUAUCUAUAGGACGCUACUAAUUAUUGUUUAUUUUUUAAGUCGUAAUUAGUCCUUGUUUCUCUCAUAUUUGAACUAGCUAAUUAACUUGAUUUUCAUUCAUUCCUUAGUGAAGAAAAAUGUGAAUUAGUCCAUUUUUCCUCCCUUUGAUUAAUGGUCCAUUUGGAGGACAUUACAAAUUAUUAUUUAUUUUUUAAGCGGUAAUUGGUCCAUUUUUCUCUCAUAUUUAGACUAACUAAUUAACUUGGUUUCCAUCCAUUACUUAGCAAAGAAAAAUGCUUUGAAUUUGUCCUCCUCCACGAAUAUCUCAAAAAAUAAUUUGGCAAAGAUGACCAAUAUCAAGGAAAUUAUGAAUAUAUAUUUUUUCCUUUUUUAUUUAUUUAUUUUGCAAUUCUCUUCCUUUGUUCUAUUUGACUAACCUAUUUGGUGGACGUUACUAGUUAUUAUUUAUUUUUUAAGUGAUAAUUAGUGUUUUUUUUCUCUCAUUUGGAUUAGUUGAUUAACUAGAUUUCAAUCCACUCCUUAGUGAAUUGGCAUUUGAAACAUAAGUCUAUAUCAAAUGUUAAUAAUCAUAAAGACUGAUCUACCAUAUCAAAUUGGUAGAUUGGCCCUAAAACCCAACUAGCUCAAUCAAGAUAUGUGACAUCCCACAUCGGAUAGGGGAGAAAGUUCUUGGUGCUAUAUAAGUAUGGACUUCUCGUAACCCUAUAGACACUUUUUAAAGUCGUGAGGAUUCCUUUGGAUUCAAAGUAGACAAUAUCUAAACGGUUAGGAGUGGGUCAUUACAAAUGGUAUCAAAGUCGAUCCCCGACCUCGGUGUGGGGUUUGUUUGGCUCCAUAAGGGUGUUUGUCUGUUUGGGUCCACAAUCCUGUGGGACACAACGAGGACAUUGUGUCUGCAUGGGGGGGUGUUUGUGACAUCCCACAUCAGAUAGAGGGGGAAAGCUCCUGGUGUUAUAUAAGUAUGACUCCUCGUAACCCUGUAGACGCGUUUUAAAGUCGUGAGGGUUCCUUUGGGUUCAAAGCGGACAAUAUCUACACAGUUGGGAAUGAGUCCUUAUUUUAUUUUCCCAUGUGUGAUGAUGAUGUGCUCUCAUCCCAGUAUUUCAAGUCGAGCAUGUCAAUCCCUUCAUUCCACCGCUAGGUUUUGAUCCAGGAGUCUUAGUUUGGGAGAUCCAUUCGAGUUUGGGGUUUGAGAGUCACUUGUUAGAUUGUGCUGGUGUAGCCUUCAGCUUACUUGGUUUGUGGCGUCAUUGUUAAAAAAAAAAAAAAAAAAAAAAAAAGAAUAAGCUUGUUCCCUGUUCACUUCAUUGAUGUUUGAGUUAACCUUGUUAGCCUUUAGUAUCACGGCUCAGUCAUCAAAUGUCGUUUUACGUAAAAGGAAUUUUAUUUUUCUUUUGAGAGUGAGUGAGAGCAUUGUAUGAUCUAUUUUUGCAUGGUUCUGGGAGAUACGUUGGGAGUGAGGAUUGGGUUUCCUUAGUGUUGGGUCCCCUGGAUCAUUAUCUACAUCACCAUUCUCAUCCUACUGUGGCCUGCUUCGACCUGUCAUUAUUGGGGUGAGUUGUUCAUGGUUAUCACACAUUGCCAUGUUUUCUAUCCCGGUUAUUUUCACUAUUUUCCUCUGCACUCCUUCAUCAUUUGUCUCAUCCCUUUGUGUUUUUCUUCUGCCCUCGUUAAUCGUCGUUUUACUUCUUGAACGGCGUGCCCUCUAGUGUUUAUAACUUGUCAUUUUGCAUUGUUCAUUUGUAUAUAGAUUGAGUCACUAGGCUCACACGAUUUUCCGGUAACUGACAUUGCGCACUCAAAGGCUUGGUAUUAUCUUUUGGCUAUUUGAGCCUUGUUUCCCCAUUGUUUCAUUCACCUUUUACCCUGACCUUCAUUAUGGUCUAAGUCGUAAGACCACCCUGAGGCCACGAGAUCUCAUGUUCGCUUCGACAUAUUUCAUUUAGACAGGCUCCGUCUACUAGUUGAAGUACGGGAUAUCGGUCAACCUCCAUUUCUUGAGGAUAUCGAGGAAUUGCAUAAUGCUUUCUCCAUUCGAUCUUCUCGCCCCUAGGCCAUGAUCAGAGACAGAUGAUGUAGAGAGUUGGGACUAUCGAGGACACCUUUGCUUAUUGCUUUGACAUGUUCAUACUGGGGCAUACCCCCUUACCCUUGCAUGAUGACAUCAGUUCUUACAUGUACACAUACGAUCCCUCUCACCUAAAGAGGUUUAGCAUCGGUGUUUGGGACGCACUCCACAUUCAGCCUGGAUUCUUCAUAUAGCAGAGUGCUUCCGUGGCUUGCCCGAGAUCAAAUUCAUCCAUAUUCAUUGACAUAACAGGAGUGUACACUAGGGCAUAUCCUAUGCAUUGUCAUGUUCGCGUGUUCAGACGGAUGAUGGUCUUUGGAGAUGCAUUUUCAUAGUUGGUUCACCAGAAAAUACAUAUGACAGGUGUACAUCCAGGGGCAUUCCCCUUAACAGCUCUGUGGACACCAGAUGUUGUGAAAAAUAGUGCAUGAUUUGUUAUGGAUGAUUAUAUGUGAUGCUUUCAGCUCUUUGAUUUUAACCGCAUGUGCAAUUACGGGAUUUUGACAUGGUAUAGAUAUCCUAGACUGGGGAAUAUCCCCCCCUUUUCGACAUGGUAUUGAUAUCCUAGACUGAAGCAUACCCCCUUCUCUUUCCACCUCCCGUUGAUCCCUGAUGUUUGUGUAUCAUCUUGCAAUGGCACUCCCCCUUAUUUCAACGUGAUUUAGGUGUUUGAUUACUUACUUAUUCGAGUCAUUUAUUAGUAUUUCCUAGAAGUCAUACUAGGGCAUACCCUCUCUCUCUUUGAGUUAUUUGCUCCCCUAUCUUUUUGGCAGCUCUCCAGCAUCAUGUCCGGACCCCUUUUCAUUUCGACGGCUCUCCGGCAUCGUGUCCGAAUCCCCUAUAGUUUUGGCGGCUCUCCGGGAUCAUGUUCGGAUCCCCUAUAUUUUCAACAGCUCUUCGACAUCGUGUCUGAAUCCUUUUUUUUUUUGGCGACUCUCCGGCAUCGUGGUCGGAUCCCCUAUAGUUUCAAUGGCUCUCUGGCAUCGUUUCUGGAUCCCCUAUAGUAUCGACGAUUCUCCGGCAUCGUGUGUGGAUCCCCUAUAGUUUUUUAGGCUCUUCAAUAUCGUGUUUGGAUCCCCUAUCUUUUUGGCGGCUCUCCGGCAUCAUGUCCAGAUUCCCUAUCUUUUCGGCGGCUCUCCAGCACCGUGUCUAGAUCCAUUAUAGUUUUAGAGGCUCUCUGGCAUCGUGUUCGGAUCCUCUACAGUUUCAAAGGCUCUUCGACAUCGUGUCUGAAUCCCCUAUCUUUUCAGCGACUCUCCGGCAUCGUGUUUGGAUCCCCUAUCUUUUCGGUGACUCUCCAGCACCAUGUCCAAAUCCUUUUAUCUUUUCGAUUGCUCUUCGACAUCGCGUCCGGAUCCUUUUUUUUUCGGCGGUUCUCCGACAUCGUGUCCAGAUCCCUUAUAGUUUCGACGGCUCUCCAACAUCGUGUUCGGAUCCCCUAUCGUUUUGGUGGAUGUUCGACAUCGUGCCUAAGUUCCUUUUCGUUUCGGCGGCUCUCCGGCAUCGUGUUUGGAUCUCUUUAUCUUUUCAGCGGCUCUUCGACAUCGCGUUUGGAUCCCCUAUAGUUUUCGACGGCUCUCCAGCAUUGUGCCCAAAUCCCCUAUCUUUUCGAUGACUCUCCGACAUCAUGCCCAGAUCCCUUUAUCUUUUCAGUGGCUCUCCAGCAUCAUGUCCGGAUCCCUUUAUCUUUUCAACGACUCUCCGGCAUCGUGUCCGGAUCCUUUUUCUUUUCAACGGCUCUCCGGCAUCGUGUCCAGAUCCCCUAUCUUUUUAACAGCUCUGCAGCAUCGUGCUUGGAUCCCUUUGUCUUUUCAACGGCUCUCCGUCAUCGUGUCAGGAUCCUUUUUCUUUUCGAUGGCUCUCCGACAUUGUGCUCGAAUCCUCUUUCUUUUCAACGGCUCUCUAACAUCGUGUCUGAAUCUCUUUAUCUUUUCGACGGCUCUCUGACAUCGUUCCAGGAUCCCUUUAUCUUUUCAGCGGCUCUCCAGCAUCGUGUCCAGAUCCUUUUAUCUUUUCACUGGCUCUUUAGCAUUGUGUUCGGAUCCUUUUUCUUUUCAGCGACUCUUCAACAUCGUGUCCGGAUCCCUUUUUGUUUCGACGGAUCUCCGGCAUCGUGUCCGAAUCCCUUAUCAUUUUAGUGGCUUUCUGACAUCGUGCUCGGAUCCCUUGUCUUUUUAAUGGUUCUCUGGCAUCACGUCCGGAUCCCUUAGUCCUUAGUCAUUGGGACCUAGCUCUUUUGGACUUCGGUAUUGUUGUGUGAUGACAAAAUUGUUGGCCUUUGAUUUCUUCACUAGAGUUUAUUUCUACUCAUUCAUCACUAGCGCUUCGUGCUCAUGAACCAUUUGUUCAUUCACUCUACUAAAGAAGGGCAUAUUUGUAGACCCUCAACUUUGUCCUUUGUCACUUGCAUGUAUCUUGGGGGUGUCGCCUGCACCCAAUUUAUGUAUAUCACGACCAUGGAGCCCUUGUUGGGCAUAAUCAAUUUUCGAACCUCACAUGAGUUCAUUUAUGGUUCGAUUUAGUGAGUGUUUAGUCCAUUAUGAAAUGCCGUCGUGGCUAAUUCCUUGGUUCAUAUCAUGCUACAGGUCAGGAGUUAGGGUCUCCAUAAAGAUUUCAGUUCAGUUAAAGCUCUUGAAGCUCAUCUAAGUCGGGAGCACUUUGUUCUGGUUAUUAAUUUCAUGUGCGUGCUAAAUAUCAACUAAGAUUGCAUGAGUUCUAUCUUCUAUGUAACCUGGGGUAAUUGACUUAUCUUCGACCCAUAUGCUCCGAUGUACCCAAUUCACCAAUAGAGACCGGAUCUCGGGCCUAGAGGGGUGCUACCUCGCAUCAGGUACCUUCCUAAUAGAUAACCUGAUCCCCGGACCCAGAAAUCUAGUUUCGCGGACCGCUUUUUCCUAAUUGGAGUCAUUAAGGGGUUUUUGUUCUUACUUAAUUUUCCUCAUUUCAAAAAUAAAAAUAAAAAGUAAGUGGCAACUCCAAACAAAAAACCGUUCUUCAUCGGGGACAUAUUUUUCAAAACUCAAAGACCACACUUUUUCUCCACACUCACAUUACUGUUUUAAUUUGCUAGUAGCGCCAGAUUUAUUUUUUUAGUAUCAAUUUCCAAAAAUUUUCAAAAGUUUUGAAAAGUCUGGAUUUAGUUUUUUAGCAUCAAUUUCCAAAAGUUUUGAAAAGUCCAGAUUUAUUUUUUUUAGUGUCAAUAUUCAAAAGUUUCAAAAAUUUCGGAUUUAAUUUUUUAGUGUCAUUUCCAAAAAUUUCUAAAGUUUUGAAAAGUCUAGAUUUAUUUUUUUAGCAUCUAUUUCCAAAAAUUUCCAAAAUUCUCAAAGUCCAAAUUUAGUUUUUUUUUUGCAUCAAUUUUCAAAAAUUUCCAAAGUUGCAAAAGUCCGGAUUCAAUUUUUUAGUGUCAUUUUCAAAAAUUUCCAAAGUUUCCAAAAUUCCGGUUAUUAGAGGUAGAAGCUCAAACGGGAAAGAGGUUAGUUCUCAGCUGAAAACUAAUGGAAUGGGAGUAACUAAAUUUUAGCCACGUAGUCCUGAGUCAUGGCUGCGCUUGGUGGCCAUUGAAUAAAACCUAAAGAUUACAUAUAUAUGGUUUGGUCAUGGCUGAAACUUUUAAUAAAUUUGAAAUUUGAAUAUAUUGUGUGCUUGUGCUUAUUGACUAACCCUUUCUUGCAACGCAUGGCUGGGGACCUUAGGUACACAACUUUGUUCUCGUUAUUAAUUUCCUAUGCGUGCUAAAUAUCAACUAAGAUUGCAUGAGUCCUGUCAUCUAUGUAAUUGGGGGAAAUUGACUGAUCUUUGACCCAUAUGCUUCAAUGUACCCAAUUCACUAGUAGAGACCGGAUCCCGAACCUAGAAGGGUGUUACCUCGCAUGAGGUACCUUCCUAAUAGGUAACCUGAUCCCUGGACCCAAAAAUCUAGUUUCGCAGACCGCUUUUUCUUAACUAAAGUCAUUAAGGGGUUUUUGUUCUUAUUUAAUUUUCCUCAUUUCAAAAAUAAGAAUAAAAAGUAAAUGGCGACUCCAAACAAAACCGUUCCUCAUCGGGGAAGGAUUUUUCAAAACUCGAAAACUUUUUUUUUUCUUUACACAUACGAUUAUUGUUUUAAUUUGCGAGUCGCACCGGUUGGUGGAUCGAGGAAGGGUCCACAACUUUUUUAAAUGGUUUGAUAAAUGAAGAAGUAUAUGUUAAACAACCACCUAAUUUUCAAAGUUUUAAAUUUCCUAACCAUAUUUUUAAACUUAAAAAUGCACUUUAUGGUCUAAACAAGCACUUAGAGCUUGGUAUGAAAUAUUGAAUAAAUUUCUUUUAAAAAAGGGUUUUAAAAUGGAAAAAAUUGGCAUAACUCUUUUCAUAAAAACCAAAGAAAAUGAUAUGCUCUUAGUUCAAAUAUAUGUUGAUGAUAUCAUUUUUUGUGUUACUAAUGUCUCUCUUUGUGAAGAAUUUUCUAAGUGCAUGCAUAGUGAGUUCGAAAUGAGCAUGAUGGGAGAACUCAACUUCUUCCUUGGAUUUCAAUCAAGUAACUAAAGGAAGGAACCUUCAUCAAUCAAGCAAAGUACAUAAGAGAUUUUCUCAAAAGGUUCAACAUGGAAGAAACCAAAACAAUGAAGACUCCAAUGAGCUCAUCCAUCAAGAUAAGGAUGGGAAAAGUAAAUCCAUUGAGUCUACUAUGUAUAGAGGCAUGAUAGGUUCUUUGCUAUAUUUGACCAUUAGUAGACCCGACAUUAUGUAUAGUGUAUACUUGUGUGCUAGAUUUCAAUCUUGUCCUAAAAAAUCUCACUUAAGUGUCGUAAAAAGAAUUCUUAAAUAUUUGAAAGGGACAAUGAACAUAGGCUUAUGGUAUCUUAAGAGUGAUAACUUUGAAUUAAUUGGAUUUUCGGAUGUCGAUUUUCCCGGUUGUAAGGUUGAAAGAAAAAACACUAGUGACACUUGUCACUUCUUAGGACACUCACUUGUUUCAAGGCAUAGUAAGAAGCAAAAUUCGGUAGCUUUGUCAACAGUGGAAGCCGAAUACAUAGCAGCCGGUUUAUGUUGUGCACAAAUCCUUUGGAUGAAACAAACAGUUAGUGAUUUUAAUUUAUCUUUUGAGCAUGUUCCUAUUAAAUGUGAUAAUACUAGUGUCAUAAGUAUAUCAAAAAAUCCCGUGCAACACUCUAAGACUAAGCAUAUAGAAAUUAGACAUCAUUUUCUUAGAGAUCAUGCACAAAAGGGUGACAUAACACUUGAGUUUGUAAGCACAAAAGAUCAACUUGUCGAUAUCUUUACAAAACCUCUAAGUGAAGAACAAUUUGUUAACAUUAGAAGACAACUAGGGGUAAUUUCUUUAUAAUCUAAUAAUUGCUUAAUAAUUUCUUAAUGAAUACACCUUCUGAUUGCAUGAAUUUCAUGUCAUAUGCAUCAUAUAGACAUAUACUUUGAAAAUGGUCAAAUUUUGGACCAAAAAUCAAAAUUCUUUUGGCAUUGAGCAUCAAAAAUUGGGAAUUUCAACUAAAAAGGGCAAGGGGGAGACCACAGAACGAGAAAAUGCACAAAAAUUGAAAAGUCAAAGCGUUGACCUCGUUGACCAAGCGGUUGAUCAGGACCAGGACUGAUCGAUCGGUUGAUCGGGGUUAGGGCUUUUAAGUGACUCUCGCGCUUCAUUUUCUCGCCUGUUUCCUCUAGUUCUUCAAGAGCUCUGCCGAUUCAAUUGUCAAAGAGUGAUUUUUGAGGUCAUAGCAGCAAACUGAAGGCUUUGGAUUGGAUUUUUGGGAAGAUCGAAGGCUAGGGUUUUGGUUUUUGAUUGCAUUCUCUUCCUCUUGCGUGUCACAGUCAGCUUCCUCUCCAUUUCCAGGUGCUUAGGGUUUCAGUUGUGAAUGUUUCUCUCUCUACCAGCCCAUUUUCCAUUGUUUCAUUCUUUCUUAUGGCUCCUAGAUGAGAGUUGGCUGCCUCUAGGGCAUAAGACAAGCACCUAGCUAAGCUGUCUCAACCAUCUUAGCCAAAGGCUCACUGAAAGGCAAGGUUUGACACCGCUUUGUUCAGUUCCAUGGAGGACUACUAGCGGCACAAGCAACACUUUGCUCAAAGAAAAGUAGUUUCGGGAAGAAAUAUUAUUUUUUCCCAACUUCAGUAUUUUGGAUUCAAGGGAAUUUUCACUAGGAUGGGUUGGUUGCCCGUGGUGAAUUUUUCAGGUUCGAUUUUCCCGACUUUGGUGCGAGCGUUUUACUCGAGGAAAACUUAUGGAUUGGGUAGCCCAAUUAUUUCUACUGUUAGAGGAGUCGAGAUCCGUCUGGACCCAGAGAGCAUCUGCUGCAUUUUUUAUAUUGCUCCGAUUGGACUCAGAGUGUACAAGUCCAAGAUUUGGCCUACUGUUCCGAGAUUUGAGCCUAGAGAGGCUAUUCAAAGGAUUUACGAACUUGUAGACACCUAAGGGAUGGAAAAACACUAGACCCACAACUUGACCAUCAUUUGAAGAGUACUACACCACAUGAUAUGCUCUAUCCUUCUACCAUGGGGCGAACACCAAGACGAGGUCUCUUAUUAUGAGGCAUUCUUCAUUGACUCGUUUCUUACUAGAAGACGGAUCCACUUGGUGUACUUAAUGAUGAUGCACAUGAUCUCAUGUUACGACAGCACGACCCUCGUACUCCCCUAUGGUCGCUUUCUCACCAGAGUGUUGAAGGAUAUUGGCAUUGACUUGAGCAGAGAGAUAGACUUUGAGGCCCCUUGUGCUUAUGACACGUAUGAUGAUCGAUCGAUGGGGCCAGUGAAAUUUGAGAAGGCUCUUGAUGGUUCUUGGGUAAGGAAAAUAGAGAUAGCACUUGCAAAGGCUUAGAGAUAGGGGCAAGUGCAUCUCGAAGUUGGGGAAGAGGCCAAGAUACGAGAGAUGGAGAGUGAAAUAAACCCUCGGAGUAGCUUUCAGUAGAGAGAGCCCGAGCUUGACAUUCAUCCACUCCAGUCAGAGGGUGUUCAAUUUGAGGCUACCUUUUAUGAGCCGAUGAUGUCUAAGCCGACUUAUAUAGUGGGUCCAUCUACUUAACCGACAUUCACUAAGCCUCAUCACAUUGAGAUACCACCUCAUCAGGCACUUCUCGCUCCUAACCAUGCUCCUUGGAUAGAUCUAUCUACUCAAAUUAGCUCUCUAGGCACUCGCAUGGAGGAGCUUGUUGUAGUCAGUGAUACUUGGUUCUACUCCAUGAAGGAUCGCAUGGAUCAGUAUCAGUCUGGCUUCACUUCUCGAUUUGAGUGUAUUGAGGAUCGUAUAGAUCAUUAUCAGGCUGUCUUCACCUCACAAUUUGAGCAUCUCUAGUAGAGGAUUAAGCACAUUGAGGAUCGUCUGGAGAGUCAACAUGAGGAGAUGAUGGCUUACAUGCGCUCUGUGUUUGCAUUUCCACCUCCUUAGCCUUGAUUUCGUAGAGACCCCAUUUAUUCUAUUUUUUAUGUUGCCAAAAAGGGGAGAUAUUUUAGGAUCUAGGAGACUUACAUCCAUAUCAUCACCAUUGCACUUACAUUAUCAUAUCAUCACUUGGAUUGUAAAUGUUGGAUUGUGAUACAUUUGACUUAUAUAUGAUAUGCUUAUAUGUUUCAUGACUUAAACUGUUUCUCUCUAGCAUGUCUUGAUUAUCUUGGUUUAACUUCGUAAAUUUUGAUUGUUGACCCAUGAUUGGUUUGAGGGGGAGAUUCUUCUUCUCCUAGAUAACCAAGGUUUGUCAUCAUAAAAAAUGGGGAGAUUGUUAGCCCAAGGGUUCUCCUAAUCAGGUUUUGAUCAUAACAAACCAUGGUUAAGUUACUAAUUGAUUUGAAUUAUAAAGAAUUUCAAGUAUUAAUUUGAAAAUUCAUCAAAUGACUUAAUGGAUGCAAGAUCAAGACUUUUGGAAGACCUUUAAUCAUAGGAAACAAAUUUAAGAUGAAUGCAUGGGUGCACUUAGGUUUUACAUAUCAUUUCAUGCAUAUUUCAAAAACUUGGUUUAUUCUUUAAAGUUACAUUUCCAUCAAAACCCAAGUUUUAUCAAAUGUGCCUUAGGCAAAACAUUUCAAAAUUGACAUAUUAAUUUACCUAAAGACCUUGCCUAAGUGUCUGAAGAGAAAAAAAACAGAGAAAGAUAGGUUUUUGGGCAAAAAAUGGUAAACCGAUCGAGGCACUGGCCAACCGGCUCAAUCGGCCAGGGUACCGAUCAACCAGUUCCCUAUUCCCAGUCGAGGUCCAAUCGAGGAAUGCAAAAAACACUUUCUUUAUUCCAGUAGAAUUUUAUUUCUGGUUUAGGUAUUUGCCUUCCCGGUUGACCUCUGGUCGAGGUUCGAUUGAAGCAACGAUAACCUGCCAAAGCAUUAAAUACUCCAACGGCUAAUGAACCAAUUGACCCCCAACUCGACCAGUUGAGGCUACUUUUUGGUUUUCUUGGCUCUCGAGGUUAGAGCUAUAAAUAAAGAGUUUCACUUCAUUUAUGAGCAAGAGAACACCUGGAUUUAUUUGUCUACCCACUUGUUCUUGCCUUAAAAGCUCUCAUUUCUUUCUUGGUGCAUUAAAUCUUCACUUGCAUAUCGUUUAGUGCCCUUUUGUGAUUCAUCCUAGCCUUGAGUUGUAUUUGAACUAUUGUUGAGCUAGGUUAAGAGAUUCAUAUUUGUAAAUUGAGUGUUAAAGUCUUUAAGUGAGUUGAAACUUGAAGAGAUUGUGUAAGAACUCAUUGGAGUCGGAAUCCAAGUGUAAAGGUGAUUAAAAGUUUGGUUGAAGCUUCAAGUUAGUAGAACUCUCACUCAGUUAGGAGCCUGAGGAGAGUGGACGUAGGUAAGGAAGUGUCGAAUCACUAUAAAACCUGAAUUUGAUUUCUCUUACCUUAUCUCUUUUUAUUUGCUUAUUUUGUGCUAAAAUUUGUUAUGUGUUUAAAAAGAUUUUUUUUAAUUCCAAUUCACCCCCCCCCCCCCCCCNNNNNNNNNNNNNNNNNNNNNNNNNNNNNNNNNNNNNNNNNNNNNNNNNNNNNNNNNNNNNNNNNNNNNNNNNNNNNNNNNNNNNNNNNNNNNNNNNNNNCCCCCCCCCCCCCCCCCCCCCCCCCCCCUCUUGGGUGUUUUCUCUUUUAAAGAUUAGCCUUUAUUUUCUCAAGAGUAUUUCUUAUUACAUGCUUAAACUACCAAUAACCUAAUUCAUAGGAAAAAUAUGAUUACUUUGAGAUUUCACCCAUAGGUCAAAACCACUAAUAACCUAAACUCUAGUACAAUAAUCUCUCAAGAUUAUAACCCAGCAACAUAGUAUAUUGGAGAAGUCAAGUCAAUAGUCAUUUAAUCACAACUCUUUAUGGAUUAUGUUCAAUGUUUAAUAAUACACACUAAUACAUUCACUAUGCGAAAAUCAUCAACAAUGAACAAGACUAGUCACUCCACUAUUUAUAGGUAGUAUACCGUUAACAUUUUUUGAAUUACAAGAAAAUUUGAUACAUUUUUUUCCUUUUUAAAUACUUAUGAAUUAUAUAUAUAUAUAUAUGUAUGUAUGUAUAUAAUUAUGAGAUGUGAUCGUUAUACAUCUAUAAGAUUAUAUAUAUGUGGGACUCAUAGGGAGUUAAUUUCUGUCCAUUUAUGUUUUAAUUUUUCUCUAUUUAUGUUUAACAUUUCAUUUGGAUGUCACAAGAACAAUACAAAAGGAAAAAAAAAAAAGGAAAAAGACUAAAAUGAAAAAGAUAAAGGAAGGAUUCUUCAAUUUUUAUUUAAUUUUGAGAGAAUGAAUUAAUUUUUAUUUUUAUUUUUUAAAUGAUUGAGCUCACUGGUAGUAGCUAAAGUUGCUAGUCCAUUUUUCACUUCUGCAGCUUUGCUUAAGAAGUGUGUAGAUCAGCUUUUUUUUUUUUCUCUCUUUCUCCCUUUUUCUUUUUUAUUUUCUAGGCUAGAAGGAGUAUUUGCUGAUAUGGUGGGAACAUUUGGAUACAAUACUUUUGCAAUAAUUGAUAGGUUGGAUGUAAGAAAACAAAAAGAAAUAGCUACACUAGCUCAUGACAAAACUUAAAAGAACUGUAAAAUUUCAUUUAAAUGUUAGACAAUAACAAGAAAUAAUCCUUAAUUUGUUUUAUUCAUUUUUUGGAGGAUGAUUUAAAUUAAAGAAAAUAAAAUUGAUGAGCUCCCUAGCUAGUUGCAAGUGAAGUUGCCAGCUUGUUUAUACUUCUCUUUUCUUUUGAAAUGAAUGGGUAAUAACUUGAAUUUUUGUGUAUUCCUUGAGUGAGAUUAGCCCCCAUUUGUACUCACCAAGGGGAGAAUGGAGUACUUGUAGGUUUGGUGGGACAUUUGGAUUUGAAUUUGCAAUUAUUGGAUAUUUGGAUAUGUAAAUUAAUAAUUUCACUCCCAUAAAGACAAUUGGAUCUUACCAAUUGCAAAUAGAACAAUUAGCACAUCCUGAGAAAAGGUUAAAAAAGCAAAUAAUAAUAAUAAUAAUUACAAAGCAGGCUUAAAAGAAAAUUAUUUCUAGUGCUGGAAGAAAAGGCAUUCUUACCGCACCCCAAGAUCUGCUAUUUGCCCAACUGUAAAAUUGAAAACAUAAGGUCCCACUAUUGCCUAAUAGCUUUUCUAAGUUGUCUAAAUACAAAAUAAAAUGCAAGGAGAAAGAAGCAACAGAUGAUACAAGUAACGAUUGGAAGCCCAGAGGAAAGUGGUAACACAGCGUAUAUGCCCGUCAUGAAUGCAACCACCAUUGCUCCCAUACCAAACAUAGUGAGAAAAGCUUCUGUGGUUAAGUGUUCUCCGAUUAGUUCCUCGUUCCUAUGCGACAAUAUAGGAAAAUAAACAAACGCUGGAGAUACAGAGAGCGUCACGGCUAUAGUGUCCGCCACAACAAAUGCUUUGAAAGCUGCUUUCUUUGUUAAAAUUGUCAUCCCAUCAUUGUCAUUGUAACCACCAGGCAAGGUGAAACCCGCUGCAAAGGUUACAGUUGCUAUAAGUGCUGCCACUAUCAAAUGGUCUUUACCUACUCUCUUUAUGUUACAGAUGUGUGUCUCUAAGUCUAAGUAACCGAAAGCUUCUGCCUGCUAUGAUGUCUUCGCUUUCAUUAGUACCACCAUUGUCUUGUCGGGUUUUGCAACUAGUACUAGAAUUCUCCUCGUCUUUAUUGAUAGUCCCUUGCCAACUGAAGGGUCCGACAACAACUUUCUUCCAUUCCUCCAAUUGUUUUACCAGUUCCGCCUGAAAUUUUAUUUAUAAAAACACAAGAAAAUUGUUGUCACUAUUUUGGCCUUCGGCACUUCUUUUUAACUUUUCCCACCUUCUCUCACAACAAAGGAAAAUGGAUGAUUAAUAAUAGAUAAACUAAUAAAAAUAUUAAGUUAGGAGGCUAACCCCGAACUUUUGUCCCAACUUAAUGUUUUCCCUUGAAAGAAUGUCUAGGGUAGUUAACUUGUCGUCGUCGAGUGCCAUUUUAUCCACUGUAUUGUCCAUUGAGGAAACUGGAUUAUAACAUUGGCAAGAAGAAAUCAGGUGGAAGGCUGUGUCUCCCUUAGUAUCCUUCUCAUUUACAUGUCCUCCCACUCUUUAACUUAUUGUCAUUCGGGAACAAACCCACUCUUAACUUAUUGUCAUUCGAGAACGAACCAUCAAUAGCAAAAGGCCGUUUGCUCAUUGCGGCAAAGUGAAGAAAAUUAUUUCCCUGCUCACAACAAUCUGCAGAGUGUGAGAGUAGAAGCUUUACUGUCUCUAUAUGGUGGCGGUUAGCUGCAAAGUGAAGUGCUGUUUUCUUGCUAUCUUUGAUUGCGAGGUAAGUUACAGACUUAUCUGAUGAUUUGUCUAGUAAUUGCUCCACAAUUUUAGUACAACCCAAGUAUGCAGCACAGUGAGGGGAGACCACCCAUUUUCAUGCAUCCACUUAUUUUGUUAGAUCCGGCUUCCAUUGUAAUAACUUCGCUGCCAUUUCUUAUAAACAAAUGAACCAACAAAAAAAACAAAAAACAGCAGAGAAAAAAAAAUUAAGAAAUUCCCUCUAGUAAAGCAUGACCCCUACAGGUGAUCGUGAUCUCUAACAAUAUAUUGCAUGAGUAACUAACCAUGUAGGAAUCAAGAUUCAAGAAAAGGAUCUGCGUAUAUGUUACCUUGGUCCUCACGGAUUACAGAAGCAUGCAAAGCCGUUCUACCCAUUAUGCCACUGUGAGAUGGUGAAGCCCGAGUGUUGCCUAUAAUUAUACCAACCAAGUCUCCACAUCCUUUCUCGGUCGUCAUGUAAAGAGGAGUGUGGCUUGUAGUAUUAGCACCGUGGAUAAAUUCAGGGUCUUCCUCAAUCAAUGACUUCACAAUCUAUGAAUGAUGAUACCGCACCGCCUCAUGUAAGGCUGUGUGUUUCUCCUUAUUGGUCAUCCUCAGCAUGGCCUUGUCUGUUCCAACCCCACUUUCGAUCUCUAGGUGAAGUGCUUUUGCAGCAUCAAGGAGAGCUCUCACAACCGGCCCAUGCUCUUCUCUCGCAGCAAGGUGAAGUGGAGUGUCGUCUUUCAGAUUGGGCUUCUGCAGUAGAGGUGAACAUGAAUGAAAGUGAAGGAUCCACUCUACGCAUGCCAGCUAACUGAACUGGGCUGCAAUGUGGAGGACAGUGUUCCUUUUUGGGGUUCUUUGGAGUUGAAGAUGAUCUUCUGAGUACUUUUUCUCGAGGAUAUUGAUAUCACCUUCCUACAAAGCCUCGCACAAAUCAGCAUCCAUGUGGGUGAUCUCAGUUUGGCCAUAAGCUGCAAUCUAGUUCGACAUCUCAAUUCGGCUUGAAAAGGUUUCCAAGUUAAGGUUAUGCGAUUCGGAGCUGGACUGAUUCACCAUUGGCGUUGGAGGAACAAAGUAAUAAUCAACUCUUCAAAUUCUAUAUAGAGAGCAUAUGUGGAAGGGAAAGUUGUUUGUAUAUAUAUAUAUAUAAAAAGUGGGUAAUAUUUAUAUAAUUAGUAGUGAAUGUUUUUACUAAACCCAAAUUUAUUUGUAACUUUUUCUCCUCUUUCCUUUUUCGUUGCACUUUUGCAUUCUUGGUUGCGUGUCUGGAUGGAGCCUAGAGAUAAGGCUUAAUUUUACGUGUCUCACCUGAUUCUACUGCAUUAUAUACAAUAGAGAAUAAGCUCACUGUGGCAUAACUCUUUAGCUAGAGAGAGAUUUAAGCUUAUGCUUGGUACUAAAAUUAAGAUUUCAUUUUAGUAUUGGUAAAAAACCUAGAUCUUCGAGUCAAAAGUUUCACAUUGAUCGUUAGGUUUAUUAGUGGGUAAAAAACCACGAGUCAAAAGACAUUACGUGUUUUUAUUAGAAUUGUGUCAAGGUAUACACGAUUUUAUUCGAAUUGCAUUUUGGAUUGGUUCUUUAAUUGAGAUGGUACACUUGGAGUAUUUAUUAACUUAUUGUUAACAAAAAUUACUCCAUCGAUCCUAAUUUAGCGAUUAUUUAAGCUGCUUUUACCACCACCAACAAUUCUAGUGGUUUAAAGCAAUUUCAACCAUAUUAUCAGCCAUUUUAUCAUGUCAUCUUCCAAAAAUAACACAAAAUACUAGGGAUUGUAAUUUGUGCUUGUGGGUGGUGUUUGUGUUAUUUUAAAGCUUAUCCAGCAUGAAUAAUAAUCGUGUUAAAAAUAUAAAUCAAAAUACUAUCUAUUUAUUAAAUGGGUAGUGCAUCAUGUAACCCAUUUAAUUUAUUUAGUAAUUAGGUCUUUCUAUUUAAUAAUUAGGUUGAAUUAGGUAUUGCAUACACUUAUAUGAUUAAUUUCUCAGUCAAACAUAUUUAUAAUUUAAUACAUCUAUUUAUUUAAAAAUAAAUUAAUUUAAAAUAAGUCGAAGAUGAGUUAAAUAGUUUAAAGUUAUAAUUAAGUUAAUUAGUGAAAUUAUUAAAUCAAUCCAUUCUAAUCAAAUUUGUGUUAUGUAGGUUGAUAUAAAAUCUACAUAUUUAUUAAAUGUGUUAUACAGACUAACAUAAUUUUGAUCCAAAUUUAAUUAUAGUUGGUCCAAACUUGUAAAAAACAUGUUAAGUUUGAGUCAUGUUGACAUAUUGUAUCAAACUUUAUCAUCUCUACAAAAUACAAUAUUAAGGCCCAAACUAUUAAUAAUCACACAUGCUAAAGAGAGGAAAACCUAAAGGUUAACCAUUUUCAUGAUUGCAAGAUAUUUUUUCCUAGGGAAAAGUGUGCUUCCAUACUCAUAUUUAACAAUAUCACAUGAUGAAAAUCCUUAAAAGUAAUUCAAGUUUGAUGCACUCUAAAAUCAAGAUAACAUUUAGGGUAGUCAAAGAUAUUACUAAUAUUAUUAAAAAUAGUACCUAUUUGCUAAAAAGUAUGUAAAAUCUGAAUUAUUUUUAGAUAAAUAUAUUCAAUUUGAAAAUUUUAAAUUGAGAUUGUUAUAUGAUUUUUUCAAAUGUGUGUAUGAAAACACAAUUUAAUCUCCCUAAUUUUCUUUAUAAAGCAUGGUACCAAGGACAGUUGUUUGGCGUAGAAGUCCAUGUUUCUUUGUUCGUUGUCUAUUUUGUGAUUUUUUUUCUUUUUUCUUUUUCUUUUUGUGGGGACCGAGUGUAGUAUUUGUUUGGUAGAAUUUUCUCUUUUAAUUAUUCUUUUUCUUUCCUUUUGGUGGGGGAUGAAGCGUAAUUUUUGUCCAUGGCUUUCUUUUUCUUUUAUCAGGGACAAGUGGAAUAUUUGUUUGUUAGAAUUUUCUCUUUUAAUUAUUAUUUUUCUUUCUCUUUUGGUGGGGGAUGAAGGGUAAUAUUUGUCCAUUAUUGAUUUUUAUUUUUUUUAAGGGACAAGUCAAAUAUUUGUUUGUUAGAAUUUUCUCUUUUAAUUAUUAUUUUUCUCACUUUUGGUGUGGAUAAAGCAUAAUAUUUGUCCAUUACUGAAUUUUCUCUUCUUUUUUUUUUUUUUCCUUUUAUAGGGAUGAAGUGAAAUAUUUGUCUGUUAUUGAAUUUUCUCUUUUAAUUUUUCUUUUUCUUUCACCUCUUUCAAUUCUUCUUUUUCUUUCUCUUUCGUGGGGAUGAAGAGUAAUAUUUGUCCAUUAUUGAAUUUUCUUUUUUUUUUUGUGUGAACGAAAUGAAAUAUUUGUCGGUUAUUGAAUUUUCUCUUUUAAUUAUUGUUUUCUGUUUUCUUUUUGUGGGGCUGAAGCAGAAUAUUUAUAAUUUUGUGUUUCUCUUUCACUUCUUGUGGGGACAAAGUGAAAUACUUGUCCUUUAGUGUUGACAUUUGGAUAAAGAAACGGGUAGGAAAUAGUUACAUAACUUGGCAUCAAAAUGCUUUUAAGUUAACUUCAACUUAAAUAUAAAUAUUCCUUCCGACAUAAAGAAACUAAAGGAAAAAGAAUGGGAAGAAGUUCCAAAAAUUUUUAACCCAAUUAAGUAGAUUAUGAAAAUCAGUUAAUCUCUCAAUGGAGCCCCUAGUGUUUUCUUCUUUUCUUUUCAAGUGAUAUCAUCUCUAGCCAAUUCUUAAAUGUCAAAUUAGCUCUUCCAUUAGGAUUUUCCGUAGGAAUUGAUGAAAAAACUCAUCCUAAAAAUAGCAUUAGCAUAAAAUUUUAUAUCAUAGGUUGGAAUAUGUUCAAAUUUUUUAUGUGUUGAUGAUAUGUUUCCAUCCAUUUUUUACACAUAAAAAAACUUUUAAAAAAAAUUCAAUAUUUAAGGAUAGUGUAGGAUUAAUAUUAUAACAAAAAUAAAUAAAUAAUUGGGGACUUAUAAAUUGAGAUAUAAGUAAAAAUAUAAAUUUCACACAGAAGAGUAAAUCAAAUUAGAAAAAAGAAAUUAUUGAAUUUCAAUAACAUUUUUCUUUCUUUCCUUUUUGUUUCCCAUUGUUUUUAACGUGUUGAUGGAGCCAUAACAUGUGUGUUGGUCAUAUGUUCCCUUUUGUUUAAGCAUUGACCCAAAGCCUUGGUGGAUCUAUAUGGUUAUGUUUGGUUCUAAAAAUAAAAAUAAAAAAUAGAUUUAAGACUAAUAAAUUAUUUGUAUAUGUUUCUUCAAAAGUUAUUUCACUUAUUUUCCUUCAUUAUAUAAAUAUUAAAUAAUUUAAAAAUAUAUAAAUUUUUAAAAAAAUUUAAUUAUAUUUAUUAAAUUAUGAGUAUAUAUAUAUGCAUUUCAAAUAUAAAUUAAUCUAAAAAAUGUUAAUAAACAUAAUAGUUGAAAUAUCUUAAAACACUACUACCUCUAUCAAGAUAUAUGUGUUAAUAUCCUCCAAACUUUGUCAUUCAAGUUAAAACAAGAGUUGGAAGUAUAUCAUAAUAAAACAAUUGUUUUUCUAGAGAUGAAUAGUAUCUUUUAGCUUAGGUUCACAUUCUUAGUGGACCCAAUUAAUUAGUAAGUGAAAUUUCAAACAUAAAUCAAUCUCAAAUAUUAAUAUCGAUAAAGACUAUGGAAGAAAAUAUCGAGAUAUAUCAACGAUAUAUUACCAAUAUAUCGUGUAUCAGAGGUUAUGGAAAUGAUAUUUGGUGAAGAAAUAUCGUUCUAGCGAAAUUUCGGGAAAAAUCCUAAAAAAUCGACGAUAUUUUGCGAUAAAUCCCAAACAAAAGAUUUGAGGUUCAGCUCACCUUACCACUAGGACAAGUUUGUUCCUUGUUGAAUAUGAUGCACUAAAUGUAUAUUCAAAGUCAUCAUAUAAAAAAAAUAUUAAAAUAAUAUUUUAGAGAGUAAAUUCAUUAUAAUUAUUUUAUAAUUAAAUGCAAAAAAUUCUUUUAGUUGAUUACCAAAAAUAUAAAAAUUAUCAUGAUAAUUUUCUUCAUAGUGUUUUUAAUAUCAUUAAUAGAUUAAUUAAAUAUUAAAAAUUUGCACAUAUAUCAUAAUUUAUUUUAUAUCAUUUAAUACAAUUAAAUUAAAUGAAUCAUAAUUUUAAUAUUAAUAUAUAUUUUAAAAUUAGACAUAUUAUAAUCAAAUAUCAUAAUAGUAUUAUGAAAUAAUAUUUGAUGUAAUUUAAUAAUAAAUGUACACUUACAAAAUUCAUAUUUUUAUUGAUACAUACAAUAUUAUUAUCAAAUAUGAUAAAUCAUAUUAUACGGAUAUCAAAUUCUUUAAUAAAAUAAUUUUAAAAUAUAUAUUAUACUUCUAAUUAUUUUUUAUGAAAUUUUUCUUAUAUUUUUAUAAACUUUGAUCAAUUUUAAGCCUAUCAAUAUUUUUUUUCCAAAAUAUUUAUGAUAUAUUUGAUAUAUGCGUAAAAUCGAAAUACCGAUAUAUUCAUAAUUACUAAUAUUUUCAUCCUUAAUAAAAACUAGAUAUAUACCAUAUCAAAAUGAUAAAAGUAUCUUAAAACCCUCCCACCUUUAUCAAAGAUGUAAGUAUUAAUAUCCUCCAAGUUUUGUCAAAUUAAAACAGGAGGUAGAAAUAUAUUAUAACAAAAUAAUUAAAACAGGGUACAUAUUUGUCAUUCCACUUAGGUUCACAUUCAAAUAUAUAUAUAUAUAUAUAACACACAAUUCACUCAAAUCUUAAUAGUUUUUAUCAAAUCCACAUCAUCGUUUCUUGUGCAAAUAUGGGAAAAACCAUCAAACCCAAUAAAAACUCAUUAAAAAAAAUCUAAUUAUAAUAUAAUUACAAAAAAAAAUCUUAUUUCUAAAAACAAAAAUGAAACAAGAUUUGGUGAAAGUGGUAGAUGUAUCUAUGUUCAAACACUACUAAUUAUAUUCUAAGAGUUAAAAGGAGUAGAUAGAGGUACAAAUGUGCAAUAUAAUUGUUUUGGUAGAAGUGUUUGUGGCUCCUUCAAAUCUUUAAGUCCGUAUUUUCAAAGUUGUUUGUCCAAAUAGGAUUUUCUUUUUCUUUAGCUUGUAAAGAUUAGAGAAAUAAAGAUUUAUUUUUAAAAAAAAUUAAUUUAUAUAAAUUGAAUUUAAAAUAAAAAGUUAUACUCACAAGUAAAUGUAAAAGUUGAAAAAUUAUCCAAAAAAAAUUGUUUUUUCUUUUUGUUAUACUAUCAAAAAAAUUUCUUCUUAUUUUUAUAAAUAAAAAAUAAACCUAGGAUUAGAAAAUAUUUUUUUCUAAAAAUUUUAGAAAAUGUAUUUCCUAAUUGGGCUGUUGCAAUAGUGAUGAAGGAGAACGCGGUUGAAGGAUCCCGUUGACGCAGUCCGUUUGACCAAAUUGGGCCACAACAUGGAUUACUUAGUUCUUUUUUGGGGUUAGUUGCACUUGAAUAUCAUACUGCUCAAGUACAUGCAUGUCACCGUCUUCUGUAGGAUCCAUGAAUGUGAUGUGGGUCAAGCUACCAUCUUCAGCUGCAGCCUGGUUGGUGAUCUGGAUUUCCCUAGCAUCUUCAGCUCCAACCUUAUUGGACUCUGUACCCAAGUUAAGGCUGGAAGUAGUGGAAUCGGCCAUUGUUGUUUGAUGAGUAGUCUCUGUUCUAUUUUGCGCCAAGGAUGGGAAACAAGUUGACCACUUGUUUCAUGGAAUGGGUGGCUCUUAGCUCAACCUUGGGAGACGCUGAUACUUCUUAUAGCCUGCUGGCCAAAACGUUAGGCUGAUGACAAUUUCCCAUCUCAUUGGAUGGAUCCAUAUGCAUAAACAGUGCAAAGAAAUAUUUGGUCACGUAUUCAAUUCUUAACAAUCCCUUGUAUGAUCAAAUAAGUUCAUUGAAUUUUACCCAAAAAAAUAUAAGCAUUAUUCUAAUUAUGUCUUUUAUUUUUAUAAAUAUUAAAUAUAUUUGGUAGCUUCAUUGUUCUUAAAAAUUAUAAAUACAAAAUUAUUUUUGCUAAUUGUAUUAAAAAUAAUAAAUACAAUAUUAAUUUUUAUAAUUAUUAUAUGUUAUAUUUUUUAUGAUUUUUCAGUGGAUUUUAGUGACUUCAAUGUCGACAAGCAACACAUACAUGUUGUUUGUUUAAUUGUAGAAAAACAAGAUAUGGUGAGUUUUGCUUGUUAAUUUUGUAAAUUGAAAUAUGAAAACCGUUGGUUUCUUUCCAUUUAUGUUUUAAUUUUUCUUUAUUCAUGUUUAUGUUCUUAUUCCUCAUUUUUUUUUUCAAUUUUUAAUUUAAAUAUGGGUAUGGAAUCAUAAAUGUCCAUCUCUUAAAGUAAUCCACAUUAAAAUGUACAUCAAAUAAAUUUAAGCGAUGAUUAAGAAUAGGGACAUGAAACUUGGGAAAGGGCUAGAAUGUAAGUUGUUUUUUGAAAAAUAAUUUUUUAAAAUAGUUUUUAAAAGUUGUUGUCGAUGCCUAAGAUAAAAAUUUGUUUGAAAACUUGAAAUACUUUUAAUAUAUUUUUAAUGUUUUUAAAUGUAUUUUUAAAAUAAUUUUUUAUAUUUAAUAUUUUAUUUUUAAUUAUUUUAAUUAUUUAUAUAAUUAUUUUUUAAAACAUUUAUUAGAAAAUAAGUGAAAACUGUUAUUUAAAAACACCGUUGUAGACCCUCGUUUUGGUCAAAGUCUCUCUGGGGAGUAUAUUUUUACCACCCUGGGAAGAGCUGGCAGCUAGGUUUUUUGGUUUUCGGAUGAGCCAAGUCUGGGACGCAUGGCCAAAGACAGCACCACCUUGCCAUGGUGGUGGUUGAGAGAGGGACGUCUGAGAACAGAGCAUGGUGGGAAUAGAGUGUUUCAGAGAAUGAUGGCAGGAGCAGUGGAACGGGUGGGAGGACGUUGACAAGAAAGCCGAGAAGAGAGGGAAAACGGAAGGGGGACUGAGACUUUUGGGGAGGAAAGGGAGAGCUGGGAUUGAGAGAGGAAGGGAUUUUUUUAAAGAGGACAAUUUUUUUUUUUAGAGAAAAACAGGGGAGCUUUCCGACAACCCCUCCAACAGCAACUCCACCACCGGCCACUUCGCCACCUGCUACCCCUCCACCGGCUCAUCUCGCCUCUCCACCAGCAGCGGUUCCAGCGCUAGCUCCAAGGACGAAGGUGAAAUCUCCGGUCGUGGCUCCAUCGCCACUUACAAUAUUUUAAGAAUAAUUUUUUUAAAUUACCGUACUAUUGAGAAAAGUCCGAGUCGACCACCACUGGUAAUUUGAUAUACAAGCUCGGAGGUAUUGACAAGUGUAUUAUUGAGUAGUUUGAAAAAGAAGCCGCUGAAAUGAAUAAAUGACCAUUCAAGUAUGCUUGGGUCUUAGACAUACUCUAUUACCAUUGAUAUCGCUUUAUGGAAGUUUGGGACCAUUACGGCAUUACCAUUGAUAUUGCUUUAUGGAAGUUCGGGACCAUCAAAUAUUAAUGCUCAUGGUCAUUCGAAUUUCAUCAAGAACAUGGUUACUACUUACUAGCACCUCACAAGUCACAAGCAGACUGUCUUGUUUUCAUUAUUAAUUCCACCACUGGUUGAGCAUGUAUUGCUUGUUUACACCAAGCCCUUGGUGUAAGCACAUGAUUUGCUGUUGUAACGAGAUGGAUGCCACACGUCCUCUUAAUCCUUCAUCGUGACAAAUAUAUAUUUAAAAAAAAAAAAUCAAAUUUUAAGUAAUUUUUCAAAAUUUCCCUUUUUAAAAUUUAAUUAAAAAAAAUCCAUUUUCAAAAUCCCUCUUUUCAAAUUUAAUUUACAAAACUUUUUUUUUAAAACAACUUUUCAAAAUCUCAAUUCUCAAACUUAAUUUUCGAAACUCUCGUCUUCAAAUAAUUUUUAAAAUUCCAAUUCUCAAAUUUAAUUUUCAAAACUUCCAUUUUCAAAUAAUUUUUCAAAAUUUCAAUUUUCAAAUUUAAUUUAAAAAAAAAAUCAUUCUCAAAUAAUUUCCCAAAAUUCCAAUUUUCAAAACUUUAAUCUUGAAAUAAUUUUCCAAAAUUUCAAUUUCCAAAUUUAAUUUUCAAAACUUCCAUUCUCAAAUAAUUCUUCAAAAUUCCAAUUUUUUAAAUUUAAUUUUCAAAACUUCCAUUUUCAAAUAAUUUUCUAAAAUUCCAAUUCUCAAUUUUAAUUUUCAAAACUUUAAUCUUCAAAUAAUUUUCAAAAAUUCCAAUUUUCAAACUUUAAUCUUCAAAUAAUUUUUCAAAAUUCCAAUUUUCAAAACUUCUAUUUUCAAAUAAUUCUUCAAGAUUUCAAUUUUUAAAUUUAAUUUUCAAAACUUCAAUUUUCAAAUGAUUUUCCAAAAUUCCAAUUUUCAUCUCAAAUUUAAUUUUCAAAACUCUCAUUUUCGAAUAAUUCUUUAAAAUUCCAAUUUUUAAAUUUAAUUUUCAAAACUUCAAUUUUCAAAUGAUUUUCCAAAAUUCCAAUUUUCAUCUCAAAUUUAAUUUUCAAAACUCUCAUUUUUGAAUAAUUCUUUAAAAUUCCAAUUUUUAAAUUUAAUUUUCAAAACUUCCAUUUUCAAAUAAAUUUUCAAAAUUCCAAAUUUCAAGUUUAAUUUUCAAAGCUCCCAUUUUCAAAAUUUUAAAUAUAAAAAUGAAUAAAUUUUCAUAAUUUCAUAGUAAUGGAAUUUAUGAGAAUUAACUCAUAACAAAAUCAAUAGGGCUUUGGGGGGCUCUACAUAUGAGUUUUCUCUUUCUAUUGUCAACUGUUAUACUUAAUGAAUAUUGUUUGAUCUUUGUCUUGCUCUUUGAUAUGCAUGUGAUGAUGUUAUACUUGACCUAACCUUGUUUCCAUGAUAGCGCAUUAUUACUUGCUAUUAAGGUAUGAUCUCACUCCUACUUUGUUUUAUCCUUAUACAUGAUUUGUUUUAUUAUUUGAUCAUUUUAUUGGUAUCUAUUGAUUUCCUUAUUGAUUUCCGUUUUUAACUUUUCUUUGUUCCGUUCCAUCUUAUCCACCGUUUCAUCCAAUAUGAAAUCUACAUCAUUAACUCCGAAAGAAGCAAGCAGGUGUAUGGGUGUGUCUCCUUGAGCAUCUUUCUCAUUUACAAGUCCUCUCACUCUUAAUCCAUCCUUUAUUAAUACCUCACUACCAAAAUGAGAAGGGUGCUUCUUCAUCAUGGCAAAGUGAAAAACAUUAUUGCCAUUCUCAUCAACCUGCUCACAACAAUCUGGAGCAUGUGACAGCAGCAACUUUACUAUGUCCAUACAGCCAUUGUAACUUGCAAUGUGAAGGGCUGUUCUGUUGCUAUUUUUUAUUCCAAGGUAGAUUACAGACUUGUCUUGUGAUGAUCCGUCUAGUAAUUGCUUGGUAAUUGCGGCAUCACGCAUGUAUGCAGCACAAUGAAGCGGAGACCAGCCAUUUUCAUCCACUUCUUUGAUUAGCAUUGGCUUCCANNNNNNNNNNNNNNNNNNNNNNNNNNNNNNNNNNNNNNNNNNNNNNNNNNNNNNNNNNNNNNNNNNNNNNNNNNNNNNNNNNNNNNNNNNNNNNNNNNNNAAGAAAAUUAAUUAUAAAAUGAACACUAACGCAUUACUAUAGGCCUUAUAUGCACUAUCUUGGUGACGGCAGAGUACAGUAGCAUGCAAAGCUGUUCUACCCUCGAUGCCUUUGUGAUCUGAUGAAGGACUGGUGUCUAUGAUUAUUUCCACCAAGUCCUCAUAUUCUCUCUCUACAGCCAUGUAAAGAGAAGUGUAGCCUGUACUGUUAGCACCAUAGAUGAAGUGAGGGUCUGCCUCAAUCAAUAACUUCACCACUUUUGAGUGAUGAUAUCGCACCGCCUCGUGCAAGGCUGUGUCUUUCUCCUUAUUGGUGAUCCUCAGCAUCGCCUUGUCUGUUCCAACG